rnacentral:lncRNA from 1 species
UAGAUUUGACUGAAUUUGGGAACCUGUUGGAUUGAUUGUUUUUAGAUCAUUAAUUUCAGAUACUACAACGUAAAUAUUUUCUUGUGGUUGAGUCCUAUUCUCAAAUCAGUAGGUUGCCUUAGGAAAAGGGCUUUUCUCACUGAUCUUUUUUUUUUUUUCUUUAAUUCACACGCACUUGAUUAUUGACUUCUUUCAUGAAGAAAUAAACUUGUAAUGACUUAAAGAUUUAAUUUCAAGUUAGAAUCAAUACCAAAAGACGGAGGUUUAACCAAGCAUGCAGUGUGCUUUAAUGAUUUUGGCAUAGACAUUGCUUGUGUACUUUGAAAUUGAAAUGAAUAUUAAGUGACAGCACAGUGAAUAUGCCUAAUAAAAGAUCAGCAAAAGCUUGGAUGAAUGAUUGAGGACCAAAACUUUUAUAAAAGCAUUUUUGAGAGAAACUAAACACCAAAUUAUCAAAGUAAGAUCAACAGUAUAUGAUUUGAUUUAUACACAUUCAAAAACAAAAUAGUGAUUAAUAAUAAAGUUUGAUUUUGUAUUGCCAACGAUGCUUUUUUGUUGUUUCAUUUGUUCGACGUGGCCUUAUUUACAAAUUGGUUUAUGUUAACAGAAACAUGAAAUUCACAUCACACAAAAUUGCACGAACAAAUAUUAAGAGAACAUAAUAAUAAUCACUAAAUGCGUAAGGGUGAAUUUAGAAUUACAUUUUCUUUUUUAUUUAAUAAAAUCCCAACGGGAAAUCAUAAAAAUUUAUGUAUAAAAAUUUUCAAUCACAAACAAAAAACAGGGAGAAUGAAAACACAGGAAACUUGUUUUACCUUUUUCUCAUCUAACUCAUGUUCUUAUAUAAUAUUUUCCCUGGUAUUUCAGGCAAGCAAAUAAAUAAAUAAAUAAAUAAAUAAAGAGCAAGUUGCUAAAAUUGAUUUAUCUUGUUUUUCAGGCAAUCUUGUGAUAUGAUGAUAAUGCUCAUGAAUGCUAGAAAACUUCUAAUGCAAACAAUUCUAUUUGGGAUGAUAAGCUUAAUUUUACAAGUGAUAAAUAUAAAUAACUUUUUGUGGUUAAUUCAAUUUGUAAUUACCCUUAGCCCUAUUCUAAAAUUUGUUGGCUGCUUCAGAAAAAAAAAAAGAAUAUUUCUCACUCAUCUUUAAUCUUCAAGGAAAAAAAAAUAUAAUAAAAUGACAAACAAACAAACAAAUAAAAGACAGCAAACAAACAACAUUGAUCUUAUGCCUACUGAUAUUUAAACAGAGAAUUCUUUCUUCUUUUUCUCUUCAUGGAUUAGAGUUUUUGCUAGUAACAGAAAGGUUUCAAGGGUCUGAAUAAAAUCCCAGAUUUUUUUUAACUUUGUUUUUUGUGGGAAAAUGGAUUCAAAUUAACCAAAGCCAAUAAUAAGAUCACAGACUUUAACAAUGAACAAUAACUUAAGCAAAACCAAUGACAAGAUUAAAACAAACCACAGAAAUUUUUUCUCGGAAAGUAGAUGAAAAGCAAGUAAGAACUGCUAUUAAAGGAUAUUAUUAAAGGAUUUAGAACAUGUAUACCUCUUUAAUUAUAUGGGAUCAGAAAUCGAUGACCUCCUCUAUUCGCUUCAGAUAUUAAGUAAGAACUGCUAUUAAAAGAAUGAAUUGAUGAGAGUAAUAACAAUGAUUGCAAAAUAGGAAGACUCAAUCAUGCACCCCUUUUAUACCUGAUCAUAUUAAGAAGUCGUUAAAGAAUAACGACUAAAUUAGGAAUUAAUUCUGAAGUUCAGAAUCAAGAACAAAGACGAAGCUUUAAUAAAGCAUGCAGUGAGAUACAAGAAAUGGAUCUGGUAAAAUACAUUAAAAAAAUUUGUUCAACCUAGUUAAGCUGAUGAAAGCACUAGUUGUUGGCUCUACGUUUCAUAUGUUCUAAUGAAAUAAUUAAGUUGAAGUUUUCAACGAAUAAAUACCUGUUUCGCUUGAAUAGCUUUGGCAUAUACAUUACUUGUGUCCUGUGAAAUUGAAAAGGUUAUUGAUUUACAAAGCUUAUUAGUAGAGAAAAGCUACGCAAGAUGCCUGAUAAAAGAUAAAGCAAGAGCUUGAAUGAAGAAUGACAUUUUAGAAAGAAACUAAAGUGUAAUCAUCAAAGUAAGAUCAAUAAUGUACCACUUUCCUUGCAAAUCUGGUGGGUUUUCUGAAUAGAUUUUUACAUUAUUCUAUUUAACCAUUUUGGGUUUACCCUAAGCAUUCUUGGUUGGCAUUGUCCUGUAAUCUGCGCGCCCUGGAUACGUGAGAGGGAAUGAUGAGGGUAGAUAUGCAAUUUCAAGAAGCGAUUUGCUUGCAUAAUUCAAUGCAUGGAAAGAGAUGUACCUGGCCAGACAAAAAGGGAACCAUCCAUAUCUGAGCUUGACUUUUUAGACGGAUAAACAUUCUUAUUACUGUUGAUAAUGGAGAAGGGUUCUACUUUUGCUUUGCCAUCUUUGAUAUAAAACAGCAUGAUUCCUUUUUAUGAAACACUUGCCUAAGUCUUUUUUUUAUUUUUCUUAUUUUCAGAAAGAGAUUAGCUUAAUUUAAAUUAUAUUCACGAACAAAGUGUUAUACACUCAUAAAACGAGAAAUAGGCAUGUAUUGAUCACGCGCAAUCUGUUUUUUUUUUCCCCUUUUUGUUUUUAAUCCAGUCUUCUUAUUUAAAAAAAAAAGAAUUUAUUUGCUUUAUUUUAAAUUAUUUUUUCAUGCGGUAAAUGCAAUACUGAGUAAUGGGUGAGCAAAAUAUUUACAGGCACACCCCCUUUUAAUGAUUUCGUACUAAAAUUAAAAAUUGACGAUUCCAUGAUAAAGUUCAAAGAGUAAAUGAAGACCCAUAAAUGUUUUUUGGUCAUGAGCAAUUUUUGAGUUGGGACAGCACUCGUAUGAAAAAAAAUAGUUUUUUUUUUCUUUAAGCAUGAGGAUAUUAAUUCUUUUUUUAUAAAUCAGCGUGAAUAUAAAAUUAAAAAAAUAGUUUUGAAUAACUUCUUUUCUUUUUUCAUAAAUAUAGAUAAAAAAUUUUAAAGUCACCAAACACAAAACCAGGAAAAUGGAAAGGAAGCCCCUGUUUCUCCGCUGCUGCAAGCACAAAUUCGGUUUCUACAGGAGUACCUUCUAAAUGCACCAUUUGUAUUGCUUUGUUUCCACGUAAGCUAACGGAAUUUGAUGAAGACAAAAUAGAUAUGAGUCGUGCUAUUCACACCCCUCGAUAAUUCUUUCAAAAUCCCCUUUCUAAUUAUACCGCCUUGAAUAAUUUCAAAACUGACUUUUCCUCUUAUAAUACCACCUUCAAUUCCCUUAAUACCCUUGUUCGCUAUGAAAAUAGAGCGAAUUGCGUGGGAUAUACUUGUUUUCCCUCAAAAUACCUAAAAUAUACCUCCAUAUAUUAAAAUUGCUAGUUUUACACAUAUAUACUUAAAAAGAUCGGGAAAAAUACAAAAAUAACCUCAAUAAAAAUACUCGACUUAUUUAAUAUGCUUACUCGACUCAUUUAAUAUUCUUACUCGACUUCUUACCGGACCAUAUACUCGACUUAGUUAAUAUGCUUACUCGACUUAUUUAAUAUUCUUACUCGACUUCUUACCCGACCAUAUACUCGAUUUAUUUAAUAUGGUUACUCGACUUCUUACCCAACCAUAUACUCGACUUAUUUAAUAUGCUUACUCGACUCAUUUAAUAUUCUUACUCGACUUCUUACCCGACCAUAUACUCGACUCAUUUAAUAUUCUUACUUGACUUCUUACCCAACCAUAUACUCGACUUACUUAAUAUUCUUUCUCGACUCAUUUAAUAUUCUUACUCGACUUCUUACCAGACUAUAUAUUCGACUUAAUUAAUAUGCUUACUCGACUUAUUUAAUAUUCUUACUCAACUUCUUACCCGACCAUAUACUCGACUUAUUUAAUAUGCUUACUCGACUCAUUUAAUAUUCUUACUCCACUUCUUACCUGACCAUAUACUCGACUUCUUUAAUAUGCUUACUUGACUCAUUUAAUAUUCUUACUCGACUUCUUACCCGACCAUAUACUCGACUUAUUUAAUAUACUUACUCGACUCAUUUAAUAUUCUUACUCGACUUCUUACCCGACCAUAUACUCGACUUAGUUAAUAUUCUUACUCGACUUCUUACCCGACCAUAUACUCGACUUCUUUAAUAUACUUACUCGACUCAUUUAAUUUUCUUACUAGACUUCUUACCCGACCAUAUACUCGACGUCUUUAAUAUGCUUACUCGAUUCAUUUAAUAUUCUUACUCGACUUCUUACCCGACUAUAUACUCGACUCAUUUAAUAUGCUUACUCGACUCAUUUAAUAUUCUUACUCGACUCAUUUAAUAUUCUUACUCGACUUCUUACCCGACCAUAUACUCGACUUACUUAUCUCUAAUUCUUACUUGACUAAAUUCUCGAUUUACCAGACUUCGUACCCGACUUCUUCCUGUACUAAUUCUUCAAUCACUCAUAACUUAAAUGUAGUCUUAAAUCCCUACAUUGAAAUAGUGUGUGUGUGUGUGCAAGCACAAAAAAUGAAUAAUGUACUACUAAAAUUCAUAAAUCAUUAGGAAGUACACUUAUAAGAAAAAUAGAGAAUGGUGAGAGAAGCCCAAAAAAGAGAAGCAAUAGGAGAAGAGAGAUGUAAAUUCUUAGUUUUUUUAAGGUUAUUUUUUACUUUUCCUAUCUUCAUAAGGUAUAUGUAUGUAAUAAGGUAUAAAUUUGGCAUUUAAGGGUAAAUUGAGGAUAUUUAAAUAAAAAACCCAUGAAAAUAAGGAAAAUGCCUACAUAAAAAGCUGGCUCUGAUAAUCUACCUGAAUUUACAUUAGAAAAGAGUGGACUUUGAGAAAUAAGAAGACAAUAUAGGGAAUUUUACCAAAAUAAUCCAUUUUUAUAUACAGGGAAUGGUAUUUUCUAAUAUAAGGAGGAGUGGAGAAAUUAAAUUUAGCAAAAUAAAGAACCUCCAUCGAGAAGCAAAAAUGAUAAUAUCUUUGUCGUGAAGAGAUUUCAAUUCAAUUGCAUACACUGACGAAACAUUAAAUACGGAAAAAACAAAAAAGAAAUAAUAGGACAUGGGGAUUUCGAGAACUUCUAAAGAGAGAAAUGUAUUUAUAAGCAUUGAAAAUUAGCUCAUUAAAUUUGACAGAAUAAUAUACAAUCUCACUGUUGGCCAGAAAAUAAUAGUAAGAACUUGUGAACAUAAAUAAUCAAUUGCUUAUUACUUAAGCUUUUUCUCCGUUAUUUUGAAUGGGUGCAAAGAGGAGAAGUUUUGUACCCAAAUUCCAACUCGAAUUGUGUAGGCUGCUUGCAAGAGCUUCAUUAGAUUUUUAUUUGUCUUUUAAUAGUGCUUCUCGACAAAUACAGCUAGCUAUCUGUCCUUUUUGUUACUGGACUAUAGAUCAAUUGACAGCUGAAGUUAUAUUAAUUUGUUGUACUGGAAUUGAAGCUUGUAUCUUAGCCAUUUCGUGAAGUGUCAAAUAUAUUUUUAAUUUCCUUAAAAUUGUUCAAAAUAUGUUUACACUUUUAAAGUCACUAUUAUACAUGAGUGCCCUAAAAUUGGAGAAGGCGAUUUGCCUGACAUUACCUGUAUUCGCUUGUAUAGAGAGGACGAUUUAGAUAAGUCGGAACGGAACAACCUUCAUCACAUGCUUCCUCACGUGGUUACUUAAACUGAUAUGUAAAACGUGCUCCAUCCAUGUCGUUUCCACUAAAUCGUUUUCUGUUAAGAAUCAGCUGAGCAGCACGUGAGCUAAUGAAGCUUUUACGGCUUCAAAACGCAGCCGUUUCUGGGAACCAAACUUGAUUCAUCACCUCACAACUACAGAUGAAUUAUCGAAGUGGCUGAUUGGUGCUAUACGUGUUUUUCGUAUUGAACUCAACUCUGCUAUUUUCCCAAAGCUGGAAAACAGAAACAUCAUCCCUGUGGUUUUAUUUCCCCUCAACCUUUUUCUGAUCCCAUUUUCAUUGUAAUUUCUCAUUUACUUUGAGUGAAAGUCAUUGUUGCUUUCGAACGAGGUUUUGCAACUAAAAAGGAAAAGGGGGCGGCUAUAAUACAUGCGUGCAUCUGAUACAUGCACAAAAACUGACCAUUGGAUUAAAUGGAGUGGAUCUAAUGGCUGAGAUUUGUUUUAUUAUUAAGCAAUAAAAAAAUUUGAAACAACCAGAAACCUGUAAAACCGGUCAUUUGGUUUAAGUUAAAAAUAUAUAAAUGAAAAAAACAAAAAAACCCACCACUCCCCCGCCUCACACGCGCCUUACCGCUCCCUCGCCUCACCUCUCUUCUUGUUCCACGGCCAUCAACGGCGGCACGAGUCGGCGACGAUCAACUGCGGCUGUAAAUUGACCACGAUCAUCUCUCUCUCUCGGCUUGCUCAAAUUUGGCCGAUCUGUGCGCUUGAUUAAGCUUGGCCGAUCUAUGCUUGCUCGAUUACUCUUCCUAUCUUCAGUCAGAGUCAACUGUUUGACAAGAGUCGAAGUCCAAGGUUCUUUUUUACAGGAUUUGAGCUACUCCUUUUAUUCUUCUUGCAUGUUCACUGAUAUGAAGCUUUGAUGUGGUGUUCUGAUAGCGGGUGGAAUUUGAGAUUCUCCUUUCUUCUCUAUAUGAAGGUGCUUGUCAUGUGUCAAGAAAAAUAAAAUUAUUUACCAAAGAUUAUUUUAAGGAGAUUUAUUAUUAUUCGUGGAUCGGGAAGCUCAAAAAAUUUUCUUAUGUAGAACAUAAAGUGAUUUAAAUUUUGCCAUGGUAUAUCCUUUUCUUUGAUUGUGUUGUGGUUUUCCAGUUCUUGGAGAUGCAGAAGAAGUUUAUUUUGUUUUUUGGUAUCUUAUUUAUUUAUUGUUUUCACGAGGAAAUUGCUGUGCUUUUGGAAAUUAAUAUGCUGUGUUGUCAAUGUUGUGUGAAAUCCUUUUAUUGGUGUCUAUGUAAAGUGUUUCAGAUUUCAGACCUGAGAGUUAAUCUUCGCGUACCAGUUGGCUUUUGGGUUUAGUAUUGCUGCUUUUAACAUAAUUGACCUAUGGCCCAAAUCAUUUCUAUAGGGCAAAGCAUAUGAAUGAUAAAUAUUAUCUUUUUUUGGCCUUAUGUAUUUUUAUUUGCAGUGUGAUUUGGUCUAGCUUAAGAGCUUAAGCUUGCAGGUUGGAUUUGUCUGACAGGGAACAAUUUAAUUUGUUCAUCGUGAUGUUUAUAUCCAUUUUGUACUACUAUCAAUUUCAGUCAUGCCUAAUUUUUAUAUGUAUUUCUCGUGGACUCUCAGGGUCAGUGCACAAGAGGAUGAAGACGAUGGACACCCAAAUUUAUAGUGUAUUUUUGUCAUCUUUGUAUGACUGGCAGGUCGUCCUGAUUUGGUACAUGACUGGACACAGGAAUUGGACUCAUAUUUUUCAAACCAGAAUGCCAACAAUCAAGCAUUUUCUUUUGAAAGCACUGGCGUCUUCUUCAAUGCCAAAAAGGUUAGAGAUUUUCUGUAUCCUGUUUUGUAUUUGAUCAGUUUAGCAUGUGGGUGGCAAUCAAGAAAAGUUAUUAUAACAUUUUUGUGUUCCCGAAAAACUGCUGAUGAUGUGUAGUGCAGGAAAUGAAUUGUUUGUGACUUCUUUUUAUUUGUAUUCUUUCUUUUUUCUUUUCUCCCCAACAGGAUUAUGCAUUUCUGAAGAGCUUCUUGAAGUUGAUUACCUUGUAUGCCACUUUCUUUACUCUAUGCUCAGGAUGUGAUUUUGCCAAGCAUUAAAAUGGUUUAGGUCAGAACCAUCAUCUAAAGUUUACUUAAUGCAGCCGAGAAGCUGUAGUAGAGCAAUGAAGGCUGUUGGUGUUAUGAAGGCCAGCUGUGAAGAAAUAUUUGAACUUGUAAUGAGCAUGGAUGGGACACGAUACGAGUAUGCUUCUUUUCUAUUUUUUAUUUUUAGUUACUUUAACAUAAUCAAGACUAUAUUGGCUGUCUCUGUAAGCUGAGUAUUAUAUUUCCUCUUGUAUGCUGUGAAAUUCACAUUGUCUCCAGUCCCGAUUCUGUAUGUGCCUUUUUGAAUAUAUUUAGUUAAUCUGCAUGGUGCUUUCUAAAGAUUAUUACAAACUUUUGUUGCUUAGGUAUAUGAAGAAUGUGGAAAUGAAAAUAGCUUUUGAAGUUUGAUGGAUUGCUUCAUUAAUAAAGAAAGACUAGGACUCAUUUUUAUAACUUUUUCUCCACUUAGCUAAUGGUAUUUGAUGAAGACAAAAUAGAUGUAGCUAUCUGUAUUUUUUGUUGCUGAACUAUAGAUCAAUUGACGGUUGAAGUUAGUUAUAUUAAUUUGUUGUACUAGAAUUAAAGCUUGUAUCUUAGCCAUUUCAUGAAGUGUCAAAUACGUUCUUUCCUUUUUUUUUUCAAAACAUGUUACAUUUUUGAUGUCUAUUACAUAAAAGAGUGUUCUAAAACAGGAGAAGGCGUGCUGCCUGAAAUUACCUGUUUCCUAGCAAAUCUAGCUGGUUUGCGAAUUAGAUUUUAACAAGUCUCUUGGCAAUGUUUGCUAGUAAUGUGUUCAAAUUAUUCUAUUUAAUUUUACUGUCUGUACCCUAAUAAUUCUUGGUUUGCACCAUUGCAUUGUUCCAUAAUCUCUGUGCGUUGGCUUAUAAAGGCCAGCAAGGCUGAUCAUUUGUCGAAUAGUUAUUUCCAUGAAAUUCCUAUCAAUUUGACUCAGUAUUUAGAGGUCUUGAAGAGGGCAGUGUACUAGACAUGGAUUUCUACCUCUUUUGGUUGUACAAUUGUUGUAUUCCUUGGCCAUCAGAUCUUUUUUAUGUACCUUUCUCAAAGUUCAUGCUGCAUGUACACCCUUUUUCAUGUUUUGUGCAGGUGGGAUUGUAGUCUUCUGUAUCGCAGCUUAGUUGAAGAGGUAGAUGGGCAUACGGCUAUUCUCUAUCAUAGGCUUCAGCUGGACUGGUUUCCAAUGUAAUAGUCUCUCGAUUCAAUCAUCUCAUUUAUGCUUUGGUCAGAAUAGAACAUUUAUUGUUUUCUUCUUUCCCCUUUCCUCUCUUCUGAUAUAAUAUGUGAGGAAAUUACCUAAAAUUUUUCUGUAUCCCAAUGUAAUUGUUGGAAUUCAGAAAUAAAAUACAUACACCGUCUUGUUUUUCCCUCGGUUCAGUCCUAAGUUCUCUUUGGGCCUUCUGCAAGUUUUUAAACAUACUAUGACAGUAAAAAAUCUAGUGAUUGAGAUCAUUUUGAUGAAUUUAAUUUUAAUUCUUAGCUGAUACUUUUUCUGGAAAUUUUUUUCUUAUGUUUCCUCAAUAUGACUUAAAAAUAGGGCUUAGUUUGGUUUAGAAGUUCAUCUAAAACCUUCUGCUUGAUUCCAAAAAAAUUCUCAAGGAAGGUCUCAGAUGGAUUUUAGGGGAGUUCUGUGGCAAAUUUGAAAAGUUCAGGGGAAGGGUCUAAUGAAUUUCAAAACCACAUGGGUUAUCUGUUUUAUUCAGAGGAUAGUGCAAUUCCCUAAAAUUUAUCAUUUUUAUUUAAAUAAUCUUCCUACUUUCCUCUGCGGAAUUUAUUUAUAUAUAUAUGAAUUUAUUUGGUUGCAGGUUUGUUUGGCCCCAUGGCCUUUGUUAUGUGCGUUAUUGGCGUUGAAAUGACGAUGCGAGUUAUGGUAAGGUUCUUGCUUCCCCACUUCUUGAAAUUAAAUCUAUCUUUUCUGGCACUAGAAGUUUCCAUAAGCUGUGUUUUGUUAUCACGCAGUUGUGUUAUUUCAUUCUAGGGAGCAUGAGAACUGUGGUCCACAACCAGGAUAUGUACGAGCUCACGUGGAGAGUUAGUUUUCUGUCCUUUACUUUGGUUGAUGUAGAGAAUUAACAAGUGACUAAGUCAUGCCAAGUUGCACCACUUGCUUCCUGUAUUCUGAUUUCUCAGGUGGUGGAUUCAACAUUUCCCCACUAUAACCUCAAAAUGGUAGGCCCAGAACACAGGUACAACAUCUUAUGCAGAUUGAUCUAAAAGGGUGGGGUGUUGGUUGUGUGGCAAUGUUUCAGUAACACUGUCUUCGUCAGAUGUUAAAUAGCGUUGCUGGUAAGUUUCUAGUAUUUCACAUUUUAUUUUGCACUGUUAUGGAUUAAUAUGUUUCUGCUGGGUGGCCAUUUUAAGUCAUAUUUUUACGUGUUACUGUAUUUUCUGUCGGUCCUUUUAUAGGGAACACACACAUACACGUAUGUAGAGUCACCUUUUAAUGAGGGAUCAACCAUUUUAAUAAAAUGAGGAAUGAGCUAAAAGAUAGAGAUUCACGAACUCCAAUGCAAUAUGUGUGUGUGCGUGUGUACACCUUUUCUAACUCUUGUUCUUAGUUAGAUAUUUUUUGGGAUUUCAGGCAAAUGAAAAAAGAGAUUAAGAACAGGUGGAUGAUAACUUUUUAUUUUUUUUUUGGAACAAGGUGGAUGUUAACUUAAAUAUUCAUUUUUAUAUAUUUUGUUAAUGUCCUCUUUAAUGGAUUUCUAUGGAAUUAAUCUUUUUUUUUUCCAAUUAGUUGCAGCCCUAGAGGAAAAGCAGGGUGAUCAAAUUGAUUUAUCUCGUUUUUUUGGAGCAAUCUGCAACACAAUGACCGUGAUAAUGCUUGUGACUGCUGGAAACUUUCUGAUGGAAAUAACUUCAGAGUUCGUAGCAAGCAUUUUGUUAUGACAAAACAAAGGUUCCCGCCAAUUUUGGUUGUUUCUUAUGGUAUUUAUAUAUCUGACAUAUUCUAGUUCGACAUGUAACGAUGUAGUUUGGUUGGUUCUUCUUGUUCUUUGUGCAAUUUGUAACUGCAGAUACAUGUGGGAAAACAUUUAAUGGAUCUUGUUGCUGUUGAUUGGUUCAAAGACACAAAGAGAAUGGACCAUGUAGCUAGGCGUCAAGGCUGUGCUGCACAAGUAACUAUUCUUUUCUUUUUUAUUUUUCCUUUUCCAUUGACGGAUUAGAAGAAAAUACUGCCUGUGAGAUACUACAAUGUAAAUAACUUCUGGUGGUUCAUUGUAUCUAUAGCACUCUGAGCCCUAUUCUAAAAUAUGUAGGUUGCUUUCGAAAAAGGGCUUUUCUCACUGAUCUUUAAUCUUCAAGUAAGCUUGUUUAAUUUCAGAAGGUAUUAGGUUUCAAACUUAUCGUUUUGGGAGGUUGUAUGGUUGUAACGUAAGCAUCUGCAGGUUCCUGGUUCAACACAUUAUAGUAUGGUAUUUUAUUUUGUCACAAGGGAAUUAGUUACAGGAUCCCUUUUGCAAUGGUUUGUUGACAGCGAUGAUGAAUUUCGCAAUAGUAGGCUGAAACUUAUCCCGUCCGUUCCUAAGGUAUCCGUCUUGGUCUUCAUGUAUUAGGACUAUGUUAACGUAUACGUACCCUUCGCUGCAUAGUACACUUCAAUUUGUACAAAGAAGGCAUGCAUUUAGGUGUAAAUGUAUUGAUGGGUUGUACCUUCAAACUUCAUUUCCUUUUUCUACCGAUUUGAAUUUGUUUUGCAUUUGUUCUUGAUUUUAAGCACUGAAUCACGCGGGGGUCAUGGAUCGUGCGCCAGAGUGAUGGAAGCACCCCUUGUUUAUUAGGAAAAGCAGUUGAUUGUAACUAUAUCCACGGUCCUAAGUACUUGGAAGUAAAUGCUCUUCGAAUUCCUAUAGUACAUGGGAUGUGUUCCCUUUCAAAUAGCUUGUUCAAUAUGAUUAACAUGGUUUAACAUUGUUAAUCUUUCUGUAGAUUGAUGUUGACAUGUUCUUGUAAUUGGUGUAAUUACGGCAUUGGUGGUUGACAUGGCUUUCCUUGUGCAGGUAUGUAUGAUUGUUUUUUUCCCCCAGUUCUAAAUGACACAAGGGAAAAGACAUGAUUUUGAGAUAUUGUACUGCAAUUUGCAUAUUUGCAUACUUGAAUGUUCUCAGAAUGGUAUAAUGCUUUGUGUAUGCAGGCAAAUACUACAGAUGAAUUACCGGAGCGGCUGAUUGGAGCUGUACGUGUUUCUUAUAUAGAACUCAAGUCUGCUAUUGUCCCAAAGUUGGAACCAGAGACAUCAUGACUCUGGUUUCAUUUCACCUCAACUGUUUUUUUUUUUUUUAAUUGAAAAAAAAAUCAUUUGUUUUAGGUAUACAUACAUGUAUUUUGAUCCCGUUUUCAUUGUAAUUUCUCAUUUACUUUGAAAGAAAGUCAUUGGUGUUUUCGAAUGGGAAUUUUGCAUUAAAAAAUAAAGAAUACUUAAUAGGAAAUUUCAUGAUUCUUUAGUUACUAUUUUUGGAAUGAGUGUAAUAGUAUUAAAGUUGGUUUCUACUCGCAAACAAGUGAACUACUCGAUCCCCAACUGCGACCACUACUUUUAAAACUCAACAACUAACAAAAAUACUAAUAAAAAAAUGAUUUUCUUAUGAUGCUGUGAAAACAUUUAUGGGUUCACUUAUUUCCACAAGAUCUAUAAAAUGGUAUUGACUUCACGAAAUUCUUUUAAUUUAAAGGGUGUUGGUCUGAGAAAGUCAGUGUGACGGAUUAAUUUCUUCUAAUAAUGGUCGAUUUAAUUUUACUAUGCUCAUAAAACUAUUCUUAUUCUGAUAAUGUCAUAAAUGUUAUGAUGUUUUCUUCGGCUAAUGAUCUUCUAUCAGGACUAGUUAGAAAUCAAAUGCUUAAAACACCAAUUGAAUGAAUAAUGCAGAAGUUUAAACAGUAUCUAAUUGAAAAUUGCAUGAAACAUGAAACAUCAAUUCAAGUCCUUCCUUAAACAGAGAAUGCAUCAAACAAAUCCAAAGUGUCUUGCAAGUCUGUAGCAUGACUAAAAAAUUGUAAAUGCGUUUAGAACCAAAUUAUUCAAGUACAGGAGAACGAGCAAGUUGAAUCAUGUACAAGAGAUUGGCCUGGUUCGAGAUAGCUUCUUCACUGUACCUGAAGGGUUGGCUCAAUCUUUUCUCUAGAAUUCUGCACAUUUUGUAAUUACUCGUGUAAGCAAGCAUACAUUACAACCAUAAUAAUAAUAAAGCAAGAGUAAUGAUACGACCACAACCUCUUGUGCACAAAUAAUAUUGUACAAACUAAUAUGACAUAAUAUGAUUGAUUAAACAAAAACAUAACAUGACCCUCAUUUUUUUUUUUUAUUUUAUGUUUUCAGUCAAGCAACCAUAUUAUGCCACGUUAAUAGCUAUAGAAAUAAUUUGCUAGAUAGUGCCAACACUUCAUUGAUACUCACCAUUUCAUUGAACAAUUUUUUUAUGGUGUCAUUGAGGUUUCCUUCCCAACAUCCUUCAUCAUCACCAUCUUCUUCUUCGGUGGGUUUCACUUUGUUUAGCUUUGGUGCGUCUACGACUCCUUGAGAGAAAAUCUUCAUUGUUGGGCACUGUCUCACAACUACGUGUUCCAAGGACGGGAACUCAAGAGCGUAAUUACCCAAACAAAAGCUUGUUAGGCUUGGCAAGCAAUCAAGUCCCAAGUACUCCAAUUUCCUGAAAACAAUGCAAUCUUCCGCUUCUUCUCCAACCUGCAACUGUAUGAUUUCUUCUAUCAUUUUGCAAUCAGUUAUCUUCAUUAUUCCGAGAUUCAUUAGACUUUCAGAUGUUGAGAGCAUCAAUAAAUUUAUCAACCCAUGACACUCGAAUACUUCCAGAGUCGCAAGAUUUUCCAAAUGCCACGAAGCUGGUACUAAUUUCUGCAACUUACUACAUUCAAAUAUUUCUAGACUUUUCAAGUUUGCAAACACUUUGUUGGAUUUGGCAUUUUCCUUCCAGAGAUGCUGCACUUUGUGUAAUCCAGAUAGCUUUAACUUCAUCAAUUGAGGGAAUGCAACCUGAAAAUCAACAAAAUUAAGUUGUAAAUAAAAAUAUGUAUCCAAGCUCUGCAGUCUUCCCCUGCAUAUUUUAUGGACAAGAUUAAUCACGACAUUUUAUAUUUUUUUCCAAAUUAGUAUGCUUUGCAGUAGGAUCCCAAAUAUAAGUAUCAAAUCGAUUACCCUUUGAAACACAUAAAUGAAAUCUGAUCUUAAAUCCAAUAUGAAUUAGCUAGGAAAACAGAGAUGUAACAUGCAUAAUCGAUAUAGUUCAUCACCUCCUGUCACUAGGGAUCUAAUUAAUUUGAGACAUUUUUAUAAUUCAUACUAUAAAGUUAGUUAAUAACUACGGUUAUAUUGUUAAAUCAGAUAUAAAUUAAGACGACGUGCAAAAAGAUGAGUCAUUAAAUUUGAUUUGAUUCUAAUGAAAUUACAUUUGUGCGAACGAAAGUGAAGGGAAAAAUAAUAAUAAUGAUUACCUUUUCAUCGAAGAGAUGUUGUAUGUGAUUAGCUACCAAGAGGUUCUCUUCUGAUUUUAAUUUUUGAGGUUCCUUAUUAUCGGCUGUCAUGUGCGGUAGAGGUGUAGAAUUGGAUACAAAUGUUUCCAUAUCAGGGCAAUUCUCAAUAAUUAGAUAUUCCAACUUAGGCAUUUCAAUUAUAUUCCCAGUGAGGUUGCAGAAUCUUUUGAGUUUUGGAAGAUCAAUGAGCCUUAGCUCAAAAAGCAUAGGAAACAGGGGGCCUAUAUGUACUUUUUCAGCAUUUAGCUCUUCCAAAUGAAGCACCUCUUCUAGUGAAUCACAAUUGCUCACUUCCAGCCGUAGCAAAUUGUUAAAGCACCGUAGCAGAUUGGCAGGAAUAGCACUCGAAUAUUCGUGCAGUCAUCCACCACCAGCACUACUAAAUUGUUGAAGAAGCUGACAGGCAGUGCUUGGCCAUGCCAUGUUUCUUUCAAACGUGGAAAAGGUGAGAGUUGCAAAUACCAUAUGUCACGGAAUCCAAUCUGCACAAACCAAAACAAUUGCACUGGAUAUAUAUAAACUAUUUUUUUGAAAGGCAUUAGAUAUAUAUAAAAUAUAUAUACAAGGCAGGUGUAUAUGUUCAACGAAUCGAUUUAACACAUACCAUUUCUUUGUAACACUUUUGUAUAGUGGAAUUAAGGUUGCCUUCCCAAUGGCGCAAUUCAUCCUCUUUCUUUUCAGUCACCUGCACUUCGUGCAGCUUUGGUGUGGAUACGAUUCCCUGAGAAAAAGUCUUCAUGUUCUGACAAUGUGUCAUAGAAACUCGUUCCAAUAAUGGGAAUUCAAGAGUGUAAUUCUCCAAACAAAAGCUAGUAAACCUUGGUAAAUAAUCGAGUAUCAAAAGUUUUAAUUCCCUGAAAGCAAUACGAUUCUCCUUCACUUCUUCUCCAACAUGUCCUAUGAUUUCUUCUAUUUUUUCGCAGUGUGAGACAUUAAGAUUCACCAGACUACUAGGAAUUCCAACCUGAAAAUAAAGAGUAGCAUUCAACUAUAUUCAAAAUAUGUCUAAAUCAUACAAUUGUUUUAUGAAAAUAACAAACCAUGAAUGUCUACUAGAUAUUUUUUGUUAAAGAAAAAAAGGAAAACAAUAAAACAAAAAUAAAUAAAUAAAUAGAAAUCCAAAAAAACAAAGAUAAUGAAAAUGCAUUUAUGCUAUUUAGUGUUAGGAAUGUAGAAAGAAUUUCAGGUAAUUUUUAAAUAUUCUAAAUUCAUUUUUCAUCUUGAUGCUAGUUUUUAAAAAUUUUUAAUUUUCAAACAUGCCUAUUUUUAAAAUAACUAAACUAAAACGCUGUAUUUCCCAUUUUUUUUCCUGAUGUUUCCUGCUUUUAAAAAUGGAAAACAUUUCUGGAAAACACUUCCCAACGCCAUCAACAUGGGACUGUUAUAGAGUGAAUAUUUGAGGAAAUUUUUUAAUCAACGGUCGAUUCAAAAUGACCAUCAUGAAUUUGUGCUUAAUCAAUGGCGUAAUCAAUUCAUAACUAAACUAGAGAUAUUAACUACAUUUGAACACUUUUCUUUUUUUUUUUUAAAUCGAAAUCUAAAGACCCAAGGAAAAGAGAAAUAUAUAUGAAUUUGUGAACUUAAAAGCUGAGUAACUAAGUAUCUUUUAAUUUCUGAAAAUCUUAUUUAUUAGGAUUUAAGAAAAAAAACAAUUAAAUUGAAUUAUAUUAUGCUGUUAAAUCGUGUUUAAAACAAUUAUAUUGUUGACUUUAAUGCAGGUGAACCUAUAAAUUAGAUUGAAAAUGCAGAGUUCAGAAUGGUGAUUUGAAGUACACUACUUUUUUUCCCUCCACAAGUUUGAAGUACAAUAGUUGCAAUAAAUAAUUUGUGAAUGAAAAUUAUUUGUAAACACAAAAAUGAUUAAAAUAAUUGUUGAAUGUUAUUUGAAAUAAAAAUUCAAAAUGAAUAUAGCAAUCUUACCAAUGGAGGAAAAAUAUUCAGUAGAUUAUUACACCCAGAUAUCUCCAAACUUUUCAAUUUGCUAAAAGAGUCUAAAGCAAGCUGGUGGUGCCAUAUUUUUCUCAACUGAUCCAUCGAGCUAAUAUGCAAUACCUCCAGACUUGGGAGUCGUACCUGAAUUUAAAAAUUCAAUGCAAUUAGAGAUGGAUAUUAAUUAAAUUUGAAGACUCAACGAUAGAAGAAAUUAACUAUUAAGAAUAAAAUUAAUUAAAAAAAAAAACCUUUUCAUCAAAGAGAGGUUGAGGUUGCAUUUCAGAAUGAAUGGUGUCUUCUGGUGAGGCAAAGCUACUUAGUUUUGGAAGACCAUCGAGCUGCAGGGAGUGUAGUUUAGGAAAAACCUUUAAUUCAUCUCUUCCUCCUAACCCCGUGGUGUUGACUACCCCUUCAAUUGACCGGCAAUUUCGAAUCUCAAGAUGUUGGAGUUGCAAAAGACUAUUAACCAUAGAAUAUGAAAACGGAUACUUCAGACGAUGACACCUUUCCACGGUCACUUUUGUCAAGUUUUGACAACAAUACAUUCCCUGAAAUUGAUCGGGCCAUAAUUUUUUGAUGCUUAUUAAACGGUCAAGUUUCAGUUCCUCCAAGCGUGGAAAAGUAACCUGCAAAGCAAAACCGUACAUUCUUGUUAAUUAAUUAAUUAUUCUUUCGAUGAUUGAAGAUCAAUCGUGAUAAUAUAUUAAUUAAUUAAUUAUUAAAUAGAAAAUUAUUACCUGGUGAACAGGAUCAUCCUCUGCAUUGAUUUCUGUGAAUCCCUCAGUAGUUGUUGGUUUCUCCAUGUCGGGCCCUAUAAAUGAACAAAAACAAUAUAUAAUAAACAUCCGUUGUUUUAUUCACCAAAAAAAAAAAGAAAAAAAGAAAGAGUCAAUGUCAAUAAUCCUACCAAUAAUUAAUUUCAACACUUACCAAUAAUCAUUUUCAAAUCAUCGCAGUCUUCCACUUUUACUUUUUGAAGCCGCAAUAGGUUUUUGGCCAUAGAGAAUGAGAAGAGAUGCUUCAAUUUGUCACAAAAAGCUACUCUUAUAAUCCUUAAGUUGCUGAAAGAUUGAUCUUCUCUGAGUUGGCUGUAGCAUAUCGUCUCCAAAUUAGUUAAAUCAAUAAGAUCCAAUGACUCCAGCAAGGGAAAGACUUCGCAACGAACCCGUCUAACUGAACCGACAAUAUGUACAAUCUCAUAACAACUUUCUACAUGAAGAUGCUUCAAUCGUGGAAAACCUUCCCCAUCGUCUAAUUCAUGAACAACAUUCUGAACACCCUCCAAUUUUACUAGCCAGAGAUCUUCAGUUCUCUGCAGCAACAUUUUCGUCCCAUCAUUCUCCUGGAGAAUGCUAACUUUUUCUAGCCCCUUGAGCAUCAUCAAUCUUAAUGCUUCAGAUUUGACGAGCAAUUGGUCAAUCUCAUAUUCGAGCUUAUCUCCUAUACGUAUCCUAUAUCUUUGCAAUUCCACAGAGACAAAAUCCGGCAACAGAAUUUCGGCAUCCCGAACUUCUAUCUCCAAAGUAGUUAGCUUUGUCAACCUCUUCAACUCGACAAGACUGGCAUUACUUCCUCCUUCAACCUUCUCCCACCCUGAAAAGCUGUUAUCCAUAUACAAUUCUUCUAAUCGAGAUAAUUUUGAAAUGACAUUUGGUGCUAUCACCUGAAGGCUCCAACAAUUGGUCAAAUCUAACAAUCUUAACCCCGUCAAUUGUCCAAUUUCAAGUGGUAACUGCUCGAUAUUGGAAUCUGCAAGGUUGAGAAUCUCUAAUUUCUUUAGCUGUCCAAUUGCCGCUACAUCUUCUAGUUGGCACCAGUCUAAACACAAUGUUUGAAGGUUAAUGAGGCGACCAAGUGAUGAAGGUAAUGAAGAGAAAUGAAUUCCGAUAAGACUUAAAACUUUGAGUUCUUCUGUUCCUUCAAAAAAGAGGUCUGAAAUUUGCACGGGGCCAUAACCCUGUCUAAACAACAAAAAUAACUGGAGAUUGGGACAUUGCAACCUUUCAGGGAGCUCUUGAAUAUUUCUCUGGGGUAAUGAAAUGGCAAUUGGAUCUUUCCGUAUUGUCUCUUCCAUCUUUUUCUCCAAGUCGGCAACAUUUGGGAUAUUAAACAUGCGCGUCUCUGCGGCAACUGAUACGGCAACAACAUGAAUGAUGUCAUGCAUUUUAACUUCAUCUUCAGCAUCACCGUCCAACAAUAAGCAUGAAGAUUUGAGAUUGUCGAUCAACCGAUGCACCCUACUCCUUGCUUCUUCCAAUGUGUAAACAUUUUCAAACAAACCCCAACCCACACCAUAUCUCAAUAAGUAAGGAACUGGUAUAGCAUGACCUUCACUGUAUAGACCACAAAGACGGAACAUAGAUUUUGCUUCCUCACUUCUCAAGAAGUCGUAACUCAAUUUUAUGGAGAGGUACACAUUUUUUUCCAUUCCAUCAAUUUCUUUUGCAUAGGAACUUCUUAGCUGACGCAGCACAUCUUUCCAAGUGUCAAGGCUCUCAUUUUUCAAAGCUUUUGCAAGUGUAAUCAGUGCAACCGGCAGUUCUCCGCAUCUUCCGACGAUCUCAUGUGCUAUAGGUUGAAAAGCAGAUGUUUUCAUUGAAUCACCCACUAUCUUCUGAAAUAAAUGCAAUGCUUCUUCUUUUGAUAAAGCAUCGAUCUGGAUCUCUUUCUGAGAAUUCAUAACAUUGCGCAAUAAAUCUUGACGUCUAGACGUCAGUAUUAUUGUGCAUCGUCGCUGAUCAUCCAUUCUUUCUUUCUUAACAUCCCCGGAAGGAAUUCCAACUUCAUCGAACUUCAGUUCUCCCCAAAUAUUAUCCAAUAUAAUGAGAUGCCGCUCCUCGUUCUUCAAAACUCGACAUAGUCGAUUUGCUCUGUCGAAUAUACUCUCAUUCAACUCAAACUUUAUGCCUAAAUCAGAAGCAAGUUUGUCUUGAAUUUUCUGAUGAUCUGGGUUCUCUGUUACCUCAGCCAUAGCGACCUUAUCGAACAACUUAUCUUUUUCCAUCACUCGCUUUGCAACUUGCUUGACGAGCGUGGUUUUACCCACGCCGCCCAUCCCGUAGACCCCAAUAAUGUUGAGCUUAUCAUCCUUCAACGCCUCCACAACAUCUUGAAAUACUUUCAUUCUUGAAUCAAAGGCCUCGUAAUCUUUCACUUGCAAAUGUUCUGUACUCUCUGGAGCAGGAAGGUAGGAAACUUCCCUGAAGUCGCCUUCUUUUAUGAGACUAUCGGCUGCUUCUUUGUCCAUUGCAGCUUGUUUACUAACCCUGUAACGAGAAAUCAAAUUUGGGCACAAUCCAUCUUCAGUAUCAAUGAUGGGUUUUUCAAUCAAUCCAUCAACUUUUUUAAGCCAGAUUUCGACGUCAUCAAAAAUCUUAUCUCCUUGUCGAGUAGCCUGAUCAACGGCUUUUUCCACCCUUUGUCUUUCUUGUUUCAGCUUCUCCACUUGUUCUUUUAGCCCAUCGAUGUUGCUUUUGUACUCUGGCACAUAAGAUAUUGGUCGUAUAAUAAGUUCGAACAAUGUCUUUGCACCACCGGAUACAAUGCUGGAAAUAGCAUUGAGACACCCUUGUGCAGCCAUUGCGAGACACCCUUCUGCAGCCAUUGCCUGUUGCUAAACAAUAUAUAUAUAUAUAAAUAAAAGUGUCAAAGAAAUGAAUACAAAUAAAUUAAAAUGAACUAGAGGGAAAGACAGAGAAAGGAAAGACCGCAAACAACAUCGCGAUAUUGAUAUUGAACCAACUGAUACCUAAAUAGAGAAUUUCUUUUUCCAUCUUAAGGAUCAGAGGUUUCGCUAUUAACAGAAAGGUAUCCUUCAAGGAAAGUUGAUGGAAAUUAAGAAAGAACCGCUAUCAAUAUCAAGUAUUCUGCUACUAAAAAUAAAUGAUAUGACUUAAGAAAAAUAAAUGAUAUGAUUAAGAAAAACCAGAGAAUUUUUUCCUCGGAAAGUUGAUGGAAAUUAAGAAAAAACCGCUAUGAAGAACAAGUAUCAGAGAUUCUGCUACUAAAAGAAUAUUACAGGUUUUAGAACAAGUGCACCUCUUUACCUGUCUCGGAUCAGAGUUGAUGAGCUGCUGUAUUCACCUUGAAUAUAGAAGAAAAAUUUUAUUGAGCAAAAGGAUCUCUGUUGACUAAAGAGGAAUGCGAGUAACGAGUUGAUGAGAGUAAUAACAAUGAAUUUCCAAAAGAAGACGACUUGAGCAUUAAGCACGCAUCCCUUUUUCAAUCAAAUACUGGUACGUAUGUCCGUAGGGACCAUUAUGCGUAUACGAAGUCUAUUAGUUGCAAUCAGAAGCCCCGGCCCAAUUUAAUUGACACUCGAUUUUUGAUAAGAAGAAGGCAAGGAUAAGGAUAAAGUCAAUCAAUCACCAACAGUAAUUACUUCAAUCUUUGUCAAUAUACUUAAAUUGUCGAUCAACAUGAAAAUUGUUUAAAUUGAUAUUUGUAAAUGAAUCAAUUUUCUAGUUACUAUGAUUAUAACGUUUCACCUUUCAUAUUGGAUUUUAUCUUUUCAAAAGUUUUCAAAUGUGAGUUUCAAUAAUUAUUGAGACUCCAAGCCGUGCUCUCAAGAUUGUGCUGACAAAUCACCAUUAGCUUUAUUUAUGCAUAUUUCAAAGAAAAAAAAAGUUAUGGUUUGUAUUGCCAGCCCUGCUACUUUUUGUUUUUUUUCAUUUGUAUUAUUUACGAAUUAUUUUUUAACAGAAACAUGAGAACUCUUCAUCGUACAAAAUUGCAUGAAAAAACCUUCAAAUUUAUAAAAGUAAAUUUCAUUGACAGAUUGUGGAUAUGUUUGCAAGAAUAAGGAUAAGAAUGAGUUAAGAAAUUAAAAAAAAAAAAAAAGAUAGUGUAAGUAAACAAUGUUUUGGUACAUUUGGUAUUGUUUUCAAAAUAUUUUGAAAAGAAAAAUUUUCAAUCAUCCACCUAAAAAUUAUCUUAUUAUCCAAAAAGUUAUAAAAAUUUAAAUAUACUUAAUUUUAUACCCAUUAUUACAAUGUGUAUAACUGUUUACUAAAAAUUUAAAUAUACUUAACGGAUGUUUAAUACAAAUUGCAUACAUUGGGUGUAAAAUUAAAUAAAUUUAAAUUUUAUAAUAAUUUUAAUAACUGAAUAAACUUUGAGUAAAUGACUGAUAAUUUUUCUUUUAUAAGCUAUAAGAAGUCAAAUAAAAAAUAGGAUGAUAAUUUCUGAUGGGUGUCGAAGCCAACAAAAAUAAAUUCCUACUCUAAAUAAAUUGUGUAUAGUGAUUGAGCAGGGUCGUGUCCACAGAGAUCGGUAAUUAUUUAAAUCCUUUUGAAACGUAAAACGUAAAAUGAGGGAAUUGUUGACAAUAAUAAAAAUCAAACUAAAAUAACGAGAAUGUAAAUUAAAGUUGUGAUUCAAAUUGGAGAAAGCUCUGGUUGAAGGAAUUAACUCAGCUUGAUUCGACUACUGAUCAUUGAUUCAAAUAUAGAUUAUUAUUACUUAUGAAUAGACCGGUUAUAGCUACUGAGACCCUCUAAUAGCCAAUCUCUCCUUAACUAGUCGAUAACCAAAGUACGACCGUUGGUUAUUUCCCUAAUCAAUAGACAACCCUAGAUACGAUCAUAUGAUUUAAUCAAUUGACAGCCUGAAAAACCAGAGAGACCCAAAUCCUAAUCAACACAUAUGAUGAUUCAUUUAAAUUAGAUUGUUUAUUCUCACAACACAACUCUCUGCUAUGUUAUUUGUCACAAACAUUAAAUUCUUCAUACGAUGAAUCCUUUAAUUGACAAUAGAUUAAGUUGAUAAUUAAAUAGUGGCCAAUUACCUAAUUAACAAACAUAAUCAUGAAAAUAAUUCAGAGAAUAAACAAAUACCCAAAAGCAAUAAAACAAUUAAAGCACAAGAAAGAUCUCACAGUACUGAUGAAUCAAAGCUUCAUUAUCCUUCAACCAGAAAAAUGGGUUUAGUUCCUCAUAGAGAGAAGAGAAAAAUUAGAUCUAGGGUUUCUUUUUCUCCAAUCCAAAAAUCCCCUUUUUUCACAAUAGAUUCCUCCCUUAAAUACUCUCUCUCUCUUCUCUUUUAGAGUUCUAUUUAAAAUAAAAUACUAAUAUCUGAAAUAUUAAAUUCGUAAUUACAAAAAUAGCCAAAAAUACAAAACACGUUAAACUCAAAACUGCAGGUUCGCAGUUGACAGCACGCGCCCACGCCUUAUCAACAAAGUUCUUCUGCCGCUCAUAAUUUCUCCAAGAGAACAAUCAUCCUUAAACAUCAUCUUAUAGCUCAAUUUUAUCACCAAUUAAUAGAAUUGCACCUACAAAAGUAAAACACAAGUAAAUCACUAUUAUUAAGUGCAAAACAUCGAUAUUAAGGGAAGUAAACAAUGCAAAACUAGUGCAUAAAUUGCACUCUAACAAUUUCUCUUUUAUAUUGCUCAGAUGAUUUAUUGUUUGGGGACUAAGAUUUUAAGUAUUCAACUUAAAAGAUUAAUAUAUUAUAAAUUGAUUAAUUAAUUAAUCAUUAAGCAACUAAAUUGGGUCCCUGGAUGUCAAUUCCUUUAAUAUUGAUGCAACAACCUUUUUUUGGCAAAUAAUUGUUAAUGCACUUACGGAACUUUUGCGUGUCUACACAGCGAGUUCCAGGACAUUUUCGCAUUGUGCAACAAUUGCUAAUAGCACCUUUUUACGAUUAAUUUAUAAUAUAAUUUCAGUAAAGAUAGAAAUACAAAUUUUAUAUAAAUUGAUAUGAUAUUACUUAAAAACAUUUCAUUGCUCACAUGAGUUACUGCUGAAGCCUAUGAUUUUAGAUACUCAACCCAAAAGAUUAGCCUAUUGAGAGGAGGGAGGUCUAUGAUUUUAGAUACUCAACCCAAAAGAUUAGCUUCUUGAGAGGAGGGACCACUUGUAUUUAUUAGGAAUGGGCAUCAGAUCAGAUUUGGGUUGAUUUGAUCCGAUCCGAUAUGAGCUAAUCUUAUUUGGAUUGGAUUCGAAUUUAGCUCUAAAUCUGAUGGGAUAAGAAUGUUGCAAUCUGAUCAGAUCCGGAUCAAUACGAUCGAUUGCACUUACAAUUAAAAAGAAUACAAAACUUAAAUAUAAAUAAGAAAUAAAAAUUAAAAGACAACCCUAAAUCCCUAAAUCCUUAAAUUUCCCAAAUCAAAACAGAAAGAAUCAAAAAAAGCAACUCAGCCGCAUGCCGACAUUAGCGACGAACCCAGCCAUUCUCUUGAGAAAUAGUUGGCCAGUGUCACGAUCGGUUCCAAUGGCUUGACCACGUCCCCUUCCUCUAGCUCUUCCUCGAGCUAUGUUGUAGUGGCAAAGAAUAACGAUGGAGAAAUAAUGAUAGAACAGCUAACAAAGAAUUUAGUUUGAUUCUCAAUGAUCCUUUUAUUGAAUAAAUUAUGCUCAAUUUAUACACUACUAACUGCAACUUGACAACAAAAGCGCAACUCACAACCAGAAAAUAGCAACAGCAACUAAGAAAUAGCAAGUAAAUCAGAUUCUUGCCUAUUAUUCGGACUAGUGACCCACUACUUUGACUGACUCAACAAAACAAAUAAACUAAAAUGCUGACUCAUGACAGCCAGUUGCAAAGCCGAUGAUGCCCGAGCUGCAUGCCGAUGACGUCCCAGCCGACAGCUGCUGGGCCAGUGACCCGUACAUUGCAAAAGUCCUAAACCUAGUCGUUGCAUUUAUUUGUUUGUUGCAAAGGUUUCAAAUGGAGUCGGAUCCAUUAAAGCUUUUGAGGUGCAGAGGUUAUAAAAAUAGAAUAGAUACUUUGAAAAACUUGCAGAGGUUUGCGUCGUUUGAAUUGCUUGUGAACUUAUUUUUGCAUGCAUGUUAUUCUCUAUGCUUUUUGGUGAUUGUAAAAUUAAUUGUUUGAUUUAGCUUUCCAACUUUUGGGAUGCAAUUGUUACUGGUGUUCUCAACAAAAUAAUUGAUGUGAAAAUGGACGAACUUUCAUUUUUUGUCUUUGUUCUUCCAUUUGCUAGCUUGCUGCAUUUUUUUCUUAAUUUCUAUGAUUUUUCAAUUUUGUAUUUCAACUUGCAAGUGAUUGAGAUUCAUCUGAUUUAUUCGAACACAUCUGAUUCCAAUUUCAGUAUGAUAUUAUCGAUCUGAUCCGAAUCCAAAUUAAUCCGCACUAUUCAUCCAAUUUGAAUGUGAUCCGCACAUAAUCGGAUUGGAUGCAAGUUCAUAUUGCAUUCAUAUGACUUUUUAUCAAUUCGAACAAUCCAAAAUCUGAUCGUAUUAAUCCGAAUAUUAUCUGCAUCCAAUUUUGCCCAUCUCUACUACUUAUAAGCCCAAGUGACUCUCUUUUACUAAUUAACUAGAAAAUAGACCCGCGUUUCACGCGGCUUUGAAAAAAGAAUUUACUAUUAUCUUUUUUUUCUUACUUUACACUUGAUGAAAUAGAUAAAAAAAUAAGAAUUGAUUUUUUUUUAAAGAUGAGGCAGCCUUAUAAAAAAAAAAGUUAUUAGGUAGUAAUAUAAAUAAAGAAGCAACACAAGAUAAAGAAUAAAAUGAGAGAAUAUAUUAUAGAGAGAUUUUAUUCAUUCCAAUUGUGUGUGUACAAAAUAAAAAGAUGAGCUCUCCUUUUAUAGUUACAUAAUCACUCCAUGAAGUUAAUGAAAAAUUAUGGAUCAUAAUUUCUUGUGAGAUAGUGGGAGUUAUAGGGAAGCUAAAGGUUGCUAAUGGGAGAUAGUGGGGAGACUAAGAGAUAUAUGUUAUGAACAUUUAUAUUUAUUUUAAUAAAUUCAUAACACUCCCCCUUGGAUAUUCAUUACAAAAAAUAUGCAUCAUUAAAAUUUUUACAUAAUUGUUAUUGUAUAAUAACAAUCAAAUUAAUUAUGAGAAGAUGAAAAACCAAAUCUAAAAGAAAAUUUCUCUAUUUAUUAGAUAAUAGAGAAUAUACAAAGAAGAGAAAUGGUGAUGCCACAUCACCUCCUCAAGUCCCAACUUUAUAUAGAUAUAUAGAUAUGGGACAUUAUUUAAGAAUUCUUUCUCAAAUGAGGAAAAUUAUCAUACCAUUUUUAUCCAUUAAUUUAGAAUAAAUGCAUUUAUCAUCAUUAUUAUGUUUAAAUCCAUGCAACAUGAUCAUAGAAUCAAAAUUUUCAUGUUGUUGCGUUAGUGCUUAUUUAAGAUCAUAUAAUGACUUUAUUAAUUUACUAAAUUUAUUUUGUAAAUUAGUAAAUUUAUUUUUUCCUUUCUUUGUUGUAAAUCAUUUUGCAUCCAACCACCCUCUAAAGGCUUGGGCCAAUGUUUCAAACAACAAUGCAUCAAGUUCCAAUCUAAGUUAAGAUCCUGCUGAUGCAUCUAGUUGAUUAGAUAAUAAUGAGUCUAUCUCAUUACUUGUUGCCUCUUUCCACAAGGCUGCAUCUGUUGAAGCCAUAGCCUCACUGAGAGUUUAAAGAUCUUCUUCCAUAUUAAAUAGGGAAAUUAUCAUUCUACCAUCUUUCUUUUGACUUAUGUUCAUUUAACCACCACUAAAUUUCAACAUGUUUUCUGCAAUACCUUUCUUUUUAAAUUUGAAUCAAUUAGCCACUUUUACACUAACACUGUUAAAUAAUUUAAACAAAAUGAUAAUUUUACUUCUAAAUAAAUUAAAAUGCCAUUUUAUCUUAUAAAAGCUUUGAAAAAUAAAAAAAUUUUACUUACAAAAUAAUCCAAAAUAGAGGUGCUCAGCUUAUUUUUAUUAAAAAUUUAUAAUUUUGUAAAAUUUUAUUAAAAUAACUAAAUUUAUUUAUUAAAAAUAAAUCCCAAAAUUUUAAUGUUUUAGGGGAUGUUUAUUAAAUCCCAAAAUUUUGCAAUUAUUUUAUAAUUAUAAUUUUUAUUAAAAUAAAAAUUCUAAUUUGGGGAUUUAUUUCUUUAUUAAAUUUAGGGGUAUUUCUAUAAUUAUAAUUAUAAUUUUUUAUUUUUUAUAAAAUAAAAUGAUCUUUUAAUUUAUUUAGGGGUAAAUUUAUCAUUUUGUUUAAAUUAUUUAAUGGUGUUAGUGUAAAAGUGACUAAUUGAUACAAAAUUAAAAAGAAAAGUAGUGCAGAGAACAUGUUAAAAUUUUGUAGUAAUUGAAUGAGCAUAAGGCAAAAGAGUAGUGGUGAAAUGAUAAUUUUCCAAUUAAAUAAAACGGGUGUUCGAUUAAGAACUCUAUCUCUAUCUCCUCGUCCUAUCAAAUAACGUCAACCAUCCAAAAGAAAAAAAUAAAUUGGAAAAGUCCACGGGUAGCAAUAAUUUCUGGUCCGUUCCUGGACCUCCAUUAUCUGGCACUAUGAAUAAUGAAAAUGACAUUGCAAUCGUUAGGUAUCUUGGAAAAAUGACGAAAGUUUUUGGAGGGAGGUGGGGGAAUUGUCAAAAGUUCACACAAUGCGAAACAAGUGUUACAUCCAAUUAAAUUUUAUUUCAUUACCUCUUUUGCCUCAUAAAUAAUAGGAUCACCACGAGAUAAUGAUAAUAUCAAAUAAUGACAACCAUCCAAAUGUAUGAUGGGUCUUCCAAAUUUUGAAAAUGUCGUCAACAUCAAAUCUUCAAUGCCGAAGAAGGUAUAUGCCCAAAAAAUGACACGCAAGACCCACUCCACAGACUAAAUUGUCCUUGAUCAUAUGUAACAAACUUUGGCCUUAUGUGCCUGUGGUGACAUUAGACUGUUCAUUUUCAUUGUUUCUUACCUUCCAUUUACGCCCACUGUAGUAUUAUUUUAUUCACCAUUUUAGCCAUUUAAAUGAAAUUUUAUUUUUGUCAAAAAAUGAACUUUUACUUUUGUCAAAAAUAAAAUGAUACCCUAAAAAUUUAGAAAAAUAGUCACGUAGACCUCAAAUUUUUAAUAUAGGAUACCAAUACCCCUUUUGAUCAUAAUACUACUCUUAGUAGAUGGUAAAAAAAAAAAAAAGACUUCAAAAUUUUUUAUAAAAUUUAAAUAAUUAAUUUCAAUAUUAAAUUUUAAAAUGUGAAUUAAUAUAUUUGUAUCUAUAAAAUACUUGUAAUUAUUACAAAAAAAAUUUAAAUGAAUCCUUAGGUUAAAUAGAUUUUACAAUUAAUAUAAUAUUUCUCAUGUAUUAAUAAUAUUAAAAUUAUUUUAUGUGAUAUUGAAAAUAAUUUAAAUUUUUAUGUAUUUAUUUGAAUAUUAUGUCUCUAUUUAUUAUUAUUUGGUUUAAUAGAAUACGAGAUUUUAAAAUAUUAAAAUAUUUUUAGAUAUUGAAAUUAUUUUAAUAUGUAUACAUUAUUAUAUUCAUUUUAAUAUCCUACUUAUAUUUAUUAUAAAAUAUGAGAAUUAAUUUUUUUAGUUAAUAAAUUUAAAAAAUACUAUAAUAAAAAAAAAGGAUCUUAUUGUCCGGUAUUCACGACAUGAGGUACUACAAAAUUAUUUCCCCGGACGGGUGUGCUUUUCUUAUUUUUAGAAAGAAAAAUAAGUCAAUGGGUUUCAACAAUUUCUAGUCCUAUCUGCCACUAUGACUAAUGGAAACGACAUUGCAAUUGACAUUGCUUUUCGCAAUAUGACUAUUUUUUGGAGAAUCGUCAAAAGUUCACUCCACUAGAGAGUUUUAGGUGGGAGAAUUGUCAAGAGUUCACACCACAUGAAACUAAUGAUAGACUUAAUUUCGCUGUCAGUUCUUUAUUUAUUUAUUUUAUUUAUUUAAUACAUUAUUGUCUUGUUGGUAUUGUGUUGUAAAGAUAUAAAAGUAAAGUAAAAUAUUAAGGGUGCUGUUAAGUUACAACUGAUGUAACUUACAGUUUUUUAAAAAAUAAUGUAAAAAAUUUAAUAGGUGGUGGGACUCAAUUUUUUUUUUUUUGAAGAGAUCAUAAGUUACAGCACUUGUAACUUAACAAAAUCCAAAUAUUAGACAAUAAUACAUAUUAACAAUGCAUAUAAUUUGGGUCUGAUUUUUAAAAAAUUAUUUGAGUACCACCUAUCCUUAAGAUAUUAAUGUGAAUGUAUUUUAAUAGUAAAUAAUAAAUUUUUUUUAACUAUUAUUUGUAUUUCAUACAUUACAUAUUAUAUUUGUUUGAAUUUUAAGUUGUUGCUAAUAAAUAUUUAUGUUGUGAAAGUCGAAUUCAAUAGCUACAAAAGAAGAGAUAAUGGUAUUUUAUAUAGUUUUUAAGAAUACAAGGAUAAGCUGGAUAAUUGACUUAAGUUCUAAUGAUUAAAACAACAACUAUCCCUUAAAUUAUAAUGUCAAUUUCUUUAAUUAGAAUUUUUUUCAACAAUUGCUACAGUUUUUUAAAUAAUAAUGGGAGUUAUAAAUUAUUUAUAUAAAAUUUGUGUAGAAACUAAUGUAACCUAAAAGUGGUUGCUGAAUAACAAUAUUUGAAACUUUAGGUAAUUUUCAUAUCAGCCCUUUUUAUAUUCAGCAACUUUAGAACUUAAACAAACUUGCCCUCGAUCUUAAUUUAUUUACCCCAUUUAAACCCAUGAUGCAUGAUGACAUAAACAGAUUCUUGUGUGAUGAAAACAUCAAGAAAAGACAUCUCAUGUUUUAAUAUAACAGAAAAAAAGCGGUCCAUAAGUCUAUCCAUUAUUUUAUUUAUUCAGUACAAAUGGCCAACUUUAAAAAAUGAUAAAAGUCACACAACGCUUAAGUGAAAAUUAAAAAUGACAUUUUUUAAUACUCUCUGAGUCUCUCUCUCUCCCCCUUUUUUUUCUAAAUAAACCUUAGUUUAAAAUUAGAAGAAUUUUAGAUAUAAAAAUUUGUCAAUCACUUAACAGAAAAGUAGGGGAAUGAAAACAAAGGAGCCCCUGUUAUUAUUGGAAUAUUAAUUAUAGAUGUUAUAAUAUCUAUAACUUGUCGUGGUUCAUUGUAGCAUUCUAAGCCAUAUUCUAAAACUAGGAAAUAGAACCGCACUUCGUCCGGCUUUAAAAAAAAUUAGUAUUAUUUUUUUAUUCCUUUGUAAUUAAUGAAAUUGAUAAAAAAUAUGAAUUAUUUUUUUAAAAGAUGACGCAGUCUUAUAAAACUAAUGUUAUUUAUGAAAGUUAAUUAUUUUUUGUUAACAUUAAAAAUAUAUAUUAAUGUGUAUAGUUAAGUGUACACAACCUUUUCAUCAAUAAAAAUUAUGUUCACACUAAUCAACUCUCCAUUUUUCUUGGUAUAAAUGGCAUUGUUGAGGGAAGAUGAUGAAACCUUCCUUCUUAUAUUAAUUAAUUGAUGUAUUUUAAGCCACUAAAAUUUAAUUGUUGGCAUAAUAAAAUAAAUGAAUGUUUCAAAACUCAUAAUUAAUUAUUAUUAAUGGUUACAUAUUGUUGAAUUUAAAUAGAAAUAGGAAAAGACAUGUAAUCAUUUAUAAUUUAAUAAUUAUUUUAUAUUUUAAUAUUUUGUAAUGUAAUUAUUUUUUAAUUUCAACCAAUUUAUUAAAUAAUAGACAAUAUGAAAUGAUGAGAAAUGGUGAUGCCACAUCACCUCUUGUAGUCCCAACUUUAUAUAUAUGUAUAGAUAGAUAGAUAAAUUAAUUCAUGUAUUUUAUGCCACUAAGGUUUAAUUGCUAGCAUAAUAAAAUAAAUAAAUGUUUCAAAAGACUUAUAAUUAAUUAUUAUUAAUGAUUACAUAUUGUUGAAUUUAAAUAGAAAGAGAAAAAAAAGUACAAAGAAUAUUCACCAAUAUUUUAGAUAUUUUAUAUAAUAGAAAAUAUAAAAAGAUGAGGAAUGAUAUAUAUUAAUAAAGUUACUAUUUAUUAAAUGAGUUAAAUACAAUCAAAUUAAUUAUGAGAAGAUGAAAAGACAAAUUUAAAAAAAAAAAUAUCUAUUUAUUAGAUAAUAGAGAAUAUACAAAGAAGCAAAAUGGUAAUGCCACAUCACCUCCUCAAGUCUUAGCUUUAUAUAUAUAUAUAGAUUAGUAGAUUUGUUAAGAUUUUUAUUAUUGGCAUCAUUGUGUCAAUAUUAUUAUAAUUUAUUCAUUCUAUUGUAAUGAAAAUUUGUCUAUUCUUAGCUACUUAUUAAAUUAUCCUUAAUUUAUUACGAAUAUUUUUGGAGACAAAAGAAACACGUGUAUGUAGGAUUAAUGAUUGGAGAGUUGUAAGUAAAGGUGAUUGCUUCAUUGAGAAGCAUAUUAAAGAAUUAUGGAAAGUUGCACUGUUCCAGAAGCAUAUAUUUAUACUUCCCUAUUUGGACUUGUGAAGUGAUGAUCCGGCCGUAACUAUUGUGAAGCUUUCCUCAAGUAUUCUCAUGCAUACUUGAGGAAAGAUACAAAUUGCAUACAUGUCUAGGAGCCUUAUCAAAGGCGUUAUAUAACUUGUCCAAUUAAUUAAUUCUCUUAAGGGUCAUACCGUGCUCACUCAUUUCAAAAGCAAUUAAGGAUAAGAACUUUCAUCAUUAAUUGAUAUGGCCAGUGUAGAAAAAAUGCCAAGAUCAAAGCACAAGGAUAAGUUUAGAAUUACACUUUUUAAAUUUUGGUUAAUAAAUAAACGUCUAUAUGAAAAUGGAAAAUCUUUUUGGAAUAACUUUUCUUUUCUUUUCUUUUUUUAAUGAAUGUGGAUAUAAAAUUUUAAAAUCGCCAAACCGAAAAGAAAAACAGGGGAAUGAAAAGAGGGCUCUGUUUCUCCUCUGUUUCGAUUUUUUUAUUACUAAACAGGGGAAUGAAGAGAUCAGCUCUUGUCGCAAGUGCAAAUGCAGUUGGUUAUUCUACUUUUGCUAGUGAAGUUUUGGGCCUUGUCGUAAUUGCUGUAAUUGCGACAUCGGUGGUUGACAUGGCUUUCCUUGUACAGGUAUGUAUGAUUGUUUUUUUUUUUUUUGCACUUCUAAAUGGACACUGUUGAAAAGCUUAAAAUUGAACUGAUAAUUUUGUUUGGAAGCUUAGAAAAUUCAUGAGAAAGUGAAAUAGAAUAUUCUGGAUUUCUUACAUAAAAAAAAACAGAAUUAAAGCAAGGUACACAACUAUAACAGAAUCAAAAGCGUGCUUUACUAAUUGGCUGAGCUGGCAUAUACUUCUUUAACUAACAAUGCUGCUGACUGGACUUUAGCUCACACAUGCUUAUUGUGGAGCUACUCUUACUUCACACGUGCUCAGUGUGCUUCCUUAACAGACACAAGGGAAAAGACAUGAUUUUGAGAUUAAUUUAUACCAUAAUAAUAAUAAAGCUAGAGUAAUGAUAUGAAUCAUUAAUUGCUACAAAAUAAUUUGCUAGAUAGCGCCAACACUUAAUUGAUACUCACCAUUUCAUUGAACAAUUGUUUUAUGGUGUCAUUGAGGUUGCCUUCCCAACAUCCUUCAUCAUCAUCAUCUUCUUCAUCCUCAUCAUCUUUUUCUUCGGUGAGUUUCACUUUGUUUAGCUUUGGUGUGUCUACGACUCCUUGUGAGAAAAUCUUCAUCUUUGGGCACUGUCUCGCAAUUACUUGUUCCAAAGGAUGGGAAUUGAAGAGUGUAAUUACCCCGAACAAAGCUUGUUAAGCCUGUCAACCAAUGAAGUGUCAAGUAGUUUCAUUUUCUCGGAAGAACAAUGCAAGCCCUUUCACUUCUCUCAACCUGCAAUUGUUAUGAUCUUCCUUCUAUCAUUUUGCAAUCAGCNNNNNNNNNNNNNNNNNNNNNNNNNNNNNNNNNNNNNNNNNNNNNNNNNNNNNNNNNNNNNNNNNNNNNNNNNNNNNNNNNNNNNNNNNNNNNNNNNNNNUGAGAGUGUCACACAUUUAUCAACCUGUGACACUUCGAUACUUCUAGUCCCCACAGAUUUUCCAAAUGCCACGAAGGUGGUACUAAUUUUUGCAACUUACUACGUUCCGAUAUUUCUAGACUUCCCAUGUUUGCAAACGCUUUGUUGGAUUCGUCAUUUUCCUUCCAGAGAUGCUGCACUUUGUGUAAUCUAGAUAGCUUUAACUCCAUCAAUUGAGGGAAUGCAACCUGAAAAUCAACAAAAUUAAGUUGUAAAUGAAAAUAUGUAUCCAAUCUCUGGAGUCUUCCCCUGCAUAUUUUAUGGACAAGAUUAAUCACGACAUUUUAUAUUUUUUUUCCAAAUUAGUAUGCUUUGCAGUAGGUUCCUAAAUAUAAAUAUCAAAUCGAUUACCCUUUGAAACACAUAAAUGAAAUCUGAGGCUAAAUCCAAUAUGAAUUAGCUAGGAAAACAGAGAUGUAACACACAUAAUUAAUAUAGUUCAUCACCUCGUGUUACCAGGCAUCCAAUUAAUUUCAGACAUUUUUAUAAUUCAUACUAUAAAGUUAGUUAAUAACGGAGGUUAUAUUGUUAAAUCAGAUAUAAAUUAAGACGACGUGCAAAAAGAUGAGUCAUUAAAUUUGAUUUAAUUCUAAUGAAAUUACAUCUAUGCGAACGAAAGUGAAGGGAAAAAUAAUAAUAAUAAUAAUCACAUUUUCAUCGAAGAGGGGUUGUACUUGAUGAGCCAGCAAGAAGUUCUCUUCUGAUGUUAAUUUUUGAGGUUCCUUGUUAUCUGUUGUCACGUGCACUACAGAGUUGGAUAUGAAUGUUUCCAUAUCAGGGCAAUUCUCAAUAGUCAGACGUUUCAACUCAGGCAUUUCAAUUAUAUUCUCAGUGAAGUUGGGAAUCUUUUGAGUUUUGGAAGAUCAAUGAGCCUUAGCUCGAAAAAGCUUAGGAAACAGGGGGCCUAUAUGUUCUUUGUCAACACUUAGCUCUUCCAAAUGAAGCACCUCUGCUAGCGAAUCACAAUUCCUCACUUCCAGGUCCAUCAAAUUGUUCAAGCACCGUAGCAGAUUGGCAGGAAUAGCACUCGACAUAUUCGUGCAGUCAUCCACCACCAGGUGUCCUAAAUUGUUGAAGAAGCUGACAGGCAGUGCUUGGCCAUGCCAUAUUUCUUGCAAACGUGGAAAAUGCGAGAGUUGCAAAUACUUUAUGUCACGAAAUCCAAUCUGCACAAACCAAAACAAUUGCACUGGAUAUAUACAAUUUUUUACUUUUUGAAAGGCACAGACAUAUAUACAUUAAACUUACAUGUUUUGUGCUUAAAUGUGCAAGUGCAAGGGAGAUGCAUGAGCAAUUUUGAUGAAUCGAUUCACACAAAUCAUUUCUUUGUAACACUUUUGUAUAGUGGAAUUAAGAUUGCCUUCACGAUCGUGCAAUUCACCCUCUUCCUUUUUAGUCACUUGCACUUUGUGCAGCUUUGGUGUGGAUAAGAUUCCCAGGGAAAAAGUCUUCAUGUUCGGACAAUGUGUCACAGAUACUUGUUCCAAUGAUGGGAAUUCAAGAGUGUAAUUCUCCAAGCAAAAGCUGGCAAGCCUUGGUAAAUCAUCAAGUAUCAAAAGUUUUAAUUUGCUGAAAGCAAUACGAUUCUCCUUCGCUUCUUCUCCAACAUGUCCUAUGAUUUCUUCUAUUUUUUUGCAGAUUGAUACAUUAAGAUUCACUAAAAUACCCGGAAUUCCAACCUGAAAAUAAGCAAAAGAGUGUGUGUGUAUUAAAAAAGUAAAAAUUAAGAGUAUCAUUCAACUAGGUUCAAAGUAUGUUUAAAUCAUACAAUUAUACGUUUUAUAAACAUAACAAACCAUGAAAUGGCUACUAGAUAAUUUUUGUUAAACAAAAAAGGCAACAAGAUAAGUAAAUAAAUAAAAGCCAGAUAAACAAAGAUAAUAAAAACGCAUUUACACUAUUUAGUAUUAGGAGCGUAGAAAGAAUUUAAGGCAAUUUCUAAAUAUUUUAGACUUAUUUUGCAUUUCGAUGCAAAUUUUUAAAUAAAUUUGAAAUUGCAACUAUUCCUUUAAAAAAAAACUCAACCAAAAUGCUGCUUUUUCCAUUUUCCUUGGUCCCUUUUUUUUAUGUAUAUUAAAAAAUGCAAAAAAAAAAUGGAAAAGACUUCCCAAUACUGUCAACGUAGGACUGUUGUAAAGCGGGUCUUUAUUAAGUACUUCCAUGAAUUUAUGAUUAAUUAAUGUCAUAAUCAAUUCAUAACUAAACUAGAGAUAUUAAUUAAAUUUGAAGACUUUUCUUUUUCUUUUUUUCCAAACGAAAUGUCAAGAAUUAAGGAAAAGAGAAAUAUAUAGAUGAAUUUGUGAACCUAUAAGAUGAGUGACUAUCCUUUAAUUUUUGAAAAUCGUACUUAUUAAGAUAUGAGAAAAACAAUUAAAUUGAAUUAUAUUAUGCUGUUGAAUCGUGUUUAAAAAAAUUAUAUUGUUGAUUCUAAUAAUGGCGAACCUAAAAACUGGACUUAAAACGUAGAUUUCAGAGUGGUGGUUCGAAGUACAAUACUUGAAAUAAAUAAUUAGUGCCUGAAUAUCAUUCGUAAACACAAAAAUGGUUAAAAAAUUGUUGGAUGUAAUUUGAAAAAAAAGAUUCGAAAUGAAUACAGCAACCUUACCAAUGGAGGAAAAAUAUUCAUUAGGUUAUCACACCAAGAUAUCUUCAAAUUCUUCAAUUUGCUGAAAGACUCUGAAGCAAGCUGGUGGUGCCAUAUUCUUCUCAAAUUAUCCAUCCACCAAAUAUGUAAUUCCUCCAACUUCGGAAGUCGUACCUGGCAGUUAAAGGUUAAAUAACUAAUUAAUCGGCAUAAUCUAUUGAUAACCAAAUUAGAGGCUGAUACUAACUAAAUUUGAAGACUCAAGGAAAAGACAAAUUAAAUAUUGUGGCUAAAAUUAAUUUAAAAAAAAAAAAAACCUUUUCGUCAAAGAGAGGUGGAGAUUGCAUUUCAGAAUGAAGGGUGUCUGCUGGUGAGCUCGUAGAGAUGAAUCUUAACAUAUUAUUGCAACCACCAAUCUCGAGGUUUAGUAAAGAAGGGAAUUCAACAACUAAAUCUGAAUGAAUAUGUCCCGUAUUGGCAAAGCUCGUUAGUUUUGGAAGCACACAAAGCCGUAAGGAGUGUAGUUUAGGAAAAACCUCUAACUCAAUCAACUUUCCUUCAUCUCUUCCUCCUAACCACCCUGUGGUGUCGACUACCCCUUCCAUCGACUUACAAGAUCUUAUCACAAGAUGUUGGAGUUGCAAAAGACUAUUAACCAUAGAAUAUGAAAACAGAUACUUCAGACGAUCACAACUUUCCACGGUCAUUUUUGUUAAAUUUCCACAAUAAGACACUCCCUGAAACUGUUCGGGCCAUAAUUUUUCAAUGGUUGUUAACCAUAUAAGUUUCAACUCCUCCAAGCGUGGAAAAAUAACCUGAAGCAAAACGGUACGCUUUUGUUCCGUCAAUUACAACUGUCUAAUAUAAUAAUCUUUUGAUGAUUGAAGAUCAAUCGUGAUAAUAUAUUAAUUUAUUAAUUAUAAAACAGAAAAUUAUCACCUUGUGAACAGAAUCAUCCUCUGCAAUGAUUUCUGUCAAUCCCUGAGUAGCUGUUGGCUUCUCCAUGUCGGGCCCUAUAAAUGAACAAAAACAAUCUAUAAUUAACCUCUGUCCUUUUUUUUUUAAAAAAAAGAGAAAAAAGAAUGAGCCAAUGUCAAUAAUCCUACCAAUAAUUAAUUUCAACACUUACCAAUAAUCAUUUUCAAAUCAUCGCAGUUUUCCACUUCUACUUUUUGAAGCCGCAAUAGGUUUUUGGCCAUGAAGAAUGAGAAGAGAUGCUUCAAUUUGUCACAAAAAAAUACUUUUAUAAUCCUUAAGUUGCUGAAAGAUUGAUCUUCUCUGAGUUGGCUGUAGCAUAUCGUUUCCAAAUUAGUUAAACCAAUAAGAUACAAUGUCUCCAGCAAGGGAAAGACUUUGCAACGAGCUCGUCCAAUUGAACCGACAAUAUGUAAAAUCUCAGGACAGCCUGCUACUAGAAGAUGCUCCAAUUGUGGAAAACCUUCCCCAUCGUCUAAUUCAUGAACAACACUCGGAACACCAUUCAAUGUUACUAGACGGAGAUCUUCAGUUCUUUUUAGCAACAUUUUCAUCCCAUAAUUCUCCAAAAGAAUGCUAACGUUUUCUAGCUCCUGGAGUUUCAUUGAUCUUGAUGUUUCAGAUGUCAAUUUUUCUAGCUCCGUGAUAACUAUGGAUGCUGAUGCUCUAGAUGUGGCGAAGGACACAAGUCCAUUUCGUUGCACUUUUCCUAUACAUAUCUGAUACCUUUGCAAUUCCACAGAGACCAAAUCCUGCGGCAGAAUUUCGGGAUCCGGAACAUCUAUCUCCAAAGUAGUUAGCUUUGACAACCCCUUCAACUCGACAAGACUGGCAUUACUUCCUCCUUCAACCUUAUCCCACUGUGAAAAGCUGCAACCCAUGUACAGUUCUUCUAGUCGAGAUAAUUUGGAUAUGAUGUUAGGAAAUUGGUGGGUGCAGCAGGACCGCAGCUAAAAUAAAAUUGGAAAUAAAAUAAAGAACAAGCACACUAGAGGACACAAGAAAAUUACGUGGUUCGGCUUUUAGCCUACGUCCACGGGCGAAGACAGAAGGAAAUAUUUUACUAGUGAAAAGGAGUUACAAGUAUUGUAGUAUUUUAGCUCACUUCCCAAAAUCCCAAUACACCCAAACUCUCAAAACACUAAACACUCAAGAGUUUAUUAAACUCUUAAAACUCUCAACACUCAAAGAAAGCAAUGCUUCUCUCUCGAUGGAAUUGGAUGAAAAUGAAUGAGGAAGCUCUUCCUUUUAUAGCCAAAAAAUGGCUAUUAAAUUAAUAUAUAUAUGUAUAUAUUUCAAAUGUAGUUACCAACUUCUUCUUUUUCUCCAUUUGGAUGGCACCAUUUUCUUUGGCCGGCUGCACCAUUUUCUUCUUUCAAAUGUCAAACCCUUCUAGAUGCAGCCAUGCCAAACACUUCUAGAUGCAGCCAACUUUGACAUAUGACAUUCGGUGUUAUCACCUCAAGCCUCCUACAAUUGCUCAAAUCCAGCAACUGUAACCGCGUCAAUUGUCCAAAUUCAAGUGGCAACCGCUCAAUAUCGGAACCUCGAAAGCUAAGAAUCUCUAAUUUCUUUAGCUGUCCAACUAUUACUAUAUCUUUUAGUCGGCAAUAUUCUAAACACAAUGUUUGAAGGUUAAUGAGGCGACCAAGUGAUGAAGGUAAUGAAGAGAAGUGAAUUCCAGUAAAAUUCAAAACUCUGAGUCCUUCCGUCCCAUCAAAAAAGUGGUCUGAAAUUGGCAUAGAGCCACCACCCUUUUCAAGCAACAAAAGUAACUCGAGACGGGGACAUUGCAACCUUUCAGGAAGCACUUGAAUACCUCUAUAAGGUAAAGAAAUAGCAAUUGGACCUUCCUGUACUGUCUCUUCCAUCUUUUUGUCCAAGUCGGCAACAUUUGGAAUAUUAAACAUGAGCUCCUCUUUUGCAAUUGAUACGGCAACUACACGAAUGACGUCAUGCAUUUUGACUUCAUCUUCAGCAUCACCGUCCAACAAUAAGCAUGAAGAUUUGAGUUUGCUGAUCAACGUAUGCACUGUACUCCUUGCUUCUUCCGGUGUGUAAACGUUUCUAAAAUAGCCCAUACCCAUACCAUAUCUCAAUAAAGAAGAAACUGGUAUAGCAUGACCUUCACUAAAUAGACCACAAAGAAGGAACAGAGAUUUUGCUUCCUUAUUUCCCAGUAAGUCGUAACUCAAUUUCAAGGAGAGGUACACAUUUUUUUCCAUUCCAUCAAUUUCUUUUGCAUAGGAACUUCUUAGCUGACGCAGCACAUAUUUCCAAGUCUCAAGGCUCAUAUUUUUCAAAGCUUUUGCAAGUGUAAUCAGUGCAACCGGCAGUUCUCCGCAUCUUCCGACGAUCUCAUGUGCUAUAGGUUGAAAAGCAGAUGUUUUCAUUGAAUCACCCACUAUCUUCUGAAAUAAAUACAAUGCUUCUUCUUUUGAUAAAGCAUCGAUCUGGAUCUCUUUCUGAGAAUUCAUAACAUUGUGCAAUAAAUCUUGACGUCUAGACGUCAGUAUUAUUGUGCAUCGUCGCUGAUCAUCCAUUCUUUCUUUCUUAACAUCCCCGGAAGGAAUUCCAACUUCAUCGAACUUCAGUUCUCCCCAAAUAUUAUCCAAUAUAAUGAGAUGCCGCUCCUCGUUCUUCAAAACUCGACAUAGUCGAUUUGCUCUGUCGAAUAUACUCUCAUUCAACUCAAACUUUAUGCCUAAAUCAGAAGCAAGUUUGUCUUGAAUUUUCUGAUGAUCUGGGUUCUCUGUUACCUCAGCCAUAGCGACCUUAUCGAACAACUUAUCUUCCGUCACUUGCUUUGCAACUUGCUUGACGAGCGUGGUUUUACCCACUCCGCCCAUCCCGUAGACCCCAAUUAUGUUGAGCUUAUCAUCCUUCAACGCCUCCAAAACAUCUUGAAAUACUUUCUUUCUUGAGUCAAAGGCCUCGUAAUCUUUCACUUGCAUAUAUUCUGUACUCUUUGGAGCAGGACGAUAGGAAACACUAGAGAAGUUGCCUUUUCCCACGAGAUCAGCAGCAUCUUUUGCGGCCUUUGCUGCUUUUUUACUGAGUUUGUAACGAGACAACAAAUUUGGGCACAAUCCUUUGAAGCAAUACUUCUUGGCUCCAUUUUCAUCAUCAAUAAUGGAGUUUGCAACCCCUUCACUGAUGAAUUCAUCAACGCUAUGUAGCCAAUCUGCGACACCCUCAUAAAGCUCAUCCCCUUGUAGCCUAGCAUGAUUAACUGGUUGCUGCACCAUUUCUCUUUUACAUCCCAGCUGCAUUACUUGAUCUUUUAGCUCAUCUACGUAGCUCUGGUACUUGAACACAUAAGAUAUCUGCCGUAUAAUCGGUUUGAACAGUGACUUUGCACCUUCUGAUACGAUGCUUGAAAAACCACCGAGACAGAAUUCUACAGCCAUUGCCUGUUGCUUAACGAUGUAUGUGUAGUUUUUGGCUGUUAAAAAAAACAAAAAUUGGAUUCAAAUAAAUUAAAUGAACUAGAGGGGAAGAAAAAGAAAGAAACGACAACAAACAACUUUUUAGAGAAAGGUUGAUAUUGUUACAGAACACAUGUUCAUUUUUAACAAAUUGAUCAAUAACUCUAUUCGCUAUUUAAUUGAUAUUGUAACCAAUUUUAAGAGAAUAUAAUAAUAAUCCUUCGAUGCAUAAAUUUAGAAUUAGAUUUUUUAACUUUUUAUUUAAAUAUAAAUCUCAAUGGAAAAUUAUAAAAAUUUAGAGAUAAAAUUUUUCAAUCACCAAACGGAAAAACAGGGGAAUGAAAACAGAGGAAUCUUGUUUUACCUUUUUUUUUUUUUAACCUUCACUCUUGUUCUUAUAUAAAUAAUCUUGUUCUGAUGAUAGUGCUCGUGACUGCAGGAAAAUUUCUAGUGGAAACAACUCAAUUUCAGAAGAAUUUAUUCAAUUGACUCUGUACUUGAACUCGUUGGAUUGGUUGAUUUAUGAUUGACUGAAUUUAUUCAAUUCGGCCUAAAAGAUCUUUAACCAAAGUUUAAUAGCUAUCAUCUACUCCUUAAAAAAAAAUAUGUAUCUUUUUUAGAUUUGACUGAAUUUGAACUUGCUGGAUUGGUUUUUUUUAGAUUAUUAAAAUGGGGCACUGCAAAGUAAGUAUUCUAAAAUCUGUAUGUUGCUUUAGAAAAAGGGCUUUUCCCACUGAUCUUUAUUCUUCAAGUAAACUUAGAUACAAAGUAAAUCUAAAAAAAUGACAAACAAACAAUGAAAUAAACGACAACAAACUGGCAAUUUUGACACAAAGCCAACAAUUAAAAUUUAGGACAUUUUUUUUUCUUGCUUUCUUUUUUUGGAGGAUUAGAGAUUUUGGUAUUACCAGAAAGGUUUCAAGGGUCUGAGUUUCAAGGGUCUGAGUAGAAACCUAUAAUCUUUUGAAAAACUUUGUUUUUUUUUAAAAAAAAAUUUGGGGAAAGGAUGCAAAUUAACCAAAGGAAAUAAUAAGAGCACAGGCUUUAACAAUGAACAAUAACUUAAAACUCAUGCAAAAUAAAUUCAAUAUUAAAGCAAACCAGAGAAAUUUUUUUCUUGAAAAGUAGAUGGAAAUUAUGAAAGAACAGAUGUCAAGAUCAAGGAUCAGGGAUUCUACUACCCAAAAAAAAAAAAAAAAAAUUAAAGGAUUUGGAAAAUGUGCACCUAGAGUUGGUGAGCUUCUCUCUAUUCACUUGAAUAUUUAAGAACAGCUGGGGAAUGUGUGAGAAAAGAGUUGACGAGAGAAAUAACAAUGACUUGCAGAAGAAAAACCAUUAAUCAAGCACACCUUUUUAUAUCCUGUAUUUGGUUAUUGUUGCCCUCUUGACGCAUGUAGAGAAUAAUUAUGUGCAUUUUUGUUUUUAAUCCGCAUGCACUUUAAUGAUUAGUGCUCCUUUCAUAAAGCAGAUACCGGAAACACACAAAUAUCAUUUGAGAGAGAAACUAAACAGCAAAUCAUCAAAGUAAGAUCAAUAAUAUAUGAUUUGGUUAAUGCAUAUUCAAGAACAAAAACAAAAAUAAAUAAAUAAAGAAGGUUUGAUUUUGUUUUGCCAACGCUGCUUUUUUGUUAUUUCUCACUCAUCUUCAAUCCUCAAGUAAAAUUAGGUAAAAAGCAAAUAUAAUAAAAAAACAAACAAAUUAACAAAAAAAGAAAAAAAAACAUUGAUCUUGAGACAACUGAUACUUAAACAGAGAAUUCUUUAUUCUUUUUUACUUCCCCUCCCCCCCCCCCCCCCCCGGGCUCGAGGAUUAGUUUUUGCUAUUAACAGAGAGGUUUUAAGAGUCUGAAUAAAACCAGCGCUUUUUUUAAAAACCUCUUUUUUUUCUUUUUUCUUUUUUGGGAAGAUAGAUUCAAAUUAACCAAAGCUAGUAAUAAGAACACAGACCUUACAAAUGAACAAUAACUUACAACUCAAGCAACAUAAAUGAUAAGAUUAAAACAAACCGGAGAAAUUUUUCUUGGAAAAUAGACGGAAAUUAAGUAAGAACUGCUGUUAAAAGAAAUUAUUAGAGGAUUUAGGAGAAUGUGUACCUCUUUAAUUAUUUGGGAUCAGAGAGUUGAUGAGCUCUCUAUUCGCCUUGAAUAUUGAGUAAGAACUGGUAUUAAAAGAAAUUAUUAAGAACAAUAUUUUAGUGAGCAAAAUAUCACUGUUAACUGCAGAGGAAUUUUGUGAGUAAAAUGCUGAAAGAGCAGUAACAAUGAAUUGCAAAAGAAGAAGACUUAACCAAGCACCCCUUCUAUACCCGAUUUUUAAGAUUUAAUUUUGAAGUUCAGAAUCAAGAACAAAGACGAAGCUUUAAUAAAGCAUGCAGUGAGAUACAAGAAAUGGAUCGGGCAAAAUACCUUACGAAGCGUUUCAUAUUUUCUAAUGAAAUAAUUUAGUUGAAGUUUUCGACGAAUAAAUACCUGUUGUGCUUGAAUAAUUUUGGCAUAUACAUUACUUGUAUCCGGCGAAAUUGAAAAGCACACUCAUUUACAGAGCUUGUUAGUGGGGAAAAGCUUCGUAAGAUGCCUGAUAAAAGAUAAAGCAAAAGCUUGAAUGAAGAAUGACAUUUUAGAAAGAAACUAAAGUGCAAUCAUCAAAGUAGGAUCAAUAGUGAGUUGAUCAGUUAUGCUUUUUGUUAUUUCAAUUGUCCUGUCCACAAAUGAUGCUUCGUUAUUACUAAUUCCACAUGGACAUUAUUUAGAAACUGUUCUUAUGUUUAACAGAAAAAUGAAAACUCGUCAUCAUACAAAACUGCGUGAACAAAUCUUCAAUUUGAUUAUUAUAAAAUAAAGAAGUUUCAUUACUAGAUUAUGCGGACGUUAAUGUUAGAGAUUUCAUCAGAUUAUCAUAUAAUUUACCAAACGCUUUGAGAAGAACAUGAAUUAAUUAGUUAAAAAUUUAAAAAUAAAAUAAAUAAAGAGUACAUGCAAAUAUUGUUGCUUCCAAUCACCAAAGUGAAAAACAGGGGAAUGAUAACAGACGAGUCCCUGAUUAUCCUCUCUCUCUCUUUUUUCAAUCUCUCUUUAUGUUAUGAUUGAAUAAUUGUAUAGAAAGUGUGACGGUUGCUGCAGCAUUAUGAAGUCAAAAUUGAGAACGACAUUAAAUAAUCAAUCUCUUUAUGUAUAUACUCGAAUGUCUGAUAGUGUUCAGACUUGGAUUUUCUAUAAACACAGAUUCGAAAUCCAAAUAAUUGAAUAAUUGUGUGCGUUCAAAUUCAGCAUUUAAUUUCUAUAUAAUUGGACAUAAAUGCGUAUUUUUUAUUUAGCCCAUUUCGGUCCAUGUUCAAAUAAACAUAUUUCUGUGGAUGAUAAUAUCAGGACCUCUGAUGCUUUUUUUUUUAUCAGAAAUUUUAUUUUUAACUCUUCGUUAUUUAGAUAUAAAUUUUUGCAGUCACCAAAUAGAAAAACAGGGGAAUGAAAACAGAAGAGCCGUGUCCUAAAUCAGGAGUAGGUGUUUUGCCUAAAAGUACCACUUUCCUAGCAAAUCUAGUGGGUUUACUGAAUAAAAUUUUUAAUUAUUCUGUUUGAUCUUUCUCUCUUUAUCCUAAGCAUUCUUGGUUGGGAUCGCUGCAUUGUCCUGUAAUCCGUGUGCCUUAGUGAAAAGAGUAAUGGGUAACUGUAGUUAUGGGUACUUGAGAGCUCACGAUGAGGGUAGCUUGGUAAUGGGACUAUCCAUAUCUGAGCAUCAGAGCUUGACAUCUUUGAUAAAUACAUAUGCUUACUGGUACUGUUUUUGCAUAUGUCUUUCACAAAAUCUUUGUAUAGGCUUACAUAGAGAAGAAGAUUCACCAAUAAAGUGUUGGCUCCACUGGCAAUGAAGUCCCUUAAGUGGCUUGACUGGGUUUGCUCCUCAGUUCUAGUCUGGGUUGUGGUACGGGCUUAAAGGUGCCUCCCACAGUUGGGGCCUUCCCCAGGAUACCUCGUGGUCAAAACAAAAAAAAAAUAGAGAAGAAGAUUCGGAUAACUUUCAAAAUCUGAAUCCGCCUGAUGGACGGACUUGACCACACAGCCCCGUGACAAGGAAGUCCAAGCAACUAACCUAAACCGUUCUCCUUUAGUCCUUUAUUAGGUUGUUCAAAAUGAAAUUAUACUGAGGAGCACCCCCCCCCCCCCCCAAAAAAAAGUUCUUUUAUAUAUUUUUCUUGGAAUUUUAGGCAAAAGAAAAAAAAACUGAGAACGAUUUCAAGCGAACAAGUGGAUAAUAACUAAAAUACUUAUUUUUAUAUAUUUGAUAUAUGCGCUCACUAUUAAUAGAACUUAUUAGAUACUACAACUUAAAUAACUUCCAGUGGUUGAUUGAGGGUAUGUUUGGGAUUUCCUUUACUUUCCAAGAAUUAAUUUCUACCUUGAUUCUGAACAAAAAAAUAAUUUUACAAAUAAUUUAUUAGGGUGUUUGGUAAAUGAUGAUUAUUUGACAAUCAAUUUUUAAAUGGUUUACUAUACAAAUCUGGUAAAUGAAAAUUAAAAGUGUAAAAUGUUCAUGUACAAUGACAAAAAUGUACUUGUUUACUUUUUUGUAAUUUAUUUAGAAUAUUAUUAUUUAAAUCUUUUUUAUUUACAACAUUUUUAAGAGCAUAUUCUAUUUUCUUUAUUACAUAUUUAAAUAAUUUUUUAUUAACUAUUUUAAUUUGCAAUAAAAUUAACUUGAAUAUUUUUUUAACUAAAAAAAUUGUUAUCUAGUUCGUGAUAUAACAAAUACUAACAUAUCAUCAAAUUGAUUAAUAAAUUAAGUGCAAAAAAGAAAAUGCAAAAAUUUAAUCUUUAUAGCUCAUAGAAAUAUAAUAUUAUAUACAUGUGUGUAAAAAACAACAUAUGACCAUAAUAUUAUCCACUCAUUAAACUUGCUGCACUAUUAUUUCUCAAUCUCUCCAUCUCUCGACCUUCAAGAACAUUACUACCAUAAUCUUCUUCUUGAAUUCAACCUCCAUUUCCUCAUCAUCAACAAUGCGACCAAUUUGCCUUGAUAGCCUUUCAACUCCUCCCACUUUCCUCCCUUUUGCAGACACUCUUUUUCUUUUUCUUUUUCUGUCUUUAAUAGCUUCAAUGGGAACAACCUCAUCUGACGACAAGUCCAUUCUUCAACUAGGACAGAGUUGGUAGUAGAUAUUCUAGUACUCUCAAACGAUGCCCAAACGGGGUCACCAGUGAUUGUUGUAUUAAAAGACAUUCUAUUUAAUUUUCCUCUGACUCUUGGUCGAUACCUUUUGUACAAAAUCUAUUUACUUCAGGAAUUUUAUACAUAUGUCGAUAUCAUAUUAAAGUGAAUUCAGAUCCUAUAUUAUUGACAUUAAAAUUUAGCCGAAUAGUAAAAAAUUUCCCUUUUUGUUUGUCACACAACUAUAUAGUCCCAUUUUUGGUUAUAAGCUCACGAUAUGCAAGGGAAAUGAAGAUCUAUUAAAAACUUCCCCAUAAUAUUAAACAUUAAACAAUAUCAACAUUUUGUGCAUAUGGUGCCUCGUCAACAAUUUGAUGUUCAUUUUGUUGCUCGGAGGAAUAUGACUACCUAUUAAUUAAUUAGCAAGAAUUGCGUUGCGAGUCCAUGUUUUUUGUCGUUUGGAUGGAGGAUGUGCUAUCUUUUUAUUGUAGAUGCUUUGUAAGGCUUUUGAUUUAAUGAUUGAAUGCAGUCAAUUAACAAAAGCUUACAUACAGUAUUAUGUAGUUGCUGAGAUGUCUAUUCUUGAUAAAGUCGAUUUAUUUACACCCAAGCCAACGGAAUCAAAGCCUUUUCGUUAAUAAUAUACACGGUAAUUGUUUUUGUUAAAUUGAUUUCUGGCUAACAAGAUCUUUGAAAGCAUUUAUUAAAGAAACCACUGACUCAUAAGAAAGCCAUGAUUAAAUACACAGCCAAGCAUGUGAGCUCGUUUUUCAAUCUCUUUGAUCACUCAUAAGCUUCUCUAUACCACUCACUGUAUCAUCCUUUUAAGUCAAUUUUGACUGAUCAUCAGAGAUCAUGCACCCCACCUUGAGAUGAUUGAUCACCAAUUUGGCAUUGUAACGUUGAUCACCUCUAAUUGGCCAUGCUAAAAUUGGGACCUCACAGCCAAUUGCUUCUACAGUUGAAUUUUAUCCACAGUGAGAUAAAAAUCCACCUAUUAAUUGAUAACUCAGUAUCAAUAAUUGUGGCACCAUUCCAUCUAUUAUCAAACCCUUUUUACCGACUCUACUAUCUAAACCACUACAAAAAUAAGCUGGUUAAAUGACGUGGAGGAUCCAAUCUAUUUACAUCAGUUUGAAUUACCUAAAUAAUCGGUGGAUUUGAUGCUUCUAAAUCAUUGGCUAAUGUUGAAUAAUCAUUUAAGGUGGGACCCAUUUCGGUACCAAAUGACAUGUAUAACACGGAUCCACAUGAUUUCAAAUCUAACCAUUGAAUGAUCUCAUCUUCGGUCAUGUUAGAACUUCGCCGGUUGGUUCUCAUCUCACAAUCACGAAGCACUGAACCAGCCGAUUUGUAAAAUUGUUCAGGUAACAAUUGGCCCACUCCCCACACUGGCAUCAACACCAUCGAUCCCUCCACUUGCUUCAUCCAGUGUGGUUGAUCACUCGGUUCUGAUGGGCCUAUUUAUUCUGAACCGGGUGCACCUCACAAAGGUUGUGGACCACCAGGAAGGGACCCGUGAGGCCUGCGUUUAAGAUCCGAUUCGAAUAAAGCAAUAUCCUUGGGUAACCCAAGAAGUAAACGGGCCUCUCCCGGUUUGACAUCCUGGAUGCGAGCCUGCCACAUGGCACACUCCACAGCUGCUGAGCAAGCAUCAGAAGUGAAGAACCCAACAAUGGGAACUUCAAAAUUCUUGAAAACAUCAGCCGUCCAGCCCAUCAUAACGCCGAUGACUACGCAAACAGGUCGGCUUUCGGGUUCCGGGUUGAAAGGAGGUUUCGAAGGCCUUGAAGCAUUUGGCUGUGCAUGACAACAUGGUGGUGAGAAGGAGGUGAUGGUAGUGGUUGAGAUGGGGAGGGUAUUUCGGUAAUUUCAAAUAGAGCGUAUUGGUGAAGAGAGGAAGGGGUGAUGCUGGUGGUAGAAACGUGAGAGGGAAUAAUGAGGGUAGAUUUGUAACAACGAGAAGUGAUUUGCUUGCAUAAUUCAAUGCAUGGAAACAGAUGUCCCUGACCGAAGAAUGGGACAAUCCAAAUCUCAGCCUCAGCAGCAUUCGCAACAGAGCUUGACAUCUUUUAUGAAUUAUUUGAGACUUAAUUGUUAUUGACUGCUUUUGCCAUCUUUCAUAAAACAUUCUUUGUUAUAUAUAAAGAGAUGACUUGAUGGAGAAGCAAGUGUUUUACUUUUAUAGUUUUACUAGUAGUUGAGCUCUGAUUUUGAUAAUUUGAUUGUUAGUUUUAGUUGGUUAGUUAUGAGAAAGCAUCUUUCACAAAAUUCAUUCCAGUUUCAACUAAAAUUAACAAUACUGUUCAAAUUAAUUACUGGAUCAACAAAUAGUCAUAGGCAAAUCUAUCCCUAGCGCUAGAUCUUGAACAUAAUUAUUAUCAUAAUCUCCCCUUCCCCCACCCCCCACCCCCAAAAAAAAAUUUACUAAAUAUCUUUUGUUAUAUAAUGAACAAGAUAAGUUGACGGAGAAGGGUUCUACUUUUACUAGUAAAUGAGCUUUGAGUAGUUAAGAAGGUUAGUUUUAGUUAGUUAAAUAUCUACCAUCCGAAUCAAAGUUCCUUAGACUAUUAUUCAAGUGAGAUGCUUGAGUAACAUAUACUUGUGUUAGUUGGUGCCUAACAAUUCGUGUGAUACAUGAAACCAACCACUAUGAAAUCCAAAUGAAGCUGGUAGGAUUAGAUUAAUUUAAAUGAAAAUAAAAAUUUGUUUAUGCUAUUUAUUAAUCUUAUAAUGUUGAAACUUGAAAGUUAAUUCUUCAACCUGUCAAUUGGUUCAUGACAUGGUUUAAUAUUCAAGUAAAUAAAUUUAUCGUUUAAAAUUAAUUUUUCAUGUGGUAAAAGCAAUACAAAAUAUGGGGUGGAGAGAAUAAUUUGUAGGGUAUACCCCCACCAUUUAUUUAAUUUCAUUAAAAAAAAAGAAAAGAAAUAAAGGCUUGUUCAACAUUCAAUUAAAAUUAACAAUUCCAUGAUAAAAUUACUUGAGAAUAAAAAUUAAAAAAAAAAAAGUAACACAAAAACGAGGAAUUUUUGAGUAACUGAAGAACCAUAGAUGUUUUUUGGUCAUGAGCAAUUUUUGAGUUGAGACAGAACUUGUAUAAAAAAAUAGUUUUGAAUAACUUCUUUUCUUUUUUCAUAAAUAUAGAUAUAAAAUUUUAAAGUCACCAAACACAAAACCAGGAAAAUGGAAAGGAAGCCCCUGUUUCUCCUCUGUUGCAAGAACAAAUUCGGUUUCUACAGGAGUACCUUCUAAAUGCACCAUUUGUAUUGCUUUGUUUCCACGUAAGCUAACGGAAUUUUUAAUGAAAUUAAAUAAAUACAAUCUCACUGACCGAAAAGUUCUGUAGCUGUUUCAAUUCAAUUGCAUACAUUGACGAAACAUUAAAUACGGAAAAAACAAAAAAGAAGUAAUAGGACAUGGGGAUUUCGAGAACUUCUAAAGAGAGAAAUCUAUUUAUAAGCAUUGAAAAUUAGCUCAUUAAAUUUGACAGAAUAAUAUACAAUCUCACUGUUGGCCAGAAAAUAAUAGUAAGAACUUGUGAACAUAUAUAAUCAAUUGUUUAUUACUUAAGCUCUUUUUCUUCGUUAUUUUGAAUGGGUGCAAAGAAGAGAAGUUUUGUACCCAAAUUCCAACUCGAAUUGUGUAGGCUGCUUGCAAGAGCUUCAUUAGAUUUUUAUUUGUCUUUUAAUAGUGCUACUCGAUAAAUACAGCUAGCUACCUGUCUUUUUUGUUACUGGACUAUAGAUCAAUUGACAGUUGAAGUUAUAUUAAUUUGUUGUACUGGAAUUGAAGCUUGUAUCUUAGCCAUUUCGUGAAGUGUCAAAUAUAUUUUUAAUUUCCUUAAAAUUGUUCAAAAUAUGUUUACACUUUUAAAGUCACUAUUAUACAUGAGUGCCCUAAAAUAGGAGAAGGCGAUUUGCCUGACAUUACCUGUUUCCUGUCAAAUCUAGCAGGUUUACUGAUUAGAUUUUAACAAGUCUCUUGGCAAAGUUUGCUAGAAAUGGAAUCAAAUUAUUCUAUUUAAUCUUACUGUCCAUACCCUAAUAGUUCUUGAUUUGCAUCACUGCAUCGUUCUAUAAUCUGUGUGCGUUGGCUUAUAAAGGCUAGCAAGGCUGACCAUUCGUAGCAUAGUUUUUUUUUUUUUUUUUUUCCACAAUGAAACUCCUAUUGAUUUGACUCAGUAUUUAGAGGCGUUAACGAGGGCACUAUACUAGACAUGGAUUUCUACCGCUUUUGGUUGUACAAUUGUUGUAAUCCUUGGCCAUCAAAUCAUUUUUACGUAGCUUUCUCAGAGUUCAUGCCAAGUGUACAUUAAUGUUUUUAUGUUUUGGAUGCAAGUGGGAUUCUAGUUCUCUAUGGCAGUUGAAGAGGUAAAUGGGCAUGGAGCUAUGCUCUAUCAUAGGCUUCGGCCGCUACAAGAAAUUUGAUUUCUUAAGACGAUAUUUUUUACAACUUUAAAUUUGGUCACAAAAUUGUAUUUAUUGUGACAAAUUUUUAAAAUCGUAGUUAAUAAUCUUGUCGUAACUUAUAUUGUUUUUUGUAACCAAUUGUUUUUAUUUUGAGACUUGUUCAUUGGUCAUUAAUUAAAUUUUUUUAUGACAAAAAUUAUUUUAGUCACCAAAAGAUAUAUUUUUUUGGCGCAAAAUCUUCCCUCCAAAAGUGAUUAUUUUGAGACAAUAUUUCACUAUUUAUGACAAAAUAAAUAGUCACGAAAUAUAAUGAUAGGCGACCAAAUUAUUUGGUAACUAAAAGAAGGGUGUAAAAUUGACUAAACAAUCUAUGACACAAAAUAUUAGUAGCCAAAAUUAUUGUUCUUUUGGCUAAUUUUAAGACCAUUUUUUUUUGUCAUAUAUAAUUACCUACCAUGACAAAAUUUAAAAAUAGUUGUUGAAUGUUUUGUCUUGAAUAAUUUUAUAUUUGAUAACCAAUUUUUUUUUUUCUUUUUGAGACAUAUUACUUGGUCCCUAUUUCAACUUCUUUUUGACGAACUUUAUAAUAGUCACAAAAGACUUUUUUUAUUUUUGGCAUAAAAAGUCUGUCCAAAGUUAGCUCUUUUGGGACAAUAUAUAAUCUUUUAUGACAAAAUAUAUAGUGGCGAAAUAUAAUUAUUUUUUACAAAGUUAUUUCGUAACUGAAAAAGAGGUGUAAAUAUAGUUAACCUAUUUGUGACAUAAAAUAUUAGUCUCCAAAACUAUUAUGUUUUUAGCCAAUUUUAAGACCCUAUUUUGUUGUCAUGGAUAAUUACCUAUUUUCAAAAAACUAAGAGAUAGCAAUCAAAAGUUUGUCUUGAUUGACAUUGUAUUUUAUGAGCAAAAUAUUUUGUUUCAGUGACACUUUACUUGGUCUUUGAUUAGACUUGUUUGUGAUGAUCAAUAGAAUUAUAUAAUAACCACUAAAUUUUUUUGGGUUAAAUUUUUAUAGAUACUAUUAAUUAAGUUGUUGACGAAAAUGAUCGAACUAAUACUAAUAUGGGAUACCAUCAAUAGCCGUAAUACUUAUGAAGCGAGAAAUUAUAAUAUGUAGUGAUUUAUUUAGAAUUAUUUUGACUACUUUAUUGAUUUCCAAAACAUAAAAUUCUCAACCCAAAAUUCCCCGCAUUGUGUUUUAUUUUGUCUCCUCACUCAGUUACUCUUUUAGCUAAAGUUGCUUUGGAAAAGUUGGAAUCUUUUGUUUGGGUGGAAAAUUUCCCACCAGAGAUUAGACAUGUAUUCACCUAGUUGAAGUAAUGAAAGUUUUACUUUCCCAUAAAAAAAAAAACUCACGGCUUGACAAAAAAAAGGAAAAAAAUUCUCACAGCUUGAUGGUCUCCUCUCUUUAAAAAUAAAAAUCCCUAGUUACUCUGCUCAAACUCGUUAAUAUUUGUUUCCACCACCUAAGCAGCCACUAGUAUCUUUUUUUUUCGCAAUUCACUUUUGCUGUGUUUCGUGGUUUGGAUGGAGAUCAUGACAAUAAUUGAACGAUGGUGAUAAAUAUCAAAGAAGGAGCUUACAUGCCCUAUAUAUCUCUCUUUGGAUGAAUAACGAAGGUGAACUUUCAAAGUACAGAGAUUUACAUGUUUUAAUUGUCAUUUACAUUGCUGCAUGCCCAUUGCUUGAUAAAAUACCGCAACAAACACGCAUUCUCGAUUUUCUCAUAAAUUUAUUUUCUUAGUCUGAAAAAAAAAUUGAAUGUUCAGAGAAUUUUGAAGGUUUUGGUGUAUGCAUUAAUAUUUUGAUUCUAUUUAUGUUGUUUAACUAAUGAAGAUGAUACAUCUAGCCUCUUUUUGCCCCUUGUUGUUUUUAUUCUUGUGCUUUAUAUACGGUUCAAGUGUGAUACACUUUAGUUUUUCUCAAGUGUUUGUUAGUAUUUCCCCAAGCAAAAUUUGUCACAGACUUUGAGUUCAAAAGUUGAAAUCAUAACUAACAUACUUCGAUUUUUUAUUUUCCUUUUUUCUUCGGGGUCCCAUAUAUCUUUCUAUAUGGCAUUGCUUGAGAAAUUGGUGUACUUAGAUCGUAAUAUUCUGUAGAAAUAAGCUAAUAUUUCAUUAGGUACAUUGUUUAAUAUGAUAAGUACUGUAUGGAAGUUUUACAGAUAAGCUCCUUGUAUAUUAUGCAUUAUGUUUUUAUCAUAUUGUUGCUUGGAACUUUGAAGGAUUGGCCACAGGGCUUUAGUCCUACAAGGACAUUUUAUAUUGGGAAAUUAUCAUUCGUAUACCCUAUAGAUGCUCUGUUAUAAAAAAUACUACAACACUUUGAGGGUGUAUCAAUCGUCCACAUUAAGUUGACAAAAUGUAUCUGUUGUCCACCAAACCGUUACUUGCCGUUUAAAUAGGAUAACGACAGAGGGGUAAUUUGGUCUUUUCAUAUGAUACAAGUGAUAAUUUAAGGGUAUACAAGUGAUACUUUUCAAGGGUAAAAUUGUCAAUUCGCUAUAAUUCCGUUAACUUUCAAACGGUAGCUAACGGUUUGAUGGUUGGUAGAUAGCUUUUGUCAAUUUGGGGUGGACGAUUGAUACACCCUCAAAGUGUUGAAGAACUUUUUAUAACAGAGCUUCCUACANNNNNNNNNNNNNNNNNNNNNNNNNNNNNNNNNNNNNNNNNNNNNNNNNNNNNNNNNNNNNNNNNNNNNNNNNNNNNNNNNNNNNNNNNNNNNNNNNNNNNNNNNNNNNNNNNNNNNNNNNNNNNNNNNNNNNNNNNNNNNNNNNNNNNNNNNNNNNNNNNNNNNNNNNNNNNNNNNNNNNNNNNNNNNNNNNNNNNNNNNNNNNNNNNNNNNNNNNNNNNNNNNNNNNNNNNNNNNNNNNNNNNNNNNNNNNNNNNNNNNNNNNNNNNNNNNNNNNNNNNNNNNNNNNNNNNNNNNNNNNNNNNNNNNNNNNNNNNNNNNNNNNNNNNNNNNNNNNNNNNNNNNNNNNNNNNNNNNNNNNNNNNNNNNNNNNNNNNNNNNNNNNNNNNNNNNNNNNNNNNNNNNNNNNNNNNNNNNNNNNNNNNNNNNNNNNNNNNNNNNNNNNNNNNNNNNNNNNNNNNNNNNNNNNNNNNNNNNNNNNNNNNNNNNNNNNNNNNNNNNNNNNNNNNNNNNNNNNNNNNNNNNNNNNNNNNNNNNNNNNNNNNNNNNNNNNNNNNNNNNNNNNNNNNNNNNNNNNNNNNNNNNNNNNNNNNNNNNNNNNNNNNNNNNNNNNNNNNNNNNNNNNNNNNNNNNNNNNNNNNNNNNNNNNNNNNNNNNNNNNNNNNNNNNNNNNNNNNNNNNNNNNNNNNNNNNNNNNNNNNNNNNNNNNNNNNNNNNNNNNNNNNNNNNNNNNNNNNNNNNNNNNNNNNNNNNNNNNNNNNNNNNNNNNNNNNNNNNNNNNNNNNNNNNNNNNNNNNNNNNNNNNNNNNNNNNNNNNNNNNNNNNNNNNNNNNNNNNNNNNNNNNNNNNNNNNNNNNNNNNNNNNNNNNNNNNNNNNNNNNNNNNNNNNNNNNNNNNNNNNNNNNNNNNNNNNNNNNNNNNNNNNNNNNNNNNNNNNNNNNNNNNNNNNNNNNNNNNNNNNNNNNNNNNNNNNNNNNNNNNNNNNNNNNNNNNNNNNNNNNNNNNNNNNNNNNNNNNNNNNNNNNNNNNNNNNNNNNNNNNNNNNNNNNNNNNNNNNNNNNNNNNNNNNNNNNNNNNNNNNNNNNNNNNNNNNNNNNNNNNNNNNNNNNNNNNNNNNNNNNNNNNNNNNNNNNNNNNNNNNNNNNNNNNNNNNNNNNNNNNNNNNNNNNNNNNNNNNNNNNNNGAGGAUGAAAUUUGCAAAAACCUUGUUCAUAGCUAUGGUAAUUAAGCAAAUUGAGUCUUCUUUUUUUGUUGUUUUUUAUUCACUUUUUCCUGUCCUUAAAACAAAUAAUGAGUUUUCUUGUUUUUAAUAUUUCUUAUAAACUUUAUGUUGUUUGGUAUAAAAUUAGGUAAUUGGAAAGGUCUCAUGUUGGAUGAAAUUAUCAAUUAUGUGCAGUCCCUACAGAAUCAAGUGGAGGUAACAUUGCUACUAAAAAACCUUAUUAACAUAGUUAUAAUGAAUUAAUCUUCUUUAAUAUAUUGCAAUAUUUUUUACUAUUUCUAGGUCUUUCUAUGUUGGUUUUGGAUCAUUGUAGUUGCUGAUUGUGAUUUAUUGCCGCCUAUGGUUGCUGACUUUUGUUUACUGCAGCUACUUUAUUAAAGCAAUUUUGGAUAUUGAAGUUUAUGGCCAACUUUUAUUAGAUACUUCUGACCUUUAUCGAUAUAUUUUCUGAACCUUUACACUUAAGAUGUGUGUGUGUUUUUUUUAAGUAAUUUAAUCCUUACUAACAUUUUCUAACAAAAUCAAUUACAGAAAUGAUUAGGAAAAAACAAGCAAAAUCAUUGUAAAGUGUCUUCUGCGCACCGUGGUUGCUCAAGUCUCAUGUGCAACAUGUGAAUGAAAUAGUACUUGAAAUAAUAGAGACUUUGUUUUAUGACUCUUAUAUUUACAUUUCUUUGCAAGGAACCAUACUUAAUUGUACCUAAUAGAAGAGAUAUCUUUUCACUAUAUAGUCUUAGUAUAAAAAGAUACCUCUUCUAUAAGGCACAAUUAACGGGACAUGUCUUUAUACUAAGACAUCAUUCAUAUUUAUCACACAAUAAUAGAAACUGCAACGGUAGCUGGAAUAUUAUGAAGUCAAAAUUGAGAACGACAUUAAAUCAUGAAUUCUUUAUGUGUUUACUCUAAUGCCUGACGGUAUUUAGUUCAAUUAACACAGAUUCGAAAUCCAAAUGAUUGAAGAGUUGUAUGGGUUCAAGUUCAGUAUUUAAUUACUAUAUAAUUAUACAUAAAUGUGGAUUUUGCAAUCUUGAACCCAUUUAAUUACUAAAAAAGGAUGACGAAUAGAAUUGGUGGAAAUUGACCACAAUCAUCUCUCUCUCUCGGCUUGCUCAAAUUUGGCCGAUCUGUGCGCUUGCUUAAGCUUGGCCGAUCUAUGCUUGCUCGAUUACUCUUCCUAUAUUCAGUCAGAGUCAACUGUUUGACAAGAGUCGAAGUCCAAGGUUCUUUUUUACAGGAUUUGAGCUACUUCUUUUAUUCUUCUUGCAUGUUCACUGAUAGCGGGUGGAAUUUGAGAUGUUCACUGAAGCUUUGAUGUGGUGUUCUGAUAGCGGGUGGAAUUUGAGAUUCUCCUUUCUUCUCUAUAUGAAGGUGCUUGUCAUGUGUCAAGAAAAAUAAAAUUAUUUACAAAAGAUUAUUUUAAGGAGAUUUAUUAUUAUUCGUGGAUCAGGAAGCUCAAAAAGUUUUCUUAUGUAGAACAUAAAAUGAUUUAAAUUUUGCCAUGGUAUAUCCUUUUCUUUGAUUGUGUUGUGGUUUUCCAGUUCUUGGAGAUGCAGAAGAAGUUUAUUUUGUUUUAUGGUAUCUUAUUUAUUUAUUGUUUUCACGAGGAAAUAGCUGUGCUUUUGGAAAUUAAUAUGCUGUGUUGUAAAUGUUGUGUGAAAUCCUUUUAUUGGUGUCUAUGUAAAGUGUUUCAGAUUUCAGACCUGAGAGUUAAUCUUCGCGUACCAGUUGGCUUUUGGGUUUAGUAUUGCUGCUUUUAACAUAAUUGACCUAUGGCCCAAAUCAUUUCUUAGGGCGAAGCAUAUGAAUGAUACAUAUUAUCUUUUUUUGGCCUUAUGUAUUGUUAUUUGCAGUGUGAUUUGGUCUAGCUUAAGAGCUUAAGCUUGCAAGUUGGAUUUGUCUAACAGGGAACAAUUUAAUUUGUUCAUCAUGAUGUUUAUAUCCAUUUUGUACUACUAUCAAUUUCAAUCAUGCCUAAUUUUUAUAUGUAUUUCUUGUGGACUCUCAGGUUCAGUGCACAAGAGGAUGAAGACGAUGGACACCCAAAUUUGAUGUGGAGAAUAAGUAUUGCAAAUGGUCCUUGAUUUACUUCUCCAAUUGACUUGAAUUGGUUUGACGCAAUUUAUAGUGUAUUUUUGUCAUCUUUGUAUGACUGGCAGGUCGUCCUGAUUUGGUACAUGACUGGACUCAGGAAUUGGACUCAUAUUUUUCAAACCAGAAUGCCAACAAUCAAGCAUUUUCUUUUGAAAGCACUGGCGUCUUCUUCAAUGCCAAAAAGGUUAGAGAUUUUUUGUAUCCUGUUUUGUAUUUGAUCAGUUUAGCAUGUGGGUGGCAAUCAAGAAAAGUUAUUCUAACAUUUUUGUGUUCCCGAAAAACUGCUGAUGAUGUGUAGUGCAGGAAAUGAAUUGUUUGUGACUUCUUUUUAUUCGUAUUCUUUCUUUUUUCUUUUCUCCCCAACAGGAUUAUGUAUUUCUGAAGAGCUUCUUGAAGUUGAUUACCUUGUAAGCCACUUUCUGUACUCUAUGCUCAGGAUGUGAUUUUGCCAAGCAUUAAAAUGGUUUAGGUCAGAACCAUCAUCUAAAGUUUACUUAAUGCAGCCGAGAAGCUGUAGUAGAGCAAUGAAGGCUGUUGGUGUUAUGAAGGCCAGCUGUGAAGAAAUAUUUGAACUUGUAAUGAGCAUGGAUGGGACACGAUACGAGUAUGCUUCUUUUCUAUUUUUUAAUUUUAGUUAUUUUAACAUAAUCAAGACUAUAUUGGCUGUCUCUGUAAGCUGAGUAUUAUAUUUCCUCUUGUAUGCUGUGAAAUUCACAUUGUCUCCAGUCCCGAUUCUGUAUGUGCCUUUUUGAAUAUAUUUAAUUAAUCUGCAUGGUGCUUUCUAAAGAUUAUUACAAACUUUUGUUGCUUAAGUAUAUGAAGAAUGUGGAAAUGAAAAUAGCUUUUGAAGUUUGAUGGAUUGCUUCAUUAAUAAAGAAAGACUGGGACUCAUUUUUAUAACUUUUCUCCACUUAGCUAAUGGUAUUUGAUGAAGACAAAAUAGAUGUAGCUAUCUGUAUUUUUUGUUGCUGAACUAUAGAUCAAUUGACGGUUGAAGUUAGUUAUAUUAAUUUGUUGUACUAGAAUUAAAGCUUGUAUCUUAGCCAUUUCAUGAAGUGUCAAAGACGUUCAUGUUUUUUAAAAAAAACAUGUUACACUUUUGAAGUCACUAUUACAUAAAAGAGUGUUCUAAAACAGGAGAAGGCGUGCUGCCUGAAAUUACCUGUUUCCGAUUUUAACAAGUCUCUUGGCAAGGUUUGCUAGUAAUGUGUUCAAAUUAUUCUAUUUAAUUUUACUGUCUGUACCCUAAUAAUUCUUGGUUUGCACCAUUGCAUUGUUCCAUAAUCUCUGUGCGUUGGCUUAUAAAGGCCAGCAAGGCUGAUCAUUUGUCAAAUAGUUAUUUCCAUGAAAUUCCUAUCAAUUUGACUCAGUAUUUAGAGGUCUUGAAGAGGGCAGUGUACUAGACGUGGAUUUCUUCCUCUUUUGGUUGUACAAUUGUUGUAUUUCUUGGCCAUCAGAUCUUUUUUAUGUAUCUUUCUCAAAGUUCAUGCCGCACGUACACCGUUUUUCAUGUUUUGUGCAGGUGGGAUUGUAGUCUUUUGUAUCGCAGCUUAGUUGAAGAGGUAGAUGGUCAUACGGCUAUUCUCUAUCAUAGGCUUCAGCUGGACUGGUUUCCAAUGUAAUAGUCUCUUGAUUCAAUCAUCUCAUUUAUGCUUUGGUCAGAAUAGAACAUUUAUUGUUUUCUUCUUUCCCCUUUCAUGUCUUCUGAUAUAAUAUGUGAGGAAAUUACCUAAAAUUUCUGUAUCCCAAUGUAAUUGUUGGAAUUCAGAAAUAAAAUAAAUACACCGUCUUGUUUUUCCCUCGGUUCAGUCCUAAGUUCUCUUUGGGCCUUCUGCAAGUUUUUAAACAUACUGUGACAGUAAAAAAUCUAGUGAUUGAGAUCAUUUUGAUGAAUUUAAUUUUAAUUCUUAGCUGAUACUUUUUCUGGAAUUUUUUUUCUUAUGUUUCCUCAAUAUGACUUAAAUAUAGGGCUUAGUUUGGUUUAGAAGUUCGUCUAAAACCUUCUCCUUGAUUCCAAAAAAAUUCUCUAGAAAGGUCUCAGAUGGAUUUUAGGGGAGUUCUGUGGCAAAUUUGAAAAGUUCAGGGGAAGGGUCUAAUGAAUUUUAAAACCACAUGGGUUAUCUGUUUUAUUCAGAGGAUAGUGGAAUUCCCUGAAAUUUAUCAUUUUUAUUUAAAUAAUCUUCCUACUUUCCUCUGCGGAAUUUAUUUACAUUUAUGAAUUCAUUUGGUUGCAGGUUUGUUUGGCCCCGCGGCCUUUGUUAAGUACGUUAUUGGCGUUGAAAUGACGCUGCGAGUUAUGGUAAGGUUCUUGCUUCCCCACUUCUUGAAAUUAAAUCUAUCUUUUCUGGCACUAGAAGUUUCCAUAAGCUGUGUUUUGUUAUCGCGCAGUUGUGUUAUUUCAUUCUAGGGAGCAUGAGAACUGUGGUCCACAGCCAGGAUAUGUACGAGCUCACGUGGAGAGUUAGUUUUCUGUCCUUUACUUUGGUUGAUGUAGAGAAUUAACAAGUGACUAAGUCAUGCCAAGUUGCACCACUUGCUUCCUGUAUUCUGAUUUCUCAGGUGGUGGAUUCAACAUUUCCCCACUCAAACCUCAAAAUGGUAGGCCCAGAACACAAGUACAGCAUCUUAUGCAGAUUGAUCUAAAAGGGUGGGGUGUUGGUUAUGUGUCAAUGUUUAGCAACACUGUCUUCUUCAGAUGUUAAAUAGCAUUGCUGGUAAGUUUCUUGCUUUCACAUUUUAUUUUGCGCUGUUAUGGGUUAAUAUGUUUCUGUUGGGUGGCCAUUUUAAGUCAUAUUUUUACGUGUUACUGUAUUUUCUUCAGUCCUUUUAUAGGGAACACACACAUACACGUAUGUAGAGUCACCUUUUAAUGAGGGAUCUACCAUUUUAAUAAAAUGAGGAAUGAGCUAAAAGAUAAAAAUUCACGAACUCCAAUGCAAUAUGUGUGUGUGCGUGUGCACACCUUUUCUAACUCUUGUUCUUAGUUAGAUAUUUUUCGGGAUUUCAGGCAAAUGAAAAAAGAGAUUAAGAGAAAGAGAAUAGGUGGAUGAUAACUUAAAUAUUCAUUUUUAUAUAUUUUGUUAAUGUCCUCUUUAAUGGAUUUCUAUGGAAUUAAUCUUUUUUUUUCAAUUAGUUGCAGCCCUAGAGGAAAAGUAGGGUGAUCAAAUUGAUUUAUCUCAUUUUUUUUUAGCAAUUUGCGACAUAAUGACCGUGAUAAUGCUUGUGACUGCUGGAAACUUUCUGAUGGAAAUAACUUCAGAGUUCGUAGCAAGCAUUUUUGUUAUGACAAAACAAAGGUUCCCGCGAAUUUUGGUUGUUGUUAGGCCACAAGUGCGUUUCACAUAUGCAAGGCGCAAGGGUAAUUCCGGAAAUACCAAUCGUGGCUGACGUGUCAUCAAGUAGUAUAGAGAGAAGAGUUUGUUAUGCAUUUCUGUUAGUGAUAAGUUGAUGGUAUUCUGUUUUGAUAAUUUGUUAGAGUUUUCUAUUAUUCUAUUUGGGCGUAAAAGUGAGGAGGUUAUAUGGAGAGGAGCUGUUUUUUGGGAAGGGGAUCUAGAGAAUUAUUUUGUAGUGAGCUUGCUCAUUUUGGGAGAGAUACCAAGCCUCUCGAAUGCUUGGGUGUUUUGGUUUAUUUCUGCAGAUAAAUACCAGUUUUCCUACUUCCAACAACAUUCUGUUCUCUACUGUGUUGUUUAUCUAACCAUUUCAGUUCAGGGCUUAUCAAAUUGGUAUCAGAGUAGUCACGUACCUAGAAAAUGACUGGCAAAAAUGUUGCUCAACGAAUGGAUUCCAUAGAGGAGGCGAUGGGUGCUGCGUAGGAGGAGUUUCAACGGGAAAUGAGAUCGUUGAAGGAUGAAAUAUAGAUGAUGAACAAACGAUUCGAACAGUUCAUCAAACUUCAAGAGGAUACGGGAGGUUCGUAUUCGAAUAAAAGGGAAAAGAUGCUCAGCCCCAACUUCGGCGGGUUGAGCUCAAGCGGAACUAGCCAUGAUUUCCGAUUCCGGAAACUUGAGAUGCCACUGUUCGAUGGCUCAAAUCUGGAUGGCUGGAUCUGAAGGCUGAACGAUAUUUUUCCGUAAAUCGGUUAUCCAAUGAAGAAAAACUUGAGGCAGCGAUAAUAGCUUUCGAGGGAGAUGCCCUGUUGUGGUAUCAAUGGGAGAAUAGGAAGAGAUCCAUGAUGGUUUGGGAAGAGAUGAGGCUACUAAUCUUGAAACAAUUCCGAGUAAUCCAAGCCGAUUCUCUCCAUGAACAAUGGCUAGCCCUUACUCAAGAUAGCAGUGUGCGAGAAUACCGCCGGAAAUUCAUCGAACUUUCGGCGCCGUUGGAGAACAUUACAGACGAACUAGCUCUGGGAAAUUUUAUCAAUGGGUUGAAGCCUGAAAUUCGGGUCGAGGUUCGGAUCAUGGAACCCAGUAAUUUGGGCCGGGCCAUGGACUUAGCCCAAAAGAUUGAGGAGAAACUGUGGGUGACCAAGGCCCACAAAGCAGACGGUGGGUUUCAUCGAGCAGGAGGGUCAACGCGAGGUGUGAACUUCCAUUCUGAAGCUUCGCAAUCUUCGUUUGGGGCAAAUCAUAACACGGCCCGAUUUUCGGGAGAGGUUAGGAGGUUGUCCGAUUCAGAAUUACAGAAGAAAGAGAGAAGGGACUAUGUUAUCGAUGUGAUGAAAAGUGGGCACCUGGGCAUCGCUGCAAGAAGAAAGAAUUGACUGUCCUUCUCACCUACGACAUGGACGAAGCAGAGCAGGAAGAGGAAGAAGGUUCGGGUGAAGGCGAUCCCGAACUGGAAACGGCCGAAAUUAAUCAAGGGAUAGAGGUCUCUCUUAACUCGGUGGUUGGUCUGACUACACCAAAGACGAUGAAGCUUAAGGCGUCUAUCGGGGAGCAAGAGGUGGUGGUACUGAUUGAUUCAGGUGCAACCCACAAUUUUAUUUCUCUAGAUUUGGUUAGUAAGAUGCAGAUACCCAUUGUUAAAACUGAGGCUUAUGGGGUGACUAUGGGUACUGGAGCGGCUGUAAGGGGAUAAGGUUUAUGUCGGGGAGUGACUAUUCAUCUACAGGGAAUAGAUAUUGUAGAGGAAUUCUUGCUGCUUGGGUUGGGGAGCUCGGAUGCUAUAUUAGGAGUUCAGUGGCUUGAAACUUUGGGGAUGACACACACAAAUUGGAAGACACAAGUGAUGAAGUUCAUGCUCGGAAAUGAAUCUGUUACUCUACGAGGGGAUCCUUCCCUUGGCAAGACUUUGGUUUCAUUGAAGGCAAUGAUGCGCACCAUUAAGCACGAGGGAGCUGGAAUUCUGGUGGAAUGUAAUCAAUUUGAAGGUCUGUGCGAAGUGAGCCCUGAGGUGCCACCGAAUCUAAACCAAGUCCUAGCAGAAUAUGAAUUGGUUUUUAACAUGCCCAUGGGCUUACCACCUACUAGGGGACAUGAGCAUUCCACUUUGCUCAAAGACGGCAGUCAACCUGUUAGUGUCCGACCAUACCGCUAUCCUCAUGCCCAGAAGGAUGAGAUUGAAAGACUGAUUCAGGAGAUGUUAGAUGCGGGAAUAAUCCAAGUCAGCAAUAGUCCAUUCUCGAGCCCAGUUUUGUUGGUUAAAAAGAAAGACAGAUCAUGGCGUUUUUGUGUGGAUUACAGGGCUCUCAACAAAACGACGGUACCAGAUAAGUAUCUCAUCCCUGUCAUUGAUGAACUCCUAGAUGAGUUACAUGGUGCCAGAAUUUUUUUCCAAGCUAGAUUUAAAUUUGGGCUACCAUCAAAUCAGAGUCAGUAGUCAGGAUGUUCAUAAGACUGCUUUUCGAACGCAUGAUGGACACUACAAGUUUCUCGUCAUGCCUUUUGGACUAACGAAUGCCCCGUCGACUUUCCAAUCCUUGAUGAAUGAUGUCUUCUGGCCUUAUCUUCGGAAGUUUGUUCUAGUGUUCUUUGAUGACAUUCUAAUUUACAGCCCUUCAGUGGAAUCCCAUCAGCAGCACUUGGCUCUCGUCUUGGGAAUAUUGCAGGCCAACAGCCUUUAUGCCAACCGAAAAAAAUGCGAGUUUGGAAGAACUCAAGUGGCAUAUUUAGGCCAUAUCAUCUCUGGACAAGGGGUGGCAGCGGAUCCAAGUAAAAUCCAAGCCAUUAACUUGUGGCCAACGCCCACUAAUCUGAAAGCGUUAAGGGGAUUUCUGGGAUUGACGGGGUAUUAUAGAAAGUUUGUGGCUGGGUAUGCUAGAAUCGCAUCGCCAUUGACUGAUCAGCUCAAGAAAGAUAGGUUUGGGUGGAGUCCAGAAGCUGCAGCGGCAUUUGAAGAACUCAAACAAGCUAUGUCUUCAGUCCCUGUGUUGGCAAUGCCUGAUUUCACAAAGCCAUUUAUUGUUGAGAAUGAUGCAUCUGGUUUUGGGUUAGGAGUUGUUCUACUACAGGGGCAACAACCAGUAGCUUACUACAGCCAAGUUUUGGGGCCCCGGGCUCGUCUUAAGUCCAUAUAUGAGAAAGAACUAAUGGCCAUAGUGUUUGCAAUCCUGAAAUGGCGGUCGUACUUGCUGGGAAGGCGAUUUAUUGUGCGAACAGACCAACAGAGCUUAAAAUUUCUUUUGAAGCAGAGGAUUGUUGGAGUUGAAUAUCAAAAAUGGAUCACCAAAAUCAUGGGAUAUGAUUUUGAUAUUCAAUAUCGUAUUGGGGCUGUUAACAUAUAUGUUUCCAUAAUAUUGAUUUUGAUGAUAACAAAAAAGAUUAAAAAUGAUUAAUCUUUUAAGCUCAAAUUAUUUUUUAUACAUUUUAAAUAAAUCAUUAUUUUUAUAUUAUAAAGGUUUUAUAUUUAAUGGAAAAAUGAUUUUAUGAAAUUGGUUGUUUUUCAAGUUUAUGAUUUAAUUGAAAGAGUUUUUGAAAACUUUGAAAUCAACAAGUAUUGCUUGAAAUUUUAGAGAAUGACUUAUUUUAAAAGUGUCAUAGCAUUUUGGGCUAUAUCAUAAUUUCAGAAAGUUUUGGGAUUAACAAAGCAUUACUUAGAAAUUCUGAAAUUGGACCUAUUUGUAAACUUUCAUAACAUUUUGGGCCAUACUGUAGUUUUAUAAAGUUUUGGGGUCAAACUAUAAUUUUAAAAAAUAGUGCACUGUGCAGGUUACUGUACCAAUCACUGUAGCAAAUGGCUAACCGUUUAUUUAAAAACGGCUAACCGAUAAUUUCCAGAAAGCAUGUUCUGCAAAGUAUUGUUAAAAUGAUGAUUCUGGAAACUAACGGUGAACCGUUUACUGAAAACGGUUAACCGAUUAUUUCCAGAUUGUUAACCUUGAACCGUUUAGUAAGAACGGUUAAACCAAAUUUGUUUUGCAGGUCUCUGGAAAUUAACGGCGAAAGGGUAAGCCUAAACGGCUAAUCGUUUAUUUAAAAAUUGGCCCAACGGUAACUUUGACCGGCCUAAACGGUUAACCGUUAAUGGUUAACGGCGAACCGUUUUCGAGCAAACAGUCUAUAACGGCUAGUUUUUCAGCUCCAACUAUAAAUAAGCUCAAUCCAAUUCAAACAAGAAGAAUUCCAACGAUCAUCAUUGAGCAAAAUAUUGAGAAUAUAACUUUCAUUGAGCUUUAAAUCCUUGUAUUCAUCUCAUUCAUUCACACAUUGAGCUUUCACUUGUGAUUAAACACAUUGUGUGAGAGAGAUUUAUUUGUAAUCCUUUUUGUAAAAUCAAGUUAAAAGAUUGUAAGUGUUGGGAUACACUUGGGUUAAGAGAUUGGGGAUAAUCUCUUGUUGUAAAGGUCCAUUGACACCUUGGAAGUCAAUUGUAAGCGUUUGAAGCCUUGGGAGGCUAGCUUAGUGAAAUCCUCAAGCUCGGUGAGCUUGGAGGCAUGGACGUAGGCGGGGAUUGCCGAACCACGUAAAAAUCAUUGUGUUUGUUUUCUCUUCCCUUACUCUUUUAUAUUGUGAUUGAUUUAUUUGUUAUUGCUUUAAAUUAGUUUUGGAUUUGCAUUGAGUUUUGUUUUAGAAUUGAAUAAUUUUUAAUAUCCCAAUUCACCCCCCUCUUGGGUUGCCUAGUUAGUAUUUCAUUUGGUAUCAGAGCGAGGUGUUCUUGUGUAGACUUAACCGUCUAGAGUUAAAGAUCCAUGGCAACCUAUAGUGACUCAACCUUUAGGGAAGGACAAUCCACAAUUAGACCACCGUUCUUCGACGGUAAUGACUACCCAUAUUGGAAAACUAGGAUGAGAAUUUAUUUACAAGCUUUAGAUUAUGAAAUUUGGGAAAUUGUUUGUGAUGGUCCAUUUAUGCCUUUGACUAAAAACGAAGUUGGGGAAGAUAUUCCAAAACCUUCACGGGAAUGGAAUGAAUUGGAAAAGAGAAAAGCUUCUCUAAAUUCCAAAGCCAUGAAUGCCUUGUUUUGUGCACUUGAUAAGAAAGAGUUUCAUAGAGUGUCUAGUUGUGAAAGUGCUAAUGAAAUUUGGCACAAACUUGAAGUUGUUUAUGAAGGCACGAAUCAAGUGAAAGAGUCUAAAAUUAGUAGGUACACUCGGCAAUAUGAAUUGUUCCAAAUGGAACAAAAUGAGAGUGUGUAUUCUAUGAAUACUAGAUUUACGGACAUAGUGAACACUCUAGGAGCCCUAGGAAAGACCUUUUCAAAUAGCGAGAAAGUUAAGAAAAUCAUUAGGUCGUUACCUAAGAAAUGGAGACCAAAAAGGACUGUCAUUGAGGAAGCUCAAGAUUUGAAUAUCUUACCUAUUGAUGAUUUAAUUGGUUCUCUUAUUUCUUAUGAGGAAGACAUGGCAGCCGAAAGAGGCAAUGAGGAGAAGAAGAAAAGCAUUGCUCUCAAAGCCUCGAAACAUGAGAGUGAUGAGGAAAGCGAGCUGGAUGAGGAGGAGAUGGAUAUGCUGGCUAGGAGGUUCAGAAAACUUUUUAAGAAAUCCGAUGAGCGAAGAAAAUUUAGAGACCUCAAGAACCGAAAGGAGAAGAAGGAAGUAAUCAAAUGUUAUGAGUGCAAGAAGCCUAGCCAUAUAAGAACGGAAUGCCCUCUUCUCAACAAGCUGAAGAAGAAAGCAAUGAUAGCCACAUGGGAUGAUAGCGAUGAGGAAACAAGUGAUGAUGAAGAGCAUCAAGAAAUGACAAAUCUAGCUCUCAUGGCAAUUGGAGAUGAAUCGAAUGAUGAACUUGAUGAGGUAAAUGAUCUUUUUACUUAUGAUGAAUUAUAUGAUGCUUUUAAAGAAUUACAUGAUAAUUGGAUAAAAAUUGGUAAAAAGAAUGCAUGUCUUAAAAAGAAAAUGGUAGAGCUCAAAAAUGAAAAUGAAUCUCUAUGUGCAAAGAUUACAUGCCUAGAAUUAGAGAAUAAAACAUUGCAUGAUAGAGUUGCAUUAUCAAAUGAGAAACCUAGUACUUCACAUGAGCAUCUAGAAUAUCACAUAGAUGACUUGAAAAAUGAAAAUGAAAUGCUUAAGAAGAAGAGCAAUGAGUUAAAUGAGAUUGUUUUAAGAUUUACAAAUGGACAAAAGAUGUUGGAUAACUUGAUUAAUUCACAAAAAAUGUGUGUUUGAUAAAGGAGGACUUGGUUAUAAGCCACAUUUGAAACAAAAGUAUUAUAGGAACUACUUUGUGAAGAGUACAUCUACUAACAAUCAAGUUGUAUGUCAUUAUUGUAAUCAAAACGAUCACAUGAAGCUUGGUUGUCCUAUUAAAAGAAAAGUAUAUUAUGGAGUAAAAUGUGUUUUGGUUCCAAAAGGAAAAAUUGCUAACACUCAAGGACCCAAGAGUAUUUGGGUACCAAAGGGCACAACGUGAAUGUUUUCUUUGUAGGUACCACAAUCAAGGAAUGGUGGAGAGUUCCUUGAUGAAAGCUUGUGAGGAUAAUCACUUGAGUAUGAUCUAGGAGAAAAAGAUGAGGCAAGAUGAUUUAAUUGUUUUGGUAACAAUUUUUGCCAUAUUAAUUUUGUUGAAUGAAUCAUGAUAAAUGAAUUUGCGAAAAUAUGCUUGUAUGUUUACAUGAUGGAAUUAUCAUUGUGUAUAACAUUGAGUGAUUUAUCAUGAUGCCUUUGUUUGAUUUUGAUGAUUGUAUGGUCUUUGAUUUCAUCUUCUUAAUUGUCUAUCAUCAUUGUCCAUCUCUUAUAAAUGUGUGAAUUCAUAUGCCAUUAAUUGUGUUAUAUCAUCAUUCAUGUAUAAAAUUGAACUUAGAAAUUAUGAGGAAAAAGUAGUAUCCUUCAUCUUUACAAUCAGUACAAGGAUCCCUUUUAAAUAGAGCAAUUAUAACAGAAAAGGAAACUAAUUAAGAGCUAAUAUUUGACAGCUAUCAUCUAUAUUUACAGAGGAAAGGAUCCUACAAUAUCUCUAGGAUUAAGGCUAAAUUCAAGGCCUAAUUUCCAACACUCCCCCUCAAGCUGGUUUGAAGAUAUCUUCCAUAGCCAGCUUGCUAGUCAACUUAUCAAAUUGCUUCUUGUGCAAUCCCUUUGUUAAUACAUCAGCUAACUGUUCAGUUGUUGGAAGAUAUGUCAUACAUAUUAUUCCAGUGUUGAGUUUCUCCUUGAUGAAGUGUUUAUCCACUUCUAUAUGUUUUGUUCGAUCAUGAAGAACUGGAUUAUGAGCUAUAGAAAUAGCAACUUUGUUGUCACAAUAGACUUUCAAAGGAGUUGAGAAAGUAAAUUUCAGUUCUUCAAGAAUUCUUUUUAUCCACAUAACCUCGCAGAUUCCAUGGGCAACAACUCUGAAUUCUGCUUCUGCACUACUUCUAGCAACCACAUUCUGUUUUUUACUCCGCCAUGUAACUAGGUUCCCACCAACAAAGGAACAGUAGCCAGAUGUUGAUCUCCUGUCAGUGACACUUCUUGCCCAGUCUGCAUCUGUGUAGACUUCAACUUGAAGAUGUCCAUGUUUUUUGAACAUUAGGCCCCUCCCUGGAGUUCCUUUUAGGUAUCUUAAGAUCCUGUAGACUGCCUCAAAAUGCUCUGCCCCUGGUGAGUGCAUAAACUGACUUACCAUGCUGACUGCAAAGGCGAUAUCAGGUCGCGUAUGAGACAAGUAGAUCAACUUCCCUAUGAGUUUUUGAUACUGUUCCCUAUCCUUUACUUCUUCAACCUUAGCAGGUUGUAACUUCAAGUUAGGAUCAAUUGGGGUCUCUACCAUCUUACAACCAAGCAAACCUGUUUCUCCAAGGAGAUCAAGAACAUAUUUCCUCUGAUUCACAAAUAUACCUUCCUUGGAUCUUGCAAAUUCCAUUCCAAGGAAAUACUUAAGGACUCCCAAAUCCUUAAUUUGAAACUUCUUUGCAAGUCUCUUCUUGAGGGCUGCUAAUUCUGUUUCAUCAUCACCAGUUAAAAUGAUAUCAUCAACGUAAACAAUCAAAAUUGCAAUUUUACCGUCUUUUGAGUGUUUAUAAAAUAUUGUGUGAUCUCCUUGACUCUGCAAGAAGCCAUAACUGAUAACUGCCUUUCCAAAGCGUUCAAACCAUGCUCUUGGUGACUGUUUGAGACCAUAUAAUGACUUUCUUAAUCUGCAGACUUUAUCACUACCAAGACUCUUCUCAAAUCCUGGUGGUAGACUCAUGAACACCUCCUCUUUAAGAUCACCAUUGAGAAAUGUAUUUUUAACGUCAAGUUGGUGUAAAGGCCAAUCACAAUUCACUGCAAGAGAUAACAAAAUUAUGAUAGAAUUUAUUUUAGCAACAGGAGUAAAAGUCUCAUGAUAGUAAAUCCCAUAAGUCUGAGUGAAGCCUUUAGCCACCAGCCUCGCCUUGUACCUCUCAACGCUUCCAUACGCGUUACAUUUUAUCCUAAACACCCACUUACACCCAACUAUUUUCUUGUCUCUGGGUGGAUCAACUAUCUCCCAAGUACCACUUCUCCUCAAGGCAUUCAUCUCCUCCAUGACUGCUAAUUUCCAAUUCGGGUCAUCCAGUGCUUCCUGUACAUUUCUUGGAACAAACAAGUGUGAAAUCCUAGAUGUGAAAGCUUUAUGGUUUUUUGACAGUCUUUGAUAGGAAAGAUAAUUUGCAAUAGGAUGUUUGGUGCAGUUUCGAACACCUUUCCUAAUAGCUAUAGGGACAUCAAGAUCAGAAAUAAUUGGUGAAUUAUUGGAAACAAUCGAAGGAAUCAAAGCUGGAGUUGGGAUUUGAUUACCUGAAAUUUCAGUGCCGGAACUCAGUUUUUCAAAUUGGGCUUGUGUAGGAUUGACAUUCAAGUCUUUACUUCUCAGAUGAAAUCUCUUCCUAGUAUAAACCUGAAGUUCAGAAUUUAGAUCAUGUUGAUCUGUUUGUAGUACUUCUCCCCCUGAACGAGAAUCCCUUGUACUAGGCUCUAAAGAACUUGUUUUUCUCAACUGAUCAUUAUCAGAAAAGUGUGGUCCUUGAAUAGGACAAAUAACAUUUGGAAGUGGGAUAGAAAUGUCCCAAAAAUUGUCUUCUACUCCAUUUGUCUCCCCCUGAAGAGAAUUUUUUAUGAAAUAAGGAGUUUUUUCCAAAAACGACACAUCCAUACUCACAUGAAAUGUUUUUGUUUGAGGGUCAAAACACUUAUACCCCUUUUUGUUCGAUGAAUAACCCAAAAAUACACACUUUAUAGCACGUGGGUCAAGUUUUGAACGAAAUUGACUUGGAACAUGAACAUAGACAGUACACCCAAAAACUUUGACGGGUAAAUCAGAAAACAACCUUGUUGCAGGAAAAAAUUCUUUAAGGCAAUCAAGAGGUGUUUUGUAUUUUAACACCUUGGUAGGCAUCCUGUUUAUUAAAUAAGCUGCUGUUAAAACCGCUUCACCCCAUAAAUACUUAGGAAUAUGCAUGUAAAACAUUAUGGCACGUGCUACCUCAAGUAAAUGUUUAUUUUUCCGUUCUGCAAUGCCAUUUUGUUGAGGGGUAUUCCGACAUGUAGAUUGAUGAAAAAUGCCUUUAUCAUUCAAAUACUCACCCAAGUGCUCAUUGAAAUAUUCUGUUCCAUUGUCAGAAUGUAAAAUACCAAUUCUAGUUUGAAAUUGAUUUUCAAUCAUAGUGUAAAAAUUUUCAAAUAAAUAUUUUACGUCAGAUUUUUUAUGCAUGAGAUAAAUCCAACAUAAACGAGUAUGGUCAUCAAUAAAAGUAACAAACCAUUUUUUACCGGAAAGGGUAGUGACCUGAGAAGGACCCCAAACAUCACUAUGAAUCAAAUAAAAAGGUUUGGAGGCCUGGUACUGUUUUGGCAAAUAAGUAGAACGAUGAAGUUUUGCAAAAGUGCAACAUUCACAAUAAAAAGAAGAGCAAUCAAUCCCUUUAAAUAAUUCUGGAAAUAAGUAUUUCAAAUAAAGAAAACUAGGAUGUCCUAGUCUAUAGUGCCAUAGCAUUAUUUUUUCUCGAACAGAAAUUGAACUAGUACUAAUAAAGUUCUGAGCUUUUUUAUUACUAAUAGGUACUUCAUCAAAGUAGUAAAGACCUUCAAUCAUCCUAGCACGUCCAAUCAUCAUCCCCGAGUUCUGGUCCUGAAAUUCACAAUGUGAUUCAAAUAAGGUAAUACGACAAUUAGAAUCUCUAGAUAAUUUACUAACAGACAAAAGACUGCAGGCUAAUUUAGGGACAUGAAGAACAAAAUUGAGAUUAAUUUUCUCGGUCAGUUUGAUAAGUCCUUCUCCUGCAAUAGGUGAAAAACUACCAUCGGCAAUUCUAAUUUUUUUAUUUCCAGAACAAGGAGAAUAGGUAUUAAAUAAAUGAAAAGAACUAGUCAUGUGAUCAGAGGCUCCAGAAUCUAUGAUCCAUGGAGAAGAGUUUAAACAAGAAAGGGCUAUAGGAUUUCUACCUGUUUUUGCCAAAGAAACACUAGGAAUACCAGACGAGAAGUUGGAUUUUAUCAGCUUCAGGAGUUGAUCAAUCUGCUCUUUGUUAAAGUGGCCUGAGUUGGCUUCAUUGGCCGAAGGAAUCCCACGAUUCUUCUCUCCUUGCUUGCUGCUUUUCCAGUUUUCAGGUUUGCCAUGAAGCUUCCAACACUUCUCACGUGUAUGGCGAGGCUUGUGGCAAUGAUCGCACCAGGCCUGUGACUUAUCAUCAGACCUGCGCUGAUAAUUUGCAGUCUUGUAGGCUGCUGCAUCAGUAAUUAAGGCAGAAUUCUCAAUUGACUCACCGGCACUCCUUUUCCUGAGCAUUACGCUCCUUCGACUUUCUUCUCUUCUGACUUCAGCAAAGACUUCGCCAAUGGGUGGUAGAGGAGGUCUGCCAAUAAUCCUCCCUCGUACUUCAUCAAACUCAACAUUGAGGCCGGCAAGAAACUUGUAAAUACGACUGUCUUCCACGGUUUUCUUGUGGUGGUUGCAGUCAUCAGCGGAUUUCCAUUCAUAUGUGUUGAAGAGGUCAAGAUCUUGCCACAACCUUUUCAAAGAAUUGAAAUAUUUGGUGACAGAAUCAUCACCUUGACGAAUCUCUCCCAACCUUAAAGUUAACUCAAAAACCUGAGAUUGGUUGCCCAGGUCAGAAUACAUCUGACUAACGUUGUCCCACAAUUCUUUAGCAGUAGGAUAGCACAUAUAAUUGGAGCUUAUAUCCUCCUCCAUGGAGUUGACCAGCCAUGUCAUAACCAUGGAAUUUUCAGCAUCCCAAGUGGCAUACAGCGGAUCAUCAUUAGCAGGAACCUUCUUGUCACCAGUGAUGUAACCAAUUUUUCCUUGCCCACGGAUAUACAUCCGGACAGAUUGCGACCAGCGGAGGAAGUUGUCGCCAUUUAAGCGGAUGGUGGUGAUUUGAACAGAAUGAGAGUUGGAGUGGUUUCGCAGGGUCUCAGAUGUUUUUUCUGGAAUGGCAGCAGCAAGGGUUUGAGUGGUUUCAGACGUGACUUCUGACAUGGUUGCAGACACGAUUCCCUAUGCUCUGAUACCAACUUAGAAAUUAUGAGGAAAAAGUAGUAUCCUUCAUUUUUACAAUCAGUACAAGGAUCCCUUUUAAAUAGAGCAAUUAUAACAGAAAAGGAAACUAAUUAAGAGCUAAUAUUUGACAACUAUCAUCUAUAUUUACAGAGGAAAGGAUCCUACAAUAUCUCUAGGAUUAAGGCUAAAAUCAAGGCCUAAUUUCCAACAAUUGACAUUAUUGUUUGAUACGAUUUCAUAUGUUUGGUCUUGUAUACAUUUAUGCCUCAUGCAUUAAAAUGGCUUAUAAAACAUUUUUGGAUCAAUUAGUUAGUAUUUCAGGGGCAAGUAAUCGAGUAACGGAUGCACUCUCACUCUUAACAGAACCAGCAGAGUGUUCAGCUUUGGCGAUUCCUCAGUGCCAACAUUGGGAUUCCUUAAAGGUUGAGUUGGCAGAGGAUACCUUUCUGAAGAAACUAAGGGAAGACAUAACUUCGGGUACACAAUCUCACGUGGGGUUCUCAGUUGAGCAUGGAGUAUUGUUCUACAAGAGUCGGCUGGUUAUUCCUCAGACUACUAAGCUUCUUUUUGCUCUCAUAGGAGAGUUUCACACCACUCCGAUUGGGGGACAUUCGGGAGAAACAAAAACUUACCAACGCUUAGCAGCAGAAUUGUAUUGGAUAGGUAUGCGCAAGGAUGUCACCAGAUUUGUACGGGAAUGCACCAUCUGCCAGCAGAAUAAGUACUUGGCCACUACUCCCGCAGGGUUACUUCAACCUAUUCGACUACCAGCCCAGGUUUGGGAGGAAGUCACACUUGAUUUUAUUGAGAGGUUGCCUCGUUCUGAAGGGUGGGAUGCCAUCUUAGUAGUGGUGGACAGGCUGAGUAAGUAGGCUCACUUCAUAGGAUUAAAACAUCAUUUUUCUGCUGUUUCGGUUGCUGGAAUCUUUGUUCGUGAAAUUGUUAGGCUUCAUGGGAUACCACGGUCAAUUAUCUCUGACCGAGAUAGGAUAUUCUUGAGCCAUUUUUGGAGUGAAUUGUUGAAGCUGCAGGGAACUACUCUCAAAAGAAGCACCGCCUAUCAUCCACAAUCUGAUGGACAAACAGAAGUUGUCAACCGUUGUUUGGAAACGUAUCUAUGCUGCUUUGCUUCUGGAAAACCUCGAAGUUGGGCUCGCUCGUUGGCAUGGGCUGAGUAUUGGCAUAAUACUUCCUUCUACUCUUCUACACAUUGUACUCCAUUUCGUGCUCUCUAUGGAAGGGAUCCACCCCCUCUUAUUCGGUAUGAGCAAGGAGCUGCUUCGGUAUCUUUGGUAGAACAGUUAAUGGAGGAUCGUGAUGCCAUACUGGACGACCUGAGGAUGCAGUUGCUUCGUGCCCAGCAGCGGAUGAAGCUGCAAGCUGAUCAAAAGCGCCAUCAUGUAGAGUUCAAUGCAGGUGAUUUGGUAUUUCUGAAACUAAGACCUUACCGGCAGCGCUCCCUCGCUCAACGUAAGUUUGAGAAAUUAGUUGCACGUUACUACGGUCCAUUUAAGGUUCUUCAGCGUGUCGGGAAGGUGGCAUACAAACUAGAACUGCCUCAAACAGCAAAACUCCACCCUAUCUUUCAUGUUUCGCAGUUGAAAGAUAAGGUUUCAAACAACAAACUACAUACUAGUUUUCCUACUUCCAACAACAUUCUGCUCUCUACUGUGUUGUUUAUCUAACCAUUUCAGUUCAGGGCUUAUCAGUUGUUUCUUAUGGUAUUUAUAUAUCCGACAUAUUCUAGUUCGACAUGUAACGAUGUAGUUUGGUUGGUUCUUCUUGCUUUUUGUGCAAUUUGUAACUGCAGAUACGUGUGGGAAAACAUUUAAUGGAUCUUGUUGCUGUUGAUUAGUUCAAAGACAAAGAGAAUGGACCAUGUAGCUAGGCGUCAAGGCUGUGAUGCACAAGUAACUAUUCUUUUCUUUUUUAUUUUUCCUUUUCCAUUGACGGAUUAGAAGAAAAUACUGCCUGUGAGAUACUACAAUAUAAAUAACUUCUGGUGGUUCAUUGAAUCUAUAACACUCUGAGCCCUAUUCUAAAAUAUGUAGGUUGCUUCCAAAAAAGGGCUUUUCUCACUGAUCUUUAAUCUUCAAGUAAGCUUGUUUCAUUUCAGAAGGUAUUAAGUUUCAAACUUAUCGUUUUGGGAGGUUGUAUGGUUGUAACGUAAGCAUCUGCAGGUUCCUGGUUCAACAAAUUAUAGUAUGGUAUUUUAUUUUGUCACAAGGGAAUUAAUUACAGGAUCCCUUUUGCAAUGGUUUGUUGACGGCGAUGAUGAAUUUCGCAAUGAAACUUAUCCCAUCCGUUCCUAAGGUAUCCGUCUUGGUCUUCAUGUAUUAGGACUAUGUUAACUAAUACGUACCCUCCGCUGCAUAGUACACUUUAAUUUGUACAAAGAAGGCAUGCAUUUAGGUGUAAAUGUAUUAAUGGGUUGUACCUUCAAACUUCAUUUCCUUUUUCUACCGAUUUGAAUUUGUUUUGCAUUUGUUCUUGAUUUUAAGCAUUGAAUCAUGCAGGGGUCAUGGAUCGUGCGCCAGAGUGAUGGAAGCACCCCUUGUUUAUUAGGAAAAGCAGUUGAUUGUAACUAUAUCCGCGGUCCUAAGUACUUAGAAGUAAAUGCUCUUCGAAUUUCUAUAGUACAUGGGAUGUGUUCCCUUUCGAAUAGCUUGUUCAAUACCAUUAACAUGGUUUAACAUUGUUCAUCUUUCUGCAGAUUGAUGUUGGCAUGUUCUUCUACUGUUGCUAAUGGAGUUUUGGGCCUUGUAAUUGGUGUAAUUACGGCAGUGGUGGUUGACAUGGCUUUCCUUGUACAGGUAUGUAUGAUUGUUUUUUUCCUCUACUUCUAAAUGGACACAAGGGAAAAGACAUGAUUUUGAGAUAUUGUACUGCAAUUUGCAUAUUUGCAUACUUGAAUGUUCUCAGAAUGGUAUAAUGCUUCGUGUAUGCAGGCAAAUACUACAGGUGAAUUACCGGAGCGGCUGAUUGGAGCUGUACGUGUUUCUUAUAUAGAACUCAAGUCUGCUAUUGUCCCAAAGUUGGAACCAGAGACAUCAUGACUGUGUUUUCAUUUCACCUCAACUGUUUGUUUUUAAUUUAAAAAAAAUCAUUUGUUUUAGGUAUACAUACAUGUAUUUUGAUCCCGUUUUCAUUGUAAUUUCUCAUUUACUUUGAAAGAAAGUCAUUGGUGUUUUCGAAUGGGAAUUUUGCAUUAAAAAAUAAAGAAUACUUAAUAGGAAAUUUCAUGAUUCUUUAGUUACUAUUUUUGGAAUGAGUGUAAUAGUAUUAAAGUUGGUUUCUACUCGCAAACAAGUGAACUACUCGAUCCCCAACUGUGACCACGCUAAUUGUCAUUGUUUAAUAGCUACUACUUUUAAAACUCAACAACUAACAAAAAUACUAAUAAAAAAAUGAUUUUCUUAUGAUGCUGUGAAAACAUUUAUGGGUUCACUUAUUUCCACAAGAUCUAUAACAUGGUCUUGACUUCACGAAAUUCUUUUAAUUUAAAGGGUGCUGGUAUGAGAAAAUCAGUUUUACGGAUUAAUUCCUUUUAAUAAUGGUCGAGUUAAUUUUACUAUACUCAUAAAACUAUUCUUAUUCUGAUAAUGCCACAAAUGUUAUGCUGUUUUCUUCAGCUAAUGAUCUUCUAUCAGGACUAGUUAGAAAUCAAAUGCUUAAAACACCAAUUGAAUGAAUGAUGCAGAAGUUUAAACAGUAUCUAAUUGAAAAUUGCCUGAAACAUGAAACAUCAAUUCAAGUCCUUCCUUAAACAGAGAAUGCAUCAAACAAAUCCAAAGUGUCUUUCAAGUCUGUAGCAUGACUAAAAAAUUGUAAAUGCGUUCAGAACCAAAUUAUUCAAGUACAGGAGAACGAGCAAGUUGAAUCAUGUACAAGAGGUUGACCUAGUUCUAGAUAGCUUCUUCACUGUACCUGAAGGGUUGGCUCAAUCUUUUCUUUAGAAUUCUGCACAUUUUGUAAUUACUCGUGUAAGCAAGCAUACAUUACAAUCAUAAUAAUAAUAAAGCAAGAGUAAUGAUACGACCACAACCUCUUGUGCACAAAUAAUAUUGUACAAACUAACAUGACAUAAUAUGAUUGAGUAAUGAUACGACCACAAUCUUUUGUGCACAAAUAAUAUUGUACAAACUAAUAUGAUGUAAUAUGAUUGAUUAAACAAAAACAUAACAUAACCCUUAUAAUUUAUUUAUUAUUAUUUUAUAUUUUCAAUCAAGCAAUCAUAUUAUGCCACGUUAAUAGCUAUAGAAAUAAUUUGCUAGAUAGUGCCAACACUUCAUUGAUACUCACCAUUUCAUUGAACAAUUUUUUUAUGGUGUCAUUGAGGUUGCCUUCCCCACAUCCUUCAUCAUCAUCUUUUUCUUCUUCGGUGACGUUCACUUUGUUUAGCAUUGGUGUGUCUAAGACUCCUUGAGAGAAGAUCUUCAUUUUUGGACACUGUCUCACAACUACUUGUUUCAAGGACGGGAAUUCAAGAGCGUAAUUACCCAAACAAAAGCUUGUUAGGAUUGGCAAACAAUCAAGUUCCAAGUACUUUAAUUCCUUGAAAACAAUGCAAUCUUUCGUUUUUUCUCCAACCUGCGAUUGUAUGAUUUCUUCUAUCAUUUUGCAAUCAGCUAUCUUUAUUCUUUGAAGAUUCACUAGAUUUUUAGAUGCUGAGAGCGUCAACGCAUUUAUCAACCCGUGACACUUCGAUACUUGUAGUCCCCACAGAUUUUCCAAAUGCCACGAAGGUGGUACUAAUUUUUGUAACUUACUACAUUCUGAUAUUUCUAGACUUCCCAAGUUUGCAAACGCUUUGUUGGAUUCGUCAUUUUCCUUCCAGAGAUGCUGCACUUUGUGUAAUUUAGACAGCUUUAACUCCCUCAAUUUAGGGAAUGCAACCUGAAAAUCAACAAAAUUAAGUUGUAAAUUAAAAUAUGUAUCCAAUCUCUGCAGUCUUCCCCUGCAUAUUUUAUGGACAAGAUUAAUCACGACAUUUUAUAUUUUUUUUUCCAAAUUAGUAUGCUUUGCAGUAGGAUCCCAAAUAUAAGUAUCAAAUCGAUUACCCUUUGAAACACAUAAAUGAAAUCUGAUACUAAAUCCAAAUGAAUUAGCUAGGAAAACAGAGAUGCGACAAGCAUAAUUGAAAUAUAGUUCAUCACCUCAUGUUACCAGUCAUCGAAAUAAUUUAAGACAUUUUUAUAAUUCAUACUAUAAAGUUAGUUAAUAACUACGGUUAUAUUGUUAAAUCAGAUAUAAAUUAAGACGACGUGCAAAAAGAUGAGUCAUUAAAUUUGAUUUGAUUCUAAUGAAAUUAUAUCUGUGCGAAUGAAAGUGAAGGGAAAAAUAAUAAUAAUGAUUACCUUUUCAUUGAAGAGAUGUUGUAUUUGAUUAGCUACCAAGAUGUUCUCUUCUGAUUUUAAUUUUUGAGCUUCCUUAUUAUCUGCUGUCAUGUGCAGUACAGAUGUAGAAUUGGAUAUGAAUGUUUCCAUAUCAGGGCAAUUCUCAAUAGUUAGAUAUCUCAACUCAGGCAGUUCAAUUAUAUUCCCAGUGAAGUUGUAGAAUCUUUUGAGUUUUGGAAGAUCAAUGAGCCUUAGCCAGGAAAGCCUAGGAAACAGGGGGCCUAUAUGUUCUUCCUUAGCAUUUAGCUCUUCCAAAUGAAGCACCUCUUCUAGUGAAUCACAAUUCCUCACUUCUAGGUACCUUAAAUUGUUCAAGCAUCGUAGCAGAUUGGCAGGAAUAGCACUCGACAUAUUCGUGCAGUCAUCCACCACCAGCUCUCUUAAAUUGUUGAAGAAGCUGACAGGCAGUGCUUGGCCAUGCCAUAUUUCUUGCAAGCGUGGAAAAUGCGAGAGUUGCAAAUCCUUUAUAUCACGAAAUCCAAUCUGCACAAACCAAAACAAUUGCACUGGAUAUAUACAAAUUUUUUUUUAAAGGCAUUAUAUAUAUACACAUUAAACUUACAUGUUUUGUGUUUUAACUUUUAAAAAUAUAUAUACAAGGGAGGUGUAUAUGCUUAAAUGUGCAAGUGCAGGGGAGAUGCAUGAACAAUUUGGGUGAAUCGAUUAACACAUACCAUUUCUUCAUAACACUUUUGUAUAGUGGAAUUAAGGUUGCCUUCCCAAUGGUGCGGUUCACCCUCUUCCUUUUUACUCACUUGGACUUUGUAUAGCUUUGGUGUGGAUAAGAUUCCCAGAGAAAAAGUCAUCAUGUCCGGACAAAGUGUCACAAAAACUUGUUCCAGUGAUGGGAAUUCAAGAGUGUAAUUCUCCAAACAAAAGCUGGUAAGCCUUGGUAAAUCAUCAAGUAUCAAAACUUUUAAUUUGCUGAAAGCAAUACGAUUCUCCUUCACUUCUUGUCCAACAUGUCCUACGAUUUCUUCUAAUUUUGGGCAACCCGAUACUUUAAGAUUCACUAGACUACUAGGAAUUCCAACCUUAUUAUGAAAUGUCUGUGUGCAUGUGUGUGUGUAUUAAAAAAGUAAAAAUGUAAGAAUAUCAUUCAACUAGAUUCAAAGUAUGGUUAAUCAUACAAUUAUACAUUUUAUGAACAUAACAAAUUAUGAAAUGUCUACUAGAUAUUUUUUGUCAAACAAAAACGGAACAAGAUAAAUAAAUAAAUAAAAGCCACAUAAACAAAGAUAAUAAAAAUGCAUUUACACUAUUUAGUAUUAGGAACGUAGCAAGAAUUUAAGGCAAUUUCUAAAUAUUUUAGACUUAUUUUGCAUCUUGACGCCAGUUUUUAAACAAAAUUUGCAAAUUUCAACUAUUCCUUUUGGGAAAAAAAAUCAACCAAAAUGCCGCUUUUUCCCUUUUUCCUUGGUCCCUUUUUUUUAUGUAUAUUUAAUUUUGGAAACAAAAUUAAAGUGGAUCUUUAUUAAGUACUUGCAGACUCGAGGAAAUUUCUUUACAAUCAAGGAUCAGUUGUAAAUAAUCAUGAAUUUGUGGUUAAUUAAUGGCAUAAUCAGUUCGAACUAAACAAGAGAUAUUAAUUAAAUUUGAAGACUUUUCUUUUCUUUUUUUUUUCUUUUUCCAAUCAAAAUGUGAAGAAUUAAGGAAAAGAGAAAUAUAUAGAUGAAUUUGUGAACCUAUAAGAUGAGUGACUAUCCUUUAAUUUUUGAUAAUUGUACUUAUUAAGAUAUGAGCAGAAACAAUUAAAUUGAAUUAUAUUAUGCUGUUGAAUCGUGAUUAAAAAAAUUAUAUUGUUGAUUCUAAUGCUGGCAAACCUAAAAACUGGACUUAAAAUGUAGAUUUGAGAGUGGUGGUUCGAAGUACAAUACUUGAAAUAAAUAAUCAGUGGCUGAAUAUCAUUUGUAACCCAAAAAUGGUUAAAAUAUUGUUGGAUGUAAUUUGAAAAAAAAAAAAAAAGAUUCGAAAUGAAUACAACAACCUUACCAAUGGAGGAAAAAUAUUCAUUAGGUUAUCACACCUAGAUAUCUCCAAAUUCUUCAAUUUCCUGAAAGACUCCAAAGCAAGCUGGUGGUGCCAUAUUGUUCUCAGGUUAGCCAUCCACGCAAUAUCUAAUACCUCCAACCUAGGAAGUAGUACCUGGCAGUUAAAGAUUAAAUAACUAAUUAAUCGGCAUAAUCUAUUGAUAACCAAAUUAGAGGCGGAUAUUAACUAAAUUUGAAGACUCAAGGAAAAGACAAAUUAAAUAUUGUGGCUAAAAUUAAUUAAAAAAAAAACCUUUUCGUCAAAGAGAGGUGGAGAUUGCAUUUCAGAAUGAAGGGUGUCUGCUGGUGAGCUCGUAGAGAUGAAUCUUAACAUAUUAUUGCAACCAUGGAUCUCCAGGUUUAGCAAAGAAGGGAAUUCAACAACUAAAUCUGAAUGAAUCUGUCCCGUAUUGGCAAAACUUGUUAGUUCUGGAAGCCAUUCUAGCUUGAGGGAGUGUAGUUUAGGAAAAACCUUUAAUUCAAUCAACUUUCCUUCAUCUCUUUCUGACCACCCCGUGGUGUCGACUACCCCUUCCAUUGACUCACAAUAGCUUAUCUCAAGAUGUUGGAGUUUCGCAAGACUAUUAACCAUAGAAUAUGAAAACAGAUACUUCAGACAAUCACAACUCCACACGAUGACCUUUGUUAAGUUUUGACAACAGUACAUUCCUUGAUUAUGAUCGGCCCAUAAUUUUUUCAUGUUUCUUAAGUUCCUGAUAUUCAAUUCCUCUAAGCUCGGAAGAAUAAUAACCUGCAAAGAAAACCCGUACAUUUUUGUUCCUUCAAGUACAACCGUCUAGUAUAAUAUUUUUUGAUGAUCGAAGAUUAAUCGUGAAUCCGUGAUAAUAAAUUAAUCAAUUAAUUAUUGAACAGAAAAUUAUCACCUUUGGAGCAGGGUCAUCAUCAGCAAUGAUUUCGUUAAAUCCCAAAGAAGAAGUUGGUUUCUCCCUGUCGGGUCCUAUAAACAAACAAAAACAAUAUACAUAAUUAAUCUUUGUUCUUUUUUUUUUUUUGGUCCAAAAUAAUUGAAGAGAAGUCCAUAAUCCCACCAAUACUUAACUUCAACACUUACCAAAAAUCAUUUCCAGAUCAUGGCAAAACUCCACUUCUACCUUUUGAAGCCGCAGUAGGUUUUUGGCUAUGGAGAAUGAGAAAAGAUGCUUCAAUUUGUAACAGGAAUAUACUUCUAUAAUCCUUAAGUUGCUGAAAGAUUGAUCUUCUGUGAGUUGGCUGUCACAUAUUGUCUCCAAAUUGAUCAAACGACGAAGAGACAAUGACUCCAGCAAGGGGAAGACUUUGCGACGAACCCGUCCAACUGAACGGACAAUAUGCAAAAUCUCAGAACAACUUUUUACAGAAAGAUGCUUCAAUCGUGGAAAACCUUCCCCAUCAUCUAAUUCACCCUUCAGUUCUUCUAGAUAGAGAUAUUCAGUUCUCUUCAACAACAGUUUCAUCCUGUAAUUCUGCAAAAGAAUGCCAAACUUUUCUAGCCCCUGGAGCUUCAUCAAUCUUGAUAAUCCAGAUUUAACGGACCGGCUGCUCCACCACGUAUUUCCUAUACAUAUCCUAUAGCUUUGCAAUUCCACAGAGACCAAAUCCUGUGGUAGAAUUUCGGCAUCCCGAACGUGUAUCUCCAAAGUAGUUAGCUUUGACAACCCCUUCAACUCAACAAGACUGGCGUUACUUCCUCCUUCAACCUUCUCCCACUGUGAAAAGCUGUUACUCAUAUAUAGUUCUUCUAAUCGAGAUAAUUUUGAUAUGACAUUUGGAGCUAUCACCACAAGGCUGCUACAAUUGCUCAAAUCUAGCAACUGUAAUCUCGUCAAUUGUCCAAUUACAAGUGGCAACUCCUUAACAUCAGAAUCUCGAAGGCUGAGAAUCUCUAAUUUCUUUAGCUGUCCAACUAUUGCUAUAUCUUUUAGUCCGCAACCAUCUAAACAAAAUGUUUGAAGGUUAAUGAGGCGACCAAGUGAUGAAGGUAAUGAAGAGAAAGGAAUUCUAGUAAGACUUAACACUUUGAGUUCUUCUGUCCCUUCAAAAAAGAGGUCUGAAAUUUGCAUAGGGCCAUAACCCUUUCCAAACAACAAAAAUAACUGGAGAUUGGGACAUUGCAACCUUUCAGGGAGCUCUUGGAUAUCUCUAUGAGGCAAUGAAAUAGCAAUUGGUCCUUUCUGUUUCGUCUCUUCCAUCUUUUUCUCAACGUCAGCAACAUUUGGAAUAUUAAACAUGCGCUUCUCUGCGGCAAUUGAUACGGCAACAACAUGAAUGACGUCAUGCAUUUUAACUUCAUCUUCAGCAUCACCGUCCAACAAUAAGCAUGAAGAUUUGAGAUUGUCGAUCAACCGAUGCACUCUACUCCUUGCUUCUUCCAAUGUGUAAACAUUUUCAAACAAACCCCAACCCACGCCAUAUCUCAAUAAGUCAGAAACUUCUAUGGCAUCACCUUCACUGUACAGACCACAAAGACGGAACAAAGAUUUUGCCUCCGCACUUUCCAAGAAGUCAUAACUCAAUAUUAUGGAGGUGUACACAUUUGCUUGCAUGCCAUGAAUUUCUCUUGCAUCCGAUCUUCUUAGCUGAUUCAAUGCAUCUUUCCAAAAGUCAAGCUCCUUAGUUUUCAGAGCAUUUGCAACUGUACUCAGUGCAACAGGCAAACCUCCGCAUCUUUCAACGAUCUCAUUUGCCAUACUUUGAAAAGCAGAUAUUUUAGUUGAAUCACCCACUAUCUUCUCAAAUAACUGCAAUGCUUCUUCUUUUGAUAAAGCAUCGAUCCAGAAAAUUUUCUGACAAUUCAUAUCAUUGCACAAUAAAUCUCGACUUCUAGACGUCAAUAUUAUUGUGCAUCUUCUCUGAUCAUCCUCUCUAUCUUUCUCAUCAACAUCUCCAGAAGGAAUUCCAACCGCAUCCAACUCAAGUUUUGUCCAAAUAUUAUCCAAUAUAAUGAGGACCCGCUUCUCUUGCUUCAACCUUUCACGCAGUCGAGAAGCUCUAUGGUGUAUACUAUCAUUCAAGUCAAAUUUCAUGCCUAAAUCAGAAGCGAGCUUGUCUUGAAUUUUCUGGGGAUCUGGGUUCUGUGUUACCUCAGCCAUAACGACCUUAUCGAUCAACUUAUCUUCCAUCACUUUCUUAGCAACUUGCUUGACUAGCGUGGUUUUACCCACGCCGCCCAUGCCGUAGACCCCAAUUAUGUUGAGCUUAUCAUCCUUCAACGCCUCCAUAACAUCCUGAAAUACUUUCAUUCUUGAAUCAAAGGCCUCGUUAUCUUUCCCGUCAUUAAGUCCUGUGCUCUUUGGAGUAGGACGGUAGGAAACAUUAGAGAAGUUGCCUUUUCCCACGAGACCAGCGGCAGCUUCUGCGGCCUUUGCUGCUUGUUUACUAAGCUUGUAACGGGACAUCAAAUUUGGGCACAAUCCUUUGAAGCAGAACUUCUUAGCUCUUUCUUCAUCAUCAAUGAUGGAUUUUGCAACCCCUUCACUUAUGAAUUCAUCAACGCUAUGUAGCCAGUCUGUGACACCCUCAUAAAGCUCAUCCCCUUGUAGCCUAGCAUGAUUAACUGGUUGCUGCACCGUUUCUCUUUUAUAUCCCAGCUGCUUUACUUGAUCUUUUAGAUCAUCUAUGUAGCUCUGGUACUUGAACACAUAAGAUAUCUGCCGUAUAAUCGGUUUGAACAAUGACUUUGCACCUUCUGAUACGAUGCUGGAGAAAGCUGCAAGACCCACCUCUGCCAUUGCCUGCUGCUUAACAAAUCUAAUAAAAUGUCAAAGAAAGGAAUUCAAAUAAAUUAAAAUGAACUAGAGGGAAAGACAAAAAAGGAAAAGGCAGUAAACAGUGUCGCAACAUUGAUCUUGAAUCAACUGAAACAUGAACAGAGCAUUUUUUCUUCUUUGUUAAGGAUCAGAGUUUUUGCUAUUAACAAAACCUACUUCAAGCGUCUUAAAAAAAAAAACUGUAAAUUUACCAUAAAUGAACAAUAACUACAAAACUCAAGCAAAACAAGCCACAGAAUUUUUAUCUUGGAAAGUGGAUGGAAUUAAGAAAGAAAUGCUAUAAAGAUCAAGCAUCAGAGAUUAUGCUAUUAAAAGAAAUUAAUUGAAGGUUUUAGAUCAAGUGCGCCUAUUUAAUUAUGUGGGGUCAGAAAGUUGAUGAGCCUCUGUGAUCGCCUUGAAUAUUUAAGAGCAAUUUCAAUGAGCAAAAAAUUUCUGUUACCUGCAGAGGAAUGUGAUUAUAGAGAGCUUAUAGGGUAAUGACAAUGAUUUGGAAAAGAAGAAGACUUAAUCAUGCAGCCCUUAAUAUUUAUUAAAUGACUUGUGAUCAUUUCUUUUAUGAAUAAAAUGCCAAUAGCAAAAAGAGAAAAAAGGGCGAAAUUUACUAAGUCUUAUUUUAUUUUUAAUUUCUUUUAUUUCCAUUCGCCGAAGAGGGAAUCUCUCCCUCUUUUUGUUUUUUUUUAAGGGGAAUCUCCUUACCUAAUAUGACAUAAUGAAAGCAAUCUGUAAAUAGUCAUAUAAUGUAAUAAUUAAAAAUACCCACAUAUUUAUAAUAUUAAUGAUGGGAUCCAUGUGUUUAUACUAAUUAAAUUGGUGGACCAGAAUUUAUUUGACCGUACUUGUUUUCUAUUUAAUUAAGAUUGAAACGAUAGAGAAAAAUUGUCGUAUUGAUUGUUUCGAUUGUGGAGUUCCAACACUGAAAGUGAAGAUUUCAUCAACUUUCUCACAUGGACACGUACCGUCAUGCAUAUUGCAUUAUUUUCCUAGAAAAGCAAGAUUAAUUCUUUUAAUAAUUGUGAAUUCAGGAAAACAGGUGGAUAAUAACUAAAAUAUUUAUUUUUAUAUUUUUGAUAAACGCACUCACUAUUAAUAGAAUUCAUUAGAUAUCAUAACUUAAAUAACUUUUUGUGAUUGAUUGAGGGUAUCUUUUACUUCCCAAUAAUUAACUUCUAUGUUGAUUCUCAGAAAAUUAAUUUUACGAAUAAUUUAGUAGGGUGUUUGGUAAAUGAUGAUUAUUUGACAAUCAGUUUUCAAAUAGUCUACUAUACAAAUUUGAUAAGUGAAAAUUGAAAGUGUAAUAUUCAUGUGCAAUGAUAAAAAUGUACUUGUUUGCUUAUUUGUAGCUUAUUUAGAAUAUUAUUAUUAACAUCAUUUUUUUAUUUACUGGAUUUUUAAAGAGUAUAUUCUACUUUCUUUAUUACAUAUCUAUAUCAUUUUUUUAUUAACUAUUUUAAUUUGCAAUAAAACUAACUUUAAUAUUUUUUAACUAAAAAAUUCAUGCUAACAUAUUAUUAAAUUGAUUAAUAAAUAAGUGCAAAAAGAAAAUGCAAAAAUUUAAUCUUUAUAUAAACUUUUAUGUACAUAAAACUAUUGCAAUCAAAGUAGUUCAUAAAAAUAAAAUAUUCUAUACAUGUGUGUAAAAAAAAAAUAUAACUACAAUAUUGUCCACUCAUUAAAUUUGCAGCACUAUUAUUUCUCAGUCUCCCCAUCUCUCGACCUUUACCUUUAGGAACAUUAACACCAUGAUCUUCUUCUUGAAUUCGACCUCCAUUUCCACAGUAUCAACAAGGCGAUCAAUUUGCUGUGACAGCCUUUCAACUCCUCCCACUUUCCUCCCUUUUGAGGCCGCCCUUUUUCUUUUUCUUUCUUUGAUAGCUUCAAUGGGAACAAACUCAUCUAACGACAAGUACAUUCUUCAACCACAGUAGAAUUGGUUGUUGAUAUUUUACUACUCUCAUAUGGUAUGUAAACAUGGUCACCAGUGAUUGUUAUAUUAAAAAAAAAUUCUAUUCAAUUUUUCCUCUGACUUUGUGUCGAUACCUUUCAUGCAAAAUCUAUUUGCUUCAGAAAUUUCUUCCGUAUGUUGAUAUCAUAUUAAAGUGAAUUCAAGAUCCUAUAUUAUUUUGCAUGACAUCAAAGUUUAGCCGAAUGGUAAAGAAUUUCCCUUUUUGUUUGUCCCACAACUAUAUAGUCUCAUUUUUGGCAAUAAGCUCACAAUAUGCACGGAAAUGAAGAUUUAUUAAAAACUUCCCUAUAAUAUUAAACACUAAACAAUAUCACUAUAACCAAAGUUGGCUGGUGUGAGUGGUUCGGCACUCUCACUCCUUAAGAGAGGUCAGGGGUUCAAGCCCCGCUCUCGUAUGGAGUCACCACUUUGGCCAGCACUUUACCCCUUAUGGGCCGACCCGGUGCGAGCGGGGAUUAGUCUGGGUUGUGGUACGGGCUUAAAGGUGCCUCCCACAGUUGGGGCCCACUCAGGACCACCUCGUGGUUCAGACCAAAAAAAAAAAAUAAACAAUAUCACUAUGUUGUGCAUAUGGUGCCUCGUCAACAAUUUGAUGUUCAUUUUGUUGCUCGGGUGAAUAUGACUACUUGGGUUGCGAGUCCAUGCUUUUGUCGUUUGGAUGGAGGACGGGCCAUCUUUUUAUUUUAGAUGGUUUGUAGGACUUUUGAUAAUUAUUUUUCUAAAACUGAUUUCUGGUUAAUAAGACCUAUGAAAGCAUUCGAAGAAGCCACCGAACUCAGAGGAAAGCCAUGGUUAAAUAUACUGCGAAGUAUGUGAGCUCGUUUUUUAAUCUCUUGAUCACUCAUAAGCUUUUCUAUACCACUCACUAUAUCAUCCUUUUGAAUCAAUUUUGAUUGAUCAUCAGAGAUCAUGUACCCACCUUGAGAUGAUUGAUCACAAAUUUGGCAUUGUAAUGUUGGUCACCUCUAAUUGGCCAUGCUAAAAUUGGGACUUGACAACCAAUUGUUUCACUGUUGAAUUCCAUCCACAGUGAGAUAAAAAUUCACCCGUUGAUUCAUGUCCCGCUCUCUUAUGAAGUCACCACUUUGGCCAGUACUUUACCCUUUAUGGGCCAACCCGGUGCGAGCGGGGAUUAGUCUGAGUUGUGGUACGGGCUUAAAGGUGUCUUCCACAGUUGGAGCCCACUCAGGACCACCUCGUGGUUCAAACAAAAAAAAAAAAAUCCACCCGUUGAUUGAUGACUCAAUAUCAAUAAUUGUGGGGCUCAUCCAUCUAUUAUCAAACCCGUUUCACCGACUUUAUUAUCCAAACCACUACGAAAAUAACUGCCUUCUACUGGUUUGUUCAAAUGACGUAGAGGAUCCAAUCUACCUGCACCACCUUGAAUUACCCAAAUAAACGGUCGAUUUGAUGCUUCUAAAGCAUUGGCUAGUACUAGGUACUCAUCUAAGGUCGGAUCCACUUCAGUACCAAAUGACACAUAUAACACAGAUCCGCGUGAUUUCAAAUUCAAUCAUUGAACGAUCUCAUCUUCCGUCAUGUUAGAACUCCGCCGGUUGGUUCUCAUCUCAUGAUCAUGAAGCACUUAACCGGCCAAUUUGUAAAAUUGUUCAGGUAACAGUGGGCCCACUCCCCACAUCGGCUUUCUCAAUUCAUUGGCUAAAUAAUUAUAAAUGGUCCCUCAAGACCAUCACACGUGUUGAACAUCAACGCCAUUGAUCCCUCCGCUUCCUUCAUCCAGUGUGGUUGAUCACCGGCCUCUGGUGGACCUAUUUUCUCGGAACCAGGUGCACCUCUCAGAGGUGGUGGACCACCAGGAGGGUGCCCAUGAGGCCUUGUUUAAGAUUCGAUUCAAAUAAAGCCAUAUCCUCGGGUAACCCAGGAAGUAAAUGGGCCUCUCCCGGUUUGACAUCUUGGAUGCGAGCCUACCACAUGGCACACUCCACAGCUGCCGAGCAAGCACCAGAAGUGAAGAACCCAACAAUGGGAACUUCAAAAAUCUUGAAAACAUCAGCCGUCCAGCCCAUCAUAACGUCGAUGACUGCACAAACGGGUCGGCUUUUGGGUUCCCGGGUUGAAAGGAGGUUUCGAAGGCCUUGAAGCAUUUGGUUGUGCAUGACAACAUGGGGGUGAGGAGACGAAGGAGGGUAUUUUAGUAAUUUCAAAUAGAGGGUAUUGGUGAAGAGGGGAAGGGGUGAUGCUGUGUUGAAUCAAAAUAGAGUAAAAACUCUAAUUGAUCAAGAAGAAGAAAAACACUCUUUAGAAUAAUCUCACAAAAUUGCAAAAGAGAAGAACUCUUAAGAAAACUUUCAAAUGCUUAUAAUAAAGCUUUGAUUGUUAAAUUAUAAAACUCAAAUACAAAUAAGGUAUUUAUAGGUUACAAGAAACAAUCUAAACCACUCAUUAAAAUAACCACAAACUAAUUUAAACCAUUGAAAUUAAACAUGAGAAAAAUACCUAAUUUUCACCUAACUAAAUUGAUGUAAGCAAUGACAUCAAAUUAAUUUGGGUGUGGACUUAUUUGGGCUAAUAUUGACUUCUCAACACUCCCCCUCAAUGUUAGCCCAAUUCUUUGAAUCACGCCAAGCUGACGACGGAAAUGUUCAAACUUUCCAACACUCAAGCUUUUUGUAAACAAGUCCGCAGUUUGCUCAUCUGUCUUGACUUGCCUCAUCUCAAUCUCUUCUUGCAGAACUUUUUCCCUAACAAAGUGGUAAUGCACUUCCACAUGUUUAGUUCUUGCAUGAAAAACAGGAUUCUCCGCCAGCCGAAUUGCCGAUUGGUUGUCACAGUACAACAGAACUGCAUAAUCUACUGGUUGAUGUAGAUCAUUCAUUAGUUGUAUCAGCCACGUGCUUUCUUGAGCUGCCAUUGCUGCUGCUCGGUACUCUGCUUCCGUAGUUGACAAGGACACAGUCGGUUGUCUCUUGCUACACCAAGAAAUCGUUCCAGAUCCAAGGGUAAACAUAUACCCAGUAGUUGAUCUGCGAGUAUCGUGAUCUCCUGCAUAGUCAGCAUCACAGUAGCCAACUAGUUUGUAAUUUCCACCUUUCUUGUAUAGAAGACCAUAGUCUAUUGUACUCUUCACAUAUCUGAGUACUCGCCGAACCGCUUCUAAAUGAGACUUCUUCGGAUUUUGCAUGUAUCGACUCAUCACACCAACUGCAUAAGAAAUGUCAGGUCGAGUCAAGGUUAAGUAGAUUAGACUACCCACUAAUUGUCGAUACAUCGAUGCAUCUUCCAGGUCUUUGCCUUCAUGUGCACACAUCUUGGCAUUUGGUUCCAUCGGCGUUGAGAUCGGCUUACAUUCUAGCAUCCCAAACUUCUUCAACAAAUCUUUGGCAUAUUUCUGUUGACAAAGAAAUAUCCCUUCUUUCAUCUGAUCAACCUCUAGCUCAAGGAAAUGCUUAAGUUGUCCAAGUUCUUUCAUUUGAAAACGAACUGACAAGUUCUCCUUUGUUCGGAAAAUUUCUUCAAUAUCAUCUCCAGUGAUGAUUAGAUCAUCUACGUACACGAGCACAAUAGCUAUCCUUUCUCCAUUAGCUUUAGCAAACAAGCUGGAGUCUGCAGAUGUUACUGAAUACCCACUUUGAGUUAGAAAUUCAGCAAUCUUGCCAUACCACGCCCUGGGUGCUUGUUUUAGUCCGUAGAGAGCCUUUUGCAGCUUACACACAUACUCAGGAUGACCUCGGUUCUGAAAACCCAUCGGUUGAAUCAUGUAGAUCUCCCGAUCCAGCUCUCCAUGGAGAAAGGCAUUCUUCACGUCCAUCUGCCACAAGUUCCAGCUUUUGUUGGCUGCAAGUGCAAGUAAGACUCGGACGGUUGUAAGUUUUGCCAUUGGACUAAACGUUUCGUCAUAGUUUAGUCCAUAUUGUUGAGAGAAACCACGAGCUACCAAUCGAGCCUUGUACCUCUCGAUUGACCCAUCUAGACGGUGCUUUAUUUUGUAAACCCAUCUGCAGGAUAUGGGUUUCACAUCUUUUGGCUUUGGCACGAGUUCCCAGGUCUGAUUUUGCUCAAGUGUAGUGAUCUCGUCUUUCAUAGCUGUCAUCCACUCAGAACUCUGUGAUGCUUCUUCGAAUGUCUCAGGUUCUAUUCCAGUUGCUUCUUCAACUAUGGCUGCAUUAGCGUAUUUGGGAUUUGGCCUUCGGGUUCUUGUUGACCUUCGUAAUGGAGUUGAUUCUUCCGUUUCACUAGGCACACCUUCUUCAUCUGGUUGUCGAUACACCCCAGAUUGCCAAGGAUUUAGAGUUACUCUUCGUUCGCUAUCACUAUCGCAUAGAUCCCCAGCUGAGCUUAGAUGAAUUUGGACAGUAUGCUCCCCCAUCUUUUGUUGUAGCAUGUCUUCGAAUUCUUUCGAGUCUGGCAGCACUUCUUUUUCUGAGGUCCACCAUGAGGAUGCUUCAUCAAACACCACAUCUCGUGAUGUGUAGCACCUUUCAUUUACUGGAUCACAACACUUCCACCCUUUUCGCUGGUUGUCGUAUCCUACAAAGAUACAUCUGACAGCUUUCUUAUCGAUCUUGCUACGUAGAUGGUCAGGAACAAAUACAUAGCAUACACAGCCGAAUACUCGAAGAUAGCUAACUGUAGGUUUCUUGUUCCACAAUUUCUCAAAGGGUGAAACAAACUCCAACCUUGGUUGAGGAAGCUUGUUGAUGACAUGAGCUGCAGUUCUCAUACCUUCGGCCCAAAAUCUUCCAGGUACAUUCUUCGCAUGUAGCAUACUCCGGUAAAUUUCAGCAAGAUGCCGAUUCUUCCUCUCUGCUACACCAUUUUGUUGUGGCGUAUUAGCACAAGUAUACUGAUGACGUAUUUAGCAUUCCCGUAGGUAUUGAGAAAACUCUCUCGAGCUAUACUCACCCUCGUUGUCUGUGCGCAAGCAACGAAUCUUUUGCUCCACUUCUCCUUCGACUAUCUCUUUGAACUCUUUGAACUUUGAGAAUGCUUCAGAUUUUUCUUUCAUGAAGAAAGCCCAUACAUAUCUGGAGAAAUCAUCAAUGAACGUAACCAUAUACCACAUUCCGCCAAUUGAUGGUUGCUUAACGGGUCCAAACACAUCAGAGUGAAUUAACUCUAAUGGUUUAUUUGCUUUAAACUUCGACUCCUCGUAUGGCAAUUGAUGUGCUUUACCAUAUUGACAUCCCGCGCAAACAAUAUUUGUUCUCACGUCAAGUUGAGGAAGUCCUUUAAGCAUCGACUUCUUCACCAUCACACUUAGCUUGGAAUAAUUAACAUGACCUAGCCGCAUGUGCCACAGAUCUGCCGUCUCAUUCCUUCUUGUCUUGUCUACGUAUGCAGACUCAGCUGACAUCACAUAAACUGACUCCAAUUGUCGUCCCUCCAUCGUAGGCUUUUCUGAGAUCUUUAAGUCUCGGAAUACCUUCACAUUUUGUGGACCAAACAAGACAUAGUGGCCUGAUGAUGUCAAUUGAGCUACGGAUAGCAAAUUUUUCUUCAUUCCUGGAACAUGGUAGACAUCUUGAAGUGGCACUUGGUUGGGACUAUAUCGAGGUGUAACGAUCGCUUUACCGAUGUGAGCUAUCGGUAACCUUGAGUUGUCAGUUGUUACCACCACACGAUUUCCCUUGUACUCAGAACAAUUUUGCAACUUCUGUCUAUCACCCGUCAUGUGAUUUGAGCAGCCUGAGUCUACGAUCCAAUCAUUCUCGUAGUUAAUCUUUUCUGGUGUUGUUACCGUGAGAGCUAAUUCUUCUUCCUCCAUAGCGAGUAAUGCUUCGGCAUCCCAGUUAUCUUCACUAUCUUCUUUAGAACUAGAAGUAGCAAUAUUGCUUUCGGUAGACUUCUUUUUGGACCAACAAUCUCUCUUCAUGUGGCCCUUCUUCCCGCAAUUGUAACAUUCGCCAUCAAACUUUCUAUUACUGUCGCGAUUCUUCGAAGCUCCCCCUGGACGAGAGCCAUUCCCUCCCUGAUGACUUUUUGUCUGUUCACCAGUCUUUCUAGAUCCGCCUUUGUUGUGCUGUCUUGAACCACCUCUGCUUUGGUUGGUGUAAAGCGCUUCCUCUUCACCCUUUAGUGAGACUCCUCCCAUUUUCUUGGCCAUAGCUUCUUGGCCUGUCAGCAAAUUUUCAAACUCAACAAGUGAUGGUUGUGUCGGCCAUCCUUGCACAGCGGCUACAAAGCUUCGGUAUUCGGGUCUCAAGCCAUGGACAAUUAUUCUUUUUAUCCUGGCUUCCCCAAUAGCAGCUAUUGGAUCUAAUUCUGAAAUUUCACGGCAUAUCGACUUCACCUUGUGAAAGUAUUGGGCAAUCGCCAUGUCGCGUUGCGCCAUUGAUAGAAGUUCAUUCUCGAGAAGUUGCAAUUUUGUAUCGUUCCUCUUCGAAAAGAGUGUAGCGAAGGUGUCCCACGCUUCCUUCGGUGAUUUAGCAUCCCGAAUGUGCUCCAACAUUUCUUCUUCUAUUGUGGUCUUUAAAGCAAACAUUGCUUUGCCUGCUUUAAUUUUCCACUUCCGCAAGACGCCGUUAGCAUCUUCCGCUGCCGGUUGUGUAACUUCACUACCACCGACAACCUCCCACAAGUCUUGACCUUGAAGGUAAGACUCUAUACACGUUGCCCACGUGUUAUAGUUUUGGUUGUUGAGCUUUUUGAUUCCUCCAACAACUUGAAGAUCACCCAUCGUAUCGGUAUCGACAAGACUUUGACUACACCGAACAAGCUUGAGUGACUACCGUGCAGAGUAAUACACUACUCUUGACACAAAGAAGCUCCCUCUCAAGGUUUGUGAUAACCCCAGCAAUAAUCUCAAGAAAUCUUUUCUGAUGUGGAAGAUCAGUCAAAACUGCAACCACAGAGCAUACUCGGAAUUUCAAGAGACUUUACAACCAAUGCUCUGAUACCAAAUGUUGAAUCAAAAUAGAGUAAAAACUCUAAUUGAUCAAGAAGAAGAAAAACUCUCUUUAGAAUAAUCUCACAAAAUUGCAAAAGAGAAGAACUCUUAAGAAAACUUUCAAAUGCUUAUAAUAAAGCUUUGAUUGUUAAAUUAUAAAACUCAAAUACAAAUAAGGUAUUUAUAGGUUACAAGAAACAAUCUAAACCACUCAUUAAAAUAACCACAAACUAAUUUAAACCAUUGAAAUUAAACAUGAGAAAAAUACCUAAUUUUCACCUAACUAAAUUGAUGUAAGCAAUGACAUCAAAUUAAUUUGGGUGUGGACUUAUUUGGGCUAAUAUUGACUUCUCAACAUGCUGGUGGCGGAAAUGUGAGAGGGAAUGGUGAGGGUAGAUUUGUAAUUACGAGAAGCGAUUUGCUUGCAUAAUUUAAUGCAUGGAAAUAGAUGUCCCUGACCAAAGAAUGGGACAAUCCAAAUCUCGGCCUCAGCAGCGCUGCAGCAGUAGCAACAGAGCUUGACAUCUUUUUGAAUUAUUUGAUACUUAAUUGUUACUGUUUGCUUUUACCAUCUUUCAUAAAACACUCUUUGUUAUAUAUAAAGGGAUGACUUAAUGGAGAAGUAAGUGUUUUAGUUUUACAGUUUUACUAGUAGGUGAGCUCGGAGUUUGAUAAUUUGAUUGUUAGUUUUAGUUGGUUAGUUAUGAGAAAGCAUCUUUAAGAAAAUUCAUUCCAGUUUCAACUAAAAUUAAUAAUAUUGUUCAAAUUAAUUACUCGAUAAAUAAAUAAUUAGAGAUAAAUUUAUCCCUAAUCUCACAUUUAUAAAAUAAGGAUUGAAAUAAGUUUUUGUGGGUUCGAACUCAAGCCCUCAAGUCGAGCGGCUGGAUCUUGACUACUUUGACUUAAUUAUUAUUAUUAUUAUAUAUAUAUAUAUAUAUUUUUUUUUUCAUUCUGUCACGGAACAUCUUUUGUUAUAUAAUGAAGAAGAUAAGUUGACGAAGAAGAGUUCUACUUUUACUAGUAGAUGAGCUUUGAGUUGACAACGUUAGUUUUAGUUAGUGAAAUAUCUACCAUCCAAAUCAACGUUCUUUAGACUAUUAUUCAAGUGAGAUGUCUGAGUAACAUACGCUUGAGUUGGUCGGUGCCUGGCAAUUCGUGUGAUACAUGAAACCAACCGAUAUGAAAACCAAAUCAAGUUGGUAGGAUUACAUUAAUUUAAAUUAACUUUCAAGUUCUAAUAUUAUAAGAUAAAUAAAUAGCAUAAAAUAAUUUUUAUUUUCAAGUAAAUAUGUUUAUCGUUUAAAAAUUAUUUUUUCUUGCGGUAAAUGCAACACUAAAUAAGGAGUGAAUAGGGUAAUUUGUAGGGUAUACCCCCACCUUUUAUUUCAUUUCAUUAUUAAAAAAUAAAGGCUUGAUUCAACAUUCAAGUAAAAUUAACAAUUCCAUGAUAAAAUUGCUUGAGAAUAAGAAUUAAAAUAAAAAAAGAAAACAGCAACUCAAAAACGACAUACAAAUACCGCAUAGAGGUUUUUCGUCGCAAGAUAUUUUUGGGUUGAGCAACACUUGUAUAACAGAGCAUACAGACUGAAUGACGGUGAGAAUAAGAAGGAAAACGGCGCCACACACCGAAAUGCCAGCCCAUGGAGUAUUGAAGUAAUUUUGUUUCAAGUUUGCCCUCCAUUUGUAGCACGUUCUUUUGCAGUGAUCAUUCAAUCCUUUGCAUAGCCCAGAAAAAUAGAAGCUAUCAGACAGCAGAGUAGUACCUCUAGAAAGGUUAUUUAUAAGCAUUGACGCAGUCUCUUUAUCCGGCAACCGGUUCUCAAUGAUUCCGUUCUGAACAAGCAACUCGACGUCCUUCGCUGUGUUCACGAGAUGAUGAAUAAGGAACACAUAAUCAUUUAUGUAAUUCUCUGAGUAAUGCCGUUGUUCAAAGGCAAUGAGAUUACGAAAUAAGGAUUCCGUUUCCAGCUGUAGCUUCAGUUUCGGAAUAUGCAAUGUCCUGUUUUUGAAUUCUAUGGCGAACAAAUCAUUGCUCUUGCUCAAACUGAAGUGGACUCCAGCUUGGUGGAGAUCAGUCACACUUGGUGCGGUUUUGCCUUUGUGGUAUUGCUGACCUUCUUGUUUUUCCUGAUUCCUCGAUGAUGGUAGAUGACAAAUCCUUAGAAAAUCAAGGAAAUGCUCGACCCUAACCUCAGUGUAAGGAGGGAAUUUUUGCUGAUUACCUUGUACUGCCUCUAAACCCUUGAAAUACUCGUAUGUGACUGUGAUGAUGGUUGGAUUUUCAUGUUGGUCGGGGAUUUCAAUAGCAAAAAGAUCCUCAAGAAUGAAGAAAGGAAGCUGAUUCUCAAGCAACCACAUAUCAUACCAUAUAUCCUCUAUUAAAUAGGGUUUAAGAAAUAUAUAAUCAUCUUUUUUUUGAAGUUGACGGAAAUGAUGCCUCAAUAAGAGUUCAAUGAUGAAGGCAGCAUCCAGCAGAAUCAUUUCAACAAAUUUAUCACUACUUAGUUCGACUUUUUCUGCAUAAGAACCUCGUAAUUCUGCUUCUCUGAGCUUUAUAAUUUGAACAAACUCGUCAAAGCUUAUUUUGGUCCGUUGAAGAAAGUAACGCAGGUACCGCUGUUUAUGUUCUUCCAUGAACUGUAAGUUUGCUUUGCCAUGGUGAAGAGGGCCAAUUGAGACUACCUGAGCUGUAUAUGCCUUUUCAUUUAUCUGACGUAAUCGCUCCGGAACUCUGUAGAUGCAGCAGUUUGAGGGCAAUGGUGAUAAUUUUUCCAACUUAACUUGCAAGCACUCUUCCAUGUUAUAAACUGAAAACAUGGCGCGAAAUUUGAUCAAUUCACUAGUUUAUAUAAUAUUCUUGAACCUCAUCUUAAGCAAAGCAACAAAAGCCUUCACUGUUUCUUAACAACUUUAUUGCUCUAACACAUAGCAUAACAUUUUUAAAUUUGCAUAAAGCACAAUAGUACUUUAGUUUGUAACAACAGCACAGAUAAUAAAUAGCAUUUUAUAGCUUUAACAAAAGCAUACAAAAUUCUUAAACCUUGUUUCAAGCAAUUCAUUAAUGCCACAAGGAUGUCUUUUUGCUUCCUACAGUUUUUAUUGAAAUUCAUAUAUUCUUCUUUAUCAAAUUAAGUAAUUUUCCUUUUUCAAAAAAUCAAGAAGGUUUCGACUGCAUGGAAAUACAGCACACAAUUACUACUAUUCCCGGAGUAAGAAAUUCAUAAAUGCAAUAUAAACAUACAUUUUCAUAAGACAUCAGAAUCAAAGAAUCAUCAAUGCAUCAAAUCUGUACACCCAAAAAAGUUGAAAGCACCAAGAGAAAAUUAUACCGCAUGGACCCUUUACAACCCUUAUAACGAGUUCAGACAGCUACAAUGUGCAAUACAAAAUUUCCCAAUACUAUUUAGAACAAAGUCUAGAAAACAAAACUUAUAUAUUGUACAAAAUCAUGAAAACCAGAAAUGACAAAAAACCUGCAAAUGUAAUUUUUGGGUUUCUUCAACAUAUCUUCCAUCCAAAUCAAACAAGAAUCGAUAAAUCAACAACAUUCAUCUUUAAAUGACAUAUUACCACAAUAAAAUUGUCAACCAAGCCUCAUAUAAACCUUUUUUGUGUUUUGUGGUAAAUAUAUUUGUUAUUCUCUAAGAAUACUAGGGAAAAAAGAAACCCACUUUCUUAAUCAAGAAUCAAAUAAUAUAUAUUUAUCUAAGCUGAAGUAAGUCUUCGGUUUGAUGAAAUAGCUUGCAAUGUGAUUUAGAUUGGAAAGGAAGUUGAUUUUUGCUGGUUGAGAGAGAGAGAUUUGAGACUUAAGAGUGUUGCUAAUCUUCGAUCGUGUAAACAAGGGUAACUGGGUCAUAGUUCAAAAUAAGGGUCCAAAAUUUACUAAAGCUAUUAAGGAGCCCAAAACUCAUAAUGGCUUGCCCAAAAUAAAUAAAAUUUUCGAGCAUUAAGUUUUUGUUUCUUCUUGAGAUUUCCUUGCCGUACUUACCCAUAUUUCGAUAUUGCCUCCAAGUAAACUUAUAUAUAUUGAUUAACAAUAUAAACAAGCACUAUGAAGUUUUAGGCAUGAAAGAACAUUAGGAUUGAAAUGAAAACCAUCUAUUUAAGUAACAAAUUCUUCUGAUAAUUUGAUGCUUAAUUUAGAGCAGAGAUGACAUAUCAAUCACGUUAUGAUGUGGAAGUUAUGAUUAUAUUCAUCUUAAGAAUAAGAUCUUUCAGACACUGGCAGAUUAGUAUAAAAAAUACUCAGCAUAAGACCUACAAACUAGAAAUCACGCACCAAUUAUUGAACUCAGCACAUAAGUUGAUCUUUUAUAAGCUAUAAAACAAAUCUGCUAUAACAUAAGAAAGUGGGAUUUAUCACCAGACAAGUAUUUUGGUGAAAUUCAAGCUGACGGAAGGAUAUCCAAAGCAACCUCCUUAAGGGAAGGCAUCACUUCCUGCUGAUGCAAACAUGUAUAUUUAUUACUCACUUUCUUGAGGACCUUCUAGGAACCUGGGCAGCACCUAACAGAAAGUGGAAAAGAAUAAAAUGUAAAAUAUAAGUUAAACAGCAGGAAAACAGUGAGUGAUACUAGGCAAGCAUUAAUAUGUUGCCGCAGGAAAAGUGUCAGUAACUAGCUAGCAAACCUGAAAAGGGUUCCUCCAUUGUGACCCUUAAAAUUGUGAAUGUAAAAUAUGGUCUCCAUCACAGGAAAAAGUGUUUUGGAUAGUGCAGCCAGCUUAGGGUAGAAGAAUGACGGAUAAUCUUUAGCUCAUUUAAGGAAAUCCUCUCUGAUCCUUUCAUUGCACAUUCCAAAACAACUCUACUACAACCAAGUUACCAAUUCUUUUUGUUAAGUCAUUGUUAUUUGUUAAAAAAAAAAAAUCUUCCUUGCAACAUUUUAUUGAAAGAUAUAACAUGAUCAUCCCUACUAAUUCCCUUUUAGAUUUCUGUGAGUGAAUUUCAAAUUAUUGUAUUCAAAAAUAGAAGCAAAAGACCCACUUUACUUUCAAUUUCUGCAACAAGAUACCAAUUGAAGGACCAAAAAGUUGUAAACAACCAAUUCAAUGGGUGGGCAUCUAGAAACUGCUAUAUAGCAUCAAGAUCAUACUAAAUUUACAGAAAGUACGAUAAUAAUGAAAGAAUGGUGAAGGAUACACCCAGACCUUAUCCGGUCAAGUUCUCCAUUGAAUAUAAUCAGUUUCCGGGCAGUAUUGAAGACAACUUCUUUGUAAAGCUCUUCAACGACAAGCAUUUCUACAAGACAAAAGAAAAGCAAAAUUAAUUACCUUAAGGAAUGAAUAUCAAUGAGAAGACAACGUGUAAGACUACCAUUGACAUUAAAAUAUGGAUACGCGACUAGAAACAAUUCAUCUUCCGGCUUCACACGGUCUGCCUUUUUAACCUUCUCAGUGAAUCCAAAAUCCUCAAAGAAUGAAGGUUUUGUUAGAUAGUCCAACUUAAAUGAUGAUCCUUCAAAGACCUAUUUUCUUGCAAAUUUGACUUCAUUUGCCUCUGGGAAAAACUAAAAACCAAAUGACAGACCAAGAUCACAAAACGAAUCAUGAACAUAGAUAUCAGAUAAUCAGAAAUGGGCAUUAAACAGACUACUAACAAAUAGGAAAUGCAUACAGAAAACAUUAUUCAUACACCUUAUGCACAUGAAAUAUAUAUGCAGUGGGAUCCUCUUGUGAAUUUAGUUUAUAUCCUAAAAUGAGACAAUGAACAAUUGGAUGCCAUCUAAGGGCUAACAUUUGUUUGAUUAUUAUAUGAAAAAAAAAAACAAAACAGAGUUGAUUGAUGGCCUUUGAUGGAUUGCCUACACUCCUAAAGUGCAGAGAGCCUGAUUAAUUGCUUUACCUGCCCCCCACACACACACUUGAUUUUAUUAUCUCUCUUUUCAAAUAUAUAAUCAUUGCCUGUCUUUCAUCCUGAUCCAGCUCUCCUUCCAGGCACCAGCUGUGUUUUCUUCAAUUCAGUGAAGCAUUCACUUUCAGGUAAGAAUAAACUUGUCCUUCCUCAAAAAUCAGCUUCUCACCAUGAAGCUUUCUUUUUCAAAACAAUUACUAGUCUAGCAUAAUGCAUCUAAUUGAAGACAACUCAGAAUUGAAAAAGCCAUACUUUAAUGUCUGCUGUUGGGACCUCAAGACCAGGAAAAAAAAGCUUCUUUCUAACUGUUGGAUUAACAAGUAGAAAUAGCUUUUUUCUGAAGGACCCAACAUUGCAUUGAAAAAUUCAACAAAAGGACUGGCGUCAUAUUUAGUCCUGCUAGAAUUUUGUGCACUUAACACAAUGGUUAAUAAUUGGCCCAGCAGACACUUUGUCGAACUACUGGCAAACCUUGACUGUGGAAAUGCAUAUUUCAAAUGUUGGCAGACUCUAGCUUCUUGAUGUACUGUUGAUAAAAAUGCCUAUUUCAAAAGUUGGCAGGCUCAAACUGCCGAGACUUUGGUUUCUUACAUUUCAAACCCACAAAUAAAACUUUGGCAGAACCCCAGAAAGAGCUACACCUCCCAAAUUUGAUGACAUAUGAAGAGACCAUGCCUAGUGCUUGGUUCGGCAAAUGAGUAAGUUUGAAAUAAAUUGAGGGAAACCUUUCCCACAGAGAGUCAUUUUGAAGGUUACAAUUUGAAGACUUUGUCCCCUGUCGCCCGUAACCUUCUUUGAUCUCUUUUCUUAGUCAUGAAUAAUCAAACAUGUGUUAGUGGUUGGAUGCAAUCCACUCGCUGACAUCUCAUGUCCACAAUCAAUCAACCAUAUUUUAAUAGAAAUGGAAACAUUUUAAUUAAAAAAGAAUGAGAUAGGAACAAAAUCAAGCUUGGCAGACAUGGGUCUAUGAGAUUUUAAAGAUGCUUGGUGAAAGUCGUAUUCAAGAGUUCAACAAUCAGUUCCAUCACCUAUGGCAAAGUAACCACCGCAACUAAAGCAAUUACAAAACAUCAAGAAGCUUGAACUUGGCAAGAGGUCUCAUUAACAGUAUACCUCAGAAAUUAAGACAGAAUUAAAGUGCAAGCUUUUGGAUUUAUUUAAACACUGAAAAUAAUAUGGGUAGAAGCUCCUAUGGUCACAGCAAACAAUUACAAAGCACAAAACCCAAAAAACAGAUAUGCAAAAAGCUGCAAAAGAACAUUAUUAGCAAUUGACAUCUGCUUUUGCUCAGACAAAGGUUCUCAUAACAAAGGACUUAGUGAUUAUCUGUCAUAUGUUUAUGUUAAGGGGAAAAAAGAAGUUUGUUUUAGUCAAUCUCAUGUCUAUUGGCAUUCAUAAGGAGCCCAAAAAUAAAAGAAAAAAUAAAGAGUUAGUAGGUGUUUCUUGCAACACAAAGAAAAUUUAUCAUCCAUGAAAAACUUAGUAUGGAAAAAGCUAACUCAUUUAUCUGCCAAUGCAGAAAAACUUGUUGUCUACCCACUAAGGACCCACCAUUGGCAGGUCUGAUGGAUCCCAUGGAUGGGAACCACAAAUAUUUUAUUCUAAAUGACAUGGGUAUUGCACCCAUAUCAUUUAAUUUGUAGAUUCCACUGAUGGAACUCAUCAAACUUGCCAAAUGGCAAGUCCUCCGUGGGUAGGCGCAUCACUUCAGCAUCCUUCUCCACCGAUGACCAAAUCUGGACUCAUUUAAAAAGAAUACAAAGCAAACUAACUGACAAAAAUUGCAUAUAGAGGUCUAGGAGCCAAAUCAAUGUUGUUAACUCAUCCAAUUAAUACAUUCUCUUAGAGGUCAUACCUUGGUAACUCAUUUCAAAAGAAAUUAAAAGAAAAAUGACUGCACAAAUUGUACUGAGCUCAAGAAGACCUGUUCAAGGUGUUCACUUGUCCAACUAAUAAAAGUCAUCAAGGAUUGUAUCAGGGACUUGGGACCAAUCCUGCCUUAACGAGAGAAAGGGAAUUUAGGAUGAAGAAGAUAACCUCUUUUCCUAGAGCAAAUUAAGCUGGUAAAAUCUUGGCAGUUGCACUUGGGGCAGAAAUUAGUUCCACCUUGGUUUACAGGACAGAAAUUCGUCAUAUGCAUGUAUUUAUUUAUAUUUUAUACACAUACGCAUACAUGUACACACAAACACUACCUUCACUUUGAAGAAAAGAUUAAAAUAACACUGCUCACAUACACAAUACUUACUAUUCUAGUUCGUGUGACUUUCUCCGGAGUCACAAAUAGGUCAAAGAAUUCGCGUAUUAACCGCAUACUUCCAGUCAUUUCUAUUCCUCCUUCACCAUCACCUUUCCCACAAUUACAAAAAGUGAGAGGUAGUAACCAACAUAUUUGGGUUGUUCUUCGGUAAGGGGUGGGAGGUAAGGGUUAGUUGUGGAGGGCACCUGGUACAGAAUCAAGGCCAGCUGUUGGGAAUUUGAUCUCCUGUAACAUAUACUUGUUCAUCAUAAACUAUAUACUUAUUCUGCAGUCGAUGUGGGCAUAUAGCUCUUCAAUUAUCCAGUAAUAACUCACCAUCAACUUCCUGCCAUCCUUCAUGGCUAAUUCAGCAGCUAUUUUUGCCUGUUUAAAGGGCAAAAGCCCAAACUAAGCAGAUGCUCCUACUCCGAUACUUAUUAUCUAACUACUACAGAACAGAUGAUACACAUCAAGUUGUGUCAAGAGAGACACCAAGUUGUGUUUUCCAAGAGGUUCCAAAGAGGUUUUGUGUUAGAGUGCAAUUUAUGCACUAGUUUUGAAUUGUUUACUUCCUUAAUAUCGAUGUUUUGCACUUAAUAAUAGUGAUUUACUUGUGUUUUAUUUUUAUAGGUGCAAUUAUAUUGAUUGGUGCAAAAAUUGAGCUACAAGACGAUGUUUAAGGAUGAUUGUUCUCUUGGAGAAAUUAUGAGCGUCAGAAGAACUUUGUUGAUAAGGCGUGGGCGCGUGCUGUCAACUACGGACCUGCAGUUUUUAGUUUAACGUGUUUUGUAUUUUUGGUUAUUUUUAUAAUUACGAAUUUAAUAUUUCAGAUAUUAGUAUUUUAUUUUAAAUAGAACUCUAGAGGAGAAGAGAGAGAGAGUAUUUAAGGGAAGAAUCUAUUGUGAAAAAAGGGAGAUUUUUGGAAAAGAAAGAAACCCUAGAUCUAAAUUUUUCUCUUCUCUCCAUGAAGAACUAAAUCUAUUAUUCUGUUUGAAGGUUAAUGAAGCUUUUAUUCAUCACUACUGUGAGAUCUUUCUUAUGCUUUAAUUGUUUUAUUGCUUUUUGGGUAUUUGUUUAUUCUCUGAAUUAUUUUCAUGAUUAUGUUUGUUAAUUAGAUAAUUGGCUACUAUUUAAUUAUCAACUUAAUCUAUUGUCAAUUAAAGGAUUCAUCGUAUGAAGAUUUUAAUGUUUGUGACAAAUAACAUAGCAGAGAGUUGUGUUGUGAGAAUAAACAAUCUAAUUUAAAUGAACCAUCGUAUGUGUUUGUUGAUUAGGAUUUGGGUCUCUCUGGUUUUUCAAGCUGUCAAUUGAUUAAAUCCUAUGAUCGUAUCUAGGGUUAUCUAUUGAUUAGGGAAAUAACCAACGGUCAUACCUUGGUUAUCGACUAAUUAAGGAGAUAUUGGCUAUUAGAGGGUCUCAGUAGCUAUAACCGGUCUAUUCAUAAGUAGUAAUAAUUUAUAUUUGAAUCAAUGAUCAGUAGUCGAAUCAAGCUGAGUUAAUUCCUUCAACCAGAGCUUUCUCCAAUUUGAAUUACAACUUUAAUUUGCAUUCUUGUUAUUUUAAUUUGAUUGUUAUUAUUGUCACAAAACCCUCAUUUUAUAUUUUACGUUUUAAAAGGAUUUAAAUAAUUACCGAUCUCUGUGGACACGACUUUGCUCAAUCACUAUACACAAUUUAUUUAGAGUAGGUAUUUAUUUUUGUUGGCUUCGACAACCUUCAAAUUUUGGCGCCGUUGCCGGGGAUUGGUGUCAUUUAUUUAAUCCUUUUUACGUUUUACUUGGUGUAUGGUUCGUUCUUCUUGUACAGGUACACUUUCGUUUGAUCCUUAAAUUGAGAAGACAGCUCGCCAGCUGAGACAGCAGACGAAGCGAGCUAAGCAACGACACUCAUCGCCUUGCUUUCUGAAACAGAUACGGUGCCUGAUUUAGUUGAAUCAUCAAGCGAUUUAGAAGAACAAGUGAUGGAUAGAGCUGCACCUGUAGAAAGAACUCUUAGAGAGUUAGCCGAACCAGACUUGAAUCAGCAACCACUCUACAUUCAAUAUGUAGACUUGGAGGUAAAUUUUGAAUUAAAGUCUGGUCUUAUUCAUUUAUUACCCAAGUUUCAUGGUUUUGCAGGUGAAGAUCCUCAUAAACAUCUCAAGGAGUUUCAUGUUAUGCGUUCAAGUAUGAGGCCACAAGGCGUGACUGAAGAGCAAAUUAAGUUGUGUGCUUUUCCUUUCUCUUUAGAUGGGCUAGCUAAAGACUGGUUGUAUUACUGUUAGAGUGCAACUUAGCAUAUAAUUUUUUAGGCAAGAAAGAUCACUCAGGAGUUUUCUCUAAAACUGAAUUUUAUUUUAUCUGGUGCAUGUUAAAUGAUGUGAGGCCUAAUUUAGGUUUUUGGUUAGCAGAUCAAUUUCAAAGUGUGCUUAAACGGUAUAGGACUUUAUUUCUUGGUCCAUACAUUACUCUGUUAGCUAUAAACCUAUGUGUGCUUGAUCCUGACAAUAAUGAUUUGCAUCCUGCUUGCAAAAAAGAAUUUUUGGAUAUGUUUAUGUUUGAAAGAACAGGUGUGGUCGAAUUCAAGGAGCGGAGAUUUCAGUUUACUAAACCAGGGCCCACUCAACCUCCGAAGAAGCUUUAUGCUAGGAGUGGUGCUACCUCUGAUGACGAGUUUGACGACGACACUGCUGCCCCGCCAACUAUUCCUUCUACAUCCGCACCACCUUUGAGCAUUCAGUUAGAGAAAAUGGAGCACAAGCUGAAUAAGAUGGAGCAAAAUUUGGCCACAUACUUCGAGAAUGUGGGAUUUACCUCACCAUUUCCGCCAAGCCAAUAGACGUUAUGUGGAUCAAAGCUCACAAUUCAGGGAAGUUUUUUUUGCCUUUAAUCUUUUAUCCUUACGCUUUAAUUUUUAUGUGAGCUUUGAUUAUCUUACAUUGGGGACAAUGUAAGUUCUUGGUGUGGGGGAGGGAUUUUUGCAUUAUUGAUGUCUGGAAUUAUUAUUUUCACUCUACUCAUCUAUUUUCACUCUACUCGUCCUUAAAUGAUUUUGGAGUUAGUAUGCUUCAUAUAUUAUUAAUUUCCUUUUCCUUUCUCUCUCACUACUCUUUUCCCAUCUAUCUCAAAUUAUUUACAUCUAUUUUUUUUUCUAUCAUACUCUUUCAUCACUUACAUUUUAUCUUUCAUUUUUUUACUACAUACAUCUUUCUCGCUUAUUAUUUUUUUACCUUUCUUUUUAUAUCUCACUCAUACCUUCUUCUCAUUCUACACCACUCUUGAUGGUUGAUUCAUUUGAAGAGUGUACAUGAUUUGAUGGCAAAUUUACCAACUUUGUGAGGAUUUGAGCCUGUGAGCAACCACUUUGCUCUAAUUAUUUUUGUUAUGUGAAUAUCAAUCUUAGUUUGUAUAUUCUAGAACUUGCUUUGUUAAGCAUGUUGAAGCCACAUUACGGGAUUUUAUGCAUUAAAAUGAUAAGGGCAAACCAUUUACCAUUUUUCUAUUCUCGCAUUUUCUUUUUUCUCUACCCGAAGACCUUUAUUUGCUACCUUUGUUUGAGCCUUAACCAUUACCCAUCUAAUUCUUUCCAUCUACUUAACCAUUUUUCUUCUUUUUGAGCCUAAUUUAAGGAGAUAUUUGGACUCAUUGUGUGGAUAUAUUUUGUUGCUUUUUCUACCUUGUAUUAAAGUUUCUCAAUUAGAUCAACAAGCAUUAUGCUUGAAUUAAAUUGUGCAAGGUUCGUUUCUUUUGUUUGAUUAAAAAAAAACAACAAAAAAAAGGAAAAAGAAAAAAAAGUGAAAAAAAAAUCGAAAAAAAAAAUUGAAAAAAAAGGUUUACAUUCUUGGUGACUUGAGUAGAAAUAAGCAUUUUGAUAUCAUAAGUUCAUUCAAUGAGUUCAUUCUUCUCAUUUUGAUCUCUUUUUCUUUCAUAAACCUUUCUUUUUUAUUUAACCUAUUUAACUCCAUUACAACCCUUUUAAGACCCUUAAUUUUUUGCAUUUUAUUUAUGUUUUAUGGAUUGAGAUGUGAUAUAUGAGCAAGCUUAUGGUAAUAGCAUUCUUUGAUUUGAUUUGAGUGAAUAAAUGACACCCUAAACACUUUGAGUGCAUGGAGUGAAGUCAAUGAGAGGGCUAUUAAAUCUUGUUGCACUUGAAUUUUGAAUGGAUCUUCUUGGUGGUUGAAUGUUCUUAUUCUAUCUUAUGAGAUUCUAUGCUUUAAAAUCCUUGCCUCUCGAAUGUUGAUCGACUUAAAUUCUUGAGGUAUGCUUGCUUAAAAUUGUUUUUGGAUGAGUUGAGAUGAAAAUUGAGUGGAGAUUUGGGAUUAGUCUUGAGUUAUAUGCUUGAGGACAAGCAUCAUCUUGGUGUGGGGAAUUUGUUAGAGUGCAAUUUAUGCACUAGUUUUGCAUUGUUUACUUCCCUUAAUAUCGAUGUUUUGCACUUAAUAAUAAUGAUUUACUUGUGUUUUACUUUUGUAGGUGCAAUUCUAUUGAUUCUUGAUAAAAUUGAGUUAUACGAUGAUGUUUAAAGAUGAUUGUUCUCUUGGAGAAAUUUAGAGAGUCAUAAGAACUUUGUUGAUACGGCGUGGGUUCUUGCUGUCAACUGCGGACCUGCAGUUUUUAGUUUAACAUGUUUUGUAUUUUUGGUUAUUUUUGUAAUUAUGAAUUUAAUAUUUCAGAUAUUAGUAUUUUAUUUUAAAUAGAACUCUAAAAGAGAAGAGUGAGAGAGUAUUUAAGGGAGGAAUCUAUUGUGAAAAAGGAUUUGGAUUGGAGAAAAAGAAAGAAACCCUAGAUCUAAUUUUUCUCUUCUCUCUAGGAAGAACUAAACUUAUUUUUCUGGUUGAAGGUUAAUAAAGCUUUGAUUCAUCACUACUGUGAGAUCUUUCUUAUGCUUUAGUUGUUUUAUUACUCUUUGGGUAUUUGUUUAUUCUCUGAAUUAGUUUCAUGAUUAUGUUUGUUAAUUAGGUAAUUGGCCACUAUUUAAUUAUCAACUUAAUCUAUUGUCAAUUAAAGGAUUCAUCGUAUGAAGAUUUUAAUGUUUGUGACAAAUAACAUAGUAGUGAGUUGUGUUAUGAGAAUAAACAAUCUAAUUUAAAUGAAUCAUCAUAUGUGUUGAUUAGGAUUUGGGUCUCUCUUGUUUUUCAGGCUGUCAAUUGAUUAAAUCCUAUGAUCGUAUCUAGGGUUGUCUAUUGAUUAGGGAAAUAUCCAACGGUCGUACCUUGGUUAUUGACUAUUUAAGGAGAGAUUGGCAAUUAGAGGGUCUCAAUAGCUAUAACCGGUCUAUUCAUAAGUAAUAAUAAUCUAUAUUUGAAUCAAUGAUCAGUAGUCAAAUCAAGCUGAGUUAAUUUCUUCAACCAGAGCUUUCUCCAAUUUGAAUUACAACUUUAAUUUGCAUUCUUGUUAUUUUAAUUUGAUUUUUAUUAUUGUCAACAAAACCCCCAUUUUAUGUUUUACGUUUUAAAAGGAUUUAAAUAAUUACCGAUCUCUAUGGACACGACCCUGCUCAAUCACUAUACACAAUUUAUUUAGAGUAGUAAUUUAUUUUUGUUGGCUUCGACAACCAUCAAUUACUUGCCACCUGGAUCGAUUACAACAUGGAAUGGUUUGAAGAAGCAGUUCCUUGAGAAGUACUUUCCUGUUGUAAGAGCUGCCAACAUCAGAAAAGUCAUUUGUGGGAUCAGACAACUUCUUGGGGAGACUUUGUAUGAGUAUUGGGAGCGAUUCAAACAAUUGUGUGCCAGCUGUCCUCAGCAUCAGAUUUCUGAUCAACUUCUUAUUUAAUAUUUUUACGAAGGACUGUCAUUGAUGGACAGGAGUAUGAUAGAUGCUGCUAGUGGAGGUGUGUUGGUGAACAAGACCCCUACUCAAGCAAGGGAGUUGAUUGCAAAUAUGGCUGCCAAUGCACAACAAUGUGGCAGCAGGUAAGAUCUCACUUCAAGGAAGGUGAAUUAGGUAAAUAUUUCUUCUGUUGAACAACGUUUAGAUAAACUUACUUCUCUUGUGGAAAAGUUUGUUGUAGGUAAUGUGCAACAGGUGAAGACUUGUGGCAUUUGUUACAAUAUGGGUCAUUCAACCGAUAUGUGUCCUACAUUUCAAGAAGAACCCGUUGAACAAACCAAUGCAGUUAGAGGAUUUCCAGGCAUGCCUUAGAGGAGGUAUGAUCCUUAUACACAAACAUACAAUCCGGGAUGGAAGGAUCAUCCCAACUUCAGCUAUGGAGUUAGACCAUCAUGAUUCCCGCAACAGUAUCCACCAAGACAACCAGCACCUCCACAGUCAAACUCCAAGUCAGGUAUAUCUCUUGAAGAAAUUGUUAAAUCACUUGUGACUAACACUCAACAAUUUCAACAGGCAACUACAGCAAGCAUUCAGAAUUUGGAGAACCAAAUGAGUCAAUUGGCGACUACAGUGAGCCGUCUGGAGUCUCAAGUAUUAGGGAGAUUGCCUUCACAAUCUGAGGUGAAUCCAAAGUAAAACGUUAGUGCUGUCAUCCUUAGAAGAGGGAAGGAGUUGCAAGAUCCCAGUAAGAAAGUGACAAAGCAUGUAGAAGAUGAGUUUGAGAAGAAUGAAUUGAUGCCUAAAUCUCAAGAUGCGCAACCCACCAAAGCGAAACCCCUACCUAUUGUGAUACCUCCUCCUUUCCUAAGCCGGUUUGCAAAAUCCAAGAAGGAGGAACAAGAGAAAGACAUCCUUGAGACAUUUCGCAAGGUUAAGGUAAAUAUUCCUUUAUUAGAUGCUAUAAAACAAAUACCUCGAUAUGCUAAAAUCCUUAAGGAACUAUGCACCUCCAAGAGAAAAGUAAGAGGAGAUGAAAAAGUUCACAUGGGGGAGAAUGUUUCAGCAAUUCUCCAAAAGAAACUACCUCCUAAGUGCAAGGAUCCAGGUAUGUUUACUAUCCCUUGUAAAAUUGGUAGUGUUAGAGUUGAAAAUGCUAUGUUAGAUCUAUGAGCUUUUAUUAAUGUCAUGCCUCGUUCCAUUUAUUCAUCUUUGAAUGUUGGGCCAUUAAAAGAAACUGGCGUGAUAAUUCAACUAGCUGAUAGGUCUAAUGUAUAUCCUGAUGGGGUAUUAGAAGAUGUUUUAGUACAAGUUAAUGAGUUGGUUUUUCCUGCUGAUUUUUAUGUACUUGAUAUGGAAGAGGAUAACUCCUCUAAUUCUGUCCCAAUUUUGCUAGGAAGACCUUUUCUUAAGACUGCUAGGACUAAAAUGGAUGUACAUAAAGGGACUCUCACUAUGGAGUUUGAUGGAGAGGUUAUAGAAUUCAAUAUGAAUGAUGCCAUGAAAUAUCCUAGUGAAGAACAUUCGGUAUUUUCUGUGGAUGUUAUUAACCCUAUAGUGCAGGAAGUUUUUUACAAGAAAAAGACGAAGAUAUUUCAUGAUAGAAUGAUUUUGAGAAAGGAGUUCUUUGUUGGUCAAAAAGUUCUUCUUUUUCAUUCUGAGCUUAAACUUUUUCCGGGUAAAUUACGUCCUUGCUGGGUUGGACCUUUUAUUGUUACUAAUGUUUUUCCUCAUGGUGCAGUUGAGAUUCAGAGUUCGACCUCUGACAAAGUUUUUAAGGUUAAUGGUCAUCACUUAAAACCUUUUUAUGAAGGUUUUUCGGUGAAUAUUGUGGAGAAUGUGGCUCUCGAGAGUCUCAAUUAUGGAGAUUGAUGCAUAAACGUGUCUAGCCAAAGACAUAAAACAAAGGCGCUUUUUGGGAGGCAACCCAAAUGAUUUAUUUAUUUUGGUUUUUGUUAUAUCUUCUUUUAGUUUUGAUUCAGAUUAUUUUUUGAAAAAAAAUAAUGUGUUUGCUUAUUUUGGUCAGAAGAAAAUUUUUGAUAAGGCGUGCUCACGUCUUAACUAAUAAGUACUUCUGUGAUUUUUAAAGUAAAAUGGUUUUAAGGCGUGCCCACGUGCUUAUUAGAAAAGUACUUCUGAAUUUUUUUUUAGUGUCUCAAAGUGAUUCAUCACUAAAAAAAAAUGAAAAAAAAAAUUAUUUAUUUAUUUAUUGAUUUGAAAAUUAAAAAAAAAAGAAAAAAAGAGUUUUUUUCUUCUUUUUCUUCUUUUCUUUCUUAUAUAUAUUUAUUUAUUUUAAAAAAUAAAAAAUCACUAUUCACAAAUCCCUAAUUCAAAAAUUACUGUUGAUUAUCGUUUUCCAGCAGCGCGCCUCGGCUCCAGCCUUCACUGAGCAACCAGCAGCAGCAGACGAGCACGCUCAGCCCCAGCCGCAGCGCGCAGCAUCAGCCCUAGCCGCAGCACACAGCAUCAGUCCCAACCGUAGCGCGCAACGUAACGCAACCAGCGUCACCAGCGCAGUAGAACCAACCCCAACCCGUGCAUCAAGCUACAGCCGAGCAGCAAUCGUCCGCAACCCGCCUACGCACUGUAUUCCAACCGGGUAAAUCGAAAUCCGUGAGUGCAAUUAUUAUAACAAUGCCGAAGAGGAAAGCAUCAACUUCCAAGUCAUCUAAAAAGACACCCGUCGCAAAGAAGUCCAAGAUUGCCGCUCCCACUACGGUUCCAUGGAACACAGUUUCAGAUUCACGCCAAGCCGUGAGACAAAGAACGAAACAUGGAAAGGGCAUGAGUGUUUUACUACUUGCGGAAUCCAAUCUUGGAGGGGGCCUCGCAUUCACGACUCAACAAGAGAAAGAAAGGUACAAAGAUAUUUCCAAGCAAAAAAUACUUCCAGCUAAGUAUAUUCAUUACCCGACUCUUGAAAAAUUGAAUGUUAAGGAUAAUUUUGAUUCUUUGAUAGAUAAGAUUGGUUUGCGUAAGUUUGUUGAUGUUGAUUGUUUGAGUUAUGUUGAGUUGAUUAGGGAGUUUUAUGCUACUUUUCAAUUUAAUAUACCGUAUGAUUUUACUUUGCAUACCCCGGAUAUUAUAAAGUUUAGGUUAAUGGGAUGGAGUUUUUCACACUCGAUCAUAGAUUUUAACCUAGCUUUAGGAUUCAUUGAUGAUGAUUAUUCUUCUAGUGAUGCAUAUUUAGGAACAACUUGUGACUUUAGCGAAAAUUUUGAGCCUUAUGGUCUUUGGCGUAAUUUAUCUGUUGAUCACAAUGCCUAUAACCCAAGUAAAUCAAUGAGUUCUUUCUUACGUGACCCUGUUUUGAAAUGUGUGCAUCGAUUCUUAGCAUAUAAUUUUUUAGGAAAGAAAGAUCACUCAGGAGUUUUCUCUAAAACUGAAUUUUAUUUUAUCUGGUUUAUGUUAAAUGAUGUGAGGCCUAAUUUAGGUUUUUGGUUAGUAGAUCAAUUUCAAAGUGUGCUUAAACGGUAUAGGACUUUAUUUCUUGGUCCAUACAUUACUCGGUUAGCUAUAAACUUAUGUGUGCUUGAUCCUAACAAUAAUGAUUUGCAUCCUGCUUGCAAAAAGGAAUUUUUGGAUAUAUCUGUGUUUGAAAGAACAGGUGUAGUCGAAUUCAAGGAGGGGAGAUUUCAGUUUACUGAACCAGGACCCACUCAACUUCCAAAAAAGCUUUAUGCUAGGAGUGGUGCUACCUCUGAUGACGAGUUUGACGACAAAACUGCUGCCUCACCAACUAUUCCUUCUACAUCCGCACCACCUUUGAGCAUUCAGUUAGAGAAAAUGGAGCACAAGCUGGACAAGAUGGAGCAGAAUUUGGCCGCAUACUUCGAGAGUGUGAGAUUUAUCCCACCAUUUCCGCUAAGCCCAUAGACGUUAUGAGGAUCAAAGCUCACAAUUCAGGGAAGUUUUUGCCUUUAAUCUUUUAUCCUUACACUUUAAUUUUUAUGUGAGCUUUGAUUAUCUUACAUUGGGGACAAUGUAAGUUCUUGGUGUGGGGGAGGGAUUUUUGCAUUAUUGAUGUCUGGAAGUAUUAUUUUCACUCUACUCAUCUAUUUUCACUCUACUCAUCCUUAAAUGAUUUUAGAGUUAGUAUGCUGCAUAUAUUAUUAUUUUUCUUUUCUUUUCCUUCUCACUACUUUUUUCCCAUCUAUCUCAAAUUAUUCAUAUCUAUUUUUAUUUUACCAUAUUCUUUCAUCACUCACAUUUUAUCUUUCAUUUUUUUUCUACAUACAUCUUUCUCGCUUAUUAUCCUUUUUACCUUUCCUUUUAUAUAUCACUCAUACCUUCUUCUCAUUCUACACCACUAUUGAUGGUUGAUUCAUUUGAAGAGUAUACAUGAUUUAAUGGCAAAUUUACCAACUUUGUGAGGAUUUGAGCCUAUGAGCAACCACUUUGCUCUAUUUAUUUUUGUUAUGUGAAUAUCAAUCUUAGUUUGUUUAUUCUAGAACUUGCUUUGUUGUGCAUGUUGAAGCCGCAUUACGGGAUUUUAUGCAUUAAAAUGAUAAGGGCAAACCGCUUUCCAUUUUUCUAUUCUCACAUUUUUCUUCUUUUUCUCCACCCGAAAACCUUUAUUUGUUAUCUUUGUUUGAGCCUUAAACAUUACCCAUCUAAUUCUCUCCGUCUACUUAACCAUUUUUCUUCUUUUUGAGCCUCAAUUUAAGGAGAUUUUUGGACUCAUUGGGUGGAUAUAUUUUGUUGCUUUUUCUACCUUGUAUUAAAGUUUCUCAAAUAGAUCAACAAGCAUUAUGCUUGAAUUAAAUUGUGCAAGGUUCGUUUUUGUUGUUUGAUUAAAAAAAAAGGAAAAAAACAAAAAAAAAAAAGAAAAAAAUGUUUACAUUCUUGGUGACUUGAGUAGAAAUAACCGUUUCGAUAUCAUAAGAUUCAUUCAAUGAGUUCAUUCUUCUCAUUUUGAUCUCUUUUUCUUUCAUAGACCUUUCUUUUUCAUUUAACCCAUUUAACCCCGUUACAACCUUUUUAAGACCAUUAGAUUUUUGCAUUUAAUUCAUGUUUUGUGGAUUGAGAUGUGAUAUAUAAGCAAGCUUAUGGUAAUAGCAUUCUUUGAUUUGAUUUGAGUGCAUAAAUGACGCCCUAAACACUUUGAGUGAAUGGAGUGAAGUCAAUGAGAGGGCUAUUAAAUCUUGUUGCACUUGAAUUUUGAAUGGAUCUUCUUGGCAGUUGAAUGUUUUUAUUCUAGCUUAUGAGAUUCUAUGCUUUAAAAUCCUUGUCUCUUGAAUGUUGAUCGACUUAAAUUCUUGAGGUAUGCUUGCUUAAAAUUGUUUUUGGAUGAGUUGAGAUGAGAAUUGAGUGGAGAUUUGGGAUUAGUCUUGAGUUAUAUGCUUGAGGACAAGCAUCAUUUUGGUGUGGGGGAAUUUGUUAGAGUGCAAUUUAUGCACUAGUUUUGAAUUGUUUACUUCCCUUAAUAUCGAUGUUUUGCACUUAAUAAUAGUGAUUUACUUGUAUUUUAUUUUUAUAGGUGCAAUUCUAUUGAUUGGUGCAAAAAUUGAGCUACAAGAUGAUGUUUAAGGAUGAUUAUUCUCUUGGAGAAAUUAUGAGCGUCAGAAGAACUUUGUUGAUAACGCGUGGGCGCGUGCUUUCAUCUACGGACCUGUAGUUUUUAAUUUAAUGUGUUUUGUAUUUUUGGUUAUUUUUAUAAUUACGAAUUUAAUAUUUCAGAUAUUAGUAUUUUAUUUUAAAUAGAACUCUAGAGGAGAAGAGAGAUAGAGUAUUUAAGGGAGGAAUCUAUUGUGAAAAAAAGGAGAUUUUUGGAAAAGAAAGAAACCCUAGAUCUAAUUUUUUCUCUUCUCUCUAUGAAGAACUAAACCUAUUAUUCUGGUUGAAGGUUAAUGAAGCUUUGAUUCAUCACUACUGUGAGAUCUUUCUUAUGCUUUAAUUGUUUUAUUGCUUUUUGGGUAUUUGUUUAUUCUCUGAAUUAUUUUCAUGAUUAUGUUUGUUAAUUAGAUAAUUGGCCACUAUUUAAUUAUCAACUUAAUCUAUUGUCAAUUAAAGGAUUCAUCGUAUGAAGAUUUUAAUGUUUGUGACAAAUAACAUAGCAGAGAGUUGUGUUGUGAGAAUAAACAAUCUAAUUUAAAUGAACCAUCGUAUGUGUUUGUUGAUUAGGAUUUGGGUCUCUCUGGUUUUUCAAGCUGUCAAUUGAUUAAAUCCUAUGAUCGUAUCUAGGGUUGUCUAUUGAUUAGGGAAAUAACCAAUGGUCAUACCUUGGUUAUCGACUAGUUAAGGAGAGAUUGGCUAUUAGAGGAUCUCAGUAGCUAUAACCGGUCUAUUCAUAAGUAGUAAUAAUUUAUAUUUGAAUCAAUGAUCAGUAGUCGAAUCAAGUUGAGUUAAUUCCUUCAACCAGAGCUUUCUCCAAUUUGAAUUACAACUUUAAUUUGCAUUCUUGUUAUUUUAAUUUGAUUUUUAUUAUUUUCAACAAAACCCCCAUUUUAUAUUUUACGUUUUAAAAGGAUUUAAAUAAUUACCGAUCUCUGUGGGCACGACCCUGCUCAAUCACUAUACACAAUUUAUUUAGAGUAGGUAUUUAUUUUUGUCGGCUUCGACAACCAUCAUUUUGUUUCUUUAUGUAAUUUUUAGACUGCUCUGACAACUCAUCUUAAAGGUGCCACUCAUCCAAUAUGAUAUGGUGACAGUAGUUUAGAGUUUUAAACUAAAUGCAGAGCUAAUAGUAUUUUGGAAAUAUAAUCAUCCUAAGAUACUAACAAAAACAACAACUUCGGUGUAGAGAGAAAAUGAUUUCACAAAAGCAGAUGUUUUGAUUUAAGUCUCCAAAACCCCCACCAAAGAAAUGUUCAACGGAUAUAGAAAUAUGAUCCACAUAUCUGUAACUUAAACUGUGAAAUUUGUUGAUGCUGUUCUAAAAUUGCCACAAUCUAUCUACCCCAUGAAUGUUAUUGGAUAAAACAACAAGCAGGACCCAAUGCCUGUUUUCUAAUAGCUUCAAAAAGGCCAAAUUGGUUUUGAAAUGUCUCCAGCUUUUCAUUUAACAAGUUUAAGGAUCCCUUCGGCAUUGCAAUUGGGGAGCUCAGAUAUAUAAAAGUCUGGUAAACUCUUACAGCCGCAGCUUUUGAGCAAAAAUAAUUUUAUCUCAUAAUAUUUUGACAAAAAACUUAUAUCACCUUUUAUCAGUUUUGUAAAAAAUAUUAUUUAUAAGUCAUAUUUACCAAACACAAUCAACUUUUACAUCACAAUUAUAGCUUCUUUUUUUUCACCACACAUAUACAGUUAAAAUCUACAAGAACUCGAUAUCAAAUAGAUCCUAAAGCUUAAUCUAAUAAAAAGGUAAAUAAACAAAUGCAGAAGCCAGCGUACUUGAUCAAGACGCUCUGAAUAGUCACUGGGAAAGGGAAUAUCGACGUUAAUGGGGUUAUUGCCAUCGCUUGAAACCGAAUUGGUGAGACAAUUGCGUUUUCUUCUGUACGGAGAAAAUGUGACGAUUCUUUGACCACUGAAAAUUUCGAUUCUACAAUUUACCUGCAAUUAGUGACAAUUAUUCCGUUUAGAAACAAUUUUAAAAAAAAUAAAAAGUAAUAAUUACAAACUCAGAGUAUACCUGUGGACGUGGAAUUGAAGAAACUGGAAUAGGAAGCGUAGGGAGGGCAAUGGCUGUAUUGGAGGAUAACGGCAUUUUGAACCUCAAAGUAAAGAGAGAGAGAGAGAAGAAACGCUUCCCUUUCAAAUACCGCGCUCUUUUGUACCUGGGAAUUUAACUAAUUCAUGCGAAUAAAAAAAUUUAUAAAUUUGGUAAAUUAUUUAUUAAAAAAUAUUGAGAGGUUGUGCAUUAUUUUAUUAGUAAUGACAUGGUAAUAAUCAAAUUAGUUAAAUUAAAAUAGUUGUUGACUCAGUAAUUUAUUUUUAUUAUUUUUAUAUAUUUAUUUAAUUAAUUAAUUAAUGUUAUAUCUAUUUAUAUAAAAAUGUACAGUUCUAUCCUCACUCUUAUUUUAUUUUUAUUAUUUUAAAAAAAAUGGUCUGCGUUAUUAAGGUUAAGGGUGACAACUGGGAUUAAUAUACGGUUUAUUCGAGUGCUUAAAACCUAAUAAAUAUCCACUAACUCAUAUAUAGUAAAAAUAUAAUUAUUUUAAAAAAAAUUAAUAUAAACUAAACAAAUUGAUUGGAUUUUGUUUCUCAAGGUACAUCAUUAGAACGUUACUUUUAACUGAACAAAAGCACACAUAACUAGCACAUUCGCCACAAAAGCCUCGGCUUAGUGGUCGGCUUAUUAAUUAUCCUAAUUAAAUCAUGGUCAUAAAUUUGAGUCCCGGCAGGAAUUAUUAGGCUAGGUAGCUUUUAUAGACUACACUAUAAAUACAUGUAUUUUAAUUCUCGCGGGUAUUGCUUCUAGUAGUUAUCCAUCCGAGUAUAGUGCUUUGUAGCUUUCUUCACGACCUUCCCCAAUUUCAAUGAUUGUUAAUCAAUCUUCAUAGAAAAUGUGAUAAGACUGUAUUUAGAGAAAAGCUCAAUAAAUGAUUUUUAUAGGUCAUCAUUUCAUUUAAUUUUCCGUUAUAUAUAUAUAUUCACCUUUCUCAGAGGCCAAGAAGUCUUCGACAGAAAUGUGAUCCUUGAGCUUCUCCCAAGUUUCAAUUAAUUCGCUUUGAGUGAGGAUAUUUUCUGGUGGCCUCAAAUACAAUGUUUUGUUCAGUACUCGAGGAGCAUUUAUUGUCUUAAUAGUAUUUAUGGCAACAUCAUCGAUAUGCACAGUAAAAAAAAAGAUAAUCAUUUUGUUUAAUAUGAACAUAAAUUGUCAAAUUCUGAAUCAUAUUAUAGUGAACGAUAUUGUCGUAUGGUGUGUGUAUGUACUAUCUAUAGUUUUAAUAUUAUUAAUAAGGAGUUAAAAGUCUUGAUUUAAUUUUAAAUUGUUAUUCCUCUAACUUCACCGUCUCCAUAGAUGCAGACUCUAUCUUUUGAAGGGCGGGGGUAGCUAUAUUUGAGAGAGGUGUCUGGGGAACCAACCAGCAAAAAAUAGCUAGCAGAAACAUAAAUGACAAGGAUUUGAGCAGCCUUGAUUGCCCUUCUCACACAUGCGCUCUGUGUUCUCCCUCCAGCUCUCACUCACUCACGCCCAAAUCUCACCUCACUCACGUAUCUCUCCUUUCUGACCGGUGGUUUUCUCUCUCUCGCCGUGGGUCUCUAGGCUGGCGGGGAUUUCUCGACUUGACUACUAAAACAUAAUCCAAAAACUAUCUCGACUUGACUACUAAAACAUAAUCCAAAAACUACUAAGAUAUAUAUAUAUUACUAUGAUAUACACAAUAUGAAGAAACUGCAGUUAUAUUUCAAAUAUUUUAUGAAGGAAGAGGCUGUAUGGAUUAUCCAAAGGUGCUGAAAUUAAGAGACCCACGCCAACCGACAGAGUGAGUGAAUAUAAGGGGGUUAUUGGGUAAAAAUCACAUAACGCGCAAGCGAAAUUUUAGAUUAUAUUUUUUAAUACUCUCCGAGUCUCUCUUUCUCUUUCUUUUUUGGUUUGAACCACGAGGUGGUCCUGAGUGGGUCCCAACUAUGGAAAGCACUUUUAAGCCCGUACCACAACUUAGACUAAUCCCCACUCGCACCGGGUCGGCCCGUAAGGGGUAAAGUGCUGGGCAAAGUGGUGACUCCAUACGAGAGCGGGACUUGAACCCCUGACCUCUCUUAAGGAGUGAGAGUGCCGAACCACUCACACCAACCAACUUUGGUUAACUCUCUUUCUCUUUUUCUUUUUUUAAAUAAAUGUCAGUAUAAAAUUAGAAAAUUUUAGAUAUAAAAUUUGGCGAUGACCAAACAAAAAUUGCAGGGGAAACCUUGAUAUCAUUGAAAUACUAAUCAUAGACACUGCAGUAUAAAUAACUUCUUGUGAUCUACUCAACUUUAACACUUUAAUCCAUAUUCUAAAAUUUGCAUGUUUGUUAGGAUUUUUAUUAUUGAUACUGUUGUAUCAAUAAAAUUAUAAUUUAUUCAUAUGGAAUGAAAACAUCAAGAAAGGACCUCUGAAGUUUAUUAUAACAGAAAAAAAUGGUCCAUAAGUCUAUUUAUUAUUUUAUUUAUUCAAUACAAAUGGCCAACUUUAAAAAUGGUAAAAGUCACACAAUGCACAAGUAAAAUUUUAGAAUUAAAUUUUUUAAUUCUCUUUGAGUCUCUCUCUCUUUAAAAAAUAAACCUCACUGUAAAAUUAGAAAAAUUUUAGACGUAAAAUUUGACAAUCACCAAAUAGAAAACAUAGGCAAAUGAAAAUGGAGGAGCCCUAUUUUCAUUAGAAUAUUGAUCAUAGAUACUAUAAUGUAAAUCAUUUGUUGUGGUUCAUUCAACCUGUCACACUCUAAGCCAUUUUCUAAAAUUUGUAAGGUUUAUAGGAUUUUUAUUAUUGCCAUCAUUGUAUCAAUAAUAUUAUAAAUUAUAUAUUCUAUUGUAAUGAAAAUUUGUGCAAUCUUAGGUAUGUAUUAUAUUAAAUUGUGUGGAUUAAUUAAGAAUAUUUUUGGAGACAAAAGAAGUGUGUGUAUGUAAGAAUAAUGAUAAAAAAUUUCUAAAUAAAGGUGAUUGCUUCAUUGACAAGUACAUAUUUAUAUUCCUCUAUUAGUAUUUGGGUUGUAAACUCUGUUUAUAAAGUGAAUAUAUUGUGGUAAGCGAUGUGGGAAAUAUCGGAUGCGAAAUAUUGAGAGAUCAUUAACGCAUAUAUUUAUUGAAGAUGCAUAUAGAGGAAAGAGUGUAGAUCCGGCCGUAACACUUAUGAAGCUUUCCCUAAGUAUUCUCAUGCUUGCUUAACUAUUCCGAAGUAUUUUUCAUAGUGUGCAUAUUUACUUUAUGGUGUCUUUAUUCGUCUCAAAUGAUUACUACAGUUCUUUUGGGAUGAAAGGUCAUUUAUUUUGUUAAUUUUAAACAAUAGAAAAAAUAAAUAAUGGUAACGAAAGACUAAUUGUGAUAUUGAAGCGUACGGACUUUAACUCAAUCCAAAAAUUAGUAGGACCCACAUAUAUUUGAUGACGCUGAAAGUUACAUCAAUUGUAACUUAGAAACAUCCAAAUAUUAGACAAUAAUACACAAUAACAAUGCAUAUAAUUUGGGUUUGAUUUUUAAAAAAUUAUUUGAAUAUCACUUAUCCUUAAGAUAUUAAUUUGAAUAUAUUUUAAUAGUAAAUAAUAAAAAUUUGUUUAGUUAUUAUUUGUAUUUCAUACAUUGCAUGUUAGAUUUGUUUGAAUUUUAAGUUGUUGCGAAUAAAUAUUUAUGUUGUGAAAGUCGAAUUCAAUAGCUACAAAAGCAGAGAUAAUUGUAUUUUAUAUAGUUUUUAAGAAUACAAGGAUAAGAUCAUAACGCAUGAGAUAACGGUAUUUUAUAUUAAAAGACCAUAAUGCAUGUAUUUGAGCCAUUUAUAUUGAAGACACAUAUAGAGGAAUGAGUGCAGAUCCGACCAUAACUAUUGUGAAGCUUUCCUCAAGUAUUCUCAUGCACCCAAACCUUAUCUGGUCAAGGUUUCUGAUUGAAUAUAAUCAAUUUCCGUGCAGUACCGAAGACAGCUUCUGUUGGUAGUUGAAUUUGUGGGGAAUGACAAAUGUAGAGAAAUACAACAAUAAUGGUGGAACUUUAUUACGUAAAGUAAUGUGUUUACAACUAACUCUGUAUGUAGUAAGAAAAAUAAUAGUAAUAAGUAAACUUGCAAAAAUUUUGUGUGCUUGAAGGCACGUUACAAAUGUCGCUUUCCUUAAGACGUUAUUUGCCCCCACCAAUUGAGUGAUGCACAUGGGUUAAGCAAAUACGCAUCCAGGAUACAAUGAAGCACUUGUUUGUUUGCUAGUGUUGUGCAUCAACGAAAGCAAACCAGAAUACUCUUGAAUGUUGCAAGCCUGCCAAGAAACAAUAAAUUGUUCCUGCAGAAAACAAUAUAUUGGAUUGUGAAUGCACAAAAGAAAUGGGUGUUUUGUGUUGAAAUUCGUACUAGAAAGGAAUGCUAAGAAAAGAGUGGUGUAGGAUCAUUGAUUUCAUGUCUAAAUGGCUUAAACAUGACCCCUAUUUAUGGAUAUACUUGUGCCCCCUCAUUUGGGUUGUCAUCUUCAUGAUACCCCUUCAUUCAUGGCCAUUGGAUCUAUAUUUAAUUUUAAUCAAUGGUCCAAAUUGAACCAUCACCAUUUCAAAUGAAAUGUCACCAUGAAAUGAUGCAUCUCUAAGUGAAAUGUUACCAUGAAAAGUUAUAUCAUUUAGUAAAAAGAUACAUUUUCUAUAAGACAUAAUUAAAUAGACAUGUCCUUACAACAAGACAUCAUUUAAUUAGACAUGUCUUUAGUGAAAUGUACUUUUUCUAUAAGGCAGAAUUAAUAAGACAUGUCUUCACCAUAAGACACAAUUUAUUUUGAAAAUUUUCCAACAGCUUAUCUGUAAAGCUCUUCAACCACAAGCAUUUCUACAAGGCAAAAGACUAGGACGUGUUGGAAUGAAUAUCAAUAAGGGAAUGUCUUAUGAAUUUGGUUUAUAUCCUAAUAUAAGACAAUCAAUAAAUAUUGGAUGCAAUCUAAGGGCUAACAUUUGAUUGAUCAUUGUACGAAAAAAAAAGGUACAAAAAUACAAAACAGAGCUGAUUGAUGGCCUUUAACAGUCAGUUCUAUGACAAAGUAACCACCACAACAAAUGGAAUUAUAAGACAUCAAGAAACUUGAACUUGGCAGGAGGUCUCAUUAGCAGUAUACCUCAGAAAUUAAGACAGAGACUUUAAAAUGCAAGCUUAUGGAGUAAUUUAAGCACUGAAACUAAUAACAGUGAUGCAAAAAAAGGUGCAGAAGUACGGUAUUAGCAAUUGACCUCUGCUUUUGCUUGGACAAAGGUUUUCAUCACAAGGGACUCAUUAGUUGCCCUUGCCUCACACGAUUGGAUGCUAAGGGGAAAAAGGAAGCUUCUAACGGCAUUCACAGAGAACCUAUAAAACUAAAAAAAAAAAAAAUCAUCCAUGAAAAGGCUACUAACAAAAAAACUAACUCUUUUAUCUGCCACUGACCUAAUCCGCACUCAUUUAAUUAAAAAAGAAUUAAAAGCAAAACUAAAAGAUACAAAUUGCGUACAAGUCUAGGAGCCAUAUCAAAGGCGUUAUAUAACUUUUCCAAUUAAUAAAUUCUCUUAAGGGCCAUACCGUGCUCAUCAUUUCAAAAGCAAUUAAGGAUAAGAACUUUCAUCAUUAAUUGAUAUGGCCAGUGUAGAAAAAAUGAAAAAGCCCUCCAAGAUCAAAGCACAAGGAUCAGUUUAGAAUUACACUUUUUAAAUUUUGGUUAAUAAAUAAACGUUUAUAUGAAAAUAGAAAAUCUUUUUGGAAUAACCUUUUUUUUUCUUUUUUUAAUGAAUGUGGAUAUAAAAUUUUAAAAUCGCCAAACCGAAAAGAAAAACAGGGGAAUGAAAAGAGAGCCCACGUUUCUCCUCUCUUUUGUUUUUAUUGUUAUCAAACAGGGGAAUGAAAAGAGUGCUCUGUUUCUCCCCUGUUUUGAUUUUUUUAUUACUAAACAGGGGAAUGAAGAGAUCAGCUCUUGUCGCAAGCGCAAAUUUUUGUUUCUAAAUGCAGUUGGUUGUAACUAUAUUCGCAGUCCCUAGUACUUAGAAGUAAAGGCUCUUGGAAUUUCUAUUGUAGUACAUGAGAUGUUUCCCGUUCAAAUAGCUCGCCCGAUACCAUUAGCAUGUUCAUCUCUCUAUAGAUUGAUGUUGACAUAGAUGUUAUUCUACUUUUGCUAGUGGAGUUUUGGGCCUUGUCGUAAUUGGUGGAAUUACGACAUCGGUGGCUGACAUGGCUUUCCUUGUACAGGUAUGUAUGAUUGUUUUUUUUGCACGUCUAAAUGGCACUGUUGAAAAGCUUAAAAUUGAACUGAUAAUUUUGUUUGGAAGCUCAGAAAAUUCAUGAGAAAGUGAAAUAGAAUAUUCUGGAUUUCUUUUCUUUCCAUAACAUACAAAUGACAAACGUAGCAGUAUUUAUACUCGUUGCUUACAUCAUAAAAACAGAAUUAAAGCAAGUUAUACAACUAUAACAUAAUAAAAACCGUGCUUAACUAAUUGGCUGAGCUAGCAUAUACUUCUUUAACUAACACAUGCUUAUCGUGCAGCUACUCUUUAGUUCACACGUGCUCAGUGUGCUUCCUUAACAGACACAAGGGAAAAGACAUGAUUUUGAGAUAUAACGCUUGAAUGUUCUCGGAAUGGCAUAACGCUUUGUGUGUCUCGGACCUGUUAAGAAUAACAUAUGCUGAGUCAGCUGCUGAGUCAUCAAGCCACGCUGGAAGUUAGUUUUGCAGUUAGUUAGAGAGCUUAUCAGCUUCCCUCCAAAAGUUUGUUAUGUGUAUUAGAAUCUGGGCUCACGAGUUUUGUGAGAUUGUAACCUUAAGAAGAUUCUCACACUACUAUAAAUUGUAUUGUGACUCAAUUAAUAAAAUAAGUUGAAGCUUUGCAUUUUCUCUCAGUCAAAAUUUUCUCUCUGUUUUUCUAACCAAACAAGAUCUACAGAGCAUCUUGUAUUUUAACUUGGUAUCAGAGCUUGAAUCCAAUGGCCUUAAUCGGUUCCAAUCAACAGUCAAGCAACACUUCCAUAACUUCUUUCACCUUCACAAAUCCAAUUAAGCUUGAUCGUGCAAACUAUACGAUCUGGAAACAAUAAGUACUUUCUUCAAUUCGUGGCAAUGGUCUUGAAGGCUAUAUUGAUGGAUCAAGGAUCUGUCCUAGUCAAUUUCUUUCUCCAGAGGCUAGAUCUGAAGGUUCUUCUUCUUCUAACAUCGAAGGUCAAGAGAAUCCAGAGUAUGCAGCCUGGAGACGUCAAGAUUAGCUCCUGCUCAGCUGGAUUCUGUCGUCCAUGAAUGUAGAUAUUCUCAGUCUUGUGGUAAGCUCUAAGACUUCUUUUGAGUUGUGGAAAAAUCUAGAAAAAUAAUUUGGAUCUGAAUCUAUGGCUAAGAAGGUUCAUCUAAAAAUGCUUUUGAGUAACCUGCGAAAAGGAUCUCUAACCAUGUCUGAGUAUUUUACAAAGCUUAAGUCAGUUACAGAUGGUCUUGCUUUAGUUGGUAGCCCUGUGCAUGAUUCGGAUUUAGUCACUCAUCUUAUUACUAGUCUAGAUCAGUCAUAUUAUCCUGUAGUAGUCUAUAUUGAGGCAAACAUGUUGAAAAUGGAUCUUAGUGAGGCUUAUGCUAUGCUUCUCACACAUGAAGCUAGACUUGAGAAUAAUAAGCUUCAUGAUAGUAAGGAAACCAAGAACAAUUAUGCAGCAAAUGUAGCUCAGGCUGGAAAUUUUUCAAAGAAAGGUAAUAACAAUAAUCAAAACAACUGGAAGGCUGGAGGAAACAAUUGGAAUAAUAACUCUGGUGGAAGAGGUGGUUUUGGUGGUAAUGGAAGAGGUGGUUACCAAGGGUUCAAUCCAGGAAGAGGAAACUAGAAUAAUAAUAAUUUCAGAGGUGUUGCUGGUGGAUUUAAUAGUGGAUUUCCUGGUCCCGGUGGCUUCAAUAACAAUUAUGGCAGAGGUGGUUUCAACUCAGGAGGUGCUGGAAAGAAUUUUGCUCAGGGAACUGGUGCUGCUUGUCAGAUAUGCUUCAGGUUUAAUCACACAGCAGCUGAUUGCAGAGACAGGUUCAACCGAAAUUUUAUCCCAAAUUUUCCAGCUCCAGCUCCAAAUCACUUCUGUAAUCAGCAUCAAGGACCAAGAGCAGUCUUCAUAACAACAUCUGAAGGAGCUGCUGAUCAGGGAUGGUUUCUGGAUAGUGGUGCAACUCACCACUUAACCAACACAGUUCAGAAUCUGAGUGAUGGUAAAAUCUAUUUUGGCUCAAACUUACUUACUGUUGGUAAUGGCCAAGGUCUUAGAAUUACUCACAUAGGUUAUACACAACUUCACACUUCUUUUGGCACCUGUUUACAACUACAUAAUAUUUUGUGUGUCCCUCAAAUUACCAAGAACCUCAUUAGUAUUUCCAAACUCCUCACUGAUAAUGAUAUAACCAUUGAAUUUUUCUCUGAUGUUUGCUUUCUAAAGGACAAGGUGAAGGGCACUCUGUUGGCUCAGGGGAUAGCCUAUACAAGCUACUAUCAAAAGAGGAAUCUCUCUCUUCUUCCACUUCUGUUCUGCCAGUGUCUCAUCCUAGUUCUAUGAUGUCAACUCUUUCCUGCAAUAAUGUAGUUACUUCUGUUCAAAGUUCAAAUAAUGACUUCUGUUUUAAGUCUACAUUUCCUGUAAGCUUUCAAACUUCAAGUUAUGUGUCAGCAAAUAUGUUGCACAAUAGACUUGGUCAUCCAAGUAAACAUGUCAUACAAACUAUUCUCAGAAACAAUUGUUUAAUGUCAGCCAAUGUUAGUAAAUCAAAUUUUCUUUUCUGUGAUGCCUGUCAAUUGGGAAAGUUACAUCAAUUACACUUUCCUGCUACUGAAAUCAAAACAAAAAACCCCUUAGAAUUAAUACACACAGACUUAUGAGGACCAGCACCAGUUUUAUCACUAGAUGGCUAUAGAUACUAUAUUUCCUUUGUUGAUGACUUCACCCGAUAUUGUUGGAUCUUUCCUUUAGUUUUAAAAUCUGAUGCUCUUACUACUUUCAAAAACUUCAAGAGCUUAGUUGAGAAACAAUUCAGUCUGCCUAUCAAAAUUCUGCGGUCUGAUAUGGGAGGUGAAUUCAAAGCUUUUCAGUCCUUUCUUCAACAAGAAGGUAUCCAAGCUAGAUUUAGUUGUCCCUAUACUCACCAUCAAAAUGGUGUUGUUGAGAGAAAAUAUAGACACUUAGUAGAAACUGGAUUAACACUCCUUACUCAAGUAAAAAUGCCUAUUUCUUUCUCGUGGGAGGCUUUCCAUACAGCCUCCUAUCUCAUUAAUAGAAUGCCUACCACUACACUGAACAACUUAUCUCCCUAUCAAAAGCUUCAUAAUCAGCCACCAAACUAUCAACUUCUCAGAGUUUUUGGUUGUGCUUCCUAUCCUUUUCUCAAGCCUUAUAAUGAUCACAAGCUUGAUUUUCAUUCCCAAAAAUGCUUGUUCUUAGGUUACAGCCCUCUUCAGAAAGGAUAUAGGUGUCUAACAAAGUCAGGUAAAGUAUAUGUUGCUACUCAUAUUGUUUUUAAUGAAUCUGAUUUUCCCUAUUCAGAGUUGUUCUCUUCAUCUGAGUCUUCUUCCAAUUCUCUAUCAUCAUACUCUCCAUCUAUUUGUAUCCUUAAUGACAGUGGCUUGCAUCAAUCAUCAGCUACAUCUCCUACUUCAGCAAAGUUACCAACUAUACAUUCACCUCAACAUCCUCACCAAGCCCCACACUCUCCUUGUCCCUCUCCAGUCUCAGAUUCCUACAGCUAAUCAUCACCACAUUCUUCAUCACAUAAUGCUUUAGCCAAUCCCUCUGAUGAAUUACAACCAUCAUCUCAACCUGUCAUUUCAACUCAUCAGAUGGUCACUCGAGCCAAAUCUGGUAUUUUUAAACCAAAGACCUACCUUACAGCUACCCAAGACCUUGAACCAGUGAGUGUUAAAGCAACCCUAAUUGAUACAAAGUGGAAAAUGGCUAUGCAAGAAGAGUAUAAUGCCUUGCAGAAGAAUGGCACCUGGACAUUAGUUCCAGCUGAAACAGCUACAAAACUUGUUGGCAAUAAGUGGGUUUUUCGAGUUAAAUAUAACCCAGAUGGCAGCAUUUCCAAGUAUAAGGCUCGGUUGGAUGCAAAAGGUUUUCAUCAAACCUAUGGAGUAGAUUUCUUUGAAACUUUUAGUCCAGUUGUUAAACCCUGCACUGUUCGUAUUGUUCUCAGCUUAGCAGUCAUGCAUUGUUGGCCAGUUCGGCAAUUAGAUGUUAACAAUGCCUUUCUUAAUGGCAUGCUUACUGAAGAUGUGUUUAUGCCUCAGCUAGAAGGCUUUAUCAGCUCUCAGUUUCUCAAUCAUGUCUGCAAAUUACAAAAAGCCCUUUAUGGUCUUAAACAGGCUCCAAGGGCUUGGUAUGAUAGAUUGAAAGGGUCUUUAGUUCAGUGGGGUUUCAAAUCUUCAAAGUCAGAUACUUCACUGUUUUUCAAGCAUAUUGGCAAUAAUGUUCUCAUCAUCCUUGUUUAUGUAGAUGAUAUCCUGAUAACAGGCUCUAGUGAUGUUUAUAUUUAAGAGGUUAUCAGUCUACUUAGCUCAGAAUUUGCACUUAAAGAUUUAGGAGAUUUUAACUACUUUCUUGGGGUAGAAGUGACUCCAUCUGCUGAAGGAUUACAUCUAUCUCAAACUAAGUAUGUUGGUGACAUCUUAAGAAAAGCUCAUAUGCUUGAGAGUAAAGGUUGUAAUACACCUAUCAGUGUUGCUGAUAAAUUGCAGAAGGACAAAGGCUGCUCAUUUACAAAUCCCUCACUUUACAGAAGCAUCAUUGGUUCUCUGCAGUAUCUGACACUGACCAGACCAGAUAUUGCAUUCACUGUAAACAAAUUGAGUCAGUUUUUAGCUGCUCCAACUAUCUUGCAUUGGCAGGCUUGCAAGAGGGUAUUACGAUAUCUACAAAGCACAUCACAUUUUAGACUGCAAUUCUUCAAGUCAGGUUCUCCAAGUCUCAUAGCAUAUUCUGAUGCAGAUUGGGGGUCUGAUCCAGAUGAUAGAAGAUCUGUUGGAGGGUAUUGUGUUUAUCUUGGAUCCAAUCUUGUGUCUUGGUCAUGUAAGAAACAGAACAUUGUUUCCAGGUCAUCUGUUGAAUCUGAGUAUAGAGCAUGGCCUUAGCUACAUCUGAGGUUUUGUGGAUUACAUAUCUAUUAAAAAAGCUCAAAGUAUCACUUCCCAAACCUCUUGUUCUUUACUGUGACAACAGCAGUGCAGAAGCUUUGGCUAGCAAUCCUAAGUAUCAUUCCAGAACUAAACAUAUAGAACUGGAUUUACAUUUUUUCAGAGAACACAUUGCCAACAAGGAUCUCUUCAUUGAACAUGUGUCUAGUUCUGAUAAGCUAGCUGAUGUGCUUACCAAACCUCUGAGUUUUGAUCAUUUUGCCUAUAUGCAAACUAAGGUCAAUGUCUGCCCAUGACCUUGAGCUUACGGGGGCAUUUUAAGAAUAACAUAUGCUGAGUCAUCAAGCCAUGCUGGAAGUCAGUUUUGCAGUUAGUUAGAGAGCUUAUCAGCUUCCCUCCAAAAGUUUGUUAUGUGUAUUAGAAUCUGGGCUCACGAGUUUUGUGAGAUUGUAACCUUGAGAAGAUUCUCACACUACUAUAAAUUGUAUUGUGACUCAAUUAAUAAAAUAAGUUGAAGCUUUGCAUUUUCUCUCAGUCAAAAUUUUCUCUCUAUUUUUCUAAGUAACCAAACAAGAUCUACAGAGCAUUUUGUAUUUUAACUGGAGCGGCUGAUUGGUGCUGUACGUGUUACAUUUUUACUUUUUUAACUCAAGUCUGCUGUUGUCCCAAAGUUGGAACUAGAGAUAUCAUUUCACCUCAACUGUGUUUUUUUUUUAAUUAAAAAAAUCAUUUGUUUUAGGUAUACAUACAUGUAUUUUAAUUCUAUUUUCCUUGUAAUUUCUCCUUUACUUUGAAUGAAAGUCAUUGGUGUUUUCGAAUGGGAAUUUUGCAUUAAAAAAUUAAGAAUAGUUAAUAGGAAAUUUCCUGAUUCUUUAGUUACUAUUUUUGGUAUGAGUGUAAUUAGUAGUAAAGUUGGUUUCUACUCGCAAACAAGUGAACUGCUCGAUUCCCAAGUGCUAUUAACCAGUUUCCAACUUUUUAAUAUACACUAAUUGUUCCUGUUUAAUAGCUACUACUAUUAAAACUCAACAGCUAACAAAAAUACUAAAAAAAAUGAUUUUUUCUUAUGAUGCUGUGAAAAAAAUUACGGGUUUACUUAUUUCCACGAGAUCUUGUAUAGUGUUCUUGUAUAGUGGAAUUAAGAUUGUCUUCCCGAUGGUGCAAUUCACCCUCUUCCUUUACAGUCACUUGCACUUUGUGCAGCUUUGGUGUGGAUAAGAUUCCCAGGGAAAAAGUCUUCAUGUUCGGACAAUGUGUCACAAAUACUCGUUCCAAUGAUGGGAAUUCAAGAGGGUAAUUCUCCAAACAAAAGCUGGUAAGCCUUGGUAAAUACGACUCUCCUUCACUUCUUCUCCAGCAUGUCCUACGAUUUCUUCUAAUUUUUUGCAGUUCCAUACAUAAAGAUUCACCAGACUAGUAGGAAUUCCAACCUGAAAAUAAGCAGAGUGUGUGUGUGUGUGUGUAUAUAUAUAUAUUAAAAAAGUAAAUAUGUAAGAGUAUCAUUCAACUAGGCUCAAAGAAUGUUUAAUCAUACAAUUAUACGUUUUAUGAACAUAACAAACUGUGAAAUAUCUACUAGAUAUUUUUUGUUAAACAAAAAAGGUAACAAGAUAAAUAAAUAAAUAAAAGCCAGAUAAACAAAGAUGAUAAAAAUGUAUUUACACUAUUUAGUAUUAGGGACGUAGAAAGAAUUUAUGGCAAUUUCUAAAUAUUUUGGACUUAUUUUGCAUCUUGAUAUAAGUUUUUAAGCAUAAAUUUGCAAAUUUCAACUAUUCCUUUAAAAAAAAAACUCAACUAAAAUGCCUCUUUUUCCCUUUUCCUUGGUCCCUAUUUUUUAUGUAUAUAUAAAAAUGGAAAAAAAAAUUUUGGAAAAGACUUCCCAGUACUGUCAACAAGGGAUUGCUGUAAAGUGGAUCUUUAUUAAGUACUUCCAGACUCGAGGAAAUUUCUUUACAAUCAAGGGUCAGUUGUAAACAAUCAUGAAUUUGUGGUUAAUUAAUGGCAUAAUCAAUUCUUAACUAAACUGGAGAUAUUAAUUAAAUUUGAAGACUUUUUUUUUUUCCAAUCGAAAUGUGAAGAAUUAAGGAAAAGAGAAAUAUAUAGAUGAAUUUGUGAACCUAUAAGAUGAGUGACUAUCCUUUAAUUUUUGAAAAUUGUACUUAUUAAGACAUGAGCAGAAACAAUUAAAUUGAAUUAUAUUAUGCUGUUGAAUCGUGAUUAAAAAAAUUAUAUUGUUGAUUCUAAUGCUGGCGAACCUAAAAACUGGACUUAAAACGUAGAUUUCAGAGUGGUGGUUUGAAGUACAAUACUUGAAAUAAAUAAUCAGUGGCUAAAUAUCAUUUGUAAACCCAAAAAUGGUUAAAAUAUUGUUGAAUGUUAUUUGAAAAAAAAAAAAAAGAGAUUCAAAAUGAAUAUUCUUACCAAUGGAGGAAAAAUAUUCUUUAGGUUAUCACACCAAGAUAUCUCCAAAUUCUUCAAUUUGCUGAAAGACUCCGAAGCAAGCUGGUGGUGCCAUAUUUUUCUCAAAUUAUCCAUCCAGUCAAUACGUAAUACCUCCAACCUAGGAAGUCGUACCUGACAGUUAAAGAUUAAAUAACUAAUUAAUCAAUUAAUGGCAUAAUCAAUUGAUAAAUAAAUUAGAGGCGGAUAUUAACUAAAUUUGAAGACUCAAGGAAAAGACAAAUUAAAUAUUGUGACUAAAAUAAAUUUAAAAAAAAAAAAAACCUUUUCGUCAAAGAGAGGAGGUUGCAUUUCAGAAUGAAUGGUGUCUUCUGGUGAGCUCGUGGAGAUGAAUCUUAACAUAUUCCAGCAACUCUGAAUCUCGAGGUUUAGCAAAGAAGGGAAUUCAACAACUAAAUCUGAAUGAAUAUGUCCCGUAUUGGCAAAGCUUGUUAGUUCUGGAAGCCAAUAGAGCCGCAGGAAGUGUAGUUUAGGAAAUACCUUUAAUUCAAUCAACUUUCCUUCAUCUCUUUCUGACCAUCCCGUGGUGUCGACUACCCCUUCCAUUGACUCACAAUAGCUUAUCUCAAGAUGUUGGAGCUGCAAAAGGCUAUUAACCAUAGAAUAUGAAAACAGAUACUUCAUACGAUGACAACCGACCACGUGCAGCUUUGUUAGAUUUUGACAACAGUACAUUCCUUGAUUAUGAUCGGCCCAUAAUUUUUUCAUGUUUCUCAAGUCCCUGAGAUUCAAUUCCUCUAAGCUCGGAAGAAUAACCUGCAAAGAAAACCCGUACAUUUUUGUUCCUUCAAGUACAACCGUCUAGUAUAAUAUUCUUUUGAUGAUCGAAGAUUAAUCGUGAUAAUAAAUUAAUCAAUUAAUUAUUGAACAGAAAAUUAUCACCUUUGGAGCAGGAUCAUCAUCAGAAAUGAUUUCGUUGAAUCCCAAAGAAGUUGUUGGUUUGUCCAUGUCGGGUCCUAUAAACAAACAAAAACAAUAUACAUAAUUAAUCUUUGUCGUUGUCUUUUUUUUUCAAAAUAAUUGAGGCGAAGUCCAUAAAUCCACCAACACUUAAUUUCAACACUUACCAACAAUCAUUUCCAGAUCAUCGCAAAAAAACACUUCUACCUUUUGAAGCCACAGUAGGUUUUUGGCCAUGGAGAAUGAGAAAAGAUGCUUCAAUUCGUGACAGUCUGAUACUUUUAUAAUCCUUAAGUUGCUGAAAGAUUGAUCUUCUGUGAGUUGGCUGUCACAUAUUGUCUCCAAAUUUAUCAAACGACGAAGAGACAAUGACUCCAGCAAGGGGAAGACUUUGCGACGAACCCGUCCAACUGAACAGACAAUAUGCAAAAUCUCAGACCAACUUUUUACAGCAAGGUGCUUCAAUCGUGGAAAACCUUCCCCAUCAUCUAAUUCAUGAACAACAUUCUGAACACCCUUCAGUUCUUCUAGAUAGAGAUAUUCAGUUCUCUUCAACAACAGUUUCAUCCUGUAAUUCUGCAAAAGAAUGCCAAACUUUUCCAGCCUCUGGAGCUUCAUCAAUCUUGAUAAUCCAGAUUUAACGGACCAGCUGCUCCCCCACUUAUUUCCUAUACAUAUCCUAUAGGUAGAAGUGUUCUAGCUAUUAAUUUUAUACAUAUCUUCUAUAGGUGUAUUCUAAUUAAUUUCAUACAUCAGAUUUUUAGAUAAAAAUAAAGAAGUAAAAAAAAAAAAUCUUCACAUCAUCUUAAGAAAUUCAAAGCCAUGAUACCACAUCCAAUCACGAGAAUCCAUUUUCCUAUGAUCACUGACCUUUAGGUGCGGUGCUUGGUUUGAAGAAGGGAAAGGGGGUGAGGAAAGUAAUUUGAAUUCCUUUCUUAUUUCCGUUGUUUGGUCGGUCAUAAUAUAAAAGAAUUUAAUUUUCAUUAAAAUUUAAUAUAAUCAUAAUGUGGAAUUUAGAUUUCUCAAUAAAGAGUGAUGAAUCUUGGUUUGGGUCUGUUUUGAGUUUAUUUUCAUUUAUUUGGCUAUGUUUUGAUAGCGAAUUUUGAUAUGUCAAUAUAACGUGUAAUUGUUUUGGGUUGAGCUGGUAAUUAUGCUGGAUUAGAUUGGUUUGGUUUUGGUGCUUCUCUGAUGGAACACUGUUUUUUUUAGAAAUUUUGAAUGUAAUAUGAGACUACAUUUAGUUUAAUUGAACACUGCAUCUAGUCUAAUUACUAGAAGUGCGGCAUUUGGUUUGGUUUAUCCUAUAUUCUCCAGAAUUUCACUUGCAUCUGGUUUUGUUGCAUAUGUUUGCUUGCAUUUGAUGGCAGUAGCAGACUGUUUGGUUUUGUGACAUUUGAUGGCAGUUUGGUCUGUUCUUGGUGUUGGUUUAAGAUUGUUCCUGUUGUGCUGAUGUUAAUUGCAGGUGCUUGAAUCAGCUAGGGUUGCUGGUUUAUUCAGAUGGUUGACUCAGGCGUUGUUACUGGUUAAUUCAGGUGGCUGACUCAAGUUGUUCAUUUAAUGUUAGGAAGCAAAUUAAGAAUUAAUGAAGUAUUCAUUAAACUAUAAUUAUUGUAGUUAUUUUAUUUCAUAACUGAAUUAUAAUCUAUGAUACUUGUGAACAAAUUAGAGAAUUUUUAUAUAUGAAUUAUAUAUAUGUGUAUGUACAUUUUGCUAAUAAUUUAAAGAAUAUAUUUCAAUUCCCACAAAAAAAUGGCUCCAAUUUCAAUAAUUCCCGCCAAAUAAUUAAAUUUUUUUAAUUUACCACCAAAAUAUAUCUUAAAGAAAUUUUAGUUAUUCUUGCUAGAUUUAACAAAAAUGAUUUGUAGGAUUAACAUUUAAUUAAAAUAAUUAAAUAAUUUUAUUAUUCCAAUUAAAUAUGUCAUGUUUAUACGACAGACAAUAUUCAUGAAUGGGAAGUAUUAGUUACGUAUUUUUCCUUGGGAUUUCAGGCAAAUGAAAAAAAGAUUGAGAAUGAUUUCAAGAGGACAGGUGGAUGAUAAGUAUUCAUUUUUGUAUAUUUGUCUAAUGUCCUCAUUAGUGGAUUUUUAUGGUAUUGAUCUUUUUUUUUUUUUUUUUAAUUUUCAAUUAGUUGCAGCCCUAGAGGAAGAGCAGGCUGAUCAAAUUGAUUUGUCUUGUUUUUCGGGCAAUCUACGACAUGAUGACCGUGAUAAUGCUCGUGACUGCUGGAAACUUUCUGAUGGAAAUAACUUUAGAGUUCGUAGCAAGCAUUUUUGUUAUGACAAAACAAAGGUUCCCCCAUAAUUUGUUUGUUUGUUAUGGUAUUUAUAUAUCCUGCAUAGGCUAGGUAGACAAGUUAUGAUGUACGUGUUUCUCAUAUAGAACUCAAGUCUGCUGUUGUCCCAAAGUUGGAACCAGAGAUAUCAUGACUCUGGUUUCAUUUCACCUCAACUGUGUUUUUUUUUUUAAUUAAAAAAAUAUUUGUUUUAGGUAUACAUACAUGUAUUUUGAUUCUAUUUUCAUUGUAAUUUCUCAUUUACUUUGAAUGAAAGUCAUUGGUGUUUUCGAAUGGGAAUUUUGCAUUAAAAAAUGAAGAAUAGUGAAUAGGAAAUUUCUUGAUUCUUUAGUUACUAUUUUUGGUACGAGUGCCAUUAGUAGUAAAGUUGGUUUCUACUCGCAAACAAGUGAACUGCUCGAUUCCCGAGUGGUAUCAACCGGUUUCCAACUUUUUAAUAUACACUAAUUGUUAUUGUUUAAUAGCUACUACUAUUAAAACUCAACAGCUAACAAAAAUACUUAAAAAAAAUGAUUUUUCUUAUGAUGCUGUGAAAAAAAUUACGGGUUUACUUCUUUCCACGAGAUCUAUAACAUGGUCUUGAUUUCACGAAAUUCUUUUAAUUUAAAGCGUGCUGGUGUGAGAAGGUCAGUUUGACUGAUUAAUUCUUUUUAACAGUGGUCGAGAUAAUUUUACUAUACUCGAAAAUAUUCUUAUUCUGAUAAAGCCAUAAAUGUUAUGCUGUUUUCUUCGGCUAAUGAUCUUCUAUCAGGAGAGGUUAGAAAUCAAAUGCUUAAAAGACCAAUUGAACGAAUAAUACAGAAAUUUAGGCAGAAUCUAAUCGAAUAUUGUAUGAAACAUGAAACAUCAAUUCAAGUCCUUUCUUAAACAAAGAAUGCAUCAAACAAAAUCCAAAGUGUCUUGCAAGUUUGUAGCAUGAGCAAAAAAUUGUAAAUAUGUAGAACCAAAUUAUUCAAGUACAGAAGAACGAGCAAGCUAAAUCAUGUAUAAGAGAUUGGCCUGGUUCAGGAUAGCUUCUUCACUGUAGCUGAAGGGUUGGCUCAAUCUCUUCUUUAGAAUUCUGCAGAUUUUGUAAUUACUCGUGUAAGCAAGCAUACAUUGCCACCAUAAGAAUAAUAAAGCAAGAGUAAUGAUAUGACCACCACCUCUUGUGCACAAACAAUAUUGUAUAAACUAAUGCGACAUAAUAUGAUUGGUUAAAUAAAAACAUUACAUGGCCCUCAUAAUUUAUUUAUUUAUUUAUUAUUAUUAUUAUAUAUUUUCAAUCAACCAAUCAUAUUAUAUCACAUUAGUUUCUAUAAAAUAAUUUGCUAAAUAGCACCGAAACUUAAUUGAUACUCACCAUUUCAUUGAACAAUUUUUUUAUGGUGUCAUUGAGGUUGCCUUCCCAACAUCCUUCAUCAUCAUCAUCUUCUUCAUCAUCAUCAUCUUCUUCUUCAUCAUCUUCAUCAUCAUCAUCUUUUUCUUCUUCGGUGACGUUCACUUUGUUUAGCAUUGGUGUGUCUAAGACUCCUUGAGAGAAGAUCUUCAUUUUUGGACACUGUCUCACAACUACUUGUUCCAAGGAUGGGAACUCAAGAGCGUAAUUACCCAAACAAAAGCUUGUUAGGCUUGGCAAACAAUCAAGUCCCAAGUACUCCAAUUUCCUGAAAACAAUGCAAUCGUCCGCUUCUUCUCCAACCUGCGACUGUAUAAUUUCUUCCAUCAUUUUGCAAUCAGUUAUCUUCAUUCUUUCAAGAUUCACUAGACUUUCAGAUGUUGAGAGCGUCAAUAAAUUUAUCAACCCAUGACACUUCGAUACUUCCAGAGUCGCAAGAUUUUCCAAAUGCCACGAAGCUGGUACUAAUUUCUGCAACUUACUACAUUCAAAUAUUUCUAGACUUUUCAAGUUUGCAAACACUUUGUUGGAUUUGGCAUUUUCCUUCCAGAGAUGCUGCACUUUGUGUAAUCCAGAUAGCUUUAACUUCAUCAAUUGAGGGAAUGCAACCUGGAAAUCAACAAAAUUAAGUUGUAAAUGAAAAUAUGUAUCCAAUCUCUGCAGUCUUCCCCUGCAUAUUUUAUGGACAAGAUUAAUCACGGCAUUUUAUAUUUUAUUUCCAAAUUAGUAUGCUUUGCAGUAGGAUCCCAAAUAUAAGUAUCAAAUCGAUUACCCUUUGAAACACAUAAAUGAAAUCUGAUCCUAAAUCCAAUAUGAAUUAGCUAGGAAAACAGAGACCUAACACGCAUAAUCGAUAUAGUUCAUCACCUCCUGUCACUAGGCAUCUAAUUAAUUUGAGACAUUUUUUUAAUUCAUACUAUAAAGUUAGUUAAUAACUACGGUUAUAUUGUUAAACAUGUAUAAAUUAAGACGACGUGCAAAAAGAUGAGUCAUUAAAUUUGAUUUGAUUCUAAUGAAAUUAUAUCUGUGUGAAUGAAAGUGAAGGGAAAAAUAAUAAUAAUGUUACCUUUUCAUCGAAGAGAUGUUGUAUUUGAUUAGCUACCAAGAGGUUCUCUUCUUAUUUUAAUUUUUGAGCUUCCUUAUUAUCUGUUGUCAUGUGCAGUACAGAUGUAGAAUUGGACAUGAAUGUUUCCAUAUCAGGGCAAUUCUCAAUAGUUAGAUAUCUCAACUCAGGCAGUUCAAUUAUAUUCCCAGUGAAGUUGCAGAAUCUUUUGAGUUUUGGAAGGUCAAUGAGCCUUAGCUCAAAAAGCCUAGGAAACAGGGGGCCUAUAUGUUCUUCCUUGGCAUUUAGCUCUUCCAAAUGAAGCACCUCUUCUAGUGAAUCACAAUUCCUCACUUCCAGCCAUCUCAAAUUGUUCAAGCACCGUAUCAGAUUGGCAGGAAUAGCACUCGACAUAUUCGUGCGGUCAUCCACCACCAGGUGUCUUAAAUUGUUGAAGAAGCUGACAGGCAGUGCUUGGCCAUGCGAGAGUUGCAAAUGGUUUAUAUCAAGGAAUCCAAUCUGCACAAACCAAAACAAUUGCACUGGAUAUAUACAAUUUUUUCUUUCUGAAAGGCAUAGAUAUAUGUACAUUAAACUUACAUGUUUUCUGCUUUAACUUCUAAAAAUAUAUAUACAAGGCAGGUGUAUAUGCUUAAAUGUGCAAGUGCAGGGGAGAUGCAUGAACAAUUUGGGUGAAUCGAUUAACACAUACCAUCUUUUUGUAACAUAUGUUUAAAUGUGCAAGCGCAAGGGAGAUGCAUAAGCAACUUGGAUGAAUCGAUUAGCACAUACCAUUUCUUCGUAACACUUUUGUAUAGUGGAAUUAAGCUUGUUGCCUUCCCAAUGGUGCAGUUCACCCUCUUCCUUUUCAGUCACUUGCACUUUGCAUGGCUUUGUAAUGGAUAAGAUUCCCUGAGAAAAAGUCUUCAUGUCCGGACAACGUAUCAUAGAAACUCGUUCCAAUGAUGGGAAUUCAAGAGUGCAAUUCUCCAAACAAAAGCUGGUAAGCCUUGGUAAAUCAUCAAGUAUCAAAACUUUUAAUUCGCUGAAAGCAAUACGAUUCUCCUUCACUUCUUCUCCAACAUGUCCUACGAUUUCUUCUAAUUUUUGGCAAUCUGAUACUUAAAGAUUCACCAGACUACUAGGAAUUCCAACCUGAAAAUAAGCAAAAGUGUGUGUGUAAGAGUAUCAUUCAACUAGGUCCAAAGUAUGUUUAAAACAUACAAUUAUAUGUUAACAUAACAAACCAUGAAAUGUCUACUAGAUAAUUUUUGUUAAACAAAAAAGGCAACAAGAUAAAUAAAUAAAUAAAAGCCAGAUAAACAAAGACAAUAAAAAUGCAUUUACACUAUUUAGUAUUAGGAGCGUAGAAAGAAUUUAAGGCAAUUUCUAAAUAUUUUAGACUUAUUUUGCAUCUUGAUGCCAGUUUUUAAACAAAAUUUGCAAAUUUCAACUAUUCCUUCUGGGAAAAAAAAAAAUCAACCACCAACAAAGUGUUGGCUCCAUUGGCAAUGGAGUCCCCUUAAGUGGUUUGACUGGGUUUGCUCCCCAGUUCGAGUCGCAGGGAAGUCGCCUUUGUUGGGAGAACUUGUGCCUCCCGGUUCGAGCGGGGACUUCUAGUCUGGGUUGUGGUACGGGCUUAAAGGUGCCUUCCACAGUUGGGGCCCUCCCCAGGAUACCUCGUGAUUAAUAUAAAAAAAAAAAAAAAAUCAACCAAAAUGCCGCUUUUUCCCUUUUUCCCUUUUUCCUUGGUCCCUUUUUUUUAUGUAUAUUUAAUUUUGGAAACAAAAUUAAAGUGGAUCUUUAUUAAGUACUUCUAGACUCGAGGAAAUUUCUUUACAAUCAAGGAUCAAUUGUAAAUAAUCAUGAAUUUGUGGUUAAUUAAUGGCAUAAUCAGUUCGUAACUAAACAAGAGAUAUUAAUUAAAUUUGAAAACUUUUCUUUUCUUUUUUUCUUUUUCCAAUCGAAAUGUGAAGAAUUAAGGAAAAGAGAAAUAUAUAGAUGAAUUUGUGAACCUAUAAGAUGAGUGACCAUCCUUUAAUUUUUGAAAAUUGUACUUAUUAAGAUAUGAGCAGAAACAAUUAAAUUGAAUUAUAUUAUGCUGUUGAAUCGUGAUUAAAAAAAUUAUAUUGUUGAUUCUAAUGCUGGCGAACCUAAAAACUGGACUUAAAAUGUAGAUUUGAGAGUGGUGGUUCGAAGUACAAUACUUGAAAUAAAUAAUCAGUGGCUGAAUAUCAUUUGUAAACCCAAAAAUGGUUAAAAUAUUGUUGGAUGUAAUUAAAAAAAAAAAGAUUCGAAAUGAAUACAACAACCUUACCAAUGGAGGAAAAAUAUUCUUUAGGUUAUCACACCACCAUAUGUCCAAAUUCUUCAAUUUGCUGAAAGACUCCGAAGCAAGCUGGUGGUGCCAUAUUUUUCUCAAACUAUCCAUCAAGUCAAUACGUAAUACCUCCAACCUAGGAAGUCGUACUUGGCAGUUAAAGAUUAAAUAACUAAUUAAUCAAUUAAUGGCAUAAUCAAUUGAUAACUAAAUUAGAGGCGAAUAUUAACUAAAUUUGAAGACUCAAGGAAAAGACAAAUUAAGUAUUGGGACUAAAAUUAAUUUUUUUUUUAUUUUAAAAAAAACCUUUUCGUCAAUGAGAGGAGGAGGUUGCAUUUCAGAAUGAAUGGUGUCUUCUGGUGAGCUCGUAGAAAUGAAUCUUAACAUAUUACUGCAACUAUCAAUCUUGAGUAUUUGCAAAGAAGGGAAUUCAACAACUAAAUCUGAAUGAAUAUGUCUCGUGUUUGCAAAGCUUGUUAGUUUAAAAAGCCCAUAGAGCUGCAGGGAGUGUAGUUUAGGAAAAACCUUUAAUUCAAUCAACUUUCCUUCAUCUCUUUCUGACCACCCCGUGGUGUCGACUACCCCUUUCAUUGACUCACAAGAUCGUAUUUCAAGAUGUUGGAGUUGCAAAAGACUAUUAACCAUAGAAUACGAAAACAGAUACUUCAAAUGAUCACAACCGUCCACGAUCACCUUUGUUAAAUUUUGACAACAGUACAUUCCUUGAUUAUGAUCGGCCCAUAAUUUUUUCAUGUUUCCUAAAUGAAAGAGAUUCAAUUCCUCUAAGCUCGGAAGAAUAACCUGCAAAGAAAACCCGUACAUUUUUGUUCCUUCAAGUACAACCGUCUAGUAUAAUAUUCUUUUGAUGAUCGAAGAUUAAUCGUGAUAAUAAAUUAAUCAAUUAAUUAUUGAACAGAAAAUUAUCACCUUUGGAGCAGUAUCAUCAUCAGCAAUGAUUUCGUUGAAUCCCAAAGAAGUUGUUGGUUUCUCCCUGUCGGGUCCUAUAAACAAACAAAAACAAUACACAUAAUUAAUCUUUGUCGUUGUUUUUUUUUUCAAAAUAAUUGAGGCGAAGUCCAUAAAUCCACCAACACUUAAUUUCAACACUUACCAACAAUCAUUUCCAGAUCAUCGCAAACAAACACUUCUACCUUUUGAAGCCGCAGUAGGUUUUUUGCCAUGGAGAAUGAGAAAAGAUGCUUCAAUUUGUGACAGGAUUGUACUCCUAUAAUCCUUAAGUUGCUGAAAGAUUGAUCUUCUGUGAGUUGGCUAUCACAUAUUGUCUCCAACUUGUUCAAAAACCAAAGAGACAAUGACUCCAGCAAGGGAAAGACUGUACAAUGAACCCGUCCAACUGAACCGACAAUAAGCAAAAUCUCAGAACAACUUUCUACACGAAGAUGCUUCAAUCGUGGAAAACCUUCCCCAUCAUCUAAUUCAUGAGCAACAUUCUGAACACUCUUCAGUUCGUUUAGAUGGAUCUCUUCAGCUUCUUUCAGCAACAUUUUCGUCCCAUAAUUCUCCAAAAGACUGCUAACAUUUUCUAGCCCAUCGAGCUCCACCAUUCUUGAUGUUUCAGAAUUAACGCCCCACAUGCGCCACGCUUCUCCUAUACAUAUCUUAUAUCUUUGCAAUUCCACAGAGACUAAAUCCUGCGGCAGAAUUUGGGCAUCCCAAAAUUGUAUCUCCAAAGUAGUUAGCUUUGACAGCCCCUUCAAUUCAGCAAGACUGGCGGUACUUCCUCCUUCAACCUUAUCCCACUGCGAAAAGCUGUCACCCAUAUAUAGUUCUUCUAAUUGAGAAAAUUUUGAUAUGAGAUUUGGUGCUAUCACUACAAGGCUCCUACAAUUGCUCAAAUCUAGCAAUUGUAACCGCGUCAAUUGUCCAAUUUCAAGUGGUAACUGCUUAAUGUCGGAAUCUCGAAAGCUAAGAAUCUCUAAUUUCUUUAGCUGUCCAAUUGCAGCUACAUCUUCUAGUUGGCACCAGUCUAAACACAAUGUUUGAAGGUUAAUGAGGCGACCAAGUGAUGAAGGUAAUGAAGAGAAAGGAAUUCUAGUAAGGCUUAAAACUUUGAGUUCUUUCGUCCCUUCAAAAAAGAGGUCUGAAAUUUGCAUACGGCCAUUACCCUCUGCAGACAACAAAAAUAACUGGAGAUUGGGACAUUGCAACCUUUCAGGGAGCUCUUGAAUAUCUCUCUGGGGUAAUGAAAUGGCAAUUGGAUCUUUCCGUAUUGUCUCUUCCAUCUUUUUCUCUAAGUCGGCAACAUUUGGAAUAUUAAACAUGCGCUUCUCUGCGGCAAUUGAUACGGCAACAACAUGAAUGACGUCAUGCAUUUUAGCUUCAUCUUCAGCAUCACCGUCCAACAAUAAGCAUGAAGAUUUGAGGUUGUCGAUCAACCGAUGCACUCUACUCCUUGCUUCUUCCAAUGUGUAAACAUUUUCAAACAAACCCCAACCCACACCAUAUCUCAAUAAGUCAGAAACUUGUAUGGCAUGACCUUCACUGUAUAGACCACAAAGACGGAACAGAGAUUUUGCCUCCUCACUUUCCAAGAAGUCAUGACUCAAUUUUAUGGAGGUGUACACAUUUGCUUGCAUGCCAUGAAUUUCUCUUGCAUCCGAUCUUCUUAGCUGAUUCAAUGCAUCUUUCCAAAAGUCACGCUCCUUAGUUUUCAGAGCAUUUGCAACUGUACUCAGUGCAACAGGCAAACCUCCGCAUCUUUCAAUGAUCUCAUUUGCUAUACUUUGAAAAGCAGAUAUUUUAGUUGAAUCACCCACUAUCUUCUCAAAUAACUGCAAUGCUUCUUCUUUUGAUAAAGCAUCGAUCCAGAAAUUUUUCUGAGAAUUCAUAUCAAUGCACAAUAAAUCUCGACUUCUAGACGUCAAUAUUAUUGUGCAUCUUCUCUGAUCAUCCUCUCUAUCUUUCUCAUCAACAUCUCCAGAAGGAAUUCCAACCGCAUCUAACUCAAGUUUUGUCCAAAUAUUAUCCAAUAUAAUGAGGACCCGCUUCUCUUGCUUCAACCUUUCACGCAGUCGAGAAGCUCUAUGGUGUAUACUAUCAUUCAAGUCAAAUUUCAUGCCUAAAUCAGAAGCGAGCUUGUCUUGAAUUUUCUGGGGAUCUGGGUUCUGUAUUACCUCAGCCAUAACGACCUUAUCGAUCAACUUAUCUUCCAUCACUUUCUUAGCAACUUGCUUGACUAGCGUGGUUUUACCCACGCCGCCCAUGCCGUAGACCCCAAUUAUGUUGAGCUUAUCAUCCUUCAACGCCUCCAUAACAUCCUGAAAUACUUUCAUUCUUGAAUCAAAGGCCUCGUUAUCUUUCCCGUCAUUAAGUCCUGUGCUCUUUGGAGUAGGACGGUAGGAAACAUUAGAGAAGUUGCCUUUUCCCACGAGACCAGCGGCAGCUUCUGCGGCCUUUGCUGCUUGUUUACUAAGCUUGUAACGGGACAUCAAAUUUGGGCACAAUCCUUUGAAGCAGAACUUUUUAGCUCUUUCUUCAUCAUCAAUGAUGGAUUUUGCAACCCCUUCACUGAUGAAUUCAUCAACGCUAUGUAGCCAGUCUGUGACACCCUCAUAAAGCUCAUCCCCUUGUAGCCUAGCAUGAUUAACUGGUUGCUGCACCAUUUCUCUCUUAUAUCCCAGCUGCUUCACUUGAACUUUUAGCUCAUCUAUGUAGCUCUGGUACUUGAACACAUCAGAUAUCUGCCGUGUAAUCGGGUUGAACAGUGACUUUGCACCUUCUGAUACACAGUUGGUUAAAAAAGCCAGACACGCUUCUAUAGCCAUUGCCGGUUGCUUAACAAUAUAUAUCUAGUUUUUGGCUGUUGAAAAAAAAAAUGGAUUCAAAUAAAUUAAAUGAACUAGCGGGGAAGAAAAAGAAAGAAACGACAACAAACAACUUUUUAGAAAAAGGUUUCAGGGGCCUGAAUGGAAAACCAACAAUUUUUUGAGGAAAGAAAACUUUUUUGGAAGAUGGAUGCAAAUUAACCAUUAAUAAUACUGCAUAAGAACACAGAAGUUAACAAUAAACAGUAACUUAAAACUCAAGAAAAUUAAAUGACAAGAUUAAGACAAACAAGAGAUAGUUUUUGUCGGACAUUAAGAAACAACUGCUAUCAAGAUCAAAGAUUAGAAAUUAUGCUAUUGAAAGAAAUUAUUAAAGUAAUUAGAACAAACGCACCUCUUCAAUUAUCUAGGAUCACAGAGUUUAUGAGCUUCACUCUUGGCCUUCGAUUUAUAAGAAAAAUUUUAAUGAGCAAAAGAUCACUGUUGACUGCAGAAGAAUGUGAGUAAGCAAUACAAUUGAAUUGUAAAAGAACAAGACUUAAAGCGUGCACCCCAACAGAACACAUGUUCAUUUUUAACAAAGUGAUCAAUAACUAUAUUCGUUAUUUAAUUGAUAUUGUAACCAAUUCUAAGAGAAUAUAAUAAUCAGCAAACAAACAACAUUGAUCUUAUGCCUACUGAUAUUUAAACAGAGAAUUCUUUCUUCUUUUUCUCUUCAUGGAUUAGAGUUUUUGCUAUUAACAGAAUGGUUUCAAGGGUCUGAAUAAAAUCCCAGACUUUUUUUUAACUUUGUUUUCUGUGGGAAAAUGGAUUCAAAUUAACCAAAGCCAAUAAUAAGAUCACAGACUUUAACAAUGAACAAUAACUUAAGCAAAACCAAUGACAAGAUUAAAACAAACCAGAGAAAUUUUUUCUCGGAAAGUAGAUGAAAAGCAAGUAAGAACUGCUAUUAAAGGAUAUUAUUAAAGGAUUUAGAACAUGUAUACCUCUUUAAUUAUAUGGGAUCAGAGAAUCGAUGACCUCCACUAUUCGCUUCGGAUAUUAAGUAAGAACUGCUAUUAAAAGAAUGAGUUGAUGAGAGUAAUAACAAUGAAUUGCAAAAUAGGAAGACUCAAUCAUGCACCCCUUUUAUACCUGAUCAUAUUAAGAAGUCGUUAAAGAAUAACGACUAAAUUAGGAAUUAAUUCUGAAGUUCAGAAUCAAGAACAGAGACGAAGCUUUAAUAAAGCAUGCAGUGAGAUACAAGAAAUGGAUCUGAUAAAAUACAUUAAAAAAAUUUGUUCAACCUAGUUAAGCUGAUGAAAGCACUAGUUGUUGGCUCUACGUUUCAUAUGUUCUAAUGAAAUAAUUAAGUUGAAGUUUUCAACGAAUAAAUACCUGUUUCGCUUGAAUAGCUUUGGCAUAUACAUUACUUGUGUCCUGUGAAAUUGAAAAGGUUAUUGAUUUACAAAGCUUAUUAGUAGAGAAAAGCUACGUAAGAUGCCUGAUAAAAGAUAAAGCAAGAGCUUGAAUGAAGAAUGACAUUUUAGAAAGAAACUAAAGUGUAAUCAUCAAAGUAGGAUCAAUAAUGUACCACUUUCCUUGCAAAUCUGGUGGGUUUUCUGAAUAGAUUUUUACAUUAUUCUUCUAUUUAACCAUUUUGGCUUUACCCUAAGCAUUCUUGGUUGGCAUUGUCCUGUAAUCUGCGUGCCCUGGAUACGUGAGAGGGAAUGAUGAGGGUAGAUAUGCAAUUUCAAGAAGCGAUUUGCUUGUAUAAUUCAAUGCAUGGAAAGAGAUGUACCUGACCAGAAAAAAAAGGGGACCAUCCAUAUCUGAGCUUGACUUUUUAGAUAGAUAAAUAUUCUUAUUACUGUUGAUAAUGGAGAAGGGUUCUACUUUUACUUUGCCAUCUUUGAUAUAAAACAGCAUGAUUCCUUUUUUUCAAACACUUGCCUAAGUCUAUUUUUUAUUUUUCUUAUUUUCAGAAAGAGAUUAGCUUAAUUUAAAUUAUAUUCAAGUACAAAGUGUUAUACACUCAUAAAACGACAAAUAGGCAUGUAUUGAUCACGCGCAAUCUGUUUUUUUUCCCCCUUUUUUUUUUAAUCCAGUCUUCUUAUUUAAAAAAAAGAAUUUAUUUGCUUUAUUUUAAAUUAUUUUUUCAUGCGGUAAAUGCAAUACUGAGUAAUGGGUGAGCAAAAUAUUUACAGGCACACCCCCUUUUAAUGAUUUCGUACUAAAAUUAAAAAUUGACGAUUCCAUAAUAAAGUUCAAAGAGUAACUGAAGACCCAUAAAUGUUUUUUGGUCAUGAGCAAUUUUUGAGUUGGGACAGCACUCCUAUGAAAAAAAAUAGUUUUUUUUUUCUUUAAGCAUGAGCAUAUUAAUUCUUUUUUUAUAAAUCAACGUGAAUAUAAAAUUAAAAAAUAGUUUUGAAUAACUUCUUUUCUUUUUUCAUAAAUAUAGAUAUAAAAUUUUAAAGUCACCAAACACAAAACCAGGAAAAUGGAAAGGAAGCCCCUGUUUCUCCGCUGCUGCAAGCACAAAUUCGGUUUCUACAGGAGUACCUUCUAAAUGCACCAUUUGUAUUGCUUUGUCUCCACUUGAGCUAAUGGAAUUUGAUGAAGACAAAAUAGAUAUGAGUCGUGCUAUUCACACCCCUCGAUAAUUCUUUCAAAAUCCCUUUUCUAAUUAUACCCCGUUAAUACCCUUGUUCGCUAUGAAAAUAAAGCAAAUGCCUGUAUAAAAAGCUGGCUCUAAUAAUCUACUUGAAUUUACAUCAGAAAAGAGUGGACUUUGAGAAAUAAGAAGUCAAUAUGGAGAAUUUUACCAAAAUAAUCCAUUUUUAUAUACAGGGAAUGGUAUUUUCUGAUAUAGGGAGGAGUGGAGAAAUUAAAUUCAGCAAAAUAAAGAACCUCCAUCGAGAAGCAAAAAUGAUGAUAUCUUUGUCGUGAAGAGAUUUCUGCCUCAUACAAAUUUUUUAUUCUAGAAUGCUUGAAACCGAAAAGUUCUGUAGCUGUUUCAAUUCAAUUGCAUACAUUGACGAAACAUUAAAUACGAAAAAAACAAAAAAGAAAUAAUAGGACAUGGGGAUUUAGAGAACUUCUAAAGAGAGAAAUGUAUUUAUUGUUGGGAAAAUAUGCUCUUUAAAAGCAUAUGUGUUUAUUUAAUUGUAAUAAACUAUUUUUCUGAUUAAUAAAAUAAAUGAGGCAUUUUAUUCAAAUAUCUUAAUUGCAUUAAUACUUGUAUUAAAGUCCAUUUAAUCAUAUUAUAUGUAUUUAUGUGAUCACCAUGUGGAUUCACAGAAGACAUAAAUACAAGUUAUCUUAUGAUUAAAUAAAUUUAGUUCGCAGUUGAUAAAUAAAGUUGGGCACUUUAUUUAGGUAUAGACUGUAAUAAAUUCAUUGAAUGAUUUGUCUUAAUUAUGUAUGAAUUUAUUGAUGUAGUACGACUACAUUGAACAGGAUCACAUAUGAGAUUUAAUUAACUUUGUAAUAACUGUCAGACUUAUUAAAUCUCAUAGGCAUUGAUUUUACUGUAAUCUUAAUCUUGAGUUAAUUAUGAUUUCAUGAUUGUAAUUGUUAUUCCAUUUGAGUUACCAAUGGGCAUGACACAUACUUGUAGUCUACAUUACCCGGUAUCUUGGUGGGAACAAUUAUGAGUAUUGGAGUUAUGGAUUAACAAUAUAGAAUUUGUACAACACAUCUCUUGAUGGGUUUUCGGUACUUGAUCAUAGAAUUCUCUGGCCAGAGUGUGUCAACAUAUUUAGUAUGUUGAAAAUGAUCAUUAGAGAAAACCAGUAAGGAUCAAGGAAUAAGAUGUUAUUAAAUUGAUUGGACAGUUGAGAUAUCAAUUUAAUUAACGAUGUGGUACAAAGGAUUGUGCAGUAAAGAAAUCAAUGUGGCUUGGGACGAAUUAUUAUUCGAGCAUACAAUUAUGGAAGUCAGUUCCAAUCUUUUAGUGGAGUAGAUUUGGAAUUAAAUAAUUAGGCUAGUUUAAUUACAGGUAGGGAUGGCAAUGGGGAGGGGAGGGGAGGGGACCAAUCUCCCUAUACCCAUCCCCGAUAUUUUAUUAUGUCCCCGUCCCCUCUCCGUCCCCGUCAGAAUUGCUUAAGUGAAUCCCCAUCCCCUCCCCGAAUAAUAACAGGGGAUCCCCGAGGGUCCCCGGUUCCCGAAUAAUUAAUAGUCUAAUACAUUUUUUUUUAUUUUCGAUUUUAAAUUAAUCAUAUUAAAAUAAAAAAUUCAGAUAAAAAUAAAGUUCAAAAUAUAUCUUGCAUUAAUAUUGAUCAAUUUCAAAGUCACAUUCAAAAUAUAAAUUAUUAAAAUAAUUAUCUUUGUCAAUGACUCAAUCUUCAUAAUCCUACAAUAAAAAGAAAAAAAAUUAUUUUUAUAUCGGUAAUAAAAUAAAUGUAGAUACUUAAUUAAUAUUUUUAAUAAAACUAUUUACUUCCUGCUCCUCCUGUUCUUCCUCGAGAAAUGUGGCAAAUUGAGAGUUAGCCUCAGAUUUCAAACCUAAAACAAUGAAAAUGAUAUGAGUAACGUAACUUAUAAGCGCAAAUAUUAAUAACUGUAUAAUAUAAUUACAAUGUAAAAUAAAUUCAUACUGCUAUUGUAAGCUCGUAACCAACUUUAACAGCACAUUAAGGCCUCCAAUGUGCUUGGAUGAAGUUUGUUACGGUGUGGGCUCACAAUUCUAGCACUAGUGCGAAAAGCUGAUUCAGAAGCAACUGUUGUAAUUGGAAUUGCCAAAAUAUCUCUAGCAAUUCGAGCUAAUGUAGGAUACAAAUUAGGAUUAGAACUAUUGUAAAUUAUAAUUAGGCAGCUCUCUCCUGUAUCAUUGUGGUUUGGAUUAAAAAUUUAAGACUUUAAUUAGUUAAUUAAGUUUAAAAGUUUAAUAAUAUAACUAUUUUAAUAUUUAUUAUUUUUAACAAUAUUUAUAAUUUUGUUAUUUAUUUAUUAGUAAUUUUAAAAAUAAAAAUAAAAAUAAAAAUUAAAAUGGGGAAAUGGGUAGGGGAUGGGGAUUCCACCUCAUCCCCGUCCCCUCCCCGAAUAAAAAAUUGGGUAAAAAAUUUUCCCCGUCCCCUCCCCGAAUAAAAAAUUGGGUAUAAAAUUAUCCCCGUACCCUCCCCGAAUGGGGAAAAUCCCCGAGGGUACCCGUCCCCGUGGGGAUUUUUGCCAUCCCUAAUUACAGGCCUAAUUAUUGUAGCCACUAUUGUAUGUUCCCAAAUGAUCCCCGGGUUAGCUCAUUUAAUUGAUUGCACCACUGCUGGACUAAUAAGCAAGAUAACUAGCUAUUUGGGCCAAAAGCCUAAAUAUAUCAUUUAGUGGGAGGCUCCAUUUAAUAAGCUUAUGUGUAAGGGGCCUUAUGUUAUUUUACAUGGUGGGUCCCCUAUUAAAUGAAAAGUAACGUGAGUUUUAUUUUGGGGAAUCCUUGGAGCCUAGGGUUUUCACUAAAGGGAGAUAUAUAAGGCUUAUUUUCCCAAAAAAGAAAAAGAGAAGCCACUUUAUACAGAUCUGAGAAAAAGAUUUUUCUCUCCAUUGUUGAGAGAAAAAUUUUCUCGUGCUAGUUGCUUUGGUAGUGAUAAAGGCGCCCACACGUCAAGUGCAGAUCGAACCUGAGUCAUAACCUGGAAGAUCAUUGGAAACAGUUCGUGAUCUAACAAGCGUGGUGGUGACGGAUCGUGAUCUAACAGGAGUGGUGGUGGUGGAUCGUGAUCUAGGAGCCUAAAUCACUUCAGCGGUAAAAGCCAACUCAGAUUUUCAAGGUACGAUUUCUAGAAUACAAAUUCUUAUAUAUUAUAUGAGAGCGAUCUUCAAAAGGUUUUAUAAAAAUUCAAAAACCUAAUUUUUCCCCAACAUUUAUAAGCAUUGAAAAUUAGCUCAUUAAAUUUGAAAGAAUAAUAUACAAUCUCACUGUUGGCCAGAAAAUAAUAGAAGAACUUGUGAACAUAUAUAAUCAAUUGCUUAUUACUUAAGCUUUUUCUCCGUUAUUUUGAAUGGGUGCAAAGGAGAGAAGUUUUGUACCCAAAUCCAACCCGAAUUGUGUAGGCUGCUUGCAAGAGCUUCAUUAGAUUUUUAUUUGUCUUUUAACUUAACUUCCUUCGUGGUUAAAAUUGUAAAAACAAAUGCGGUUUUAAUAGAAUUAUUGAGGAGUGCCAAUAGUGCUACUCAAUAAAUACAACUAUCUGUCUUUUUUGUUACUGGACUAUAGAUCAAUUGACAGUUGAAGUUAUAUUAAUUUGUUGUACUGGAAUUGAAGCUUGUAUCUUAGCCAUUUCGUGAAGUGUCAAAUAUAUUUUUAAUUUCCUUAAAAUUGUUCAAAAUAUGUUUACACUUUUAAAGUCACUAUUAUACAUGAGUGCCCUAAAAUAAGAGAAGGCGAUUUGCCUGACAUUACCUGUUUCCUGUCAAAUCUAGCAGGUUUACUGAUUAGAUUUUAACAAGUCUCUUGGCAAAGUUUGCUAGAAAUGGAAUCAAAUUAUUCUAUUUAAUCUUACUGUAUAUACCCUAAUAGUUCUUGGUUUGCAUCACUGCAUCGUUCUAUAAUCUGUGUGCGUUGGCUUAUAAGGGCUAGCAAGGCUGACCGUUCGUAGCAUAGUUUUUUUUUUUUUUUUUUUUCCCACAAUGAAAUUCCCAUUGAUUUGACUCAGUAUUUAGAGGUGUUAACGAGGGCACUAUACUAGACAUGGAUUUCUACCUCUUUUGGUUGUACAAUUGUUGUAAUCCUUGGCCAUCAAAUCAUUUUUACGUAGCUUUCUCAGAGUUCAUGCCAAGUGUACAUUAAUGUAUUUAUGUUUUGGGUGCAAGUGGGAUUCUAGUUCUCUAUGGCAGUUGAAGAGGUAAAUGGGCAUAGAGCUAUGCUCUAUCAUAGGCUUCGGCCACUACAAGAAAUUUAAUUUUUUAAGACGAUAUUUUUUACAACAACUUUAAAUUUGGUCACAAAAUGAUAUUUAUUGUGACAAAUUUUUGAAAUCGUAGCUAAUAAUCUUGUCCUAACUUAUAUUGUUUUUUGUAACCAAUUGUUUUUAUUUUGAGACUUGUUCAUAUAUUGGUCAUUAAUUAAAUUUUUUUAUGACAAAAAUUAUUUUAGUCACCAAAAGAUAUAAUUUUUUGGCACAAAAUCUUCUCUCCAAAAGUGAUUAUUUUGAGACAAUAUUUCACUAUUUAUGACAAAAUAAAUAGUCACGAAAUAUAAUUAUAGGCGACCAAAUUAUUUGGUAACUAAAAGAGGGGUGUAAAAUUGACUAAACAAUCUAUGACACAAAAUAUUAGUAGCCAAAAUUAUUGUUCUUUUGGCUAAUUUUAAGACCAUUUUUUUGUCAUAUAUAAUUACCUACAGUGAUAAAAUUAAAAAAUAGUCGUUGAAUGUUUUGUCUUGAAUAAUUUUAUAUUUGAUAACCAAUUUUUUUUCUUUUUGAGACAUAUUACUUGGUCCCUAUUUCAACUUCUUUUUGACGAACUUUAUAAUAGUCACAAAAGACUUUUUUUUUUUUUUUGGGCAUAAAAAGUCUGUCCAAAGUUAGCUCUUUUGGGACAAUAUAUAAUCUUUUAUGACAAAAUAUAUAGUGGCGAAAUAUAAUUAUUUUUUACAAAGUUAUUUCGUAGCUGAAAAAGAGGUGUAAAUUUAGUUAACCUAUUUGUGACAUAAAAUAUUAGUCUCCAAAACUAUUAUGCUUUUAGCUAAUUUUAAGACCCUAUUUUGUUGUCAUGGAUAAUUACCUAUUUUAAAAAAAACUAAGAGAUAGUAAUCAAAAGUUUUGUCUUGAUUGACAUUGUAUUUUAUGAGCAAAAUAUUUUGUUUCAGUGACACUUUACUUGGUCUCUCAUUAGAGUUGUUUGUGAUGAUCAAUAGAAUUAUAUAAUAACCACUAAAUUUUUUUGGGUUAAAUUUUUAUAGAUACUAUUAAUUAAGUUGUUGACGAAAAUGAUCAACCAAUACUAAUAUGGAAUACCAUCAACAGCCGUAAUACUUAUGAAGCGAGAAAUUAUAAUAUGUAGUGAAAAAGUUUUCACAGUAGUCCCUAGUAUUUAGAAUUAUUUUGACUUACUUUAUUUACUUCCAAAACAUAAAAUUCUCAACCCAAAAUUCCCCGCAUUGUGUUUUAUUUUGUCUCCUCACUCAGUUAAGAGUAACUCACGGCUUGACAAAAAAAAGGAAAAAAAUUCUCACAGCUUGAUGUUCUCCUCUCUUUAAAAAUAAAAAUCCCUAGUUACUAUUUGUUUCCACCACCAAAGCAGCCACUCGUAUCUUUUAUUAAGCAUAAUAUUUUUCUUAAAACCUAAUUGAUCAUUCUUUAACGUCUCCAGGAUUAUAUAUGGCUCGCUAUUUUUCUCCUUCAAUUGAAUAGAAGUCUAGAAUUUUUUUUUUUUUCGCAAUUCACUUUUGCUGUGUUUCGUGGUUUGGACGGAGAUCAUGUCAAUAAUUGAACGAUGGGGAUAAAUAUCAAAGAAGGAGCUUACAUGCCCUAUAUAUCUCUCUUUGGAUGAAUAACGAUGGUGAGCUUUCAAAGUACAGAGAUUUACAUGUUUUAAUUGUCAUUUACAUUGCUGCAUGCCAAUUGUUUGAUAAAAUAUCGCAACAAAUACGCAUUCUCGAUUUUCUCAUAAAUUUAUUUUCUUAGUCUGAAAAAAAUUGAAUGUUUAGAGAAUUUUGAAGGUUUUGGUGUAUGUAUUAAUAUUUUGAUUCUAGCCUCAUUUUGCCCCUUGUUGUUUUUAUUCUUGUUUUUUAUAUACGGUUCAAGUGUGAUACACUUUAGUUUUUCUCAACUGUUUGUUAGUUUUUCCCGAAGCAAAAUUUGUCAGACUUUGAGUUCAAAAGUUGAAAUCAUAACUAACAUACUUCGAUUUUUUAUUUUCCUUUUUUCUUCGGUGUCUUUCUAUAUGGCAUUGCUUGAGAAAUUGGUGUACUUAGAUCGUAAUAUUCUGUAGAAAUAAGCCAAUAUUUCAUUGGGUACAUUGUUUAAUAUGAUAAGUACUGUAUGGAAGUUUUACAGAUAAGCUCCUUAUAUAUUAUGCAUUAUGUUUUUAUCAUAUUGUUGCUUGGAACUUUGAAGGAUUGGCCACAGGGCUUUAGUCCUACAUGGACAUUUUAUAUUUAAUAGCUGGUUAGGCAUUUUAUUUGAUGUUAUUUGGACUUGUAGGUCUUAAAAGUUUUGUUCAAUAAUUUUAUAAAGCUUAAUUUCAUAGGUGCUGAUUAGGCAUUUCACGAGGAAAUAGCUGUGCUUUUGGAAAUUAAUAUGCUGUGUUGUCAAUGUUGUGUAAAAUCCUUUUAUUGGUGUCUAUGUAAAGUGUUUCAGAUUUCAGACCUGAGAGUUAAUCUUCGCGUACCAGUUGGCUUUUGGGUUUAGUAUUGCUGCUUUUAACAUAUUUGACCUAUGGCCCAAAUCAUUUCUAUAGGGCGAAGCAUAUGAAUGAUACAUAUUAUCUUUUUUUGGCCUUAUGUAUUGUUAUUUGCACGGUGAUUUGGUCUAGCUUAAGAGCUUAAGCUUGCAGGUUGGAUUUGUCUGACAGGGAACAAUUUAAUUUGUUCAUCGUGAUGUUUAUAUCCAUUUUGUACUACUAUCAAUUUCAAUCAUGCCUAAUUUUUAUAUGUAUUUCUCGUGGACUCUCAGGUUCAGUGCACAAGAGGAUGAAGACGAUGGACACCCAAAUUUGAUGUGGAGAACAACUAUUGCAAAUGGUCCUUGAUUUACUUCUCCAAUUGACUUGAAUUGGUUUUACGCAAUUUAUAGUGUAUUUUUGUCAUCUUUGUAUGACUUGCAGGUCGUCCUGAUUUGGUACAUGACUGGACACAGGAAUUGGACUCAUAUUUUUCAAACCAGAAUGCCAACAAUCAAGGAUUUUCUUUUGAAAGCACUGGCGUCUUCUUCAAUGCCAAAAAGGUUAGAGAUUUUCUGUAUCCUGUUUUGUAUUUGAUCAGUUUAGCAUGUGGGUGGCAAUCAAGAAAAGUUAUUAUAACAUUUUUGUGUUCCCGAAAAACUGCUGAUGAUGUGUGACUUCUUUUUAUUUGUAUUCUUUCUUUUUUCUUUUCUCCCCAACAGUAUUAUGCAUUUCGAAGAGCUUCUUGAAGUUGAUUACCAUGUAUGCCACUUUCUUUACUCUAUGCUCAGGAUGUGAUUUUGCCAAGCAUUAAAAUGGUUUAGGUCAGAACCAUCAUCUAAAGUUUACUUAAAGUUGACGGAUUAAUUCCUUUUAAUAAUGGUCGAGUUAAUUUUACUAUACUCAUAAAACUAUUCUUAUUCUGAUAAUGCCACAAAUGUUAUGAUGUUUUCUUCAGCUAAUGAUCUUCUAUCAGGACUAGUUAGAAAUCAAAUGCUUAAAACACCGAUUGAAUGAAUAAUGCAGAAGUUUAAACAGUAUCUAAUUGAAAAUUGCAUGAAACAUGAAACAUCAAUUCAAGUCCUUCCUUAAACAGAGAAUGCAUCAAACAAAUCCAAAGUGUCUUGCAUGUCUGUAGCAUGACAAAAAAGUUGCAAAUGCGUUUAGAACCAAAUUAUUCAAGUACAGGAGAACGAGCAAGUUGAAUCAUGUACACGAGAUUGGCCUGGUUUGAGAUAGCUUCUUCACUGUACCUGAAGGGUUGGCUCAAUCUUUUCUUUAGAAUUCUGCACAUUUUGUAAUUACUCGUGUAAGCAAGCAUACAUUACAACCAUAAUAAUAAUAAAGCAAGAGUAAUGAUACGACCACCACCUCUUGUACACAAACAAUAUUGUAUAAACUAAUACGACAUAAUAUGAUUGGUUGAACAAAAACAUUACAUGGCCCUCAUAAUUUAUUUAUUUAUUUAUUAUUAUAUAUUUUCAGUCAACCAAUCAUAUUAUAUCACAUUAGUUUCUAUAAAAUAAUUUUCUAAAUAGCACCAAAACUUAAUUGAUACUCACCAUUUCAUUGAACAAUUUUUUUAUGGUGUCAUUGAGGUUGCCUUCCCAACAUCCUUCAUCAUCAUCUUUUUCUUCUUCGGUGACGUUCACUUUGUUUAGCAUUGGUGUGUCUAAGACUCCUUGAGAGAAGAUCUUCAUUUUUGGACACUGUCUCACAACUACUUGUUUCAAGGACGGGAAUUCAAGAGCGUAAUUACCUAAACAAAAGCUUGUUAGGCUUGGCAAACAAUCAAGUCCCAAGUACUUUAAUUCCUUGAAAACAAUGCAAUCUUUCGCUUCUUCUGCAACCGGCGACUGUAUGAUUUCUUCUAUCCUUUUGCAAUCAGCUAUCGUCAUACUUUGAAGAAUUAUCAGACUUCUAGAUGUUGAGAGCGUCAACAAAUUUAUCAACCUGUGACACUUCGAUACUUUCAAAGCCUCAAGAUUUUCCAAAUGCCACGAAGCUGGUACUAAUUUCUGUAACUUACUACAUUCAAAUAUUUCUAGACUUUUCAAGUUUGCAAACGCUUUGUUGGAUUCGUCAUUUUCCUUCCAGAGAUGCUGCACUUUGUGUAAUCUAGAUAGCUUUAACUCCUUCAAUUGAGGGAAUGUAAGCUGAAAAUCAACAAAAUUAAGUUGUAAAUGAAAAUAUGUAUCCAAUCUCUGCAGUAUUCCCCUGCAUAUUUUAUGGACAAGAUUAAUCACGGCAUUUUAUAUUUUAUUUCCAAAUUAGUAUGCUUUGCAGUAGGAUCCCAAAUAUAAGUAUCAAAUCGAUUACCCUUUGAAACACAUAAAUGAAAUCUGAUACUAAAUCCAAUAUGAAUUAGCUAGGAAAACAGAGAUGCGACAAGCAUAAUUGAUAUAGUUCAUCACCUCAUGUUACCAGUCAUCGAAAUAAUUUAAGACAUUUUUUUAAUUCAUACUAUAAAGUUAGUUCAUAACUGUAGUUGUAUUGUUAAUUCAUAUAUGAAUCAAGAUGACAUGCAAAAAGAUGAGUCAUAAAAUUUGAUUUGAUUCUAAUGAAAUUACAUCUGUGCAAACAAAAGUGAAGGGGAAAAUAAAAAUAAUAAUAAUAAUCACCUUUUCAUCGAAGAGGGGUUGUACUUGAUGAGCCAGCAAAAAGUUCUCUUCUGAUGUUAAUUUUUGAGGUUCCUUGUUAUUUGUUGUCACAUGCACUACCGAGUUGGAUAUGAAUGUUUCCAUAUCAGGGCAAUUCUCAAUAGUUAGAUUCUCCAACUCAGACAGUUCAAUUAUAUUCCCAGUGAAGUUACAGAAUCUUUUGAGUUUUGGAAGAUCAAUAAGCCUUAGUCUGUUAAGCCUAGGAAACCGGGGGCCUAUAUGUUCUUCCUUAGCAUUUAGCUCUUCUAAAUGAAGCACCUCUUCUAUUAAAUCACAAUUCCUCACUUCCAGGCAUCUCAAAUUGUUCAAGCAACGUAGCAGAUUGGUAGGAAUAGCACUCGACAUAUUCGUGCAGUCAUCCACAGCCAGUUGUCGUAAAUUGUUGAAGAAGCUGACAGGCACUGCUUGGCCGUGCCAUAUUUCUCUCAAGCGUGGAAAAUGUGAGAGUUGCAAAUGCUCUAUGUCACGGAAUCCAAUCUGCAUAAACCAAAACAAUUGCACUGGAUAUAUAUAAAUUUCUUUUUUUGAAAGGCAUUAGAUAUAUAUAUACAUUAAACUUACAUGUUUUGUGCUAUAACUUCUAAAAAUAUAUUUACAACGCAUGUGUAUAUGUUUAAAUGUGGUAUAGUGGAAUUAAGCUUAUUGCCAUUACUUCGAAGUGGUGUUCGUAACACCAUUACUUCGCAAAGUGAAUCGAUAAACACAUACCAUUACUUGGANNNNNNNNNNNNNNNNNNNNNNNNNNNNNNNNNNNGCCUUCCCAAUGGUGUUCACCCUCUUCCCUUUCAGUCACUUGCACUACGUAUAGCUUUGGUGUGGAUGAGAUUCCCCGAGAAAAAGUCUUCAUGUUCGGACAAUGUGUCAUAGAAACUUGUUCCAAUGAUGGGAAUUCAAGAGUGUAAUUCUCCAAACAAAAGCUGGUAAGCCUUGGUAAAUCAUCAAGUUCCAAAAGUUUUAAUUCGUUGAAAGCAAUACGAUUCUCCUUCGCUUCUUCUCCAACAUGUCCUAUGAUUUCUUCUAUUUUUGCACAGUCUGAUACAUCAAGAUUCACUAGACUAUUGGGAAUUCCAACCUGAAAUAAAGAGUAGCAUUCAACUAGAUCAAAGUAUGUCAAAAUCAUACAAUUGUUUUAUGAAAAAUAACAAUUUUGAGGAAUUGAAAGAUAACUAAUUUAAUUUUUUUUUGGAAAGACUAAUAAUGAAUGAAUUAAUGAUUAAAUAAUAUUAUUAGUUAUAUCUAUUUAAUAUUAAUGUUAUCAAAUAUAGAUUUUUCAUAAAAAAUAAUUCUUAACUAUAUAAUUAAUAAUUAGAGAGAUGUUAAUAAGCUUUUUGAUUUCCUAAAAUACGUAAUUUAAAAAAAAUUAGAAUUAUUAAAAAAAUUCAAAAAAUGAGGCCUUCACAAAAUAUGGGACCUUAGGCGACCGCCUUGUUCGCCUAUACCUAAAGCCACCCCUGCAUGGGACUGUAAUAGAGUGAAUAUUUGAGGAAAUUUUUUAAUCAACGGUCGACUCAAAAUGACCAUCAUGAAUUUGUGCUUAAUCAAUGGCGUAAUCAAUUCAUAACUAAACCAGAGAUAUUAACUACAUUUGAACACUUUUCUUUAUUUUUUAUUUUUAAAUCGAAAUCUAAAGACCCAAGGAAAAGAGAAAUAUAUAUGAAUUUGUGAACUUAAAAGCUGAGUAACUAAGUAUCUUUUAAUUUCUGAAAAUCUUAUUUAUUAGGAUAUAAGAAAAAAAAACAAUUAAAUUGAAUUAUAUUAUGCUGUUAAAUCGUGUUUAAAACAAUUACUUUAAUGCAGGUGAACCUAUAAAUUAGAUUGAAAAUGCAGAGUUCAGAAUGGUGAUUUGAAGUACACUACUUUUUUGCCCUCCAGAAGUUUGAAGUAAAAUACUUGCAAUAAAUAAUUUGUGAAUGAAAAUUAUUUGUAAACACAAAAAUGAUUAAAAUAAUUGUUGAAUGUUACUUGAAAUAAAAAUUCAAAAUGAAUAUAGCAAUCUUACCAAUGGAGGAAAAAUAUUCAGUAGAUUAUUACACCCAGAUAUCUUCAAUUUUUUCAAUUUGCUAAAAGACUUCGAAGCAAGCUGGUGGUGCCAUAUUUUUCUCAACUUAUCCGCCUCACUAAUAUGUAAUACCUCCAGACUUGGGAGUCGUACCUGAAGUUAAAAAUUCAAUGCAAUUAGAGAUGUAUAUUAAUUAAAUUUGAAGACUCAACGAAAAGAGAAUUUAAAAAUUCAAUGAAAAAAAACCUUUUCAUCAAAGAGGGAUUGAGGUUGCAUUUCAGUGUGAAUGACGUCUUCUGGUGAGGCAAAGCUACUUAGUUUUGGAAGCCAAUGGAGCGACAGGUAGUGUAGUUUGGGAAAAACCUUAAAUUCAUCUCUUCCUCCUAACGUCGUGGUGUUGACUACCCCUUCAAUUGACCGGCAAUUACGAAUCUCAAGAUGUUGGAGUUGCCCAAGACUAUUAACCAUAGAAUAUGAAAACAAAUACUUCAGACGAUGACAACUCCACACGGUCACUUUUGUUAAAUUUUGACAACAAUAUAUUCCCUGAAAUUGAUCGGACCAUAAUUUUUUGAUAUUUGUUAAACUGACAAGUUCCAGUUCCUCCAAGCGUGGAAAAGUAACCUGCAAAGAAAAACCAUACAUUUUUGUUCUUUCAACUACAACUUCUAAUAUAAUAUUCUUUCGAUGAUUGAAGAUCAAUCGUGAUAAUAUAUUAAUUAAUUAAUUAUUAAACAGAAAAUUAUUACCUGGUGAACAGGAUCAUCCUCUGCAUUGAUUUCUAUGAAUCCCUGAGUUGUUGGUGGUUUCUCCAUGUCGGGCCCUAUAAAUGAACCAAAACAAUAUACAAUAAACAUCCGUUGUUUUUUUCACCAAAAAAAAAAAAAAGAAAAAAAGAAAGAGUCAAUGUCAAUAAUCCUACCAAUAAUUAAUUUCAACACUUACCAAUAAUCAUUUUCAAAUCAUCGCAGUCUUCCACUUUUACUUUUUGAAGCCGCAAUAGGUUUUUGGCCAUAGAGAAUGAGAAGAGAUACUUCAAUUUUCGACAGGAAUCUACGUUUAUAAUCCUUAAGUUGCUGAAGGAUUGAUCUUCUCUGAGUUGGCUGUAGCAUAUCGUCUCCAAAUUAGUUAAAAACAUAAGAGACAAUGCCUCCAGCAAGGGAAAGACUUCGCAACGAACCCGUCUAACUGAACCGACAAUAUGUAAAAUCUCAGAACAGUCUGUUACGAGAAGACGCUUCAAUCGUGGAAAACCUUCCCCAUCGUCUAAUUCAUGAACAACACUUUGAACACCCUCCAAUGUUUCUAGCCAGAGAUCUUCAGUUCUCUGCAGCAACAUUUUUGUCCCAUCAUUCUCCUUAAGAAUGCUAACUUUUUUUAUCCCCUUGAGCAUCAUCAAUCUUGAUGCUUCGGAUUUGACGAGCAAUGGGUCAAACUCAUCUUCGGGCCCAUCUCCUAUACGUAUCUUAUAUCUUUGCAAUUCCACAGAGACAAAAUCCGGCGGCAGAAUUUCGGCAUCCGGAACUUCUAUCUCCAAAGUAGUUAGCUCUGUCAACCUCUCCAAUUCGACAAGACUGGCAUUACUUCCUCCUUCAACCUUCUCCCACCCUGAAAAACCGUUACCCAUAUACAAUUCUUCUAAUUGAGAUAAUUUUGAUAUGACAUUCGGUGCUAUCACCUCAAGCCACCAACAAUUGCUCAAAUCUAGCAAUUGUAACCGCGUCAAUUGUCCAAUUUCAACUGGUAGCUGGUUGAUAUUGGAAUAUGCGAGGCUGAGAAUCUCUAAUUUCUUUAGUUGUCCAAUUGCCGCUAUAUCUGCUAGUUCGCACCAGUCUAAACACAAUGUUUGAAGGUUAAUGAGGCGACCAAGUGAUGAAGGUAAUGAAGAAGAGCCAAUUCCAGGAAACUGUAAAACUUUGAGUCCUUCCAUCCCUUCAAAAAAGUGGUCUGAAACUUGCAUAGGGCCAUUACCCUCCGUAUACAACAAAAAUAACUGGAGAUUGGGACAUUGCAACCUUUCAGGGAGCUCUUGAAUAUCUCUAUGAGGUAAUGAAAUAGCAAUUGGAUCUUUCUGUAUUGUCUCUUCCAUCUUUUUCUCCAAGUCAGCAACAUUUGGAACAUUAAACAUGCGCUCCUCUGUGGCAAUUGAUACGGCAACAACAUGAAUGACGUCAUGCAUUUUAACUUCAUCUUCAGCAUCACCGUCCAACAAUAAGCAUGAAGAUUUGAGGUUGUCGAUCAACCGAUGCACUCUACUCCUUGCUUCUUCCAAUGUGUAAACAUUUUCAAACAAACCCCAACCCACACCAUAUCUCAAUAAGUCAGAAACUUGUAUGACAUUACCUUCACUGUAUAGACUACAAAGACGGAACAGAGAUUUUGCCUCCUCACUUUCCAAGAAGUCAUAACUCAAUUUUAUGGAGGUGUACACAUUUGCUUGCAUGCCAUGAAUUUCUCUAGCAUCCGAUCUUCUUAGCUGAUUCAAUGCAUCUUUCCAAAAGUAACGCUCUUUAGUUUUCAGAGCAUUUGCAACUGUACUCAGUGCAACAGGCAAACCUCCGCAUCUUUCAACGAUCUCAUUUGCUAUACUUUGAAAAGCAGAUAUUUUAGUUGAAUCACCCAAUAUCUUUUCAAAAACUGCAAUGCUUCUUUUGGUGGCAAAGCAUCGAUCGGGAAAUUUUUCUGAGAAUUCAUAUCAAUGCGCAAUAAAUCUCGACUUCUAGACGUCAAUAUUAUUGUGCAUCGUCUCUGAUCAUCCUUUGUAUCUUUCUCAUCAACAUCCCCACAAGGAAUUCCAACUUUUUCGAACUCGAGUUUUUUCCAAAUAUUAUCCAAUAUAACGAGGACCUGCUUCUCGUUCUUCAAUCUUUCACGUAAUCGAUCUGCUCUUUCGAAUUUAUUCUCAUCCGAGCCAAAUUUCAUGCCUAAGUCAAAAGCAAGUUUCUUUUGAAUUUCCUGAUGAUCUGGGGUCUGUGUUACCUCAGCCAUAACGACCUUAUCGAACACCUUAUCUUCCAUAACUUGCCUUGCAACUUGCUUGACUAGCGUGGUUUUACCCACGCCGCCCAUCCCGCAGACCCCAAUUAUCUUGAGCUUAUCAUCCUUCAACGCCUCCACAACAUCUUGAAAUACUUUCAUUCUUGAAUCAAAGGCCUCGAAAUCUUUCACUUGCAUAUGUUCUGCCCGCUUUGGAGCAGGACGGUAGGAAACAUUAGAGAAGUUACCUUUUCCCAUGAGACUAGCAGCAGCUUCUGCGGCCUUUGCUGCUUGUCUACUGAGCUUGUAACGAGAAAUCAAGUUUGGGCACAAUCCUUUGAAACAGAACUUCUUAGCUCUAUCUUCAUCAUCAGUGAUGGAUUUCGCAGCUCCCUGAGUGAAUUCCUUGACGCUAUUAAGCCAGUCUGCAACAUCCUUAUAAAUCUCAUCUCCUUGUUGAGUAGCCUGAUGAACGGGUAUUUCCACCCUUUCUCUUUUAUAUCCCAACUGUUUCACUUGAUCUUUUAGGCCAUCUAUGUAGCUCUGGUACUUGAACACAUAAGAGAUCUGCCGUAUAAUCGGUUUGAACAGUGACUUUGCAUCUUCUGAUACGAUGCUGGAAAAAGCAGCCAGACCCACUUCUACAACCAUUGCCUGUUGCUUAACAAUAUAUGUAUAUAUAUGAAUAAAAUGAAUAAAAAUGUCAAAGAAAGGAAUACAAAUAAAUUAAAAUGAACUAGAGGGAAAGACAGAGAAAGAAAAGACCGCAAACAACAUCGCGAUAUUGAUUUUGAACCAACUGAUACCUAAGUAGAGAAUUUCUUUUUCUAUCUUAAGGAUCAGAGGUUUCGCUAUUAACAGAAAGGUAUCCUUUAAGGAAAGUUGAUGGAAAUUAAGAAAGAAUGGCUAUCAAGAUCAAGUAUUCUGCUACUAAAAAUAAAUGAUAUGACUUAAGAAAAGUAAAUGAUAUGAUUAAGAAAAACCAGAGAAUUUUUUCCUAGGAAAGUUGAUGGAAAUUAAGAAAGAACCGCUAUGAAGAUCAAGUAUCAGAGAUUCUGCUACUAAAAGAAUAUUACAGGUUUUAGAACAAGUGCACCUCUUUACCUGUCUGGGAUCAGAGUCGAUGAGCUGCUGUAUUCACCUUGAAUAUAGAAGAAAUAUUACAGGUUUUGACUAAAGAGGAAUGUGAGGAACGAGUUGAUGAGAGUAAUAACAAUGAAUUUCCAAAAGAAGACGACUUGAGCAUUAAGCAUGCACCCCCUUUAUCAAUCAAAUAUUGGUACGUAUGUACGUAGGGACCAUUAUGCGUAUAUGAAGUCCAUUAGUUGCAAUCAGAAACCCUGGCCCAAUUUAAUUGGCACUCGAUUUUUGAUAAGAAGAAGGCAAGGAUAAGGACAAAGUCAAUCAAUCACCAACAGUAAUUACUUCAAUCUUUGUCAAUCUACUUAAAUUGUCGAUCAACAUGAAAAUUGUUUAAAUUGAUAUUUGUAAAUCAAUCAAUUUUCUAGUUACUAUGAUUAUAACGUUUCACCUUUCAUAUUGGAUUUUAUCUUUUCGAAAGUUUUCAAAUAUGAGUGUCAAUAAUUAUUGAGACUCCAAGCCGUGCUCUCAAGAUCGUGCUGACAAAUCACUAUUGACUUUGUUUAUGCAAAAUUCAAAGAAAAAAAGUUAUGGUUUUGUAUUGCCAGCCCUGCUACUUUUUGUUUUUUUCAUUUGUAUUAUUUACGAAUUAUUUUUUAACAGAAACAUGAGAACUCAUCAUCGUACAAAAUUGCAUGAAAAAAUCUUCAAAUUUAUAAAAGUAAAUUUCGUUGACAGAUUGUGGAUAUGUUAGAAAGAAUAAGGAUAAGAAUGAGUUAAGAAAUAAUAUAUAUAUAUAUAUAGAUAGAGAGAGAGAGAGAGAGUGAAAGUAAACAAUGUUUUGGUACAUUUGGUAUUGUUUUCAAAAUAUUUUGAAAAGAAAAAUUUUCAAUUAUCCACCUAGGAAUUAUCUUAUUAUCCAAAAAGUUAUAAAAAUUUAAAAAUAUUUAAUUUUAUACCCAUUAUUACAAUGUGUAUCAACUGUUUACUAAAAAAAUAAAGUUACUCCUAAAACAUAAUCACCACUACAAUUUUGUGUUCGCUUCUAUUUUGUCACUUUGAACGAAUAACUUUAUAUUUUUAACAGAUGUUUCAUACAAAUUGCAUACAUUGGAUGUAAAAUUAAAUAAAUUUAAAUUUUUAUAAUAAUUUUAAUAAUUGAAUAAACUUUGAGUAAAUGACUGAUAAUUUCUCUUUUAUAAGCUACAAGAAGUUAAAAAGAAAAAAGAAAAAAUAGGAUGAUAAUUUCUCUUUAAUAUGCCUCAGAUGAUUUAUUGUUUCGGGUCUAAGAUUUUAAAUAUUCAACUUAAAAGAUUAAUAUAUUAUAAAUUAAUUAAUUAAAUAAUCAUUAAGCAACUAAAUUGGGUCCCCUGGAUGUCAAUUCCUUUAUUAUUGACGCAACUAUUUUUUUAUGGCAAAUAAUUAUUAAUGCACUUACGGAACUUUUGCAUAUCUACACAGCGAUUUUAAAUAUUACUGGUAACUGCUGAGAAAUGUGCGAGAAAGAAGUUGAUGAGAGUAAUAACAGCGACUUGCAAAAGGAAAAGACAGAAUCAUUCAGACAUUCACCCCUUUUUGUAUCACGUACUUGGUUACUGUUUCCCUGUUGACGCAUGUAUAAAUUUGAGUGAUUUUUCUGCACUUUUUUGGCUGUUGCUUAACAAUGUGUGUGUGUGUGUGUGUGUGUGUAUUUGCUGUUGAAAAAUUUGGAUUCAAAUAAAUUAACUGAAAGAUUAGAGUUUUGACUAUUAACUGAAAGGUUUCAAGGGUAUGAAUGAAAAGCAACAUUCUUUUUUAGAAACUAUUUUAGAGGAGAGAUGCAAAUUAACAAAUGCUAAUAACAAGAACACAGAAGUUAACAAUGAACAGUAACUUAAAUCAAGAAAAUUAAAUGACAAAAUUAAGACAAAUAGGAGAUAUUUUUUCGUGGACGUUAAGAAAUAACUGCUGUCAAGAAUAAGGAGAUUAUGCUAUUAAUAGAAAUUAUCAAAGGAUUUAGGACAAGUUCACCUCUUUAAUUAUCCGGGAUCAGAUAGUUGAUGAGCUUCUCUAUUUGAUCUUGAAUAUUUAAGAAUAAUUUUAAUGAGCAAAAAGAUCACUGGUAACUGCUGAAAAAUAAGUGAGAAAAGAGUUGAUGAGAAUAAUAACAAUGAAUUGAAUAAAAAAAGGACUUAAUCAUGCACCCCCUUUGCAUAUCAUGUAUAGAAUAAUUACAUGUAUUAUUAUAAUUUUGGGUUCGAUAUCCUUGUAUUAGUGUCUAAGAUUUUCAUGAAGAAUUAAACUUGAAAUGACCAAAAGAGGAAGCUGCGGUGUAUUGUUGGACCCAAUUAAGUUGAAGAAAGCACUAGUUCACAACCUUACGUUUGGAUAUAUUCUAAAGAAAUAAUUAAACAGCAAAUGAUCAUCACAUGCACUUUAAUGAUUUGAUCUAUUGUUUUCAAAAGAAAUUGCAAUUAACAGUUUUUGUCAAAAGUUCGCACUGUGUGAAACUAGUGUUAAUAUAAUUUAAAAAAUUACUUUCAAUAGCAUAUGGAAUAAUUAUAAUAUUAUUAAUACCUAAGAUAUAUUUAUAUUUAUUAUAAAAAAUUCAGUUAAAUAUUUGUGUUAACUAGAAUUUAUAAUUAAUAUAAUAUAUCUUAGGUAUUAAUAAUAUUAUAAUUAUUCCAUAUGCUAUUGAAAAUAAUUUAAAUUUUUAGACGUUUAUUUUCAUAUUAAGUUUUUAUUUAUUAUAAAAUUUAGUUUAAUAUAGUAUAAGCUUGUAAAGUAUUAAAAUAUUUUUUUUCAUAUUUUUUAAAAAUAUUAAAAUUAUUUUAAUAUAUAUAUAUUAACAUUGAAGCCAAUUUUUUGAGUUAAUAGAGCUAGUAGGUGUUACACUAAAAAAGAGUAUCUUAGUAUCUCUUAUUGAGUGGGAGAGCCAAAUGAAUCGAAAAAUUCAUGUUUGGUUCGGGAAGGGAUCAUCGAAGUUUUGAGAUGAAUGGAAAGAUAAUCUACUUUCAUUAAGUGAUUUAUUAGAUAAUCGCAAACUGAGGAUUUUGAAUAGUAUUCAAAAUUCAGAAGAAAUGCAGAGAGGGGCCAUUGAACGGCCGGAAAAAGCCCGGCCCGGUUACAAAAAAUCAAAAUAGAAGCAGAUCAAUAUUGAAAAUAUAUAGAUCUAUAUAAUCAUUUUUUCAAAUAUCGAGAUGUAGCUAUAAAAGAAAAAAUAAAUUAAAAAAUUUUAAAUUUUAAAUUUUAAUAUGGCCAUCGUAGGGUUAGAAUCCCCGCUCCAACCCGAUUUGGAGAUGUGCUUGGUCUAUUUAUGUUUUGGAAAAAGAAAAACCAAAGAAAAAAAAUACGCACCCGACCAAAUCAAGUAACUCAUCAAAUAAAAAAUAAAAAAGGAAAGAAAUUUAAUGACUUGCGUGCAAUUUUGGAUCUGAAAUUAAAAUUACAUAAAAAUUCAGGCUUACGUACCUUGAUAUUUACAGCUUAUUUGAUGGCCUCAACAAGUUUAAGCAGCAUCAAAAUGUUGUGGCUCCUUCAAUGACAACAUCGACUUGUUUGACAGCUCCAACAAGGCUACGAUGAUCAGAAAAUGAGCCCUCAAUCAACCAGCGCCUUGCUCUUUGUCAUUUUUCCUCUUGUUAGUUUUCUUCUACAUAUAAUUAUUACACUGGGAAGUAUACACACACCUCUUUUCUUUUUAUAGUACCUUACUAUUAUAUCUUUACAAAACAAUAUCACCCUAAGACAUAUAUGUAUGAAAUAAAUAUAUAAGGAACUGACGAAAUAAAAUUAGAUCUAACACUAGUUUCAUGUGGUGUGUGAACUUUUGACAAUCCUCUCAUACCCCAACAAAAACUUUGUCAUAUUACGAAAGUUAUCACGACCAUAGACUUUUCAAUUGCAUAUUGGAAUUGCAAUGUCAUUUUAUUAUAGUAAUGUCAUUUCCAUUAUUCAUAGUGGCAGACAAUGGACAUCACGGGACACGGCGAGAAGUUAUCACGACCAUAGACUUUUCUAAUUUAUGAAAUAAAUGAAAUUAGAUCUAAUUCUAGUUUUAAGUGGUGUGAACUUUUGACAAUCCUCCCAUAUCCUAACAAAAGCUUUGUCAUAUUGCGAAAAUACCUUUCCAAUGUUUCAAUUGCAAUGUCAUUGCCAUUAUUCAUAGUGGCAGACAAUGGACAUCACGGGACAUGGCUAGAAGUCUAUGUUACGGCUUAUGUAAGUAACAGUAGCCAAUGGGGAACUUCCACAGGGGCUAUAGGAGAGAGAAAGAGGUCCCAAUACAAGUGUUAGAGUGCAAUUUAUACACUAGUUUUGCAUUGUUUACUUCCCUUAAUAUCAAUGUUUUGCAUUUAAUAAUAAUGAUUUACUUGUGUUUUACUUUUGUAGGUGCAAUUCUAUUGAUUUGUUAUAAAAUUGAGGUAUAAGAUGAUGUUUAAAGAUGAUUGUUCUCUUAGAGAAAUUUAGAGCGUCAGAAGAACUUUAUUGAUAAAGCGUGGGCGCGUGCUGUCAACUGCGGACCUGCAGUUUUUAGUUUAAUGUGUUUUGUAUUUUUGGCUAUUUUUGUAAUUACGAAUUUAAUAUUUCAAAUAUUAGUAUUUUAUUUUAAAUAGAACUCUAAAAGAGAAGAGAGAGAGAGUAUUUAAGGGAGGAAUCUAUUGUGAAAAAGGGGGGAUUUUAAUUGGAGAAAAAGAAAGAAACCCUAGAUCUAAUUUUUCUCUUCUCUCUAUGAAGAACUAAACUUAUUUUUUCUGGUGGAAGGUUAAUGAAGCUUUGAUUCAUCAAUACUGUGAGAUCUUUCUUAUGCUUUAAUUGUUUUAUUACUUUUUGGGUAUUUGUUUAUUCUCUGAAUUUGUUUCAUGAUUAUGUUUGUUAAUUAGGUAAUUGGCCACUAUUUAAUUAUCAACUUAAUCUAUUGUCAAUUAAAGAAUUCAUCGUAUGAAGAGUUUAAUGUUUGUGACAAAUAACAUAGCAGUGAGUUGUGUUAUGGGAAUAAACAAUCUAAUUUAAAUGAAUCAUUAUAUGUGUUGAUUAGGAUUUGGGUCUCUAUGGUUUUUCAGGCUGUCAAUUGAUUAAAUCCUAUGAUCGUAUCUAGGGUUGUCUAUUGAUUAGGGAAAUAUCCAACGGUCGUACCUUGGUUAUCGACUAGUUAAGGAGAGAUUGGCUAUUAGAGGGUCUCAAUAGCUAUAACCGGUCUAUUCAUAAGUAAUAAUAAUCUAUUUUUGAAUCAAUGAUUAGUAGUCGAAUCAAGCUGAGUUAAUUCCUUCAACCAGAGCUUUCUCCAAUUUGAAUUACAACUUUAAUUUGCAUUUUUGUUAUUUUAAUUUGAUUUUUUAUUAUUGUCAACAAUUCCCCCAUUUUACGUUUUACGUUUCAAAAGGAUUUAAAUAAUUACCGAUCUCUGUGGACACGACCCUGCUCAAUCACUAUACACAAUUUAUUUAGAGUAGGAAUUUAUUUUUGUUGGCUUCGACAACCAUCAACAAGGUGAUGGAAAUGGGAAAGUUCGAAGCUGUUACUUUCAGCUUCUGCACCGUAGCCAUGUCCCACGGGACAAGGCUAGAAGUUAUCAUGACCAUAGACUUUUCUAAUUUAUUUUUUCCUUUCAAAAAGGGACAAGGAUAAGUUUGGGAGAAUGAUUAUAUUUUUAAUAAAAGAAUUCUUUUUUAUUAUAAUACUUUUUGUCUUUAUUAAUUUAAAAAUAUUAACUCUUAUAUUUUAAUAAAUAUAAAUAUAAUAUUAUAAUAACAUAUAACAAUAUAUACAAAAAUUUAAAAAAAAUUAAGAUUUUAUUAAAAUAAAUUUUAUAAUAAAUACAAAUACAUUAUUAAUAUAAUUUUAAUAAUUUGCAUUUUAAAAAGUAAUACUGAUAUUAAUUUUUUAAAUAUUAAUUUUUUAAAUUAUAUUACUCUACCAAAAAAAAUUAAACUAUUAAAUUAUAUUGAUAUUUAUUACAAAAUUUGCAAUUAAUUCUUAUUAUAUUUUUAAUUGGAAUUUGUUCCUGUGAUAUAACAACAAUUGCUACAGUUUUUUUCCCUAAAUAAAGAUGGAGUUAUAAAUUAUUUGUGUAAGUGUCAUGAAAGUAAUAGUUGAAUAACAAUAAUGGGGCUUUAGGCAAUUUUUUCAUGAGGUCUUCUUGCAAUUUCAACACUUAAACAUACUUGUCCUUGAUCCCAAUUUAUUUACCCCAUUUGGGCCCACGAUGAGAUAAAUAUAUUCCUGUGAGAUGAAAAACAUCAGGAGAAGAAAAUGUUUUAUUAUAAUAAAAAAACAAGUGGUCCAUAAGUCUAUUUAUUACUUUUUUUAUUCAAUACAAAUGGCCAACUUAAAAAAUGAUAAAAAUCACAUAACGCACAAGCAAAAAUUUAGAUUUACAUUUUUUUAGUUCUCUCCGUGUCUCUCUUUCUCUUUUUUUUUUUUAAAAAAAAUAAAUGUCAGUGUAAAAUUAGAAAAAUUUUAGAUAUAAACUUUGGCGAUGACCAAACAAAAAUUGCAAGGGAAAGAAAAUAGAGGACCCUUGAUAUCAUUGAAAUACUGAUCAUAGACACUACAAUAUAAAUAACUUGUUGUGAUCCACUCAACUUGUAACACUUUAAUCCAUAUUCUAAAAUUUGUAUGCUUGUUAGGAAUUUUAUUAUUGACAUUACUGUACCAAUAAAAGUCUAAUUUAUUCAUAUGGAAAGAAAACAUCAAGAAAGGACCUCUGAUUUUUAUUAUAACAGAAAAAAGUGGUCCAUAAGUUUAUUUAUUAUUUUAUUUAUUCAAUACAAAUUGCCAACUUAAAAAAUGGUAAAAAUCACAAAAUGCACAAGUAAAAUUUUAGAAUUACAUUUUUUUAAUUCUCUUUGAGUCUCUCUCUCUCUCUUUAAAAAAUAAACCUCACUGUAAAAUUAGAAAAAUUUUAGACAUAAAAUUUGACAAUCACCAAACAGAAAAUGUAGGGAAAUGAAAAUGGAGGAGCCCUAUUAUCAUUAGAAUAUUGAUCAUAGAUACUAUAAUGUAAAUGAUUUGUUGUGGUUCAUUCAACCUGUCACACUCUAAGCCAUUUUCUAAAAUUUGUAAGGUUUAUAGGAUUUUUAUUAUUGGCAUCAUUGUAUCAAUAAUAUUAUAAAUUAUAUAUUCUAUUGUAAUGAAAAUUUAUGUAAUCUUAGGUAUUUAUUUAUUGUAAUAAUAAAAAAUUUCUAAAUAAAGGUGAUUGCUUCAUUGACAAGUACAUAUUUAUAUUCUCUAUUAGUAUUUGGGUUGUAAACUUUGUUUAUAAAGUGAAUAUAUUGUGGUAAGCGAUGUGGGCAAUAUCGGAUGCAAAAUAUUGAGAGAUCAUUAACGCAUAUAUUUAUUGAAGACGCAUAUAGAGGAAAGAGUGUAGAUCCGGCCGUAACAAUUAUGAAGCUUUCCCCAAGUAUUCUCACGCUUCCUUAACUGUUGCAAAGUAUUUUUCAUAGUGUGCAGAUUUACUUUAUGGUGUCUUAAUUCGUCUAAAAUGAUUACUUUAGUUCUUUUGGGAUGAAAGGUCAUUUAUUGUGUUAGUAUUAAACAAUAGAAAAAAUAAGUAAUGGUAACGAAAGACUAAUUUGUGAUAUUGAAGCAUACAUGCUUAACUCAAUCCAAAACUUAGUAAGUUAGCUCAAGAGUUAAGAGUUGUCCAAAUCUUAUAUGCUGAACCCAAGUUCAAUACUCAAUUGAUGCAGGAUGUUAUUCCUAACACCGCCCCUCAUGCGUAGGAUUGGCAAAAAAACUCGAGUCAGUCCCGCCUAGACCUGCAAGCUUUAUUUAUGGCCAGCAUGAUGAAGUUACAGAUAUUAACCUAAAAAUUUGAAACUUACUAUGAAUGGCCUUGGUUAAAGACUUUUGUAACUUUAAUUUAUAACAAGUAUGUAUACACACACACACACAUGUUUAGAUUGCAUUUGGAUGACUUUUUUAUCAAUGCAAACAAUAUCAAAUUUAUCGGAUUAAUUUGAAUCUGAUCUAUAUCCGAUUUUGCCCGCCAUANNNNNNNNNNNNNNNNNNNNNNNNNNNNNNNNNNNNNNNNNNNNNNNNNNNNNNNNNNNNNNNNNNNNNNNNNNNNNNNNNNNNNNNNNNNNNNNNNNNNNNNNNNNNNNNNNNNNNNNNNNNNNNNNNNNNNNNNNNNNNNNNNNNNNNNNNNNNNNNNNNNNNNNNNNNNNNNNNNNNNNNNNNNNNNNNNNNNNNNNNNNNNNNNNNNNNNNNNNNNNNNNNNNNNNNNNNNNNNNNNNNNNNNNNNNNNNNNNNNNNNNNNNNNNNNNNNNNNNNNNNNNNNNNNNNNNNNNNNNNNNNNNNNNNNNNNNNNNNNNNNNNNNNNNNNNNNNNNNNNNNNNNNNNNNNNNNNNNNNNNNNNNNNNNNNNNNNNNNNNNNNNNNNNNNNNNNNNNNNNNNNNNNNNNNNNNNNNNNNNNNNNNNNNNNNNNNNNNNNNNNNNNNNNNNNNNNNNNNNNNNNNNNNNNNNNNNNNNNNNNNNNNNNNNNNNNNNNNNNNNNNNNNNNNNNNNNNNNNNNNNNNNNNNNNNNNNNNNNNNNNNNNNNNNNNNNNNNNNNNNNNNNNNNNNNNNNNNNNNNNNNNNNNNNNNNNNNNNNNNNNNNNNNNNNNNNNNNNNNNNNNNNNNNNNNNNNNNNNNNNNNNNNNNNNNNNNNNNNNNNNNNNNNNNNNNNNNNNNNNNNNNNNNNNNNNNNNNNNNNNNNNNNNNNNNNNNNNNNNNNNNNNNNNNNNNNNNNNNNNNNNNNNNNNNNNNNNNNNNNNNNNNNNNNNNNNNNNNNNNNNNNNNNNNNNNNNNNNNNNNNNNNNNNNNNNNNNNNNNNNNNNNNNNNNNNNNNNNNNNNNNNNNNNNNNNNNNNNNNNNNNNNNNNNNNNNNNNNNNNNNNNNNNNNNNNNNNNNNNNNNNNNNNNNNNNNNNNNNNNNNNNNNNNNNNNNNNNNNNNNNNNNNNNNNNNNNNNNNNNNNNNNNNNNNNNNNNNNNNNNNNNNNNNNNNNNNNNNNNNNNNNNNNNNNNNNNNNNNNNNNNNNNNNNNNNNNNNNNNNNNNNNNNNNNNNNNNNNNNNNNNNNNNNNNNNNNNNNNNNNNNNNNNNNNNNNNNNNNNNNNNNNNNNNNNNNNNNNNNNNNNNNNNNNNNNNNNNNNNNNNNNNNNNNNNNNNNNNNNNNNNNNNNNNNNNNNNNNNNNNNNNNNNNNNNNNNNNNNNNNNNNNNNNNNNNUACCUCUUUUAACGACAAGAUUCGUAGUAGAUGAUAAAAAGAAAAUUAACUUCAAAUUUUUUCAUUAAAUGUAAAUCUGAUUGAAGUAGUUUAAAUUUUUCUAGUAGACUAAUAUAUAUAACUUAAAUAAUUAAUUUCAUUAUUAAUUUUUAAAAUGUUAACUAAUAUAUUUUUAAUUUAUUAUAAAAAUUUUAAAUAAAUCCUUGGAUUAAAUAGAUUUUACAAUUAAUGUAAUACUUCUGAUUUAUUAAUAAUAUUAAAAUUAUUUUAUAUGAUAUUCAAAAUAAUUUAAACUUAUAUAUAUAUUAAUAUUAUGUCUAUUUAUUAUAAUAUGGUUUAAUAUUAUACGGGAUUGUAAAAUAUUAAAAUAUUUUUCAAUAUCCAAUUAUUUUAAUAUGUAUAUAUCAUUACAUUUAUUUUAGUAUCGUAUUUAUAUUUAUUAUAAAAUAUAAAAUUAAUAAAAUUAAAGAGUAUUGCAGUAAAGUAAAAAAAAAAAGUCUUAUUAUCUCUUAUUCACAAUAUGAGAUUCUACAAAAUUAUUUCCCGAAACGGGUGUCCUUUUCUUAUUUUCAAAAGAAAAAAUAAAGUAAGAAUAAGUCCAUGGGUUUCAAAAACUUCUAGUCUUAUCCCGGGACUACAUUGUCUGCCACUAUAACUAAUGGAAAUGACAAUACAAUUGACAUUGCCUUUCGCAACAUGACAAAUUUUUGGUGGGAUAUGGAAGAAUUGUCAAAAGUUCACGCCAUGUAAGAGUUUUUGGUGGGAUGUGGGAGGAUUGUCAAAAUAUCACACCACGUGAUAUAACCACAAUUGCUAUGGUUUUUAUUUUUUAAAUAAUGAUGGGAGUUAUAAAUUAUUUAUAUAAAUUUGCGUAGAAACUAAUGUAACAUAAAAGAAGUAGCUGAAUAAUAAUAUUUGGUGCUUUAGGUAAUUUUUAUAUGAGCCUUUCUUUUAUUUAGCGGCUCUAGUGCUUAAACAAACUUGUUCUCGAUCUUAAUUUACUGACCCCAUUUAAGCCUAUGAUGACAUAAUUAAACAUAUUCUUUUGUGACGAAAACAUCAAGAGAAGACAUCUCAUGUUUUAUUAUAACAGAAAAGAAGUGAUCCAAACGUCUAUUCGUUAUUUUAUUUAUUCAAUAUAAAUGGUCAACUUUAAAAAAAUGAUAAAAAUCACACAACGCUCAAGUAAAAAUUUAGAAUUACAUUUUUUAAAACUCUCUGAGUCUCUCUCUCCUGCCCCCCCCCCCCCCUCUUUUUUUUAAAAUAAACCUUAGUGUAAAAUUAGAAGAAUUUUAGAUAUAAAAUUUGGCAAUCGCUAAACAGAAAAGUAGCGGAUUGAAAAUAAAAAAGCUCUAUUAUCAUAGGAAUAUUGAUUAUACAUAAUAUAAUAACUUGUUGUGGUUCAUUGUAGCACUCUGAGCCAUACUUUAAAAUUUACUGGUUUGUUAAUGCUUUUAUUAUUGACAUUAUUGUGUCAAUAUUACUAUAAUUUAUUCAUUUUAUUGUAAUGAUAAUUUGUGUAGUCUUAGGUACUUAUUAUAUUAAAUUAUGUAAAUUAAUUGAGAAUACUUUUAGAGACAAAAGAAACACGUGUAUGUAGGAUUAAUAAUCGAAGAAUUGUAAAUGAAGGUGAUUGCUUCAUUGAGAGGCAUAUUGAAUAAUUAUGGAGGUUGCACUAUUUCGGAAGCACAUAUUUAUACUUCCCUAUCAGGAUUUGGGGUAAACGAAGUGCUUUAUCUAUUGCAGUAAGCAAUGUGGGCAAUAUCAGAGGCGAAAUAUUAAAAGAUUAUAACGCAUAUAUUUGAGCCAUUUAUAUUGAAGACACAUAUAGAGGAAAGAGUGCAGAUCAGGCUUUCCUCAAGUAUUCUCAUGCUUCCGCAACUGUUCUGAACUAUUCUUCAUUGUGGGCAGAUUUACUUAAUUACCAACACUAUGAUUCAAUACUUCAAAGGUUGAGGAAAUGUCAAAAUAUGAAAUGAAAAUACUUAAAUACCCUUCUACCUAACAAAACUUGGUACUUCUAACUGCACUCGCAGAGAAUAUAUAAAAUUAAAAAAAUAUAUAUUCAUCCAUGAAAAGCUUCGUAACAGAAAAACCAUCUUUAAAAAAAAUAAAAAUAAAAUUAAAAAAAAAAAACAGAAAAACCGACUCAUUUAUCUGCCAAUGAACCAAUUGGGACUCAUUUAAAAAAGAAUACAAAGCAAAAGUGAAUGACACAAAUUGCAUAGAUAUCUAGGUAUAAUUUGUCCAAGUAAUAAAUUCUCCUAGGUCAAAAGCAAUUAACGAUGAAAACUUUCUUCAUUAAGGUUCUGGCCUACGUAAAAAAACAGAAAAAACCACCCCAAGGUCAAAGCACAACGAUAAGUUUAGAACUGCAGUUUUUAAUUUUUUUUAAUAAAUCAAUGUGUAUCAAAAAUAGAUAAUAAUUUUGGAUAACUUUUUUUGAUAAAUAUAGACAUAAAAUUUUAAAAUCACCAAACAGAAAAACAGGGGAAUUAAAAGAGAGCCCUUGUUUCUCCUCUGUUUUGUUUGUUAUCAAACAGUGAAAUGAAAAGAUCGCAAGCGGAAAUUUUGUUUCUGCGUUGUAUCUUCUCAAUGCUGCAUGCAUUCAAAUUAAACCUUAUAUAUGCUAGCAAACUAGCUACUCUGCAUGUAAGUUCUCGAUAAGUCCAAAUAAUAGAAUAAUUGUAAAAUGUUAAAAUUCAGUAAUUAAUUAUACAUAUUUAUUUAUUCAAAAAUUAUUAUUAUUAAUUAUUGUCAAUAUAUAUUAAUAUUCUGAUUAAUUGUAAAAAAUUUAUCAUUCAUAACAAUAAUAAUGAUGAUGAUGAUAAUAAUAAUAAUAAUUCAAAAUAUAUUAAUUAAUUAUAAUAAUAUAUUAAUUAUUUAAUAAUAGUAAUAAAUGUAAAAUGUAUAAAUUGAUUAGAAUAGUUAUAUUAAUAAAUUAUAAACAUAUAUUAAUUAAUCAUAAUAAUUUUUUAAUUGAGGACAAAAUAGACAUUUUAUAGUUUGUGAGAGGGGGUAAAAUGGUCAAUCUUGGGAACGGGGGAUUGAUUCCCACCACCUUCCUUGGGAAUCAAUCUUCCAUUCCUCAUUCCUAAAUUUGGGUGGCCCCAUAAUUCUGAUUUGGAUCCCUGCCUCCAUCAUUAAUGAUUUCGAUUUCGGAUUCCGAUUCCCCAAUCCAAGAAGUAAAGGCACCAUUAUUGUUAAUUGGUUCAAACACACAAAGAGAAUGUACCAUGUAGCUAGGCGUCAAGGUUGUGUUGCACAAGUAACCUUUUUCUUUUCUUUUUAUUUUUCUUGUUUUCCUUAACGGAUCAGAAGAAAUUGGUGCCUUUGAGAUACCACAAUGUAAAUAAGUACUUGUGGUUCAUUGAAUCGGUAACACUCGGUACCCUAAGGUUGCUUUGGAAAAAAGGCUUUUCUCACUGAUCGCCAAUAUCCAAGUAAGUUUGUUUCAUUUCAGAAGGUGCAAAGUUUCAAACUUGUUGUAUUGGGAUGUAACAAACUUUGGCCUCAUAUGCCUGCUGUGACGUUAGACUGUUCAUUUUGAUUGUUUCCUACCUUCCACUUACGCCAUUGUAGCACUGUAUUAUUCACCAUUUUAACUGUUUAAAUGAAAUUUUAUUUUUGUCAAAAAUAAAAUGACACCAUUAAAAUUUAGAAAAAUAAUAAUGUAGAUCCCAAAUUUUUAAAAAAGAAUACCAAUAUUCCCCUUGACUACAAUACCCUUAGUAGGUGGUAAUAAAAAAAAAUUGGCUUAAAAUUUUUACGAAAUGUAAAUAUGAUUUAAAUAAUUUAAAUUUUCCAGUAGACUAAUAUAUAUAAUUUAAAUAUUAAUUUUUAAAAUUUAAAUUAAUUUAUUUGUAUUUAUAAAAUAGUUGUAAUUAUUUUAAAAUUUAACUAAAUCCUUAGGUUAAAUAGAUUUUACAAUUAAUAUAAUAUUUCUCAUGUAUUAAUAAUAUUAAAAUUAUUUUAUAUGAUAUUGAAAAUAACCUAAAUUUUUAUAUAUUUAUUUGAAUAUUAUGCUCUAUUUAUUAUAAUUUGGUUUAAUAGAAUACGAGAUUGUAAAAUAUUAAAAUUUUAAAUAUUGAAAUUAUUUUAAUAUGUAUAUAUUAUUAUAUUUAUUUUAAUAUCCUAUUUAUAUUUAUCAUAAAUUAUUAGAGUUAAUUUUUUUAGUUAAUAAAUUUAAAAAAUAUUAUAAUUUUAAAAAAAAAGUCUUGUUGUCCGUUAUUCACGAUAUGAGGUUCUACAAAAUUAUUUCUCCAGGCGGGUGUCCUUUUUUUAUUUUCAAAAGGAAAAACAAGUUCAGGGCCUCAGGGGUUUCAAAAAAUUCUGGUCCUAUCUACCACUAUGACUAAUGGGAAAUGACAUUGCAAUUGACAUUGCUUUCCGCAAUAUGACAAAUUAUUGGAGGGAUAUGGGAGAAUUGUCAAACGUUCACACACGCGAGAGCUUUAGGUGGGAUAGGGGAGGAUUGUCAAGAGUUCACACCACGAGAAACUAAUGAUAGGCCUAAUUUCGUUGUCAGUUCUUUAUUUAUUUAUUUUAUUUAUUUCAUACAUUAUUGUUUUUAUAAAGGUAUAAAAGUAAAGUAAAAUACCAGGGGUGCUGUUAAGUUACAACUUAUGUAACUUGCAAUUUUUUCAAAAAUAAUGUAAAAAAUUUAAUAGGUGGUGGGACCCACAUAUUUUUUAAGAGACUUAAGUUACAACAGUUGUAACUUAACAAAAUCUAAAUAUUAGACAAUAAUGCAUAUAAUUUGGGUUUGAUUUUUAAAAGAUUAUUUGAGUACCACCUAUCCUUAUGAUAUUAAUCUGAUUAUAUCUUAAUAUUAAAUAAUCAAAAUUUGUUUAAUUAUUAUUUGUAUUUCAUACAUUACAUAUUAGAUUUGUUUGAAUUUUAAGUUGUUGCUAAUAAAUAUUUAUGUUGUCAAAGUCAAAGUCAAUAGCUACAAAAGCAGAGAUAAUGGUAUUGUAUAUAGUUUUUAAGAAUGCAAGGAUAAGCUGGAUAAUUGACUUAAAUUCUAAUGAUUAAAAGAGCAACUAUCCCUUAAGUUAUAAUGUCAAUUUCUUUAAUUAGAAAUUUUUUUUUUCAUGUGAUAUAACCUCAAUUGCUACAAUUUUUUUUAUAAUAAUAAUGGGAGUUAUAAAUUAUUUAUAUAAAAUUUGGGUUGAAACUAAUGUAACCUAAAAGUGGUUGCUAAAUAACAAUAUUUGAAACUUUAAGUAAUUUUCAUGAGUCCUUUUUAUAUUCAGCAACUUGAAUUGGGGGAAAUCCGACUUGAAUUGGCGGUUGAUUUUGGUGAUGUGGCUUUUGGUUUACGCCGGCUUUACAGUGGCGGAAGACUGGAUUUACGGUUGCCGAAUGCUAGGGAUUAUGGUGGUGGUGUAAAUUGACGGAAAAAGAAGGUGUUUUGGUGGCGGCGCAUCUAGGAAGCACUCGUGGGUUGUCGUUUCGUGUGCUGACAACGGGCGGCGAUCAAGGGCUGAAGUUGGUUGGUUUUUGGUCAACGGAGGCCGGCGAGUUUGUUGGUGGAGGUGGUUGGUGGAGAAAGUGGCUGAAUGGUGGUGGGUUGCUUGGUGGAGCCGUGGGUUUGGGUUGGUGAUUUGCGGCUGUUGAGGCAGCGAUGACUGAGGCUUGGUCAACUGUGGCUAGUGAGGUUUGUGGUGGUGUUGGCUGGCUGAUCGGCGGUGGUGGGCGGCGGUGGAGGUUGAUGUGACGGGUUGGGUUUUCAAAUUUGUAAAUUUUGUUUUUUGAUGGAUUUGGUUUGGAUAGGUAUGGUGUAUCUAGGAAAGAUGUGCGAUUCGCACAUAAUCAUCUUGAUACCAAUUGAUGGAGCGAGGCGUAGCGGAAGCAGAAUUGAUAGGGUAAGAAACAUUAGAUAUUGUUCUAGUACUAGACCAAGCCAACGCGAUUAGUUCACGCUCUAAUCGAAGCAUGAUUAGAUAUCGUUAUAAUCCAAAUGACUCAAUGAGAUUUUUAAUAAUGCGUAAUACGAGAUUAGAUGACACUCUAAUCCAAACGACUCUACAAGAGAGAUUUUGAUAAAUAAUCCUAGAGAAAAUUAUAAAAGAGGGGUUUUAUUUAAUAAUUGAACUUGAAGUUAUGAAAAUAAUGACAAGACAUCUUUAUUUUUUUUAUUACAAAUAUCUUUAUUUAUAAUAGAAGAAACCCGCUUUCCUAAGUUAACCUAAAAAGAAAAUUUAAAUCAUAAUUAUAAUGGAAAUAAAAGAUUAAAAUACAUACCAUAAUUAACUCAAACUAAAAUAGAAAAUCAUAAAAUAAUAAAUAUUCUAGAAUUAUAAAUUAUCUAAAAUAACGUUAAUUAACUUCUUAAAUCACUUCUUUGGUGUUAACCAUUUUGCAUCCAACCUCGCUUUAAAGGUUUGAACCAACGUUACCAACAAUAAUGUAUCAAAUUCCAAUCUAACUUAAGAUCCUGAUACAUCUACCGAUGUCCUUGUUUGAUUAGACAAUAAUGAGUCUAUCUCAUCACUUGUUACCUCUUUCUUGAAGGCUGCAUCUGUUGAAGUGAUAGUCUCGUUUAGAGUUUAAAGAUCUUCUUCCAUGUUAAAUAAAAUGGGCAUUUGAUUAAAAAACUUUAUCUCUAUCUCCUUCUAUCAAAUAACGACAACUAUCCGAAGGGAAAAAAAAUUAGAAAAGUCCAUGGGUCACAAUAAUUUAUGGUCUGUUCCCGGACCCCAUUAUCUGCCACUAUCAAUGAUGAAAAUGAAAAUAAAUGGCAUCUUCCCAAAAUGGCAAAAGAUUUUUGGGGGAUAUGGGGGAAUUGUCAAAAGUUCACACAACGCGAAACAAGUGUUACAUCCAAUUUUAUUUCGUCAUAUAAUGAUAAUAUCAAAUAAUGACAACCAUCCAAAAGUAUGAUGGGUCUUCCACAAUUUUGAAAAUGUCGUCAACAUUUAAUCUUCAAUGCUAAAGAAGAUGAAAUGACCAAAAAUGACACGCAGGACCAACUUACAGACUAAAUGGCUCUGACCACAUGUAACAAACUUUGGCUUUAUGUCCUUGCUGAGGCGUUAGACUGUUGGUCAUUUUGAUUGCUUUUUACCUUCCAUUUACGCCAUUGUAGCAUUGUACUAUUCACCAUUUUAGCUGUUUAAAUGAAAUUGUUAUUUUUUUUUCCAAAAAUAAAAUGACACCCUUAAAAUUUUAGAAAAUAGCCAUGUAGAUCCCAAAUUUUUAAUAAAGAACACUAAUAUCAUUUUUGACUAUAGUACUCUUAGUAGAUGGUAACAAAAAAAAAUGACUGCAAAAGUUUUUACUAAAUGUAAAUAUGAUUUAAAUAGUUUAAAUUUUCUAGUAGACUAGUAUGUCUAAUUUAAAUAAUUAAUUUUUAAAAUGUAAUUUAAUAUAUUUAUUUUAAUAAUAUAUUUAUCAUAAAAAUUUUAAACAAAUCCUUGGGUUAAAUAGAUUUUAUAAUUAAUAUAAUAUUUCUCAUGUUUUAAUAAUAUUAAAAUUAUUUGAUAUGAUAUUGAAAAUAAUUAAAACUUUUAUAUAUUUAUUUGAAUAUUAUUUCUCUAUUUAUUAUAAUUUGGUUUAAUAGAAUACGAGAUUGUAAAAUAUUAAAAUAUUUUUAGGUAUUAAAAUUAUUUUAAUAUGUACAUAUUAUUAUAUUUAUUUUAAUAUCCUGCUUAUAUUUAUUAUAAAAUAUUAAAAUUAAUUUUUUUAGUUAAUAAAUUUAAAAAUAUAUAUUAUAAUUAAAAAAAGAGUCUUAUUGUCUGUUAUUUACGAUAUGAGGUUCUACAAAAUUAUUUUCAAAAGGAAAAAUAAGUCUAAGGGUUUCAACAAAUUCUAGUCCUAUCUGCCACUAUGACUAAUGGAAACGACAUUGCAAUUGACAUUGCUUUUUGUAAUAUGACAAAUUUUUGGAGGCAUAUGGGAGAAUCAUCAAAUGUUCACACUACGCGGGAGUUUUGGAUGGGAUCAGGGAGGAUUGUCAAGAGUUCACACCACGAGAAACCAAUGAUAGCCCUAAUUUCGCUGUCAGUUCUUUGUUUAUUUAUUUUAUUUAUUUCAUACAUUGUUGUCUUGUUGGCAUUGUUUUGUAAAAUAAAAGUAAAGUAAACUAUUAGGGUGCUGCUAGGUUAAGUUGUUGUAACUUACAGUCCCUUAAAAAAUAAUGUAAAAAAUUUAACAUGUGGUGGGAUCCACAUAUGUUUGAAGAGGCCGUAAGUUACAGUAGUUGUGACUUAGCAAAAUCCAAAUAUUAGACAAUAACGCACAUUAACAAUGCAUAUAAUUUGGGUUUUAUUUUUUUUUAAUUAUUUGAGUAUUAUCUAUCCUUAAGAUAUUAAUGUGAAUAUAAUUUAAUAUUAAAUAAUCAAAAUCUAUUUAAUCAUAAUAUAUAUUUCAUACAUUGCAUGUUUAAUCAAAAUCUGAUUGCUUUUUACCUUCUAUUUCGCCCACUGUAGCAUUCUACUAUUUACCAUUUUAGCUAUUUAAAUGAAAUUUAUUUUUUUUCCAAAAAUAAAAUGACACCCUUAAAAUUUUAGAAAAUAGUCAUGCAGACGCCAAAAUUUUAAUAAAGAACACCAAUACCCUUUUUGACUAUAGUACUCUUAUGGUAGCCACAAAAAAAAAAUGACUUCAAAUUUUUUUACUAAAUGUAAAUAUGAUUUAAAUAGUUUAAAUUUUCUAGUAGACUAGUAUGUAUAAUGUAAAUAAUUAAUUUUUAAAAUGUAAUUUAAUAUAUUUAUUAUAAAAAUUUUAAACAAAUCCUUGGGUUAAAUAGUUUUUAUAAUUAAUAUAAUAUUUCUCAUGUUUUAAUAAUAUUAAAAUUAUUUUAUAUGAUAUUGAAAAUUAUUUUAUAUGUAAAUCAUAUUUACAUUUAAUAGAAUACGAGAUUGUAAAAUAUUAAAAUAUUUUUUGGUAUUGAAAUUAUUUUAAUAUGUAUAUAUUAUUAUAUUUAUUUUGAUAUCCUACUUAUAUUUAUUAUAAAAUAUUAAAAUUAAUUUUUUUAGUUAAUAAUUUAAAAAAAAAUAUUAUAGUUAAAAAAAAAGAGUCUCAUUGUCCGUUAUUCACGAUAUGAGGUUCUACAAAAUUAUUUUCAAAAGGAAAAAUAAGUCCAGGGCUUUCAACAAAUUCUAGUCCUUCUGCCACUAUGACUAAUGGAGACGCAUUGAAUUGACAAUGCUUUUUGCAAUAUGACAAAUUUUUGGAGGGAUAUGAGAGAAUCGUCAAGCUUUCACACCAUGCGAGAGCUUUAGGUGGGAUAUGGGAGAAUUGUCAAGAGUUCACACCACGAGAAAUUAAUGACAAGCCUAAUUUCGUUGUCAGUUCUUUAUUUAUUUAUUUUAUUGAUUUCAUACAUUAUUGUCUUGUUGGUACUAUUUUGUAAAGAUAUAAAAGUACAAGUAAAAUAUUAGGGAAAGUAAAGUAAAAUAUUGGAGGUGAUGCUAAGUUACAGCUGCUAUAACUUACAGUUCCUUCAAAAAUAAUGUAAAAAAUUUAACACGUGGUGGGACCCACAUUAUGUUUGAAGAGGCCGUAAGUUAUAGCAGUUGUAAACUAGUAAAAUCCAAAUAUUAGACAAUAAUACACAUUAACAAUGCAUAUAAUUUGGGUUUGAUUUUUAAAAAAAUUAUAUGAGCAUUACCUAUCCUUAAGAUAUUAAUGAGAAUAUAUUUUAAUAUUAAAUAAUCAAAAUAUGUUUAAUCAUAAUAUGUAAUUCAUACAUUGCAUGUUAGAUUUGUUUGGAUUUUAAGUUGUUGCUAAUAAAUAUUUAUGUUGUGAAAGUCGAAUUCAAUAGCUACAAAAGCAGAGAUACUGGUAUUUUAUGUAGUUUUUAAGAAUACAAGAAUAAGACCAUAAUGCAUGAGAUAAUGGUAUUUUAUAUUAAAAGACCAUAACACAUGUAUUUGAGCCAUUUAUAUUGAGGACACAUAUAAAGCGAAGAGUGCAGAUCCGGCCGUAACUAUUGUGAAGCUUUCCUCAAGUAUUCUCAUGCACACAGCCCUUAUCUGGUCAAGUUCUCUGAUUCAAUAUAAUCAAUUUCCGAGUAGUACUGACGACAGCUUCUCUGUAAAGCUCUUCAACCACAAGCAUUUCUACAAGGCAAAAGACUAGGACGUAUUGGAAUGAAUAUCAAUAAGGGAAUGUCUUAUGAAUUUAGUUUAUAUCCUAAUAUAAGACAAUCAGUAAAUAUUGGAUGCAAUCUAAGGGCUAACAUUUGAUUGAUCAUUAUACGAAAAAAAAAAAAGGUGCAAAAAUACAAAACAUAGCUGAUUGAUGGCCUCUCACAGUCAGUUAUAUGACAAAGUAGCCACCACAACAAACUUUUUUUUUUGAACUGAUUAAGCAUCAGGUUACUGUAUUACACAUAGAGAUAUAUAUAACUGCUAUGACAGCAAGUCAUUAUACUGAUAUUUACAAUCAGAUAUAUACAUGAGACUUAUAUUAUUACAUUUUUAUUAUAUGAAGUACAUGCCCAUCCAAAUCUCCCUCACGGAGGAGGGAUGUCUCUACUCCACUCACAUUUCGCAAGGGAGAAAGACGUUAUAAGAAGUUUUCACCACAACAAACUUGAACUUGGGUGGAGGUCUCAUUAGUAGUAUACCUCAGAAAUUAAGACAAAGACUUUAAAAUGCAAACUUAUGGAGCAAUUUAAGCACUGAAACUAAUAACAGUACGGUAUUAGCAAUUGACCUCUGCUUUUGCUUAGACAAAGGUUUUCAUCACAAUGGACUCAUUAGUUGCCCUUGCCUCACACGUUUGGAUGCUAAGGGGAAAAAGGAAGCUUGAAUUAGUCAAUCUCAUUUCUAAUGGCAUUCACAGAGAACUUAUAAAACAAAAAAAAAAAAAAAUUAUAAAAAAAAAUUCAUCCAUAAAAAGCUUAGUAACGGAAAAAUCGACUCUUUUAUCUGCCACUGACGAAAAAAAAACUGAAGUAUUAAAUAGAUAAAGAAUUUAAUUUUUUUCUUGGAAAAACUAAUAAUAAAUUAACAAUUAGAUAAUACUAUUAAUUAGAGAUCUUUAAUAUUAAGGUUGUCAAAGAUAGAAUGUGUAUAAAAAUUCUUAAUUAUAAGAUAAUUACUAACUAAAAAGAGGCCUAAAAAAGAAGAUUUGCUAUUAUAAGUAAUACCAAAAAUAAAAAGGGAGACUUCCUAAUUGUGUAAUUGGUUAAAAAAGAGGAUUUGCUAUUAUAGGCCUAAUUUGCCUAUGCUUAAAACCGUUCCUGGAUGUAAAAAAAUAAAAAUUAUUGUUAAAUUCCUGACUAAUAAGGUCAUUGAAAGUAUUCAAAGGACCUGAACUUAUAGGAAAGCCAGCCAUGAUGAACUAUACCACGUUGCAAGUGAGCUCGUAUCUUCACCCCUUGAUCUGCCAUCGGCAUUUCUCUUCCACUCACUAUACCAUCCUUUUCAAUCGAUUUUUAUAGAUCAUAAGAGACCAUGUGGCCCACCUUAUUUUUAUUUUGGAUCCAUAACCCAAAGCUGGCCCAAGUUCUGAUUCCAGAAUCAUUUGUCUACAAAGUGACCUCAUUCCGGCAAUUGGUUUAUGCUAAUAGCACGUGCAAUUUUCAUUUUCUUCUUUUUAUUAAUUAAUUUCAUCAUUAUUAUUUGCUUAUUAUUUUAAAAUUAAAGCUAGCAUUUUUCAAAUUAAUUAAUUAAAUUGUAUUAAUGAAAUUAAUCUUUCAUUUUCUUUUCUCUUUCAAUGCACAAAGCCAAACAACCAUUCUCGCUUCAAAUACCGAAGAGCUCCUGACUACGGCUGUCAAUGCUUCUAUAUUUACGUGCUGUGCUGCAUCACUCUUAGCGAAAGCUUGAAUGAAUGAUUAAAGACAAAAGCUUAUAUAAAAGCAGAUGCCGGAGGCAGUCAAAAAGCAUUUGAGAGAGAAGCUAAACAGCAAAUCAUCAAACGCACUUCAAUGACUUUAUUUUGAUUUUGAUUUUUGUUUCGAAAGAAGUAGAAAAGUCCAUGGGUCACGAUAACUGCUUGUCCUAUGCCGUGACCUCAUUGUCCACCGCUAGUGUCAAAUAGAUUAAUCUUUCUAGUAGAUUAAUAUAAUUUAUAAUUUUAAUUUCAGUAUUAAUUUUUAAAAUGUUAGUUGUUAUAUUUAUUUUAAUAAUAUAUCUAUUUUUAGUAUAAAAAAUUUAAAUGUAUAUUUAGAUUAAAUAGAAUUUAUAAUUAAUAUAAUAUAUCUCAUGUAUUAAUGAUAUUUAAAUUAUUUUAUAUAAUAUUAAGCCUAACUUAGAAUUAUAUAUAUUUAUUUUAAUAUUAUGUUUCUAUAUAUUAUAUAAUAUUAAGCCUAACUUAGAAUUAUAUAUUAUGUUUCUGAGCCUCUCUCUAUAACACUAUAUAGAACCCUAAGCCUAAGUGUCACGGGAUGAGUGUUUUGCGCAGCUAACCCGUGCGGCACUUAGACAACUUUGCCGAAUGUUGCUAAGUAAGCCUAGAGAUUCUCGAACAAGAGAAGAGAGCAAUUGAGCCAAAGAAACUUGUAUUGCACAAAGAGAGAUUACAAUGCUUGUUGGAUACAAAUGCCUAAUGCCAUCCCAUAUUUAUAGGGGAGGCUUUGUCAAACUUGGCCUAACUUUGCCAAACUUUGCCAAACUCUAGAGUAUUCUACAAUUUCCUAGCUAUUUACAUGUGCUGGAAUUGUAUAAAGAAUUCUAGAAUAUUUACAUGUUCACAUGUGCUAGAGUUUCCUAGAACCUUCCGGAAUUGGGCCAAGCUAGCACUCUUGGCUUUGUGUUGGCUCUCUAGCUCGAAAUUGGGGCAAUUGGGCUAGCGAAUUGGGCGGUCCGCAACAACCUCCCCCACCUAUGCUCGCGGCGUCCUCGUCGCGCUCUCAUGCUUGAACCUCUGGAUGUGCUCAGCGAAUUGCCACAAACCAUCUUCACGUUCCCAAGUGGCUUCACUCUCGGGGAGGUUUUUCCAUUUCACCAAGUACUCGCUAUGUGCUGGCACGCCCCUCCUCGAAACCGUGCGGUCCGCAAUGAUGUAGUCCACAUCUUUGUCGAAUGCGGUGACAACGGCAGUUGGUGCGCGCCUUGAUUCUCCGCGACCUGGUUCUCCCAUGUCUUCGUGAUAUGGCUUGAGAAGGCUCACAUGGAAGACCGGAUGGAUCUUGAGUCUUGGCGGAAGUUGGAGUUGAUACGAGACGUUGCCCACACGUCGAACAACUCGGAAGGGUCCCUCGUAGCGCCUCACUAACCCCUUGUGAACUUUCCGCAAUGUCUUGAAUUGUUGGGGUAGGAGCUUGAUCAUGACUUGAUCUCCUUCCUUGUACUCAACAUGCCGUCUCCUUGUAUCCGCCCAUUUCUUCAUUUUCCUCGCGGCUUUGUCGAGGUAGGCUCGCGUGAUGUCCGCUUCCUCAUGCCAUUCGCGGGCGAGCUUGUGUGCCGCGGGGCUUUUCCCUCCGUAAGUCGAGGCUAUGGCAUUGGGAGUCAUUGGCUGGAAUCCCAUGAUGAUCUCGAACGGACUCUUGCCCGUAGCCUCGCUUCGCUGCAAGUUAUAAGAAAAUUGGGCGAUGUCGAGUAGCUUCGCCCAAUCCCGCUGGUGAGCGCUCACAUAAUGCCUCAGAUACAUCUCGAGGAGGCCGUUAAUGCGCUCGGUCUGCCCAUCCGUUUGUGGGUGGAAGCUUGUCGAGAACUUGAGAUCGGUCCCCAACAUCUUAAAGAGUUCCGUCCAAAACCGCCCAGUGAACCAAGGGUCUCGGUCGCUCACAAUGCUCUUCGGAACUCCCCAAAGCUUCACAAUGUGCUUGACAAAUAGGCGGGCUGCCUCAUCCGCUUUGCAAUCCACUGGUGCGGCAAUGAAUGUGGCGUACUUGCUGUGUCGGUCGACAAUGACCAUGAUGCUUCCGCAACCUUCGGACUUGGGCAGCGAUGUGAUGAAGUCCAUGGAGACACUUUCCCAUGGCCUUGUUGCUAGUGGUAGCGGCUCCAACAAUCCCGCUGGAAGUUGAUGAUCCACCUUGUCUUGUUGGCACACAAGACAAGUUCGCACAUAUGCCUCGAUGUCGUCCCUCAUGUGCGGCCAAAAAUACGAGGCUUGAACUAGUGCGGUGGUGCGCUCGAUUCCUGGGUGACCAGCCCACUUGGAGUCGUGGCACUCCUUGAUAACUUCCUUCCGCAAAUUUCCCCACCUUGGCACAAACAGCCGAUCUCCCUUGGUGAGGAGGAUGCCUUCCUCUUGCCAAAAUCGCCUUGUCUUCCCUUCGAGCACCUUCUCCAGCAAAUCCUUUGUUAGCGGGUCUUGUUGGAGGCCUUCCUUGAUGCGUGAGACAAGGUCGGACUUCGGUUGGCUCAUGCUAAGUGUUGCCAAUUCCGCCUUGCGGCUUAGAGCGUCCGCAACGACAUUGGCUUUCCCCGGUUUGUACUCUAGCCGAUAGUCGAAUUCCGCAAGGAAAUCUUGCCACCGUGUUUGCUUCGGACUCAACUUCUUUUGAGUUUGAAAGUAGCUUGUCGCCACGUUGUCCGUUAUGAUCGUGAAGUGUGAGCCAAGCAAGUAAUGUCGCCACACUCUUAGACAAUGGAUGAUGGCUGUCAUCUCCUUUUCUUGCACCGUGUAGCGGCGUUCCGUAUCAUUUAGCUUUCGACUCUCGAACGCUAUUGGGUGGCCUUCUUGCAUAAGGACUCCACCUAUGGCGAAAUCCGAGGCAUCUGUUUGAACUUCGAAGGGCUUGGUGUGGUCCGGAAGAGCGAGGACUGGUUCCUCCGAAAUUGCCUUCUUCAACUCCUCGAAUGGACGUUGGCACUCUUCGGAUCAAUGCCACGUUCUGUUUUUCUUGAGCAUAUCCGUCAAGGGUGCCGCCUUGGCUGAAUAGCCCUUGAUGAAAUGGCGGUAGUAAUUCACCAACCCAAGGAACGAGCGAAGCUCGGGUACUUUCGAGGGAGGCUCCCAAUCGAGGAUGGCCUCUACUUUGUCAUUCUCCAUCAUGAUCUUCCCGCCCGCAAUCUUAUGGCCAAGGAACUCCACCUCUUGUUGGGCAAACGAGCACUUCUCUAGUUUGAGGAAGAGCUCAUUGUCUUGAAGUACUUGGAGGACUUUUUGCAAGUGUUGGGCAUGAUCCUCGAGUGUGGUGCUAUACACCACGAUGUCGUCCAAGUACACGACCACGAAGCGGUCGAGGAAUGGUUGGAGUACCUUGUUCAUGAGUGUGCAAAAUGUGGCGGGUGCAUUAGUAAGGCCAAAAGGCAUCACAAGGAAUUCGAAAGACCCGUACCUUGUUGUGCACGCUGUCUUUGGUUCGUCUCCCUUGGCGAUGCGCACUUGGUAGUACCCGGAGCGCAAGUCAAGUUUGGUGAAGUACCGCGCUUUGCCAAGCUGGUCGAACAAGUCCGCAAUCAAUGGAAUCGGAUACUUGUUCUUGAUGGUGAUCUUGUUGAGCGCUCUAUAGUCGAUGCACAUCCGCAGCGAUCCAUCCUUUUUCUUUUGGAAGAGGACCGGUGCACCGAAUGGGGCCUUUGAGGGGCGAACGUAGCCUGCGUCCAGCAAGUCUUUGAGCUGUCUCCGCAACUCCUCUAAUUCGGGUGGCGCCAUGCGGUAGGGCGCCAAGGCUGGUGGCUUCGCGCCUUGUUCUAGCUCAAUCGCAUGAUCUACCUCUCGCGGAGGUGGGAGCUUCUUCGGAAGUUCUGGAGGCAUCACGUCCUUGUACUCAUUGAGGACGGCUUGAAUUCGCGGAGGGACUUGGCUUGGCGACGUUCCGCUAUUUCCUUCCUCGUUUAGUUCCCGAAUGGAGACCAAGAAGCUUGGGUCCUUCUUGAAAGCCCUCUUGAAUUGCAUGGCGGAGAGUUUCUUCUCCUCGGACUUGCCUCGUUCGGUGGGUACCAUGCAUGCUUUGCUCCCAUCGAGGAUGCUUAGGGAGUUUGUAGCGGGCAGCGGGAAGGCAUGGACUUGGUCGAAGAAUUCCAUGCCAAGGACCAUCUUGAAGUCAUCCAUGGGCACAAUGGAGAAAUCAAGCUUUCCGCUCCAUGUACCGAGUGUGAUGUGCACGCCUUGUGCAAUUCCCGCAAUUGGUUUGGCGGGUGAGUUUACUGCCUUCAUUGUGCCUCCUUCCUUGGUGGCCUUGAGGCCUAAACGCUUGGCCUCGUCUACGGACACGAAAUUGUGUGUUGCUCCCGUGUCUAGCAGCGCGCGAACAGACUGGCCGUUUACCUUUGCGCUAACAUACAUGAGCCCUUUCUUGGCUAGUGCGGGCUGUUGGCGGUUGAGUGCCCCGAGGCGUUGGAGAGAACCCAUGCUGAGUUGGGGUUCCUCCGUGGACAUUGUGGGGUUGCUCUUGAGUUGGGCAGCAAGAACAUUAAGCGACCGCUUCUCCGGACAGUCGCGUACCCAAUUUGGACCGUUGCAUAUGAAGCAUGGGCUUCGCGGCUUUGGCGCCUCCUUCUUGCCCUCCGAUUUUCCUUGCCAACUCUUGUUGCUAGACGGCUUUUUCUGCCCCCAAUCUUUGCGGUUGUUACCCUUGUCCUUGCGACUCUCUCCCCCACCUUUGCCUUGGUUGGCCUUUUUGUCCUUGGAUUGGGUAGAGUAUUCGGUGAGCGACUCCGCAACGGCGAUGGCGUCGUCAAGUGUUUGAACACCACGCCUAUCAAGCUCGGUCUUGGCCCAAUCCUUGAGGCCAUCUUGGAAGUAGAAGAGUGAAUCUUUGUCGGACAUGUCACUUAUCUCCAACAUGAGGGUAGAGAACUCGUUAAUGUAGUCCCGAAUGCUACCCGAUUGCUUGAGGCGACGUAAGCGCGCUCGCGCUUCCUUCUCUGCAUUGCUUGGGGUGAACUGCUUUCGGAGUUCUUGCUUGAAGUCGGCCCAAGUGUCGAUGGUGCAAAUGCCCUUGCCCAUCUCGCCAUGCUUGCGACGCCACCAUAGUUGUGCAGCGCCUCUAAGAUAGGUGGGUGCAGUGCCCACUUUCGAUGCCUCAUCUCGUACACCCAUGGCAUCGAAGUAUUGAUCCAGCCCGAACAGGAAGUUGUCCACGAUUGUGGCAUUGCGUGUGCCAUCGUAGGUGUCGGGCUUUGGCACAUCAAUGCGGCGCGCAUCACUCGAGUUUGCGGAAGCUGGACUUGCGGAGAGUGUGCGCUUGUGCCAUGCCCAAUCCGAGCGGACUUCAUCCACUUCCGCACGGACAGCACGUAGUUCGUCCUGAACAAAACUACGAAGUUUUAGCAACUCAUCAUGGAAAGAAUGAAACUCACCUCGGAGAAUGUUCGCUUGCUCAUGCAUGAGAGCUUUUGUGGCCACCGUGAACUCGGCGUAUUCUCCCUCGAGAUUGUCCACUCUUCUCUCUAAUCCCUCAAGGCUAUCUUGAGUGGCGGACAAGGCUAUUUCGAGAGUGCCUACACGAGGCUCCAAAGCAUCCACGGAUGGGGCCUUGGACUUGCCGCGAUUCUUGCCUUGGGCGCGUUCUCCCUCUCGGCCGCGGCUUGGUUCUGGUGGAACAUCCACACCAACAAAACCCUCUUGUGCUACGUUUGAAGGGUUGGCCAUUGCUUUGUGAGCUAAUUUGCGUGCGUGCAAACCUUAGCUCUGAUACCACUUGUCACGGGAUGAGUGUUUUGCGCAGCUAACCCGUGCGGCACUUAGACAACUUUGCCGAAUGUUGCUAAGUAAGCCUAGAGAUUCUCGAACAAGAGAAGAGAGCAAUUGAGCCAAAGAAACUUGUAUUGCACAAAGAGAGAUUACAAUGCUUGUUGGAUACAAAUGCCUAAUGCCAUCCCAUAUUUAUAGGGGAGGCUUUGUCAAACUUGGCCUAACUUUGCCAAACUUUGCCAAACUCUAGAGUAUUCUACAAUUUCCUAGCUAUUUACAUGUGCUGGAAUUGUAUAAAGAAUUCUAGAAUAUUUACAUGUUCACAUGUGCUAGAGUUUCCUAGAACCUUCCGGAAUUGGGCCAAGCUAGCACUCUUGGCUUUGUGUUGGCUCUCUAGCCCGAAAUUGAGGCAAUUGGGCUAGCGAAUUGGGCAGUCCGCAACAUAAGUCUCACAUUCGCAACCGCCCCACAUAUCAGAACCACAGCGAACUGCCUCCGACCCUUCGGACCCAAAAAAAUGAUUGUAUUCCUGCUCUUUCACUUUAAUAAUUUUUUGUAUUAUUCCAUAUCUUUCACUUUAAUAACCCAAAAGCUUUCCUCUGUUUCAACCCAAAAGCUCAAAUUCCUUUUUUCAAUCGAAAAUUGUGUUUGCCUAAUUUUUUAACCAUUUUUAUAUGUCCGUUAAACUUGACAGCCAAUGUGGUCUAUUCGCUAAACAGAGUAAACGAUAACAAUCAAUGGAAAUUGAAACAAAACCCACCAAUCAACAAAACAGAAUAGCCGAGGAAUCCAAUUUCAGGAAACAGCAGUUUCAAAACUCACCAGAGACAAAUGAUAAAACGAAGCUACGCCGUUCCUCGAUCGGUGAUAACUGGCUACAAGGUUUCUUCGCAUUCGUUGGCCUAAUUUUUUAACCAUUUUUAUAUGUCCGUUAUGCUUGACAGCCAAUGUGGUCUAUUCGCUAAACAGAGUAAACGAUAACAAUCAAUGGAAAUUGAAACAAAACCCACCAAUCAACAAUGUGGUCUAUUCGCUAAAUGGUUAAAAAAUCUAACCUUUGUUCACAAUAAUUGUAUUUGCCUCACUGUUUUUGUUUUAUGAGAUCUAUAAUUGAUCUUGGGAUAUUACUUUCUAGUUCUCAUGCAAGCAAGUUACUACCUUCCCACUGCAUCUCCUCCUUUAUCUGCUAUUCAAGAGUUGCGUGCCAUAAUCUGGUGUUACCUCUGCAAGAUUGUGAAUGAAUAUAACGCCUCUAAAUUUAUUUUAUACAUAAUGCUGAUGCUGAAUAAUAUAUUGUAGCUCCUGUCAUAUUCUACUUUGACUUUUUAUAUUCUGUUUCAUAUAAAAAUCUUAUUCAACUUUAGUUGUUCAUGAGCAAAUGUCACAUGUAUAAGCCCAAAUGAUGUUUAAAGGUAGCGCGGCUACCUUUAGUUUGAGCUGACAAUGGAUGAAAAAGAUAUUGAAACUGAUAUUUUGCUGUUUUUCUGAUUUUUCAAAGUAUUUUAGAUCCUGACUUUUGUUAAGUUGUUUCCAACACCUCGUGCCAAAUGAAAGCACAAUCUUUCUGAUUCAGAUGUCUUGUUAAUUAUGCUUCAUUUUUUCAUUAAAGAUUGGAUGGUUACAUGGAUUGAUGGAGUUGGAGUUCAACCAAUAAUUCUAAUUUUUUGGACUUAAAAUGCCUUUUUCUUCUGUAUAAAAACUUUAGUAAGUGCUAUUGAGUUGACAGAAGUUGCAUACUUACAGGUUGUUUCACACUUUUUAGUAGUUUUACAUAUAUGAAUUUCUGUUUUUUGAAUUGCAGAAAGGAGGUGGAACUAUUGAUUUGGAGCCUUAUCUUACUCACUCAUCGACAACGGAGCCUACCCUCACUCCCAUGGCAGUGGAACGGACAACGACUACUAGGGCUGCAACAUCAGUUGGUUUGGGUCUGUUUUGGGUUUAUUGUCAUUUAUUUGGGUAUGUUUUGAUAGCGAAUUUUGAUAUGUCAAUAGAAUGUGUAAUUGUUUUGGGUUGAGCUGGUAAUUAUGCUGGAUUAGAUUGGUUUGGUUUUGGUGCUUCUCUGAUGGAACACUGCUUUUUUUAGAAAUUUUGAAUGUAAUAUGAGACUACAUUUAGUUUAAUUGAACACUGCAUCUAGUCUAAUUACUAGAAGUGUGGCAUUUGGUUUGGUUUAUCCGAUAUUCUCCAGAAUUUCACUUGCAUCUGGUUUUGUUGCAUAUGUUUGUUUGCUUGCAUUUGAUGGCAGUAGCAGACUGUUUGUUUUUGUGACAUUUGAUGGCAGUUUGGUCUGUUCUUGGUGUUGAUUUAAGAUUCUUCCUGUUGUGCUGAUGUUAAUUGCAGGUGCUUGAAUCAGCUAGGGUUGCUGGUUUAUUCAGAUGGUUGACUCAGGCGUUGCUACUGGUUAAUUCAGGUGGCUGACUCAAGUUGUUCAUUUAAUGUUAGGAAGCAAAUUAGGAAUUAAUGAAGUAUUCAUUUAACUAUAAUUAUUGUAGUUAUUUUAUUUCAUAACUGAAUUAUAAUCUAUGAUACUUGUGAACAAAUUAGAGAAUUUUUAUAUAUGAAUUAUAUAUAUGUGUGUGUAUGUACAUUUUGCUAUUUAUAUAAUAAUUUAAAGAAUAUAUUUCAAUUCCCACAAAAAAAAGGCUCCAAUUUCAAUAAUUCCCGCCAAAUAAUUAAAUUUUUUUAAUUUACCACCAAAAUAUAUCUUAAGUUAUUCUUGCUAGAUUUAACAAAAAUAAUUUGUAGGAUUAACAUUUAAUUAAAAUAAUUAAAUAAUUUUAUUAUUCCAAUUAAAUAUGUCAUGCUUAUACGACAGACAAUAAUCAUGAAUGGGAAGUAUUAGUAACAUAUUCUUCCUUGGGAUUUCAGGCAAAUGAAAAAAAGAUUGAGAAUGAUUUCAAGAGGACAGGUGGAUGAUAAAUAUUCAUUUUUGUAUAUUUGGCUAAUGUCCUCAUUAGUGGAUUUUUAUGGUAUUGAUCUUUUUCUUUUUUUAAAAAAAUUUUCAAUUAGUUGCAGCCCUAGAGGAAGAGCAGGCUGAUCAAAUUGAUUUGUCUUGUUUUUCGGGCAAUCUACGACACGAUGACCGUGAUAAUGCUCGUGACUGCUGGAAACUUUCUGAUGGAAAUAACUUUAGAGUUCGUAGCAAGCAUUUUUGUUAUGACAAAACAAAGGUUCCCCCAUAUUUUGUUUGUUUGUUAUGGUAUUUAUAUAUCCUGCAUAGGCUAGGUAGACAGGUUAUGAUGUAGUUUGGUUGGCUCUUCUUGUGCUUUGUGCAAUUUGUAACUGCAGAUACCUGUGGUAAAACAUUUAAUGGAUCUUGUUGCUGUUGAUUGGUUCAAAGACACAAAGAGAAUGGACCAUGUAGCUAGGCGUCAAGGCUGUGCUGCACAAGUAACUAUUCUUUUCUUUUUAUUUAAAAAAAUAAAACACAUUGCCAACAAGGAUCUCUUCAUUGAACAUGUGUCUAGUUCUGAUAAGCUAGCUGAUGUGCUUACCAAACCUCUGAGUUUUGAUCAUUUUGCCUAUAUGCAAACUAAGGUCAAUGUCUGCCCAUGACCUUGAGCUUACGGGGGCAUUUUAAGAAUAACAUAUGCUGAGUCAUCAAGCCAUGCUGGAAGUCAGUUUUGCAGUUAGUUAGAGAGCUUAUCAGCUUCCCUCCAAAAGUUUGUUAUGUGUAUUAGAAUCUGGGCUCACGAGUUUUGUGAGAUUGUAACCUUGAGAAGAUUCUCACACUACUAUAAAUUGUAUUGUGACUCAAUUAAUAAAAUAAGUUGAAGCUUUGCAUUUUCUCUCAGUCAAAAUUUUCUCUCUAUUUUUCUAAGUAACCAAACAAGAUCUACAGAGCAUUUUGUAUUUUAACUGGAGCGGCUGAUUGGUGCUGUACGUGUUACAUUUUUACUUUUUUAACUCAAGUCUGCUGUUGUCCCAAAGUUGGAACUAGAGAUAUCAUUUCACCUCAACUGUGUUUUUUUUUUAAUUAAAAAAAUCAUUUGUUUUAGGUAUACAUACAUGUAUUUUAAUUCUAUUUUCCUUGUAAUUUCUCCUUUACUUUGAAUGAAAGUCAUUGGUGUUUUCGAAUGGGAAUUUUGCAUUAAAAAAUUAAGAAUAGUUAAUAGGAAAUUUCCUGAUUCUUUAGUUACUAUUUUUGGUAUGAGUGUAAUUAGUAGUAAAGUUGGUUUCUACUCGCAAACAAGUGAACUGCUCGAUUCCCAAGUGCUAUUAACCAGUUUCCAACUUUUUAAUAUACACUAAUUGUUCCUGUUUAAUAGCUACUACUAUUAAAACUCAACAGCUAACAAAAAUACUAAAAAAAAAUGAUUUUUUCUUAUGAUGCUGUGAAAAAAAUUACGGGUUUACUUAUUUCCACGAGAUCUUGUAUAGUGUUCUUGUAUAGUGGAAUUAAGAUUGUCUUCCCGAUGGUGCAAUUCACCCUCUUCCUUUACAGUCACUUGCACUUUGUGCAGCUUUGGUGUGGAUAAGAUUCCCAGGGAAAAAGUCUUCAUGUUCGGACAAUGUGUCACAAAUACUCGUUCCAAUGAUGGGAAUUCAAGAGUGUAAUUCUCCAAACAAAAGCUGGUAAGCCUUGGUAAAUCAUCAAGUUCCAAAAGUUUUAAUUCUUUGAAAGCAAUACGAUUCUCCUUCGUUUCUUCUCCAGCAUGUCCUACGAUUUGUUCUAAUUUUUUGCAGUUCCAUACAUAAAGAUUCACCAGACUAGUAGGAAUUCCAACCUGAAAAUAAGCAGAGAGUGUGUGUGUGUGUUAAAAAAGUAAAAAUGUAAGAGUGUCAUUCAACUAAGCUCAAAGUAUGUUUGAUAAUACAAUUAUACGUUUUAUGAACAUAACAAACUGUGAAAUGUCUACUAGAUAUUUUUUGUUAAACAAAAAACGUAACAAGAUAAAUAAAUAAAUAAAUAAAAGCCAGAUAAACAAAGAUGAUAAAAAUGUAUUUACACUAUUUAGUAUUAGGGACGUAGAAAGAAUUUAAGGCAAUUUCUAAAUAUUUUAGACUUAUUUUGCAUCUUGAUAUAAGUUUUUAAGCAUAAAUUUGCACAUUUCAACUAUUCCUUUAAAAAGAACUCAACUAAAAUGCCUCUUUUUCCCUUUUCCUUGGUCCCCUUUUUUUUAUAUAUAUAUAAAAAUGGAAAAAAAAAUUUGGAAAAGACUUCUUAGUACUGUCAACAAGGGAUUGCUGUAAAGUGGAUCUUUAUUAAGUACUUCCAGACUCGAGGAAAUUUCUUUACAAUCUCAAAAAAAUAGUAAACAAUCAUGAAUUUGUGGUUAAUUAAUGGCAUAAUCAAUUCUUAACUAAACUGGAGAUAUUAAUUAAAUUUGAAGACUUUUUUUUUCCGAUCGAAAUGUGAAGAACUAUGGAACAGAGAAAUAUAUAGAUGAAUUUGUGAACUUAUAAGAUGAGUGACUAUCCUUUAAUUUUUGAAAAUCGUACUUAUUAAGAUAUGAGCAAAAACAAUUAAAUUGAAUUAUAUUAUGCUGUUGAAUCUGUUUAAAAAAAUUAUAUUGUUGAUUCUAAUGCUGGUGAACCUAAAAACUAGACUUAAAACGUAGAUUUCAGAGUGGUGGUUUGAAGUACAAUAUUUGAAAUAAAUAAUUAGUGGCUGAAUAUCAUUUGUAAACACAGAAAUGAUUAAAAAAUUGUUGAAUGUUAUUUGAAAAAAAAAAUCGAAAUGAAUACAGAAACCUUACCAAUGGAGGAAAAAUAUUCAUUAGGUUAUCACACUCUUCUAUCUCCAAAUUCUUCAAUUUCCUGAAAGACUCUGAAGCAAGCUGGUGGUGCCAUAUUGUUCUUAGGUUAUCCAUCCACGCAAUAUAUAAUACCUCCAACCUAGGAAGUCGUACCUGGCAGUUAAAGAUUAAAUAACUAAUUAAUCAAUUAAUGGCAUAAUCAAUUGAUAACUAAAUUAGAGGCGGAUAUUAACUAAAUUUGAAGACUCAAGGAAAAGACAAAUCAAGUAUUGUGACUAAAAUUAUUUUUUUAAUUAAAAAAAAAACCUUUUCAUCAAAGAGAGGAGGAGGUUGCAUUUCAGAAUGAAUGGUAUCUUCUGGUGAGCUCGUAGAGAUGAAUCUUAACAUAUUACUGCAACAACCAAUCAUGAGGUUUAGCAAAGAAGGGAAUUCAACAACUAAAUCUGUAUGAAUAUGUCCCAUAUUGGCAAAGCUACUUAGUCUUGGAAGCCAUUCUAGCUGCAGGGAGUGUAGCUUAGGAAAAACCUUUAAUUCAAUCAACUUUCCUUCAUCUCUUUCUGACCAUCCCGUGGUGUCGACUACCCCUUCCAUUGACUCACAAUAGCUUAUCUCAAGAUGUUGGAGUUGCAAAAGGCUAUUAACCAUAGAAUAUGAAAACAGAUACUUCAGACGAUAACACCUUUCCACAGUCACUUUUGUUAAAUUUUGACAACAGUACAUUCUUUGAUUAUGAUCGGCCCAUAAUUUUUUCAUGUUUCUUAAGUCCCUGAGAUUCAAUUCCUCUAAGCUCGGAAGAAUAACCUGCAAAGAAAACCCGUACAUUUUUGUUCCUUCAAGUACAACCGUCUAGUAUAAUAUUCUUUUGAUGAUCGAAGAUUAAUCGUGAUAAUAAAUUAAUCAAUUAAUUAUUGAACAGAAAAUUAUCACCUUUGGAGCAGGAUCAUCAUCAGCAAUGAGUUCCUUGAAUCCCAAAGAAGUUGUUGGUUUGUCCAUGUCGGGUCCUAUAAACAAACAAAAACAAUAUACAUAAUUAAUCUUUGUCGUUGUCUUUUUUUUAAAAAAAUAAUUGAGGCGAAGUCCAUAAAUCCACCAACACUUAAUUUCAACACUUACCAACAAUCAUUUCCAGAUCAUCGCAAAAAAACACUUCUACCUUUUGAAGCCGCAGUAGGUUUUUGGCCAUGGAGAAUGAGAAAAGAUGCUUCAAUUCGUGACAGUCUGAUACUUUUAUAAUCCUUAAGUUGCUGAAAGAUUGAUCUUCUGUGAGUUGGAUGUCACAUAUUGUCUCCAAAUUGAUCAAACGACGAAGAGACAAUGACUCCAGCAAGGGGAAGACUUUGCGACGAACCCGUCCAACUGAACAGACAAUAUGCAAAAUCUCAGAACAACUUUUUACAGAAAGAUGCUUCAAUCGUGGAAAACCUUCCCCAUCAUCUAAUUCAUGAACAACAUUCUGAACACCCUUCAGUUCUCCUAGAUAGAGAUAUUCAGUUCUCUUCAACAACAGUUUCAUCCUGUAAUUCUGCAAAAGAAUGCCAAACUUUUCUAGCCCCUGGAGCUUCAUCAAUCUUGAUAAUCCAGUUUUAACGGACCAGCUGCUCCACCACUUAUUUCCUAUACAUAUCUUAUAGCUUUGCAAUUCCACAGAGACCAAAUCCUGCGGUAGAAUUUCGGCAUCCCGAACGUGUAUCUCCAAAGUAGUUAGCUUUGACAACCCCUUCAACUCAACAAGACUGGCGUUACUUCCUCCUUCAACCUUCUCCCACAGUGAAAAGCUGUUACCAAUAUAUAGUUCUUCUAAUCGAGAUAAUUUUGAUAUGACAUUUGGAGCUAUCACCACAAGGCUGCUACAAUUGCUCAAAUCUAGCAACUGUAAUCUCGUCAAUUGUCCAAUUACAAGUGGCAACUCCUUAACAUCAGAAUCUCGGAAGCUGAGAAUCUCUAAUUUCCUUAGCUGUCCAAUUAUAGUUAUAUCGUUCAGUCGGCAACCAUCUAAACAUAAUGUUUGAACGUUAAUGAGGCAACCAAGUGAUGAAGGUAAUGAAGAGAAAAAUAUUCCAGUAAAAUCUAAAACUUUGAGUUCUUCUGUCCCUUCAAAAAAGAGGUCUGAAAUUUGCAAAGAGCUAUCACGCUUUGAAAACAACAAAAGAACUCGAGACGGGGACAUUCCAACCUUUCGGGAAGCUCUUGAAUAUCUCUAUAAGGUAAAGAAAUAGCUAUUGGACCUUCCCGUAUUGUCUCUUCCAUCUUUUUCUCCACGUAGGCAACAUUUGGAAUAUUAAACAUGAGCUCCUCUUCUGCAAUUGAUACAGUAACAGCAUGAAUGAUGUCAUGCAUUUUAACUUCAUCUUCGGCAUCACUGUCCAACAAUAAGCACGAAGAUUUGAGUUUGCCGAUCAACGUAUGCACUCUACUCCUUGCUUCUUCCAGUGUGUAAACGUUUUUAAAAUAGCCCAUACCCAUACCAUAUCUCAAUAAGUCAGAAACAUGUAUACCACGACCUUCAUUAUAUAGACCACAAAGAAGGAACAGAGAUUUUGCUUCCUUACUUCCCAGUAAGUCGUAACUCAAUUUUAUGGAGAUGUACACAUUUCUUUCCAUUCCAUCAAUUUCUUUUGCAUUGGAACUUCUUAGCUGACGCAGCACAUCCUUCCAAGUGUCAAGCCUCUCAUUUUUCAAAGCUUUUGCAAGUGUAAUCAGUGCAACAGGCAAUCCUCCGCAUUUUUCAACGAUCUCAUCUGCUAAAGGUUGAAAAGCAGAUGCUUUUGCAGAAUUACACACUAUCUUUCCAAACAAUUGCAAUGCUUCUUCCUUUGAUAAAACUUCAAUUGAGAAAUCCUUCUGAGAUUUCAUAUCAUUGCGCAAUAAAUCUCGACUUCUAGACGUCAAUAUUAUUGUGCGUCUUCUCCGAUCGUCCUCUCUAUCUUUCUCAUCAACAUCCCCAUAAGGAAUUCCAACUGUAUCGAACUCAAGUUUUGUCCAAAUAUUAUCCAGUAUAAUGAGGAGCCGCUUCUCUUGCUUCAACCUUUGACACAGUCGAGAAGCUCUUUGAAAUUCAUUCUCAUUCAAGUCAAAUUCCAUGCCUAAAUCAAAAGCAAGUUUGUCUUGAAUUUUAUGAUGAUCUGGGGUCUGUGUUAUCUCAGCCAUAACGAACUUAUCGAACAACUUAUCUUCCAUCACUUGGUUUGCAACUUGUUUGACCAGCGUGGUUUUGCCCACGCCGCCCAUCCCAUAGACCCCAAUUAUGUUGACUUUGUCAUCCUUCACCGCCUCCACAACAUCUUGAAAUACUUUCAUUCUUGAAUCAAACGCCUCGAAAUCUUUCACUUGCAUAUGUUCUGCCCGCUUUGGAGCAGGACGGUAGGAAACAUUGGAGAAGUUGCCUUUUCCCACGAGACUAGCGGCAGCUUCUGCCGCCUUUGCUGCUUGUUUACUAAGCUUGUAACGAGAAAUCAAGUUUGGGCAUAAUCCUUUGAAGCAGGACUUCUUAGCUCUAUCUUCAUCAUCAAUGACGGAUUUUGCAACCCCUUCACUGAUGAAUUCAUUAACGCUAUGUAGCCAGUCUGUGACACCCUCAUAAAGCUCAUCCCCUUGUAGCCUAGCAUGAUUAACUGGUUGCUGCACCAUUUCUCUCUUAUAUCCCAGCUGCUUCACUUGAACUUUUAGCUCAUCUAUGUAGCUCUGGUACUUGAACACAUAAGAUAUCUGCCGUGUAAUCGGGUUGAACAGUGACUUUGCACCUUCUGAUACACAGUUGGUUAAAAAAGCGAGACACGCUUCUAUAGCCAUUGCCUGUUGCUUAACAAUAUAUAUCUAGUUUUUUGGCUGUUGAAAAAAAAAAAUGGAUUCAAAUAAAUUAAAUGAACUAGCGGGGAAGAAAAAGAAAGAAACGACAACAAACAACUUUUUAGAAAAAGGUUUCAGGGGCCUGAAUGGAAAACCAACAAUUUUUUGAGGAAAGAAAACUUUUUUGGAAGAUGGAUGCAAAUUAACCAUUAAUAAUACUGCAUAAGAACACAGAAGUUGACAAUAAACAGUAACUUAAAACUCAAGAAAAUUAAAUGACAAGAUUAAGACAAACAAGAGAUAGUUUUUGUCGGACAUUAAGAAACAACUGCUAUCAAGAUCAAAGAUUAGAAAUUAUGCUAUUGAAAGAAAUUAUUAAAGUAUUUAGAACAAACGCACCUCUUCAAUUAUCUAGGAUCACGGAGUUUAUGAGCUUCACUCUUGGCCUUCGAUUUAUAAGAAAAAAUUUAAUGAGCAAAAGAUCACUGUUGACUGCAGAAGAAUGUGAGUAAGCAAUACAAUUGAAUUGUAAAAGAACAAGACUUAAAGCGUGCACCCCGUGUUCAUAUAAACAGAACACAUGUUCAUUUUUAACAAAGUGAUCAAUAACUAUAUUCGUUAUUUAAUUGAUAUUGUAACCAAUUCUAAGAGAAUAUAAUAAUAAUCAUUCAAUCCAUAAAUUUAGAAUUAGAUUUUUUUAACUCUUUAUUUAAAUAUAAACCUUAAUGGAAAAUUAUAAAAGUUUAGAGAUAAAAUUUUUCAAUCACCAAACGAAAAAAACAGGGGAAUGAAAACAGAGGAAUCUUGUUUUAACUAUUUUUUUUUCCUCAACUCUUGUUCUUAUAUUAAUAAUCUUGUUUUGAUGAUAGUGCUCGUGACUGCGGGAAAAUUUGUACUGGAAACAACUCAAUUUCGGAAGAAAACUUAAUUUUGCAAGUGAUGAAUUUGAACUCGUUGGAUUGGUUGAUUUAUGAUUGACUGAAUUUCACUUUUGCCCAAAAGAUCUUUAACCAAAGUUUAAUAGCCAUCAUGUACUCCUUAAAAGCAAUUUUUUUUUUUAGAUUUGACUGAAUUUGAACUUGUUGGAUUGGUUGUUUUUAGAUUAUUAAUAUGAGAUAUUACAACGUAAAUAUUUUCAUGUGGUUGAGCCCUAUUCUAAAAUCUGUAUAGUUAGCUUUAGAAAAAGGGCUUUUCCUGCUGAUCUGUAAUCUUCAAAUAAACUUAGAUACAAAUAAUGAAAUAAAAGACAACAAACACGCNNNNNNNNNNNNNNNNNNNNNNNNNNNNNNNNNNNNNNNNNNNNNNNNNNNNNNNNNNNNNNNNNNNNNNNNNNNNNNNNNNNNNNNNNNNNNNNNNNNNNNNNNNNNNNNNNNNNNNNNNNNNNNNNNNNNNNNNNNNNNNNNNNNNNNNNNNNNNNNNNNNNNNNNNNNNNNNNNNNNNNNNNNNNNNNNNNNNNNNNNNNNNNNNNNNNNNNNNNNNNNNNNNNNNNNNNNNNNNNNNNNNNNNNNNNNNNNNNNNNNNNNNNNNNNNNNNNNNNNNNNNNNNNNNNNNNNNNNNNNNNNNNNNNNNNNNNNNNNNNNNNNNNNNNNNNNNNNNNNNNNNNNNNNNNNNNNNNNNNNNNNNNNNNNNNNNNNNNNNNNNNNNNNNNNNNNNNNNNNNNNNNNNNNNNNNNNNNNNNNNNNNNNNNNNNNNNNNNNNNNNNNNNNNNNNNNNNNNNNNNNNNNNNNNNNNNNNNNNNNNNNNNNNNNNNNNNNNNNNNNNNNNNNNNNNNNNNNNNNNNNNNNNNNNNNNNNNNNNNNNNNNNNNNNNNNNNNNNNNNNNNNNNNNNNNNNNNNNNNNNNNNNNNNNNNNNNNNNNNNNNNNNNNNNNNNNNNNNNNNNNNNNNNNNNNNNNNNNNNNNNNNNNNNNNNNNNNNNNNNNNNNNNNNNNNNNNNNNNNNNNNNNNNNNNNNNNNNNNNNNNNNNNNNNNNNNNNNNNNNNNNNNNNNNNNNNNNNNNNNNNNNNNNNNNNNNNNNNNNNNNNNNNNNNNNNNNNNNNNNNNNNNNNNNNNNNNNNNNNNNNNNNNNNNNNNNNNNNNNNNNNNNNNNNNNNNNNNNNNNNNNNNNNNNNNNNNNNNNNNNNNNNNNNNNNNNNNNNNNNNNNNNNNNNNNNNNNNNNNNNNNNNNNNNNNNNNNNNNNNNNNNNNNNNNNNNNNNNNNNNNNNNNNNNNNNNNNNNNNNNNNNNNNNNNNNNNNNNNNNNNNNNNNNNNNNNNNNNNNNNNNNNNNNNNNNNNNNNNNNNNNNNNNNNNNNNNNNNNNNNNNNNNNNNNNNNNNNNNNNNNNNNNNNNNNNNNNNNNNNNNNNNNNNNNNNNNNNNNNNNNNNNNNNNNNNNNNNNNNNNNNNNNNNNNNNNNNNNNNNNNNNNNNNNNNNNNNNNNNNNNNNNNNNNNNNNNNNNNNNNNNNNNNNNNNNNNNNNNNNNNNNNNNNNNNNNNNNNNNNNNNNNNNNNNNNNNNNNNNNNNNNNNNNNNNNNNNNNNNNNNNNNNNNNNNNNNNNNNNNNNNNNNNNNNNNNNNNNNNNNNNNNNNNNNNNNNNNNNNNNNNNNNNNNNNNNNNNNNNNNNNNNNNNNNNNNNNNNNNNNNNNNNNNNNNNNNNNNNNNNNNNNNNNNNNNNNNNNNNNNNNNNNNNNNNNNNNNNNNNNNNNNNNNNNNNNNNNNNNNNNNNNNNNNNNUAAACUUUUUUUUGGGGGGGGGGGGGGGGAGCAUGCAAAUUUACCAAAAGAAAUAAUAAGAGCACAGGCUUUAACAAUGAAUAGUAACUUAAAACUCAUGCAAAAUAAGUUACAAUAUGAAAACAAACCAGAGAAAAUUUUUUCUUGGAAAGUAGAUGGAACUUAAGAAAGAGCAGAUGUCAAGAUCAAGGAUCAGGGAUUCUACUAUUAAAAAAAAAAAAAAAUUAUUCAAGGAUUUAGAAAACGUGCACCUCUUUAAUUAUCUGGGAUUAGAGAGUUGGUGAGCUUCUCUAUUUGGCCUUCAAUAUUUAAGAACAAGUUGAAAGAGGAAAAAGAUCACUGGUAACUGCUGAGGAAUGUGUGAGAAAAGAGUUGAUGAGAGCAAUAACAAUGACCUGCAAAAGAAAAAGAAUUAGUCACGCACCGCUUUUCUAUAUCAUGUAUUUGGUUAUUGUUGCCCUGUUGACGCAUGUUGAAGAAGAAAGCACUAGUACACAACUCUAUGUUUUCAUAUAUUCUAAAGAAAUAAUUAAGUUUUCAUAGAAUAAUACCUGUUGUGUUUGAAUAAUUUGGUAUCUACAUUGCUUGUGUACUGUGAAAUUGAAAUGAAUAUUGAUUGACAGAGCAAUGUAUAUACCUAAUAAAACAUAAAGCAAAUCCUUGAACGAAUGAUUCGGGACUAAAACUUUUAUAAAAGCAAAUACCGGAAACACACAAAAAGCAUUUAAGAUAGAAACUAAACAGCAAAUAAUCGAAGUAAGAUCAAUAAUAUAUGAUUUGAUUUAUGCAUAUUCAAAAACCAAAAUUUAAAAUAAAAUAAAAAAUAAAGUUUGAUUUAUUCUUUCCACAAAAAACAGGGGAGUGAAAACAGAGGCAGCUUGUUUUACCAAUUUUUUCUUCUUAAUUUCCGGCAAAAAAAAAAAUUCAAUAAACAGGGGAAUGAAAACAAAGGAACGAAAACAGAGGAAACUUGCUUUUCAGGCUAUCUUGUGACAUGAUGAUAUUGCUCGUGAAUGCAUGAAAAUUUCUAAUGCAAACAGCUCAAUUUGGGAUGAUAAGCUUAAGUUUGCAAGUGAUGCAAGUAAAUAAGUUUUUGCGGUUAAUUGAAUCUUUAAUACUCUGGGCCCUAUUCUAAAAUUUGUAGGUUGCUUCAGAAGAAAGGGCGGUUCUCACUCAUCUUUAAUCUCCAAGUAAAAUUAGAUACAAAGCAAAUCUAAUAAAAUGACAAACAAACAAACAAAACAAAGAAAAGACAGGAGGCAAACAACAUUGAUCUUAAGCCAACUGAUAUUUAAACAGAGAAUUCUUUUCUUUUAUUUUUUUAACCACCUUUUGCUCAAGGAUUAGAGUUUUUAUAUUAACAGAAAGGUUUCAGGGGUCUGAAUAAAAGCCCACAAUUUCUCUAAUUGUUUUUUUUUUUUUUUUUUUGGGAAAAAUGGAUGCAAAUUAUCCAAAGCUAAUAAUAAGAACACAGACAUUACAAAUGAACAAUAACUUAAAACUCAAGCAAAAUAAAUGACAAGAUGAAAACAAACAAGAUAAAUUUUUUCUUGGAAAUUAGAUGGAAAUUAAGGACUGCUAGUAAAAGAUAUUAUUAGAUGAUUUAGAACAUGUGUACCUCUUUAAUUGUCUGGGAUCAAAGAAUUGAUGAGCUUCUCCAUUCGCAUUGAAUAUUAAGUAAGAACGGGUAUUCAAAGAAAUUAUUAGGAAAAAUUUUAAUGAGUAAAAGAUCACUGUUAACUGCAGACGAAUGUCCUAGUAAAAUGUUGAUUUGUGUAAUAACAAUGAAUUGCAAAAGAAGAAAACUUAAUCAUGCACCCCUUUUAUACCCGAGUUUUAAGAUUUAAUUUUUGAAGUUCAGAAUCAAGACCAAAAGCCGAAGCUUUAACAAGGCAUGCAGUGAGAUACAAGAAAUGGAUCGGGUAAAAUACUUUAAAAAAUGUUGUUCAACUCAAUUAACUUGAAGAAAGCACUAAUUUCAUAUGUUCUAAUGAAAUAAUCAAGUUAAAAGUUUUCAACGAAUAAAUACCUGUUGCGCUUGAAUAAUUUUGGCAUAUACAUUACUUGUAUCCUGUGAAAUUGAAAAGAAUAUUGAUAUGCAGAGCUUAUUAGUAGAGAGAAAGCUUUGUAAGAUGCCUGAUAAAAGAGAAACCAAAAGCUUGAAUGAGGAAUGACAUCUUAGAAAGAAACUAAACAUCAAAGUAGGAUCAAUAAUGACUUGAUUUAUGCUUUUUUGUUAUUUCAUUUGUUCUGUCAACAAAUGAUGCCUCGUUAUUACGAGUUCCAACCUGGACGUUAUGCACAAAUUGUUUUUAUGUUUAACAGAAAAAAAUGAAAGCAGGUCACCAUACAAAAUUGCAUGAACAAAUCUUCAAUUUAAUGAUUAUAAAAUAAAAUAAAUUUUAUUAAUAGAUUAUGGGUAUGUUAACGUUAGGGAUUUGAUCAGAUGAUCAUAUGAUUUACUAAACGCUUUAACAAGAACAAGAAAAAGAAUUAAUGGGUUAAAAAAAAUUUAAAAAUAAAAUAAGAGAGAAGUAAAGAACUUAUUUGCAAUUACCAAACUGAAAAAAUGCGAAAUGAAAACAAGGGAGCCCUGUUUUUCCUCACAUUUUUUUUCUCUCUUUUUCAAGUGGUGAGAAUGAUAGCAGAAAAUGCGAGCUCACUAUUUUCAUUUGUUGGCCUAAAAGCCUUCCUCCAAGAGAUGCAUAAAUUUUAUUUGUACAUUUGUUCCAUUUUAAGUACACAUUGUUGCAUGCAUUUUGAACUGUAUUAUCAAUCCUUUUUGUUUUCAGUUGGUUAGUUCAUAAUAACAAAUGAAUUAUAUUAUUUUGCAUGGAUCGAAAUUUAACUUUCCCUCUUUAUUUGUCCCACAACUAAAUAGUCUCAUCUUUUGUAGUAAGCUCGCAGUACGUACGGGGAACUACUGUAUGGGUGCUUUAGCCUAAAAUGAAGAUCUAUUAAAAAUUUCCCUAAUAUCAUGAUAUUAAACAUUAAAUAAUAUCAACAUUUUGACUUCCAUUUUGUUUUUUGGAUGGAGGAUGUUCCAUCUUCUAUUUUAGGUGCUUUGUAAGACUUUUAAUUGAACAAUUGAUGCAAUCAGUAACAAAGGCUUUACUUACAUAUGCAAGUAAAAUUUGCAGGUUGCUUCAGAAGAACGGGCAGUUCUCACUCAUCUUUAAUCUCCAAGUAAAAUUAGAUACAAAGCAAAUCUAAUAAAAUGACAAACAAACAAACAAAACAAAGAAAAGACAGGAGGCAAACAACAUUGAUCUUAAGCCAACUGAUAAUUAAACAGAGAAUUCUUUUUUUUUUUAACCUUUUGCUCAAGGAUUAGAGUUUUUACAUUAACAGAAAGGUUUCAGGGGUCUGAAUAAAAGCCCACAAUUUCUCUAUUUUAUUUUUAUUUUUAUUUUUUGAAAGGAGCUUCACUAUUGGCCUUGAACAUAUAAGAAUAAGCAAAAGAUCAAUGUCAACUGCAAAGGAAUGUGAGUAUGUCAAAGUCAUGGGCGGUUUGGCACCAUUAACAUAUUUCAAAAUGGCCACCCUAAUUGAAGGAAAUUAAAGGCCAAGUAGAUGCCGCCCAAGGAAAGAAACAAAAGAGAAUGAAGAAAAAGAAGAAAGAGAGAAGAAAAAGAGAUGUCGGGCCGAAGAAGGAAAAGAAAAGAAAAAUUAAUAAAAUAAUAAUAAUAAUUAAAUAUUAAACAAAUAGUAGCUAAUUUUGGCUAUAAAACCGCUAGCUCCCUUCAUUUGUAAAUCAUCUAGUUCUUCAGUUCUUUUCUUUAUUUAGAGAGCGAUUUUAAGAGUCUAGUGAUUUGAGAGUUUAGGUGUAUUGGGAUUUUGGGUAGUGAGCUAAAAUACCACAAUACUUGUAACUUCUUUUCACUAGUAAAAUACUUUCCUUCUGUUUUCACCUGUGAACGUAGGCUAAAAGCUGAACCACGUAAUUUCUUGUGUCUAUUUUUUGUACUUGUUCUUUAUUUUCUUCCAAUUUCACUUUAGCUGCGUGUUUGCUUCACUCACCAAUUUUGUAAUAGUGAAUCAGAGCUAUUAGUUGUAUUUUUUGGAGUCGGGUACUGUUCACGUAAGGGGUACUAUUCACGUAUAUGGCACUGUUCACGUAUACGGUACUAUUCACGUAAAACGAUGGGAGGAUCCAAGAAUUUUGCGGUGCAAAGCAGGGAAUAGUGGUGUGAGUAAAACAACUGUGUGGUUUUGUACAUGUCUAGGAAAGUUCUAUCACAAAGGCGAUAAGAGCUUAAGGAGUCUGGGUUUUAAGUGGGACCAUUGUGACCCCUCCAAUGUUUCCUGGGAACUUUCUUGGUGUGCAUUCUCACACAUACUCACAACUAUUCAAGGUGGUACACUUGCUUGUGUGCGGUAUUUAUCAAUAAAAUGGCGGCAAAGUAUGAAAUUGAGAAAUUUAACGGAAACAAUUUUUCAUUGUGGAAAAUGAAGAUGAAAGCUGUAUUGAGAAAAAAUAAUUGCUUAGCAGUAAUUGGAGAAAGGCUUUUGGAGAUAACUGAUGACAAGUGGAACGAGAUAGAUGGCAACACCAUUUCUGAUCUACACUUGGCACUUGCAGAUGGAGUAUUAUCUAGUGUGGCAGAGAAAAAUACAGCGAAGGAAAUAUGGGAUACUCUCACAAAAUUGUAUGAGGCUAAGUCACUACACAGCAAAAUCUUCUUAAAGAGGAAACUUUAUACUCUUCGAAUGGUGGAAUCUACAAUGGUGAUCGACCACAUCAACACCUUGAAGACUCUAUUUUCACAACUCACAACGUUGGGUCAUAAUAUAGAGGAGAAUAAACAUGUAGAGCUUGUACUUCAAAGUCUACCAAAUUCGUAUGAUCAACUCAUCAUCAACCUAACGAACAACAAUCCAGCGGAUAGUCUAGUUUUCGACGAUGUUGCAGCUUUCCUAUUAAAUGAGGAGAGCAGGCGAAAAAAUAAGAAAAACAGACAAGCAAUUUCGCAGCAAGCGGCGGUGCUAUCGGUGACGAGAGGGAGAUCAACGGAACGUGGCCCUAGUGGGAGUCAAAAUCAUAGUAAAUCAAAAUCCAGAAGUAAGAAGAAUGUUAAAUGCUACAACUGUGGCAAGAAAGGACACGUCAAGAAAGAGUAUUGGAGUAACUAGAAGAGAAAAGAGGAUAAAGAACCUGAGUCAUCAAAUGCUCAGGGGUGUGUAGCAAGUACCUCAGAUGAUAGCGAAAUUCUUUACACUGGGGCAAUAACUAUUUCAGAAGGCAGAAAACGACUAUCUAAUGUCUGGCUUAUAGACUCAGGAGCUACCUGGCACAUGACGGAGAGAAUGGUUCUAGACAUAUGAACCUAUCUCAGGAGGAUCUGUAUAUAUGUGAGAUGAUCAUGCCUUGGAGAUCGCUGGUAUUGGUACUAUCAAAAUAAAAAUAUUUGAUGGUACAAUUCGCACAAUUGGGGAGGUACGACAUGUCAAUGACCUGAAGAAAAAUCUAUUGUCUUUGGGACAAAUAGGCAGUUAUGGGUGCAAAACUCAUGUGGAGAAUGGAAUUAUGAAGAUUGUUAAAGGAGAGCUUGUAUUGAUGAAGGCAGAAAAGAUCGGUGCUAAUCUAUUCAUGCUUAAAGGAGAGUCACUACAGGAGGCUGAUGCGUGUGUCGCAUCAAAUGGAGAAGAGUUAAUGAUGAUGUGACAUCUCAAACUUGGCCACAUGUCGGAACAUUGUUUGAAGAUUCUCUCUGAGCGAAAAUUACUUCCAGGGCUUAAAUCGGUAAGUUUACCUUUUUGCGAGCAUUGUGUUACCAGUAAGCAGCAUAGAUUAAAAUUUAGUAGAUCUAUUCUAGAAGUAAAUAUAUUCUAGACUUGAUUCAUUCUGAUGUUUGGAAAUCACCGGAUAUAUCCAUGGGAGGUGCAAAGUACAUGGCGACUUUCAUUGAUAAUUAUUCCAGAAGAUGUUGUGUGUAUCUAAUUAAGAAAAAGUUAGAUGUAUUUCCAGUGUUUAAAGAAUACAAAGCGCGGGUGAAACUUGAAUCUGGUAAAAAGAUUAAGUGCUUGAGGACGGAUAAUGGUGGAGAGUAUACAGACGGCGAGUUUCUUGCUUUCUGUAAGCAAGAAGGUAUUUAGAGACAGUUCACCAUAGCAUACACUCCUCAACAAAACGGAGUGGCGGAGCGGAUGAACAGAACUCUUACAGAAAGAAUAAGAGCUAUGUUGAGGACUGCUGGUCUACCUAAUUCAUUCUGGGCAGAAGCAGCCAAAACUGCUUGUUAUAUAGUAAAUCGGUUGCCAUCUACAGCUAUUAGGCUAAAGACAACGAUGGAGAUGUGGACUGGAAAGCCAACUGAUUAUUCCUACCUACAUGCAUUUAAAUGUCCUGUGUACGUGAUGUACAAUGCCCAAGAAAGAACAAAGCUGGAUCCAAAAUCUAGAAUAUGUAUCUUCUUGAGAUAUGCUGAUGGAAUAAAGGGGUAUCGUCUGUGGGACCCCACUGCCCACAAGAUCGUUAUCAGCAGAGAUGUUAUCUUCAUAGAAGAUCAACUGCAAAGGAAAGAUGAAGAUGAUAGUAGUGUAAAAGAAAAGUCAGAGACUAUACCGGUAUAUGUGGAAAAUAAUCCAUAAGAUUCAGAUUCUUCUGAAGCAGAACCAGAGCACGAGCAACAAAAACCAGUCGAGUCUGAGGCUCCAGAAGUUCGUCGGUCAACUCGUGAGAGACGACCGCCAAUGUGGCACUCGGAGUAUGUUACAGAGAUCAACGUUGCAUACUGUCUUCUAAUAGAGGAUAGAGAGCCUUUAACUUUCCAUCAAGCUUUAGAAAGCUCAGAUGUUGCUUUGUGGAUGACAGCAAUGCAGGAAGAAAUAAAGCUCUACAUAAUAACAAGACAUGAGAACUUGUACCACUACCACGUGGAAGAAAAGCCAUUGGAAACAAAUGGGUCUACAAAAUCAAACGUGAAGGCAAUGACCAAGUAGAGCGGUGUCGUGCGAGAUUGGUGGUGAAAGGAUAUGCUCAGAAAGAAGGUAUUGACUUCAACGAGAUAUUUUCGCCGGUGGUUUGCCUCACGACGGUCAGAGUAGUCUUGGCAAUGUGUGCUACAUUUGACCUACAUUUAGAGCAGUUAGAUGUGAAAACUACAUUUCUUCAUGGAGAACUUGAAGAAGAAAUAUAUAUGCUCCAACCAGAAGGUUUUGCAGAAACAGGAAAAGAGAACUUGGUUUGCAGGUUGAACAAAUCUUUAUUCGGUCUCAAACAGGCGCUGAGGUGUUGGUAUAAGAGAUUUGAUUCCUUUAUCAUGAGCCUUGGAUACAACAGACUCAGUUCAUACCAUUGUGCAUAUUAUAAAAGGUUUGCAGAUAAUGAUUUCAUUAUUUUACUAUUGUAUGUGGAUGACAUGUUGGUAGCAGGCCCUAACAAAGAUCGAAUCCAAGAAUUGAAGGCACAGUUGGCUAGGGAGUUUGAAAUGAAGGACUUGGGACCAGCAAACAAGAUUUUAGGAAUGCAAAUUCACCGAGACAUAAAUAACAGGAAGAUUUGGCUUUAGCAGAAGAAUUACUUGAAGAAAAUCUUGUGGCGCUUCAACAUGCAAGAUUGUAAGUCAAUUUCUACCCCACUUCCUGUUAAUUUCAAAUUAUCCUCAAGUAUGUGUCCUAGCAAUGAAGCAGAGAGGAAGGAGAUGUCUCGAGUACCGUAUGCAUCAGUAGUGGGAAGUUUAAUGUUCGCUAUGAUAUGUACUAGACCAGACAUUGCACAAGUAGUGGGAGCAGUCAGUCGAUACAUGGCGAAUCCCGGUGGAGAGCAUUGGAUAGUUGUGAAGAGGAUUCUGAGAUACAUCAAAGGAACCUCAGAUGUUGCAUUAUGUUACGUAGGAUCAGAGUUUACUGUCAAGGGCUAUGUGGAUUCAGAUUUUGCAGGAGAUCUUGAUAAAAGAAAAUCCACUACUAGUUAUGUGUUUACACUUGCGGGAGCAGCUGUAAGCUGGGUUUCGAAACUGCAGACUGUUGUGGCUUUAUCUACAAUAGAAGCAUAAUACAUGGCAGCUACACAAGCUUGCGAGGAAGCUAUUUGGAUACAAAGAUUAUUGGAGGAGCUCGGGCACAAACAAGAGAAAAAUUAUGUGUUUUGUGACAGUCAGAGUGUCUUUCACAUUGCAAGAAAUCCAGCCUUUUAUUCCAAGACAAAGCAUAUAGGAGUUCAGUAUCACUUCGUUCGAGAAGUAGUGGAAGAUGGAAAUAUGGAUUUACAGAAAAUCCAUACGAAGGAGAACCUAGCAGAUGUUUUGACUAAGCCGAUAAAUGCUGACAAGUUUAUCUGGAGUAGAUCUUCUUGUGGCCUAGCAGAAACGUAGGCAACAUGAUUAUGGCGAAGCAGAAAGGAUGUUGUGGACAUUGAUUGAUUCUCAAUCUAAUCUCCAGGUGGGAGAAUGUCAAAGUCAUGGGCGGUUUAGCAUCAUUAACAUAUUUCAAAAUGGCCACCCAAAUUGAAGGAAAUUAAAGGCCAAGUAGAUGCCGCCCAAGGAAAGAAACAAAAGAAAAAGAAGAAAAAGAAGAAAGAGAGAAGAAAAAGAGAUGUCAGGUCGAAGAAGGAAAAGAAAAGAAAAAUUAAUAAAAUAAUAAUAAUAAUUAAAUAUUAAAUGAACGGUAGCUAAUUUUGGCUAUAAAACCGCUGGCUCCCUUCAUUUGUAAAUCAUCGAGUUCUUCAGUUCUUUUCUUUAUUUAAAGAGUGAUUUUAAGAGUCUAGUGAUUUGAGAGUUUGGGUGUAUUGGGAUUUUGGGUAGUAAGCUAAAAUACCACAAUACUUGUAAAUCAUUUUCACUAGUAAAAUAUUUUCCUCAUGUUUUCGCCCGUGGACGUAGGCUAAAAGUCGAACCACGUAAUUUCUUGUGUCCAUUUUUUGUGCUUGUUCUUUAUUUUUUUUCCAAUUUCACUUUAUCUGCAUGUCUGCUUCACCCACCAAGUUCCUAACAGAGUAAAGAUUUCAUCAGAGUAAGUAAUACAAAUGAAUUGUAAAAGAACAAGACUUAAGCGUGCACCCCGUGUUUUGUUUUAUUCGUAUAAACAUAACAUGUUCAUUUUUAACAAAGUGGUCAAUAACUCUAUUCGCUAUGAAAAUGAUAUUGUACCCAAUUUUAAGAGAGCAUAACAAUAACCAUUCAAUGCAUAAAUUUAGAAUUUUUUUUUUGUAAUUCUUUAUUUAAAUAUAAACGUCGAUGGAAAAUUAUAAAAAUUUAGAUAUGAAAUUUUAAGUCACCAGACAAAAAAAAAAAAAAAAAAAAGGGGAACAGAAAUAGAGGAAUCUUGCUUUACCUUUUUUUUUUUUUCCUUUAACUCUUGUUCUUAUAUAAAUAAUCUUGUUUUGAUGAUUGUAACUCGUGACUGCGGGAAAUUUUCUAAUGGAAACAACUAAUUUCGGAAGAUAAGCUUAAUUACGCAAGUGAUGAAUUUGUUCAAUUGACUCUGUACUUGAACUAGUUGGAUUGGUUGAUUGAUGAUUGACUAAAUUUGAAUUAAGUUUAAUAGCUAUGAUGUGCUCCUUAAAAGCAAACGUAAAUCUUUUUUAGAUUUGACUGAAUUUGGGAACCUGUUGGAUUGAUUGUUUUUAGAUCAUUAAUAUCGGUUACUACAACGUAAAUAUUUUAUUGUGGUUGAGUCCUAUUCUCAAAUCAGUAGGUUGCCUUAGAAAAAGGGCUUUUCUCACUGAUCUUUUUUUUUUCUUUAAUUCACACGCACUUGAUUAUUGACUUCUUUCAUGAAGAAAUAAACUUGUAAUGACUUAAAGAUUUAAUUUCAAGUUAGAAUCAAUACCAAAAGACGGAGGUUUAACAAAGCCGUUUAGUGUGAUAAAAGUACUUUAAAAAAUGUUGUUCGACCCAAUUAAGUUGAAGAAAUAACAAAGUUUUCAUGGAAUAAAUACCGGUUGUGCUUUAAUGAUUUUGGCAUAGACAUUGCUUGUGUACUGUGAAAUCGAAAUGAAU